AAAGAGCUCCCCUCAACCAAUCCCAUUCGCUUGAAUCAUAGUAAGGCAAAGAGGGAUGAGUGUGAUUGAGGAUUGUGAUCAAUGUGAACCAUCCGUUAACAACUAGCAACGGACCUCCAUAAACACAGAAAACCCAGACAAAUCCUUUGGCUAAUACUAGAUUGUACAGCCCAUAGAUAACAGCAAGAAUGGCAAGAUCAGACACAAUGAUCUGUUUGCGUUCACGUUCUGUGUAAAGAGGGCUAUGGGGAUCAUAGUGUGAAGUCCACCUCUCAUACUUGUGUCCCGAGACAUUGAACAUCAAGUAUAAGGGGAAGCCUAUAAGGAGCGUGAUAAGCCACACAAGGACGCGGCCUGGUGGGUUGUUCAUUAUUUUGUAGUAGUUCCUGAUGUUGGCCUUGAACCUCGGGACAUAAACCUCAUCAUUCUCAAGGGAUUGAGUGUUGGCAUGGUGACGACGGUGGCUAAUUUUCCAAGAGAAGUAAGGGACCAGAAGAGAAGAAUGGACAACAAGGCCAACAAGGUCAUUCACCCAACCAUAAUCACUGAAGGCAUCAUGAUCACAUUCGUGCCCCACGACCCAAGCUCCCGUCAAGACACACCCCUGGACAGCAAUGUAAGCAGCCCAACCCACGUAAUUCAGAGGGUGUGGAAGAUACUGGUCUAUGUAAUUAGUGGCAACAUAGUAGAGAGCAUAGGCCAUGAGGAGAUCUUGAAUGAGGUAUCGAAAAGAAGUGACAAGUGACUUUUCGAAGCAAUGAGCAGGAAUGGCCUUCUUGAGGUCACCAAUAGUGAAUGGUGGCUUCUCAUGAGGAGCCCUUCUGAGUGCUUCUGCUUCAGUUUUCUUGGCAUUAGAAGGAGCAGACAUGCGCCCACCUGCACCCAUUUUUUCUCUAGUGUAACAAAGAAUAGGCCAAUGCUAUUCUCCUACUCUGUUUGUUUUGCUUUUGCUGUGAAUAUUGCUAACAUUACAAGUUGAAUAUUUAUAGUGAUGCUGUAGAGUUGCAGUGUAGAAUUAAGGAACAGCUGAAAACGCCCGCCAGCACGCCAGCCACUAGAGACUUUUACUAAACUACAAGCUCAAAUUUGUGAGUGUGUUGGAAUCACGAAAUAUAUGAGAUUAAAUAAAUGAAAAUACAAGAAACUGGUGUGCUGCUAUGCUGGUUUUAACUAGUAGUGCACCUUUUGGUUUUUUGUGGCUGACCAAAAUCUUGCUUGUCUAUGUUCAAAUAUUCCGGGUCCUAUUUGGGGGCUUGUAUUGUUACUUUCUUGCAUAUUUUAUUACAAGAUAUUUCAUGAUUUAAAAAUUAUAAGAUAUAAGAUUCAUUUAUAAGUGAAAUUCCAAUAAUGGGGUGGAGUUGCUCACUCAUUUUUACGAUGUUUUACGUGAUUGACAGGUCUUUUAUAUGUUUUUUUUUUGUUGCAAGAAUUUCAAAUAUAAAACUAUUUUGUAGUCCGAAUUUUUUUUAUUAUGUUUUACCUAAUAAAUACGCAUAAUAUGUAGAAUCUCAGAUGUACAAGAUUAUCAUAGACAUAAAAGAACAAUGUGAAAGUAGCAUAAAAAAGAACAAUAAUACAACGAUAGGAGAUAGUCCAAAAAUAAAUCCAAUUAAUGGAACCCUUUGCCCGGAUUUUUAUGCCUGGGUUUCAAUCUUUUUCAAAGUUAAACGAAAAACUGCAAUAAACCAGAAAUCAACUUAUAGUCAGAAUAUGGUAGAAUGUACUUUUUGAAUCUACUUAUCUUAGUUUUAUUAUACUUGUUAAUAACUCAUAAAUCCCUUAUAAUAUAAAAUUUUACAAACAGUUAAUUUAAGCCAAUCUGUUAUCAUAUUAAGUUAUUACAGCUUAUCAAAAAAAAUUUAGUAUUACAAGAUUCAUAAGCUAGAGUUUUGCCCACUAAAGUAAACUUUUACCAAUCAUGGUAUCAUUCAUAUAUCUAGUAAAAACAUUGUAAUUUUCACCAGAUCAGUCCGGGUCUCUGCAUUUUGAACACAGGUUAGAAAACUUUAAAGUACCGAACUUAAACACCAACUCACUGCAAUAGCCAAUACUCAAGCAGAAUCUGAAUUCAAAUUAUUAUUACUAGUCUCCUACUAAAAAAUAUAGACGGAAUACAGAAAGUUCAACUAUAUUUGCAAGUAAAAACUACUAGUGUCUAACCACCCAGGUGACUAACUUCAUCUAUUCACUUCUUAAACAUCCAACUUAUGAUCCAAAAACACGCCGAGCACUUGCUGCAUUUCAGUAUGUCCAAAAACCUUGAAGAACAAAAUAAAGACAAGCAUCAUAAGAUCAAACAUUCAAUAAAAGCAUGAAAAUAUCAUCGAGAAAUUUCUGAGUCUAUUCAUUAUAACACGCAGAGUUGAGGUCUGCAACUCCUUUAUAGUACAACAUUGAAAAAAAUAACUGAAAUUGACAAGGCAACUUUGGUCAAAACAAAUCAAGCUAUAUAUCCUUUCGGUACCAGUAGACUCCUUUAGUCUCGCCUUCAUCUUUCUCCACGUAAAUGCAUUCCUUCAUUUCUCGGUACAUGGCCUUUAGAAUUGGAGUUCCAUCAUAUUGAUAGUAAUCUCCAAGUAAAGGCUUCAUGGCCUCUGUGGCUUCUAGUCCGUGGUAAUGUGGGAUCAUGGAGAAUAUGUGGUGACAGACAUGAGCAUUGCACACGUUGUGGAAUACCUUGUUCAGAAUUCCAUAAUCUCUGUCAACAGUGCAGAGAGCUCCUCUUAACCAGUCCCAUUCAGUUGAGUCGUAGUAAGGAAUCGAAGGAUGAGUGUGAUUGAGGAUUGUAAUUAAUGUAAACCAUCCGUUGACAACUAGCAAUGGACCUCCAUAAACACAGAAAACCCAAACAAAUCCUUUGGCUAAUACUAGAUUGUACAGCCCAUAGAUAACAGCAAGAAUGGCAAGAUCAGACACAAUGAUCUGCUUGCGCUCACGUUCUGUGUAAAGAGGGCUAUGGGGAUCAUAGUGAGAAGUCCACCUCUCAUACUUGUGUCCCGAAACAUUGAACAUCAGAUACAGAGGGAAGCCUAUGAGGAGUGUGGUAACCCACACAAGGACACGGCCGGGUGGGUUGUUGAGAAUUUUGUAGUAGUUCCGGAUGUUGGACUUGAACCUCGGGACAUAAACCUCGUCGUUCUCAAGUGAUUGAGUGUUGGCGUGGUGACGUCUGUGGCUAAUUUUCCAAGAGAAAUAUGGAACCAUGAGAGAAGAGUGGACAAUAAGGCCAACAAGGUCAUUCACCCAACCAUAAUCACUGAAGGCGUCGUGAUCACAUUCGUGACCCACCACCCAAGCUCCCGUCAAGACACACCCCUGGACAGCAAUGUAAGCAGCCCAACCGACGUAAUUCAGAGGAUAUGGAAGAUACUGCUCUAUGUAAUUAGUGGCAAUAUAGUAGAGGGCAUAGGCCAUGAGGAGAUCUUGAAUGAGGUAUCGAAAAGAAGUGACAAGUGACUUUUCAAAGCAAUGAGCAGGAAUGGCUUUCUUAAGGUCACCAAUGGUGAAUGGAGGUUUCUCAUGAGGGGCACGUCGAAGUGCUUCUGUUUGAGUUUUCUUGGCAUUAGGAGCAGACAUGCGUCCACCUGCACCCAUCUUUCCCUGGUGAAGAAUGCAAAUAUUGCUACUCUUCAACCUUGUUGCCUUUGUUAUGUGUUUAGUUGUUUCGUUGUUGUUAUUACCUCAGACCAGCUUGGAUAUUUAUAAGGAUGUCGAAAUUAGAAAUGAGUUAAAGUCCUUAAGGCCCGCCAGCCAGGGGAGGAGUUUGAACUUUGAAUAGAAAGAGUAGGAAAUUAAGUGGCGUGCUCGUGUACAAUUAUUAGUGUCACUACUGAAAUGUGCAGUCAUAAAAUGAGUGCUGCACCAAAAUUUUCUCUUAAAUUCCAGGUCCUGCUUGGCGGCUAUACUAUCUUCAUCAACUUAUUGUUGUCUUGUUAUGCUCUUUUAACAUGCAUAUCUUUUGAUAUCUUCUUUCUCAUAUUAUGCAUUUGCUAAGCUUACUCUAAUACCAAAUAAAGUAGCUGACAUGAUGAAAAAGCAAAUUAACACACCUAAUUUAUGUCUCAUCCGAAAACAGGCUCUUUGGGGGAAUUAUUCUUUAUCUAAUAAAUGAGGUAAAAUGAUUAAUAUUCGAUAAAAUGAGUAGUGAAUGAAAUAUUCCUGUUCCAUCUUUACAAUCAAUCAUCUUCAGUUCCUCAAGUUUACGCUUAAGUGGAAGUUAUUUCUAUUUACUUCCUCCGGAUUUACAGUUAGUCCCAAGAAAAGUGUGGCAGCUGGGCAUUAGUUCUAGCAUGCAGGUUCCAGGUUACGAGAUCAUUUAUCAUCAAAUUGCAGAGGCAUACUUAGCCAAGUUAAAUUAAUGUUGGAAACUGGGAUCAGAACUUUAAUUUAAGCUGCUUGAUGUUCCUUUUUCAGUUCACUCACUACUAGGGAUGGCAACGGGUCGGGUUUCAUGAGAUCUAGACCCGAUCCAUUAUAUUUCGGUUCGGGUCCGGGUCUGAAAAAUGAAGAUCCAGAUCCGAUCCGUCGGAUUUUUUCGGGUUUCGGUUCGGGUUCGGGUCUAAUUCGGAUAUUUAAAAAAAAUUAAAAAUUAUAUAUCUAUAAAAAAUGUGAUGGCUUAUUUUAAAAAAAAAUUAGGAAUAUAAAAAAGGACUUUACAUGUUUCAUUUAGUACAAUAAACACGUGAAACAUGCUAACUUAAUUAUAUACAAUCAUUCAACUUAUCAUUUAUAUUUUAUUAUAUUUAGAUUUUUUAAUGCACAAUAAUUGAGAAAAUUAAAAUAUUGAUGAAAUUAAUAUAUAAAUUAUGUAUUGCGCAUAUAAUAUUAAGUAAGAUGUUAAUACGCAUACAUAAUAAUUCAUAAUAUUUCAUAUAUAUACUUUACAUUUAACAAAUAAUAUAUAUAUAUAUAUAUAUAUAUAUAUAUAUAUAUAUAUAUAUAUAUAUUAUAUUUGUAUGUGGUUUUUAUUAAGAUCCAGAUCCAGAUCCAAACUUUUUCGGGUCUAAAAAUAAGAUCCAAAUCCGGAUCCAGAUCCACAAAAAUCGGGUUCGGAUAGAUCCAAUCGGGUCGGAACGGGUCGGGUAUCCAUCGGGUCGGGUAAAACUGCCAUCCCUACUCACUACUAUUGAAGUGAUAGUUUAUACUCCCUCCGUCUCAAUUUAUAAGUCCAGUUUGGAAAAAAAAAUUGUCCCAAAAUACUUGUCCCUCUCUUCUUUCAAUACAAAUUUAUCUACAUAUUAAUUGUGAUUUUUUUUGAAACUCAACAAUAUUCUCACUUAUCAAUGCACUAAUUAAUGAUACAUGAGAUAAGAUUCUAUCUAACUAACUUUUUUCUUAAUAUGUGUGUUUAUUCCAAAAUCGACUUAUAAAUUGAGACGGAGGGAGUAUUGAACUUCAUUUCAUGACAUUUUAUAACACUGGAAGUUGCUUCAUCACUUGUAUUGUGUACAAAUAAAAACACACAAAGCACUCAUAUUAAUCUGAGCUUAUACUGUGAUUAAUUUUGCAUUCAUCUUACUGAAUACAAUCUUAGUUUCAAUUUGCCAAAAGCCUCGAGGAACACAUCAAAUGGCUCAAUUCAGACCAAGUAUGCUAUGAAGAUUAAGACGACGCUGUCUGUAAAUAUUGUGCAACCAUGUAAACAUUCUGCCAGGACUGUUUCAAAUUGUUGUGUUUGCAAUAUAUGGGUAAAUCUGGGUAACUCAUAACUGUAAUGUCCAAGAUUUAAAUUACGACCUCUCCUAUUGCUACGUACAAUUAAAUAUGAGUUUCUGACUCAUAAACUGAAACAAGCUGCAAAACAGAAUUAUUUCCCAGUUACUUAAGCUUCUUCUUCUUCUACUUUAGUAGCAUAAAAAUCAAAUUGUUUGAUAUUACAAAAAUUCUGAAAAUUCUGUGUAUUGCAUUGAAAAUUUGUUUUCAACUACUUACCUUAUUGUACAACAUCACAUUAAACAAUCUAAAGUUACUAGGAUUCUAGGAAUAAAAGAAGACAAUGCAGAAAUAAGUGAAAGAAUUAAAUCGAGGUAGUCUCUAACACAUUGAGCUAAAUAUCCUUUCUGUACCAGUAGACUCCUUUGGUCUCGCCUUCAUCCUUCUCCACGUAAAUGCAUUCCUUCAUUUCUCUGUACAUGGCCUUAAGUAUUGGAGUUCCAUCAUACUGAUAAUAAUCGCCCAACACUGGCUUCAUGGCCUCUGUUGCUUCAAGUCCGUGGUAAUGUGGGAUCAUGGAGAAUAUGUGGUGACAGACAUGAGCAUUGCACACAUUGUGGAAUACCUUGUUCAAAAUUCCAUAAUCUCUGUCCACAGUGCAGAGAGCUCCCCUCAACCAAUCCCAUUCGGUUGAAUCGUAGUAAGGCACUGAGGGAUGAGUAUGGUUAAGGAUGGUGAUCAAUGUGAACCAUCCAUUGACAACAAGCAAUGGACCUCCAUAGACACAGAAAACCCAGACAAAUCCUUUGGCUAAUACUAGAUUGUACAGCCCAUAGAUAACAGCAAGAAUGGCAAGAUCAGACACAAUGAUCUGCUUGCGCUCACGUUCUGUGUAAAGAGGGCUGUGGGGAUCAUAAUGUGAAGUCCACCUCUCAUACUUGUGUCCAGAAACAUUGAACAUCAAAUAUAGAGGGAAACCUAUGAGAAGUGUGGUAACCCAGACAAGGACACGACCGGGUGGGUUGUUGAGAAUUUUGUAGUAGUUCCUGAUGUUGGACUUGAAUCUGGGAACGUAAACUUCAUCAUUCUCAAGCGACUGAGUGUUGGCGUGGUGACGUCUGUGGCUAAUUUUCCAAGAGAAAUAAGGGACCAUGAGAGAAGAGUGGACAAUAAGGCCAACAAGGUCAUUGAUCCAGCCAUAGUCACUGAAGGCAUCAUGAUCACACUCAUGGCCUACAACCCAAGCCCCGGUGAGGACACAGCCCUGUACAGCAAUGUAAACUGCCCAACCCAAGUAGUUGAUUGGAUGGGGUAAAUACUGGUCUAUGUAAUUUGUGGCAACAUAGUAAAGGGCAUAGGCCAUGAGGAGAUCUUGAAUAAGAUAUCGGAAAGAAGUGAUGAGUGAUUUUUCGAAGCAAUGAGCAGGAAUGGCUUUCUUGAGGUCACCUAUGGUGAAAGGGGGUUUCUCAUGAGGAGCACGUCGAAGUGCUUCUGUUUCAGUUUUUUUGCCUUUAGGAGGAUCCGACAUUCGCCCACCUGCACCCAUUGCCCCUCACAAAAGAAGAUGCAAAUGUUGCUACUCUUCAAGUCACUCUUGGUUUUUGUUGUGUGUUUAGCUGAAGUUGCUCUGUAUUUCCUUAGAACGGGCUCGCUUGUAGAUUUAUAGGAAUGUAUGAUAUCAACAUGUGCGUAGAUAGAAGUGUGGUGAAGCUUAAAGCGCCCGCCAGCCCGCCAGGCAAGGAAAAGUUUGAAUAAACAACUUUGAAUUUGUUAGUGUGUUGGAAUAAAAGAGUAGGAAAUUGCACUAGUUCAGUCGUUUUCAAUGUGUGUUUUAGAGAAGUAUGCCCACAUGAACUGAUUGAGUCGCUAUGUUUUCUCUACGUUUCAAGGUCUCCCUGGGCGGCUGUACUUUCAUAAAUUAUACUCCCUCCGUCCCUCGUGCUAGUUUACGUGCACUGUUUGCACGCAUUUCGAAACUCUUAUAAAGUAUUGUAUUAUAAUUUUUUUUGAAUAAAAGUUUAAACAUCAAACUUUUAUUCAGAGAAAUAAAAAUUAAAAAAUAUAUUAUGAAACUAUACUUUAAAUGAGUGUGGAAAAACGUGCCAAAAAAUAACGUAAAGAAAAUGAGGGGACAGAGCGAGUACUCUUUUAACAUGCAUACUUUUUGUUUUUUUCCCUGAUUUUAUUCGUUUAGUUAUUACAAUAACAGAUACGGUAGCUGACGUUAGCCUAGAAAAUCAUACAUAUCAGAACUGCAAGCAUAUAAUUUGAACUGAUAACGUUUCACUAAUUUAACAUUCAGAACCAGCAGCUUUUUCAUUUUGAUCGAUAGUAGUUUAUGCAUUCGAGUUGAAGAUUGGAAAAUACAAACAAUAGAGAAAUGAUUUUUGAGAGCAACACAAACUUCUGCAUAACAAGUCACUUUCACAAGGAAACUUACAAUGACUCCCCACAAGCUAGACCAAGUGCUUUAAAAAGAGACGAGGCUGAAUUCAAAUCUCAUUUGCAGCUCCUCGUUGUUCACUGGACUGAAGUCGAGUUGUUAACAGUACGUUUUAACUUAUCAGAUACCUAAAUGAUAAGGGGUGAAAUAGAGAUAUACCGUUAAUCAGUAAAAUAUAGCACAGCUAGUUUUUCAAAAGGAACAAUGUUUUGGUUAAGAAACAGAAUCAGAAAAUCCUAUCGUAAAGGCUGAUGCAUUAAUAUGUUGUUAUGUUCAUGCAAAAUAUUACCUUGCUCCUUACAACUAAAAAAAGGAGCUGUCAGACAGACUUCUUGGAUCCAACUGCUGGCGACGAGCUGGCUGUUUAAAACUUCCCUGGCCAUUGAGAGCCACGGACUAGGACCCAUAAUAAAAUCCUUAUUUCCUCUGUUCUUUUCAGUUUAAAAGUUUUUCAUAUCAUAUAGGCAGUUUCGGGCAAUUUAUCAUAGAGGAAGACGCUGCUGUUUACAACGCAUUGAUAAAGAGCGCGGAGCACCCUGUAUGUUUGAGGAGUCUCUGAUUAGGCUUAAAAAGAUUAUUUUUUGUACCAAAGAACUCAUGGUUCAAUGAUAUUUUCCUCGAUCUACUUGCAGGAUAUUGAGGUACCAUUUGAAAGAAAUUAGUUCGUAUGUUAUUCGGCAAUCUCCACAAAGACACAAAAUAUUCAUUUUUACCCUUAAAAUUAAUUUAAACUUGCAUUUUUUUAAUUUGUCUACUAAUUUCAUUCACCAGAACACACUGAUUAGGCAAAAGAUAGCUGAAUCCGGACCAAUUUUUUUUCAUCAAGAUUUAUAUAAAGUUGUCAGUAGCCAAUAAAAAUGAGUGACCUGUGAUCAACUAAAUUAUCUAAAGCUGUCGAGCUGUGAUAUCUUGAUGAUUUCUGGGUCAUCGUAACAUAUCAAAUAAAACGCCUCUCCUCUCUUACGAGUACAAAUCUUGUUUGGUUAUGUUUUUCCCAGACCCAGACUGAGAACUCUGUACUUGAAGAUACCUUUUCUGGUAAAGAAAUGGCAAGUCCCACCGCCCUGAAUCCGUACUCAUCAGCAAAAGGGAACUGAUUCAACAUCGGGUGGUAUGCAGAUAUCAAGACUACUGCAGACAAUUAGCUAGCUUCAUUUACCUGAAUAACCUCAUUCGUUUCAAGUCUUAAACUUGAAACUGAUGACUAAAUAUAUGCCAUUUUUAUAUGAAAUUAUAUUCUUUUGCUCGGCCAUUAAAUUAAACCAAAAGGACAGUCAACAUUAAGAAGGGAGAAUUUAAGCACGACUGCGAAGUGCAUAUAAUCAGAAAGGAAAGUUACUCCUGAUCUUGAACAGAUGAAAGGUUAUAUAUAACUCUUUAUGUAAUUGUAACACAUUUGACCCUAACGAUCUAAAGUUGGCAGGAUCAAUGGAAGGCAAUGCGAAGACAAGUGAAAGAAUAAGAUUCUUGUAAUACCAAGCACUUAAAACUAAAUAUCCUUUUUGUACCAGUAGACUCCUUUGGUCUCGCCUUCAUCUUUCUCCACGUAAAUGCAUUCCUUCAUUUCUCUGUACAUUGCCUUGAGAAUCGGAGUUCCAUCAUACUGAUAAUAUUCACCCAAUACAGGCUUCAUGGCCUCUGUGGCUUCGAGUCCGUGGUAAUGUGGGAUCAUGGAGAAUAUGUGGUGACACACAUGAGCAUUGCACACAUUGUGGAAUACCUUGUUCAAAAUUCCAUAAUCUCUGUCCACAGUGCAGAGAGCUCCCCUCAACCAAUCCCAUUCGGUUGAAUCAUAGUAAGGCACAGAGGGAUGAGUGUGGUUGAGGAUGGUGAUCAAUGUGAACCAUCCGUUGACAACGAGCAACGGACCUCCAUAAACACAGAAAACCCAGACAAAUCCUUUGGCUAAUACUAGAUUGUACAGCCCAUAGAUAACAGCAAGAAUGGCAAGAUCAGACACAAUGAUCUGCUUGCGCUCACGUUCUGUGUAAAGAGGGCUAUGGGGAUCAUAGUGUGAAGUCCACCUCUCAUACUUGUGUCCCGAAACAUUGAACAUCAAGUAUAUUGGGAAGCCUAUGAGGAGUGUGAUAAGCCAGACGAGGACACGGCCUGGUGGAUUGUUGAGAAUUUUGUAGUAGUUCCGGAUGUUGGACUUGAAUCUAGGGACAUACACCUCAUCAUUUUCAAGGGAUUGAGUAUUGGCAUGGUGACGACGGUGACUAAUUUUCCAAGAGAAGUAUGGCACCAAGAGAGAAGAAUGGACAACAAGGCCAACGAGAUCAUUAAUCCAAUUAUAAUUGCUGAAUGCAUCAUGAUCACAUUCAUGACCCACAACCCAGGCCCCUGUUAACACACAGCCUUGAACAGCAAUAUAAGCUGCCCAACCCAAGUAGUUGAUUGGAUAAGGAAGAUAUUGGUCGAUGUAAUUAGUAGCGACAUAGUAGAGGGCAUAGGCCAUCAGAAGAUCCUGAAUGAGAUAUCGAAAAGAAGUGACUAAAGAUUUUUCAAAGCAAUGGGCAGGAAUGGCUUUCUUGAGGUCACCAAUGGUGAAAGGAGGUUUCUCAUGAGGAGCACGUCGAAGUGCCUCUGUUUCAGUUUUUUUGACACUAGAGGGAGCAGACAUACGCCCACCUGCACCCAUUUUUUCUUUCGAAGAAUAUGCAAAUGCUCUUCUUCCUCUCCUUCUGGUGUGUUUUUGCUCUGAAGUUCCUAAGGUUCCAACACAGAUAUUUAUAAAGAUAUCGCAGUUGGAGUCACAGGCUACUUACUUAACAAUGCUGACUCGUGCGUGAAGUUGCAACAUAAUAAUUUGUAACAUGUGCAUGAAUAGAAUGUCUAGACAGAUAAAACUAGUGAAAAAAGCUUAAAACGCCCGCCAGGCGCCAGCCAUUAGAGGAGUUUCAGUAAAAUACUUAAAACUAGUUCGAAAUCAUUGAUGCAAAUGGCGUGCUGAAGUAGAGUGUGCCUUUAGUGUAGGACACAACGAGCAUAUUUGUUUUGCUAUUUUCUAAUUUUCGAGGUCCUAAUUGGCGGCUGUAUGAUUAACUGAUUAAGUAUGUAAGAUGGCUCCGGAUCCAUGACAUACAUAAGAUGAAGCAUAGUAUUAGCGGGUUUUUUUCCGCUAAAUGACAUUAAUUAACACUAGAUUUUUGAUGAAAAUGCAAGGGACUACUGUAUCUUUCGGCGGAAAAAUUACUCAUUCUAUGAUUUUUACCGUCCAGCGUUUUUUUUCCCGCUGAACAUAUGUUGCUUAUAAUUUGUGGACCAUUACCAUGUGAGCUAUAUUGAAGCACAUGUAUAUCUGUUUGCUUGUUUGCCUUUUUGGUUUUCCUGAUAUCCUGUUCUGCAAUUCAUAGCAUUCAUGCACCUAAAGAAACUAAAAUGAGUUCAAAAAUGAGCUGUAUAACAUCUUAAUCUUGUAAGUUGUAAAGGAUGAGCUGAAGAUCUCCACAAACAUCAGUCAGGAAACGUAAAAUCAUCACCGAAAACAACACGACGAAUUCGGAGUACUGGCAAGGAAAACAAACCUUCAUACAGCUGCCACUGGGGACUCGAAAGGUAUAUGUGUUUGCAUGAUUGAACAAAUAUAAGAGCAAAGCAGCAGCCCAUUCAUGACUUGAGGAUUUGGGUCAACACUAAUAGCACACUACUAGCUGCAAAAAUCACACCAACCUUAAAUAAAAUAUCAUUUGCGUUUCCUAUUUCUUUCCACAUACACAUAAAUUAUGACAAAGUAGAAUGCAGUGCUAGGAGUAUAAUAUGUUAUAGCCUAAAUGCAUGCAACAAAGUCCAGACAGCAACUCCAGUGGCGGGCGCUUCAACAUGCUUAUAAAUCAACACAGUUUUGAGGAGUAAUAGCACAAACUCGACAAACACCAGAAGGCAAUAGGAAGAGAGCACAAGAGGCCUUCCCCAAGGAUCUCUUUCAGGUUCUUCUUUCUUUGUUUCUUACUCGAAUCGAUAGAAACAGAAUCACAUUUUGCAGGGCAGCAUGUACUAAAUUGUAUUACAUUUGUUUUUAUUGCAGACAGCGAGGAGACGAAAAAUGGGUGCUGGUGGACGUAUGUCCGCUCCUACUGGAAAGAAAACUGAAGCAGAAGCACUCCGACGUGCUCCUCAUGAGAAACCUCCAUUCACUAUCGGAGACCUGAAAAAGGCUAUUCCUGCCCAUUGCUUUGAAAAAUCAGUCAUCACUUCUUUCCGUUACCUCAUCCAGGAUCUCAUCAUGGCCUAUGCCCUCUACUAUGUUGCCACAAACUAUAUAGACCAGUACUUACCCCAUCCUCUUAACUACUUGGGUUGGGCAGCUUACAUUGCUGUUCAGGGCUGUGUCUUGACCGGGGCUUGGGUUGUAGGCCAUGAAUGUGAUCAUGAUGCCUUCAGUGAUUAUGGUUGGGUCAAUGACCUUGUUGGCCUUGUUGUCCAUUCUUCUCUUCUGGUCCCUUACUUCUCUUGGAAAAUUAGCCACCGUCGUCAUCAUGCCAACACUCAGUCCCUUGAGAAUGAUGAGGUUUAUGUCCCAAGAUUCAAAUCCAACAUCAGGAACUACUACAAAAUCAUGAACAACCCACCCGGUCGUGUCCUUGUCUGGCUUAUCACACUCCUCAUAGGCUUCCCUUUAUACUUGAUGUUCAACGUCUCUGGACACAAGUAUGAGAGGUGGACUUCACACUACGAUCCCCACAGCCCUCUUUACACUGAACGCGAGCGCAAGCAGAUCAUUGUUUCUGAUGUUGCAAUCCUUGCUGUUAUCUAUGGCUUAUACAAUCUAGUACUAGCCAAGGGAUUUGUCUGGGUUUUCUGUGUUUAUGGAGGUCCAUUGCUCGUCGUUAAUGGAUGGUUCACAUUGAUCACCAUCCUCAACCAUACUCAUCCUUCUUUGCCUUACUAUGAUUCAACCGAAUGGGAUUGGUUGAGAGGAGCUCUUUGCACUGUGGACAGAGAUUAUGGAAUUUUGAACAAGGUGUUCCACAAUGUCUGUAAUGCUCAUGUUUGUCACCAUAUCUUCUCCAUGAUCCCACAUUACCAUGGACUCGAAGCAACCGAGGCAAUGAAGCCAGUACUGGGAAACUAUUAUCAGUAUGAUGGGACUCCAAUUCUCAAGGCAAUGUACAGAGAAAUGAAGGAAUGCAUUUAUGUCCAAAAGGAUGAAGGUGAGACCAAAGGAGUCUACUGGUACAGAAAGGAAUUUUAGGUCGUUGAGCCUUAUUAUCUAGUGGAAAGAAUAUCUCAUUACCUAUCAUUGCAUUUUCUUCUGUAAUUUUAAAUUAUUGCAAGUCAAUGCAUUAGGUUAAGAAGAUAAAGAGUUAACCAGUAACUCUAUGUAAUAAAAAGAAUUUCUAAUUCCAUUUUGGUUGUUCAAGAAUUUCUUAGCUAGCUAGUAUAUGCCUUUUUGCUUCUACAAUUUUCAGACUCUAAACUUCAUUGUUCCUGAUGUUUACUAGAAAUGUAAAGAUGAAAGAGUGCACAGAAAUUACAAACAGGACGCGUUACCAGGGAAAAAUAAAAGUCACGUUAUCCGGGGAACAAACAGUACAAAAUGAAAACACUGCAGCCAUAAGUAUCAAAUAUAACAGAAGAACAUAAACUUCAAGUGUUAACUACCAUAAUCUAAAAUCAUCACUAUUGUUGUAUAACUGAAUAAUCUUUACUCUAUAAACCCUUAAGGUGAACAUUUGAUCAAGCCAGAAUUUGAAAAAGUCCCAGGAAUUCUGCUCAAAUACUUGUGAUUCACAGAACUUUCACUUCGAGCUGAUGAAUUCAUACCCAGACCAGAGGUUUUGAAGCGAAAACCAGGUGGAACAUAAUAGCAGCCCCGUAAAAAAGGAUGCUGAAGAGCCUCCAAAGCAGUAGGCCUUUUGCACGGAUCCCAGGAGCAAAGCGAUUGAAUAAGGCCAACCACAUCCUUGCUUGCAGAUGGCAUCAGCUGAGACAGAGAAACACCAGAAUGCUGAGGAAACUGAUAACUUAUAUCAUCUGCAAGUUCAAUCCCAUAAGCCCAAUCAACUUCAGUUGGAGUCCCUAAAACACUGCAUAUUCUGUACAUUUGAUGCUGUUGAUUUACCCCAGCAAAGAGUGGGCAGCUAGUCAGCAAUUCAGCCAUAAUUGCACCCAUUGCCCACAUAUCAACCGCUGGACCAUAAAUUGGCGCAGCAAGCAGAAUUUCAGGUGCUCUGUACCAUCUUGUUGCAACAUACUCAGAAUAAGGAGGCGAAGAAUUAAUCUCGCGAGCAAGUCCCAGAUCAGCAAUCUUCAUAAUAUCUCCAUUCACUAGCAAAUUCUCAGGCUUAAGAUCCCUAUGAAAAUACCCUCUUUCGUGCAUGUAAGCAAGACCUUGAAACACUUGAAAGCACCAGUUUCUGAUUUCAGUUUCUGAGAAGGGCUUUGUCCUGGUACUCAUAAACUGGUAAAGAUUGCAGUCCAUGUAUUCAAAAACAAAGAACAAGAAGUUAUUUUCUCCGAUUAUUUCCUUGAGCUUCACAAUAUUUGCAUGGCGCAUCUUCUUGAGAGACUUGACUUCUCUCAAAUUCAGACAUUCUUCCCACGAGUGAAACUCCUUGUUCAAUCUCUUAAGAGCCACAACUUCACCACUCUGUGUAUUCAUAGCUUUGAACACACUUCCAAAAGAUCCACUCCCAACUUCCUUGAUAAUCUUAUACUUCUCCAUUAUUCUGACUUAUAUUCAACGUCACAACAAAAAACAGGGUACCCCCGAAAAUUCAAGAAUACUCACGCACUAAGUCUCUACCACGAAUAUGCCAUUGCCCUCGGAAGGAUUUCGAUGAAGAUAUGUUAUGUGAUUGUACGAUCAAAUAUAUGAUUGAUAAGACGGCAAAAUAUUUUCGAAGUAGGCUGCAUCACAAUUUAUGGGCUGGGAUGUUUUUUCGAAGUAGGUUGAAGAUGAAAGAAUGAGAAGACGAGAGAAGAGUGCUGAGAUGUGUAUAUAUAGGAGCAGAGAUUUCCGAAGGGAAGUAGGAUCUUUAAGUCGUGAAUUACUAGGUUUAAGGAUCUUACUUGGGGCUAACACAAUAUCUACCAACGGAAGCUUCCUUCUUAGUACUAGGAUGCUCUGUAAAAGAGUUACUAAUUGGUAUUCGUGGCGGUGCUUUUACUCUUUCACUGAGUUUCUUUAAACUCAAAUGAGCUUCCUUGAACUUGAACACAUUUUCAGCCCUGACAAAAAAAAUUCAUCUUCAACCUCUUCCUUGUUACCGAAUACUAAGGGUGUAAUCGAGCCGACUCGAGUCGAAACCGUCAAGGCUUGAGUUUGAUUGGAAUGUUCGGGUUCAGACUGGAGCUGCUCGAACUUUUAAUUUCAAGAUCAAAACUCGGCUCACAAAAAGUUCGAUAAACUGGAGUUCGGCUCGAACCUAUUUUUUCAAAUAUUGACAAAUACUCAAAAUAUGAUUAGUCCGGCUCGAUUGAAUAUAUUUAAUAUAAAUAAAAUAUUAAAUACUUACAUAAAAAUAUAUUUAUAGUUUAAAAAUAAUAGGAGCUUGAUAAGGCUUGCGAACUUUAUAUGGAGAGUAAUUUGAAACUCGGUUUGAGUAUGAUUAGAAAGUUCGAGCUCUAGUUUGAUCAAGUCUUUAGUUUAGAUCGAAACGAGGCUAGUAAAAAAUUUGAUGACUCGAGUUUGGCUCGAAAAUUUGAACCUAUUUUAUUUAACAAAAACUUGAAAUAUGAUCAGCCCGUCUCGAUUAAAUAUAUUCGAUAUAAAUAAAAUAUCAAAUAUUUAUAUAAAAAUAUAUUCAUAAUUUAAAAAUAAUAAAGGCUUGAUGAGAUUGGAACUUUACAAGCAGAGUAAUUUGAAGCUCGAGCUCGGUUUGAUUAUUUACGUGCCGAAUUCGAAUUUUUUACGAGUCAAACUUUAGUAACUCACGAACUGCUACAUUCAUAUUUUAUCAAAAUUUUAGUUUCUAUCUCUCCCCCUCUCUCUCUCCCACACACACGCACACUAUAACACUCUCUCCACACACACACAAACACUCUAACACAAAUCCUGCAAAACCUUACUUCACGCCCGGCGAGUGAAAAAUCGAAUCAGUUAGGUCUCGGUUAUUAUCGUCAACAACACUGCAUCAAAUCGACCAGAAAUGCGAGGUGAUCAUUCAUAUGGUCCAUCUGAUGAGACAAUAUCCUUACAACGUACUGACAGGUGUUAUCUUUCCUAGAACAUAAAAUUACAUGAUUAUGAUUAUGUGAUUAUUUUUUAUUUACAAUAUAUAUCAUUGUUGUAUGGUUCAUAUUUCAUUUUUCUCACGAUUAGGUAUAAGUGUGUGUUUGAAUCUAUUAUGUAUGAGUUGUUUCGUAUCAUAUUUCGUCAUUUUUAUAUAUUGUUUAGUUAGAUUUUAUUUGUUUUGUAUCCUCUUCUUCGGUACUUAGUUUCGCUAGUGUAGAUGUUGGCGAUGAAGGUGGUAUAGCGGUGUAUUAAUUAGUGCGUAUAGAUCAUUCUGAUUGACUAAUGUUAUUGCAUGAUUUUGUUUUAGUUUUGUAAUUUUGGAUAUUGUUUGUUGUUAAUAAUAGUAAUUGUAGACCUUAAUAUUAGUUGUUUUUUGAAUGACAAGUUGACAUUCUUUAAAUGUUCUUAUCUUUGAAAUUUGAAUCUCCAUGUUUAAUUUGAAUUUUUGUGUUUCGAUUAGAAGAUAAUUUGAUAAGAUAAUUGUUGUAUUUUAAUUUGAUAAUUACUGAUUAUUGUACCUGAAUUCCAUAAUUCAUGGGGGCCAUAUAUGAUGGCUUUAUUGUGCCUUAAUGAGGUAUUAUUGUGCCAUUAAGGGUUGAUUUGUUGUUUGGUGUAUACCAAUAAUUAGCUAAAAUCUUGAUACUUUUGUUUGUCAAGAUUUUUAAUAUUUUUGAGUAGAUAUAUUUUAGAUCUUUUUUCAAUUUUCAAUUAUAUUUUUCUAUUUAUAUUUUAAUUUUUUUUAAAUUAAUAGUCAGCUAUUUUGUUCGGAUUAAAAUUUUAUUAUCUAUCUAACCAAAGAGAUCUCACUAUCUCUUUGGUGUAGAUUUUUUUAAUGAUUUGUUUUAUAUUAGUUUUUUAUAUUACUUUCCUUAUUCUUUAAAAUAUUAUAUUAUAUUCAUAUCUUUUAAUGAGUUUAUUGACUCUUUUCGUCUUUCGUUUUAUAUAGUUUUAUUAUUUUAUUGUCUGUAUGAACUUAUUAUGGUUUUAUUUGUAUUGUAUUUUUCAGGGUACGCGAGAUGGAAGAAAGAACGAUAGCGGGAUCAUUUAUGGGUGUUUUCUUAUCGAACAUUAGAGCUUUAUUGUUUAAGCGUCCCCGGUCAUCUCUGCAUAUCCGAGGGUUAGAUGGUAAACUUUCUUGAACGAAAGGAACUCCUGACAGCGGCUAUUGUAUUCUGAUACGAUUCAUCAUACGUGAAAGUAUCUUGUGACAAAAAAAAAACUCACGAACUGCUUGACUCAUUUACGCUCCAAAAGAAAACCAAUUUUUCAAAUUGUAAUUACUUGUUUUGCAGUAAAAAUAUAAUUUAUAUUAAUAAACUUGAACUCCAUGUAAGGAUCCCAAACUCGCAGAUAUAACCUUCUCUCUCCUGAAUAUAAUCAUUCGCUAGCACUUAUCAGGCAUCAGCCAUAAGUUCAUAUUAGCAGCAUAUUAUCUAUUGAGUGAAUUUCUCCACUCAGUUUGUGCAUAUAAUUACAAGUCCCUCGCCCUUAAUUUAAUCAUCAGAAAUUUUGUCAAAGCCUUUGAUGUAAAUCCUUACAUCCAUAAUGUAGCUCAAUUCAAAUACACGAAUAUGACUGAAAAGUAUCAAUGACUGAAAUAGGCUAUCCAGGUUUUCGUGAUUCAUAAGCCAUUUCCAAUACAGCAAGAUGCAAAUCACCAGAAGUCUAGUCUUAAUUCAUUUCCCUAAUUAAGCUGACAGAAAACUCGGAUAGUCAUACCCAAAACAUACUCUCAAGCCAAUUAUUCGGAUAACUAUAAGCUAAUUCACAUGAGUGUAUGUUUUAUGUUAGUAAAUCAGUAAUGUCAAGCUCAAAGAGAUGCCAAAAAGGUAUCAGCCACACAAGGAUCAAACACUGAAGCUGCAUUACGUCUACCCAACUAAUAACAAAGCGUCAAAGCCAAAACAGUUUGCAAAUGAAGUUGUAGUUAUUUAUAUUUCCGUUAUUACUAUUGUGUAUGUGCAGGUGAGAUUUAAAAUGUGAUUAAAUCUUUUAAAAGCAUAACUGAUUUACUGUUGAUGAAGAACAUAUAAUUCACCACAACUUUCAGCAAGAGCACUUUUCACUCACAAUAAAACCAUUUGAUUACACAGCACAGUCAUUUAAAAACACAAGUGUACAAUAUGUUUGCAUUACAAAAUCAGUAUACAGAGUUAAUGCAUUAGGUUAAGAUAAAGAGUUACCAAUCAUUGCAGACAAAACAGAAAAGCCUUUCAUUACCUAUCAUUGCAUUAUCUUCUGUAAUUUUAAAUUAUCUGCAAGUUAAUGCAUUAGGUUCAGAUAAAGAGUUAACCAGUCACUCUAUGUUAUAAAAGUAAUUACUAAUUCCAUUUGGGUUGUUCAAGAAUUUCCUAACUUGCUAGUAUAGGUUUCCUGGUUUCUAUGAUUUUCUGACUCUCAUAUUCAUAGUUACUGAUGUUUACUGGAAAAGUAAAGAUGAAUAAGUGCACAGAAAUUACAAACAGGGCGCAUUAUCAGGGAAACUAAAAACUAAAAGACAGUCGCCUUAUGUGGGAAACUAAAAGACCAUUGCAUUAUCUGGGAAAGUUAAAGAUGGUUCAAGUUAUCAGGGAAACAAAGAGUAGAAGAAAGAAACUAAUGCAGCCAUAAACGAAAAAAUAUAGUAUAACAUAAACUUCCAGUGUUAACUACAUAAUCUAAAAUCAUCACUAUUGUUGUAAAACUGAAUAACCUUUACUCUUUACACCCUUAAGGUGCACACUUGAUCGAUCCAGAAUUUGACAAAGCCCCAGGAAAUCUGCUCAAAUACUUGUGCUUCACAGAACCUUCACUUCGAGCAGAUGAAUUCGUACCCGGACCAGAGGUUUUGAAGCGAAAACCAGGUGGAACAUAAUAGCAGCUCCGGAAAAAAGGAUGCUGAAGAGCCUCCAAAGCAGUAGGCCUUUUGCACGGAUCCCAGGAGCAAAGCGAUUGAAUAAGGCCAACCACAUCCUUGCUUGCAGAUGGCAUCAGCAGAGACAGAGAAACACCAGAAUGCUGAGGAAACUGAUAGCUUAUAUCAUCUGCUAGUUCAAUCCCAUAAGCCCAAUCAACUUCAGUUGGAGUUCCUAAAACACUGCAUAUUCUGUACAUCUGAUCUUGCUGAUUUACCCCAGCAAAAAGUGGGCAGCUAGUCAAUAAUUCAGCCAUAAUUGCACCCAUAGCCCACAUAUCAACCGCUGGACCAUAAAUUGGCGCCGCAAGCAGAAUUUCAGGUGCUCUGUACCAUCUUGUUGCAACAUACUCAGAAUAAGGAGGCGAACAAUUAAUCUCGCGAGCAAGUCCCAGAUCAGCAAUCUUUAUAAUAUCUCCACUCACUAGCAAAUUCUCAGGCUUAAGAUCCCUAUGAAAAUACCCUCUUUCGUGCAUGUAAGCAAGACCUUGAAACACUUGAAAGCACCAGUUUCUGACGUCCGUUUCUGAGAAGGGCUUUGUUCUGGUACUCAUAAGCUGGUAAAGAUUGCACUCCAUGUAUUCAAAGACAAAGAACAAGAAGUUAUUUUCUCCGAUAAUUUCCUUGAGCUUCACAAUAUUUGCAUGGUGCAUCUUCUUGAGAGACUUGACUUCUCUCAAAUUCAGACAUUCUUCCCACGAGUGAAACUCCUUGUUCAAUCUCUUAAUAGCCACAACUUCACCACUCUGUGUGUUCAUAGCUUUGAAAACACUUCCAAAAGAUCCACUCCCAACUUCCUUAAUAAUCUUAUACUUCUCCAUUGUUCUGACUUAUAUUCAACGCCACAACAAAAAACAGGGUACGGCGAAAUUUCAAGAAUACUCACGCACUCAAGUCUUUACCACGACCCGAAACAAAUUGACAAAUUGUCUUCGAAUAUGCCAUGCCCUCGGGAGGAUUUCGAUGAAGAUAUUAUGUGAUUGUACGAUCAAAUAUAUGAUUGAUAAAACGGCAAAAUAUUUUCGAAGUAGGCUGCAUCACAAUUAAUGGGAUGGGAUGUUUUUUCGAGUUUUUGAGAAGCUCUGACUGGUUGAUGAUAAAAGAAUAAGAAGACGAGAGAAGACAGCUGAGAUGUGUCUAUAUAGGAGCAGAGAUUUCCGAAGGGAAGUAGGAUCUUUAAGUCGUGAAUAGAUACUAGGUUUAAGGAUCUUACUUGGGGCUAACACAAUAUCUACCAACGGAAGCUUCCUUCUUAGUACUAGGAUGCUCUGUAAAAGAGUUACUAAUUGGUAUUCGUGGCGGUGCUUUUACUCUUUCACUGAGUUUCUUUAAACUCAAAUGAGCUUCCUUGAACUUAAACACAUUAUCAGCACUGACAAAAAAAAUUCAUCUUCAACCUCUUCCUUGUUACCGAAUACUAAGGGUGUAAUCGAGCCGACUCGAUUCGAAACCGUCAAGGCUUGAGUUUGAUUGGAAAGUUCGGGUUCAGACUGGAGCUGCUCGAACUUUUAAUUUCAAGAUCAAAACUCGGCUCACAAAAAGUUCGAUAAACUGGAGUUCGGCUCGAACCUAUUUUUUCAAAUAUUGACAAAUACUCAAAAUAUGAUUAGUCCGGCUCGAUUGAAUAUAUUUAAUAUAAAUAAAAUAUUAAAUACUUACAUAAAAAUAUAUUUAUAGUUUAAAAAUAAUAGGAGCUUGAUAAGGCUUGCGAACUUUAUAUGGAGAGUAAUUUGAAACUCGAGCUCGAUUCGGUAAUGAAUUCGAAAAACUCGAGUUCAGCUUGAUUAUUAACAAGCCGAAAUUCGAAUAUUUUACUAUCCAAAUUUGAGUAACUCAUGAUCUGUUUGACUCAUUUACACCGCAACCGAAUACCAAUUUUGCAAAUUUUAAUUACUUAUUUCUGCAAUAAAAAUAUAAUUUAUAUAAAUAAACUCCAUGUAAGGAUCCCAGACAGGCAGAUAUAACCUUAUCUCUUUCCUGAAUAGAGUCAUUCGCAAGCACUUAUCAGGCAUUAGCCAUAAGUUCAUAUUAGCAGCAUAUUAUCUAUUGACUGAAUAUCCAGACUCAGUUUGUGCAUAUAAUUACAAGUUUUUGUCAAACCCUAUCAUGUAAAACCUUACAUUCAUACUGUAGCUCAAUCCAAAUACACGAAUAUGACUGAAAUAUAUCCAGGUUUUCGUGAUUCAUAAGCCAUUCCCAAUACAGCAAGAUGCAAAUCACCAGAAGUCUAGUCUAAUUCAUGUCCCUAAUUAGGCAGACAGAAAACUGAGAUAGUCAUACCAAAAGCAUUCCCCCAAGCCAAUUAUUCUGAUAAUUGUAAGCGAAUUGGCCACUAAAAUUCACAUAAGUGUAUGUUAUAUGUUAGUACAUCAGUAAUACUCAAGCUCAACAAGAUGUCAGAAAGGAUAUAGGCACACAAGGAUCUAACACUCAAGCUGCAUUACAUCUCCCCAACUAAAAACACAGCGUCGAAGCCAAACUAGUUUGCAAAUGAAGUUGUAGUUAUUUACAUUCUGUUAUUACUAUUGUGUAUGUGCAGGUGAGAUUUAAAAUGUGAUUAUAUAGGAUCUUUAAAAAGCAUAACUGAUUGAAUGUCAAUGAAGAACAUAUAUUUCACUACAAUUUUAAGCAGAGCACUUUUCACUCACAAUAAAACCAUUUGAUUACAUAGCACGGUCAUUUAAAAACAUGAAUUCAAUGAACAAUAUGUUGUGCAUUACCAAAUCAGUAUACAAAUUUAAUGCAUUAGGUUAAGAUAAAGAGUUACCUAUCAUGACCUAUCGUUGCAGACAAAACAGAAGAGCCUUUCGUUACCUAUCAUUGCAUCAUCUUCUGUAAUUCUAAAAUUAUCUGCAAGUUAAUGUAUUAGGUUAAGAUAAAGAGUUAACCAGUAACUCUAUGUUAUAUAAGGAAUCACACUACUAGAAAUCUGCUAAUACUCUAUGUUAUAAAAUGGAAUUAGUGAUCACUAAUUCCAUUUUGGGUUGUUCAAGAAUUUCUUAACUCACUAGUAUAGGUUUCCUGUUUAUAUAAUUUUCUGAUUCUAAUCUUCAUAGUUACUGAUGUUUACUGGAAAAGUAAAGAUGAAUAAGUGCACAAAAAUUACAAACGGAGCGUAUUAUCAGAGAAACUAAAAACUAAAAGACAGUCGCGUUAUGUGGGAUACUAAGACCGUUGCAUUAUCAGGGAAAGUUAAAAAUGGUUCAAGUUAUCAGGGAAACAAAAAGUAGAAGAAAGAAGUUAAUGCAGCCAUAAACGAAAAAAUAUAGCAUAACAUAAACUUCCAGUGUUAACUACAUAAUCUAAAAUCAUCACUAUUGUAACGUAGAACUGAAUAAUCUUUACUCUUUACACCCUUAAGGUGCACAUCUGAUCGGGCCAGAAUUUGAAAAAGUCCCAGGAAUUCUGCUCAAAUACUUGUGCUUCACAGAACCUUCACUUCGAGCAGAUAAAUUCAUACCCAGACCAGAGGUUUUGAAGCGAAAACCAGGUGGAACAUAAUAGCAGCUCCGUAAAAAAGGAUGCUGAAGAGCCUCCAAAGCAGUAGGCCUUUUGCACGGAUCCCAGGAGCAAAGCGAUUGAAUAAGGCCAACCACAUCUUUGCUUGCAGAUGGCAUCAGCUGAGACAGAGAUACACCAGAAUGCUGAGGAAACUGAUAGCUUAUAUCAUCUGCUAGUUCCAUCCCAUAAGCCCAAUCAACUUCAGUUGGAGUCCCUAAAACACUGCAUAUUCUGUACAUCUGAUCUUGUUGAUUCACCCCAGCAAAAAGAGGGCAGUUGGUCAGCAAUUCAGCCAUAAUUGCACCCAUUGCCCACAUAUCAACCGCUGGACCAUAAAUUGGCGCUGCAAGCAGAAUUUCAGGUGCUCUGUACCAUCUCGUUGCAACAUACUCAGAAUAAGGAGGCGAACAAUUAAUCUCGCGAGCAAGUCCCAGAUCAGCAAUCUUUAUGAUAUCACCACUCACUAGCAAAUUCUCAGGCUUAAGAUCCCUAUGAAAAUACCCUCUUUCGUGCAUGUAAGCAAGACCUUGAAACACUUGAAAGCACCAGUUUCUGACGUCAGUUUCUGAGAAGGGCUUUGUUCUGGUACUCAUAACCUGGUAAAGAUUACACUCCAUGUAUUCAAAGACAAAGAACAAGAAGUUAUUUUCUCCGAUAAUUUCCUUAAGCUUCACAAUAUUUGCAUGGUGCAUCUUCUUGAGAGACUUGACUUCUCUCAAAUUCAGACAGUCUUCCCACGAGUCAAACUCCUUGUUCAAUCUCUUAAUUGCCACAACUUCACCACUCUGCGUAUUCAUAGCUUUGAACACACUUCCAAACGAUCCACUCCCAACUUCCUUAAUAAUCUUAUACUUCUCCAUUAUCCUGACUUAUAUUCACCGCGAGUCCGCGACAACAAAAAACAGGGUACGGUCUCACGCAAAAAUUCAAGAACACUCACGCACUCGUAUCUCUACCACAGCCCGAAACAAAUUGUCUCGGAAUAUGCCAUUGUCCUCAGGAGGAUUUGGAUGACUAUAUGUUAUGUGAUCGUACGAUCAAAUAUAUGAUUGAUAAAAGCGCAACAUAUUUUCGAAGUGGGCUGCAUCACGAAUAAUGGGAUGGGAUGGUUUUUCGAGUUUUUCGAGAAGCUCUGAGUGAAUGAAGAUGAAAGAAUGAGAAGACGAGAGGAGGCUGCUAAGAUACUCCUAUGUAUAUAUAGGGGCAGAGAUUUCCGAAGGGAGGUAGGAUUUUAAGUCGCUGAUAGAUACGAGGUUUAAGGAUCUUACUUGGGGCUAAAGUAAUAUCUACCAAAGGAAGCGUCCUGCCUAUUUUCCAAAUUUUAUUUAUCUGUUUUUACAAUAAAAAUAAUAUAUUAGUAUACUUAUCCAGAUCAGAGAUAUAAUAUAUCUACAUUAUUAUUAAUUAAUCUCUUAUUAUAUUCUAAUAAAAUUUAUAAAUAAUAGAAUUGAAAAUUUCAAAAUUGAACAAUGAAAGUGCGAAAAAUACAAAAAAAAGUUGCAAUAUAGUUUGUUCUUUGUUUUUAGAAUUAUGUUUUUUCAAUAUUCCAAUUUGAACGGAAUCCUGAUAGAAGAAAAAGUUCACGAGAAUAAUAGAACAUAUGAAAAAUAUUAAGAAAAGAAAUUGCAUAAUGUAUAAGCCUACAAGGUAUAUUAUAAUACGGUAUUUAUUUGCAAAACUAGUUAUAAGUCGUUUCAGACGACUUAUAAUAUUUAGUUAUUUUAUCAUAUAUAAUUUAAUAAUUCUUAUGAAUAUAAACUAUAUUAGAAUAAUAUAUAUUUCUUAAUAUUUUACUGUACAACAGAUACAUUUUACUUAGUACUAGUGCUACAUGCACAAAAUUGAGUACAGAAUUUUGCACAAAAUGAUAUACAGAAUUUUGCACAAAAUGAUGUGGCAAGUGAGGUGGGAAGUUUUAACUGGUACUAUUAAUGCAUACACAGGGGGCUCAUUUCAAUCAAAAAUUGACACAUACUCAUUAUGUGAAUAUUUUUGUACCCAAUUCUGUGCCUCUAGCAUUUUCCUUUACUUUUUUAUAGUCUUGCCGGUGCACUGCAAACAAAGAAAGAAAAAGGAUUUUACCCAUAAGAAAGUGCGAUACCAUACUGCUCAGCAAUGCACUUCGUCCAUUCAGCUACACGGUCCAGAUUUAGCAUAAGUUCUAACCCAUAAGAAAGUGCGAUAACAUCUUUAUAACUUUGUUUACGGCAUCUGCAUAUACAAUACAAGUCGCAGAGUAAUUAUUAUGGCAAUAACCGGCAAUAGAACCAACAAGCAAUGAAGGUCCUUUAGACUAUCUCCAACAAAUUAAGCAUCGGGGAAUUUACUUACUGCUGGACAGUUCUGUCGGCAGCCUAGCAAGAAACAGUUGUUCCUAAAUGGAGUCAUUCGCUAGCACUUAUCAAGCAUCAGCCAUAAGUAUAUAUUGCAACUUGCAAGCACCAUAUUAUCAUCUACUGGCCAGAUUUCCAGAGUCACUUUAUGGCUUAUGCUGCCUGAAAGGCACCUGUAUAAGAAUUUCAUAUUACAACUUUUACUAGAAUGCACCCCUACCUUCAAAUUGCAUAAUGCAGCUCACAGCAACUCAACAAUUUCAACAUUGAAACCGCAAAGUGACUUCUAUCAGGAUUUAAUUUUCAACAGGAUGACACUUCAGUAACAUUAAAACCAUUUGAUAAGUCAUUUAAACAAAUACGAAUUGCUAAAUCAGUUUAAGUCCAGCUCAACAACCAAUUGAAUCGAACAGUAAUGCCGAAAUGACAAACUCAGCUACACAAUGAAUCAAACAGGUAAGCUGCAUCAUAUCACACCAACUCAGCCAUCCAAACCACUUCAGCAAAACACCAAGACAUUUUGCAACUACUUUGCAAUUAUUUACAUUUCUUAUUCAAACACUAAUAUAUAAGCAUAGAUCUAAGAUCAAAACAAAAAAUAAAGCAUACAAACAUGCUAAAUAAACAAAAAUAAAUUCACACUAAUUCAGAACAAUAGAGCAAUUUCAUUCAUACUAUAACCAUUCAAUUACACAUCACAUUCAUUUCGAACAAACACAAUUCAACUAAAACACAACCUAGAAACCCUAGAAAUCAACCGCCGAAGCCAUAAAGAGUCCUGCCCUGCCUCUUGAGAGCGUACACAACAUCCAUAGCAGUCACAGUCUUCCUCCUAGCGUGCUCAGUGUAAGUAACCGCAUCACGAAUCACAUUCUCCAAAAAGAUCUUCAAGACGCCUCUGGUCUCCUCAUAGAUGAGCCCGCUGAUUCUCUUUACACCGCCUCGGCGAGCCAGACGACGAAUGGCGGGCUUGGUGAUGCCCUGGAUGUUGUCACGGAGGACUUUGCGAUGUCGCUUGGCACCGCCUUUGCCAAGGCCCUUGCCUCCCUUGCCACGUCCUGACAUCUUAAAUUUCGAAUGAGAGAAAGAGAGAGAGAGAGAGAGAGAGAGAGAGAGAGAGAGAGAGAUUUGGUUGUGUUGUGGAGAGAGAAAUGAGAGUGUUUGAGAUGUGAGAUUGGGAGAGAUGGUAGGGGGUUAAAUAAGGGGAGUUUUGGGGGUUUGAAAAUUUUGAAAGUUUGGGCGGGGUUUUUGUGUUGGUUUUGGUGAUCCUGGUGGUUGAUUGGUGAAUAUGAGACGUUGAUGUUAAAAAAAAUCGACGGUUGGGAAUUGUGUAAAUUAUGAGGCACGGAUCGAUGACAUGGCGCUGAUCAGCCAGUCAGGUCGGACCCAACUCAAUCUGGGGAGUACACGCGCUGUUUGUUUUAGCCUUUUUUUUUCCCUCAUAUUUGGCAUUCCUUAUUUAAAUUCUGACUUAAGGUUAGAAUCAUGGUAUUUAUAUCAUUUACGUAAAUUUUUGUCGAAAUUUCAAAAAUCGAAAAUUCUAGUUUAUGUUUAAUCAUUUAAUUUUUUUAAAAUUUGAUUUUACCAAUUGUAUAUGAUAAUUUUAAAAGAUAAUUUAUAAAAAUGUAUUACUAUUACUAUAUUAAUAAUUUGUGUAUCAAAUAUGUUGUAAACACAAAAUAAAUAAUAUUCAAACACAUAAUUAAAAGUUAUUUCUCACUCAUAGCUAAAUUCUCAUUUAUAAGCAAUAAUCACUUUUUUUUAUGUUAAGUGAAAUGUCCCCAAGGCUGGCAAUCUCCUGAUGCUGAAUUGUAUAUAUAGGUUAAUGCGAUGAAGACAUCUGAAACCGGUCACAUGGCGUGGAUAAUUAACCGAAUUGAUCGUAUAACGGUUUGGAGUGGAUAAUACCUGGUAUACAAAAUGCACGAGUUGAUCGUAUAACGGUGUGAAGUGGAUAAUACCUGAUAUACAAAAUGUAAACAAAGAGUGAAUAUGGAUAUAAUAAAAAGUCUCGCGUCCGACCCGCACUCUAUUCGUACAUAUAUAUAAAUGUACAUGUACUUACUAAAUUUAUCACAAAAAUAUAUUAUAUUUUCAUGUUACUAUUUAAUAAAUUUUAAUAUACAAAAGAUAGUAAGCUCGUAAAAUAUUCAUAAUACAACUUAUUUGAAUAUUAGUUUCAAAUUUGUGCUAAUUAUUAAAGAAAUCAUAAUUCUUUUCAUAAUUUACAAAUUAACUAACAAUGUUUGUAUUUUACACAUUUGACCAACAAGUUUUAUAAAAUCAUGUUAAAAAAAUAUGACACAACUACGCGUAACGCAUCCGUUCACCACUUUGUUCUCUACUCAUCUCACUUCUAAGACAAGCUGCCUUUAGCUAGGAGUCUCUUUUCUUUUUGUCCUGUUCUCGUUCACCACUUUGUUCUCAACUCUACUCACUUUUAAGACAAGCUGUCUUUAAUUAGGAGUCUCUUUUCUUUUUGUCCAGUUCCGCUAAAACGAUGCUCGACUUGCAUGUGUUAAGCAUAUAGCUAACGUUGCUCCUUCUGAGCCAGGAUCAAGUUCUUAUUUUAAAUAUGACUUUGAAACCUGAUGAACCAGGCCUAGUACUUCCCGACCUUAUGUGAGCUUUCCUGCUCUUAUAUAAUUGUAAUGAGAGAAUAUUUCGAAAAUCUUUUUAAUGCUUUUGAUCCGACUAUGCUCAACGAGGUGACUCGUGUAUGCGACGAGACUAAAGACAUGAAGUAGAAUGUUCAAACCAAAUGGUAUCCAAAGGAAAUGAACAACUUAAGGGAACGACAUUUUUCGAUUAGGAGAUCUGCUCCCAGUUUGACCAUCAUCAUUACUCUUAAGGUUAUCACCUUGCUCAAUUGAUUAGUUCUAUCAUCCCAAUAUUUUAGCACGAAAAAAAUGUAUUUGUCAAAAUCAUAAAAAAAUGCGUGAAAAAACUCUUACUUAUUAUUCGAACUCUGAUGAGUGAAAGGACUUUCAAGAAAGUUAUUCUAGAGGAUCAACCAGAGAUCGAUUGACUUAGUUAGUGAUACUUGAUACGACAAACUAAGUUUUAAAGUAAUCAGUCGCACUCGGCAAAGGUGAAUAAUUAAUUUUCAAAUUAACCAUCAUACAAUCACAUAGUACAAAUUUUUGUUCUCUCUCUCUUUAAAAAAUUUAAUUAUCUAAAUUAACAACAUUCCACUAAACAUGGCUAUAAUGUUAUAAAAUUUCUUUCCAUCUCAUUAAUUAAAUAUUCCGAAUAUCUUAUAUGGAUGAAUAUCUAAUGACAAGGAUUACAAACAUUUUUUUAGAACAUCUGACGGGUAAAUACUCAUUUCGGUCAUCUAGCUAAACCACAAACAUUUUUUUAGAACAUCUGACACAUUUUUUUAAACAUCUGACGGGUAAAUACUUAUUUCGGUCAUCUAGCUAAACCGCUAAAUGACAGAUAAUCAUUUUAUCCAGCAGUUUAAAAACGUUGAAUUUAUUAAAAAAAUGUUAACGGCAUAUGAUCAUUUUACUUCAAAUAGUUUAAAAAAGCUGAACAUAUUUAAAUAUUUAUCCAAUGACCUUUGCAAAUAAUUAUAGUAAUAUUUCCCAGCAAUGAAGUAAAAGUGGAAGACAGUGCCAAAAUAAAAUUUGUUACCAAGUUUAUGGGCAAAAACCAAUACAAUAGUAUACUACAUUCAACAUAAUUUUUUCAACCUCAAUGCAUUUGAAGUUUGAAUUCAACAAAGCACACGGUAAGAGUAGAACUAGUGUUGCACUCCUAAUCAACAUAACCAAAUAAACAUAAAUCGGGCAGCAAUUAAAAGACCAAGAGAGCACAUCUUAUUUUUCAUAUAUCAACACGAAGCUUACAGUUUAGGACACUGCAGACAUACCUUUUCCCAUUCAUAAAAUAAAACUGUAAUGUCUAAUCAAAUACAUAAAACAAAAACCAGAAAGCUUUUCAUUUUCAGAUCCUCAGCAACAAAUCCUAGUACCUCGAAAAACUUUAACUGUAUUCUUCAUAACCAAAAGUGACCCAGACAUAUACAUGUUACUGGAGAUCACACUUUCCUUUGGAUUCCAAGCCUCUCGCGGAAGUCACUUUCCAUGAGAGGAAGGCCAUCACGCAACUUUACCUUUGGUUCCCAACCUAACACUUCCUUUGCCUUUGUUAUGUCUGGCUUUCUCUGGCGAGGAUCAUCAGGCGUGUUCUCCACAGUUAUGAUUUGGACUUCUGGAUUAAUAAGCUGCAAAAUAAUUGAGGCCAAUCAACACUUGUCUAUUGAAUGAAAACGUAACGUCAUAUCUAAUUUUUCUUCAAAACAAUAUAUUCGUCUAACUAUCCUUUGGAUAUUGAGCACAGUUGAACUGACCUCCUUUACAUUUUCAGCAAGCUCCAUCAUUGUGAAUUCACCUAAACAUUAAAAAACAGUCGGGUCAUGUAAACACGAAAUUGGGCAUAACUUUUUAACACGCCUAACAAUAGGUAACACAAGUUAUUUUUCUUAUAACACAGAUUUGUUGCAAUGAAGAUCACAUAAUGCAGAUUCGUUGCACUUCAUAACUAACAUCUACCAAAAAAGGUGAAAACUAGGAUCUGCGACAUUGUUUUUUAAAGUACCUGGGUUCCCAAUAUUAAUUGGUCCAGUAUUAUUUCCUUCCAUAAGUUUAAUAAGGCCAUCAACCUUCAACAGAAGUCAGAAUAACUUGUCAGCAAACAAAUUUAGAUUGAAUUGUAGUGCAGGAAAAAUGCACAAAUAUGUCGCUUACCAUGUCAGAAACAUAACAGAAACUGCGAGUCUGGGUUCCAGGCAACUGAACAGUCAAAGGCUCGUUACUGCAACAUAGAGAGGAAUAUAUUAGGGUGGCAAUUAGGUUCCCAAUCCAUUUAAAUAAACCAAACUUUUGGUUUUGGUUCAGGUUAAAAUCAUAUUUAUAUAUGGGUUGGAUUUUGAGUCUCAUAAUGUAUUAAAAAUUUAAAAUGUGAUCUUUCUAAUUCCAAAUAAUUAGUGCAGAGAAAAUUAAUAUAAAAUAUAAAAAUAGAUAAGUGGUUACAUUUGUCUGUAAAACCUAGAAAAGUAAAGUUACCGAAUCGCUUGAGCAAUGAAAUUACUGACAACACGGCCAUCAUCAAUAUUCAUCCGAGGGCCAUAAGUGUUGAAAAUCCUGGCUAUCCGUAUUUCUGCAGUGACCAGUUUUAGACAUGGAAAAACUGGGUUACAAAUAUUCUUACACAAAAGAUGCUAUUCAUCCUAGAAUUUAGUUGGCAGUUGGUAAAAUAAGAGUCUGUACCAAUUCCAUGCUGCCUAUGAUAAUCAAACAUCAAUGUCUCUGCUACUCUUUUUCCCUCAUCAUAACAACUCCGGACUCCUGUAAAAAAUAUAUUGAAUGAAACUCUUUUCAAGAUACAUACAGACUUCGACAAUAAAUAGACAACCAUUAAAUUACUAAUGAAAAGUCUUAAUCUCUACAUGUUUAUUGCAUGUGUACAGCUGACAAAACUUAGCAAUACAACUUUUCAGGAGUAUGUCACAGGCUUCGCAAUAUUAUAUGGACUAAACAAAACAUUUUCUAGUUCUAAUGAUUAAAUUUUAAUUGAGCAAAUAUCAUGUGUGCAAAAACGUGCAUGCAUGUAUGCAAUUACUACUUGUUUGUGAGCUUUAAACUGCGUCAUAAUAUAUUUGAUCUAAUAAGAAUUCCCUUAUCCCUACAGAAGCUAGCAUUUUUAUUUUAUUUUGUCUACGAAUAAUAGCGAGAAGGCUUAUGAUACAUCACAUAUUCAUCUUCUUAAGUAAGAUUAAGUGGCCAAACUAAUACAAAACAGCGGUAAGAAAGUAAGAUAGUCCAUCUACCUCAUUUCCAAGAAGAUAACUCCUAUACACACACACACACGCACACCACAUAUUGAGAACUAUCAUUCUUGAGAGAUGUCAACUAAGGAAUAAUAAAACUCAAUUUCACAACAAAACCAAAUCAACACACAAGGCGGACAACUUAUGUUAAAUAAUAGGCCAGUUGUAUGUACCUAUGGGGUUGACAUUUCCCCAAUAACUCUCAUCCUGAGGAUGUACAAGGGGAUCUCCAUAAACCUCUGAAGUUGAUGUCAAUAAAAUCCUGUAGUACAGUAGUAAUAUGAGACAACCACAAUUCUACAAAUACUAUGCAGCAUGUGUAAUGGAAAUGUUCAAACCUUGCUCCCACUCUCUUGGCAAGUCCUAACAUGUUUAGUGUCCCAAUGACAUUGGUCUUGAUUGUCUGUCAAGUCAAGUAUCAUAUAAUCAGCAUUUAAUUUUGCCAAAUACAUAAACACAUCAAACCAUCCUAUAUGCUUAGCUAAAGCACCAUAUGUACUUAAAAGAGUCUCUGCUCAAAAGCAGUUAUAGUGUUCUACACAAUUAGCAACAACAUAUAUUGACGUGUAGGGUUUUGCAGAUUAGAUAAAUGACCGGGGUAUCUGAAAACAAUACAGCCUGUAAGGACAACUACUGAUAAAAUUUCCUUGCUGCUGCUGCAAAACAACUGGCAGGUUCAGAAGCAUAGAACACAACAGGUUGAAUCUACACCAGCUUUAGAACAAGUAGAUUAAAUUAUUAAUCAAAAGAGCAAAGUACCUUAACAGGAUUAUAUUUGUAGAAAAUUGGUGAAGCAGGACAGGCAAGAUGAUAUAUUUGAUCAACUUCAACCAACAAUGUUUCUGUUACAUCUGCAGAAAUAUUGAAAUGUAUGUAAAUAACAAAUUGAACUAGAUGUGGGAAAAUAGAUAAAUGAGACACAAGGCCAAGGUUGGGACUUGGAAUUAUUGUGCAAAUAAGACUGCUGACUGCAGUUAAGAUACAUACUGUAUUACAAGCCCUUUUUCAAUUUUGAGAGAGCCCUGAUUUUGAUUUUAAAUCUUUACAGGUAUUGCCUAACAUUACUACUAUAUAAUAUAUCUAUAUCGAUAUAUACACAUAUAUAUUUGUAUUUUUUGAUAUCUCAAUAACAUUUGAUUCAGGGUUAAGCUCCAAAGAGCCUGAGAUGAUCUUUUAUAUACGAAAUAUAAAGUUAAUUUGUGGACACAAUGUUGAAUGAAUGCAUUUACAUUUUGAUUAUAUAUUUCAAUAAGGGUUUAAGUAAAAAUAAAUGAAAUAACUUGGAAGCAACAAUAAACAGUCAAUAUAAAGAACACAUUUCGCAUAGAUAAUUCAAUGAUGUUCAUUAGCAUAUACACAAAUGACGCAACUUGGAUGAUAAAAGAACAAAUACCAUGUCGAAUAAGCUCAAAUCUUGGAUGACCAAUCCACUGUCUUAGGUUGUCCUUUGAGCCAGUAAAGUAGUUAUCAACCACGAUCACCUAGGAGGAACGAGAAAGUUGCAUUAUACUAUUGACCAAUCAUGCAGAAAUUCACCAAGCAGAAUCAUCUGACUACAGUAUCAGACGAAACAGAAGAUUAUGAUAGGAAGUUUAUACCUCAUUCUUCUCAUUUUGCAUCAGUCUGUCAACUAGAUGAGAGCCAAUAAAUCCAGCUCCUCCAGUAACUAAGAUUCUCAUGUUGGCCUGUCAUCAGCAAGCUAUUAAGUAACAGAAGAAGAUAUGCAGAGAGUACCAUAACUCACAUGACUCUAGUCAGUUUGUCACAAAACACUCUCCUUAACCUUAACUAUGAAGGAACAAUCAGCCAACAUAUGUUUUACAUGAAAAAUUACACAAUAAGAGAGUUCUUGACAGCUAUGACACAGAACAGUGGUGGAUAUGAAAACCAGAGAAUGUAUUGAAAAAAAUUAUAUGAUUCGGAAAACUUGCCUGCUUUUACCUAUGUACACCAGAAUUUCCGUAUAGAUAUAUUAAAAUUAUUAGCAAGUUUGGAACAAAUUUUCUGGGCACUGAAGAAAGUAUUAUGGUUAUCACAGCAGAUACUUGAUCUGACUAAUUUUAUAGCAGCAAGUGUUUUCCCAAAAGUAAAUGCGAAGGAACACAAAAAUUACCACUGGGACACCCAAUAUGCAUCUACUCAAAAUUUUGAUUCAAAUGCAGUCUACAUUAAAAUAUAUAUGGAAAACCAAACAAACAUUUAUAAAAGAAAGAGAAGAAAUUUUGUUUGCAAGUCAAUAACUUCUUCAUGUUCCAACAAACAACAUAAGGUAAGUAUAUCAUACAUCAAGCACAUAUAUUCUCCUAACCACAAAUGCAUACAGUUCACAGUUUGUGCUUAAAAAGAACCAUCUUGCUGGUUGCAACCUGAAAAAAUUUGGCAGUGCGCAAUGGAGAAGGUGUUGGAGGGGGUUUCGUGGAUCCAUUAGCAACUUCUUUCGACAUCUUCCCAGAUCCUUCUUCGAUUACUGACACCAAAAAUAUCCAAAUAAAGCACCUAUUAAGAUAAACCAAUCAAAUUCAAUACCACAUUACAAAUCACAAAUUAAUUCACAAUAAAAAAAGCAUCUUUUCCCAUAUGCCUCAUCAAAAUUCAAAAACUCAAUACCUGCAGAAAAAUAAAAUCUUUGCACAAAAAACCCACAAAUUUGCUUGAAAUUGGUAAAGAUCAAAACUUUAUAUACACAUCCAAAUGGGUUGUUGAUAAAAGGGCACAAAUCAUCCAAAAAACAUGUAAUAAUCACACCCAAUUAAAGAAAAAAAAAGAAUAUGAAAGCUUAGAGAACACGAAGAGUAAAGAGUACAAAAAGCUCAAAAGUGGAACCCCACUACAACAAACUCACCAAACAACAAUCAGAUCCAAAUCUCACCCAAAAAUCACAAAACAAAUUUGCAAAUCAAGAAUUAAACAGAGAAUUUAGAACAGUAAAAUUAGGAAAAAAAUCAAAAAAUUGUGAAGAUAGGGAUGAGAGAGAUAAAAUUAGUAGUACCUCUGAAUAAACACAAAGAUUUGUGAUCACUGAUCAAUGUGAAGUAGUGCGUGAAUAUAUGUGGGUUUUAUAUUGUAUAAGUAUAGAUAGAUAGAUAGAUAGAUGCAAUUAACAGGAGACGUGAAUUAUGUAAUUUGUGUCUUCAACAUGACGUGAACUUACUGGAUUCAUCUGCCACGUCAAUUACACAUAGGAACGGUAAUCACAUAAAUUUAUUGCUUAUCCUUUUAAUACGGUUUUGAAAUUUGGAGUUAGCAACAAAUAAUGUGUAAUUUUUGUCAGAUAAUUUUUUAUUUAAAAAUAUCUAUUAGAGGUAUUUUUAUAAUUUAUUUUAAAUAAAAAAAUUAUAGUUUAAUGAGCAUGUAAUAUAUAAUUCACUGAAAUUAUGUAAUUCUUGUCACAUAAUUUUUUCAACUAAAGAUCGCUAUCGGAGAUAUAUUUAAAAUUAAUAUUUAAAAAAUAAUACUACAGUUUUUACCUUUAAGAAGUAACAUAUAACAAUAAGUUUAAACAAGUAACCCAAAAAGUAGAUAUUAGAUAUAUUCUAUAAAUUUUAUUACUUACAUUCAUCCUAAUUCGAUAUACAAUUUGUUUAGGAAAAAUAAAAUUGUAAGUAGUUUUUGGGAAACAGGUCAGUCGCAAAAGUGCUCUGCCAACCGUUUCAACGAAGAGAUAAGCAAGUCGAUCACUAGUAUUUUACACUCACGUAAAACAGUUGACAAUGAGAUGAGUGUUAUAGAAUAGUAAGAAUAGUCAAGCACCAUGUCCAUGUAUGAUUAAAAAGCACAUGACUAUUUAACAUGGUUGGUAUAUAACCAAAAAUCACAUGACUAUUUAACAUGGUGGGUAUAAAUGGGAAUUGAAAUUAAUUAAUUAAACUAUCGGAAUUUAUCAAUUUUUUUGGAAGAAUUAAAGUUCGAGUAAAGGACUUAAAGUUUGUUUUACAAAGCAGGUGUGCCAUUUGAGUUUUGUCAAUCUCAUAAGCAGGAUUCUGUCGACAGACCUUGAUCAGUUGAUCAAGUGCAUCUGUAUUUUCUAAAAUUAUAUCCGACCUCUUCAAUUCCAAUCGCUCACUUAUCAGUUAUCAAGCCUUGUAAUUUCUUCAUCAGAUGAGUAAAAUGACGUGUGUGAUUCUACGUUUUACACCUUGUGCAUCCAGCUUCUUAAGUACAGGAAAGAACUCAGACACAUUAGCCUUACCUAUUUCAGACAAAAUUCCCUAAACCACGACUCUCAACUCCUUAGCGGAAUCCACAUAAGGGUUCACCCGGAAAACACCGUGUUGGAUAUAAAAUUCAGCGAGGUCCUAAAACCAGCUCGACUAAUAUCAACUGCCUCUCCAGUCACCAAGCUCAGUCACCUUCCUAUUACGUACAUUCUGAUUUGCAUUAACCGAAAAUAUGUUAGUAGUCACAAUUUUUCUGAGAUUUUUCCACCUCGGGCCAAUAGGCAAUUAUGCUAACGAGUACCUGGAAUGGUCACAAGCACAAAGAGCAUCUGAACAAACCUGCUAGAAAAAACAAGGUCUUGCUUCUGAAGCACUUCUCGAGCUAUAGUUGAUGAAGAAAUGACUAUUGUAGUUAUGCUCCCGAGUUAUAAACACAUGAUCGGACCAUAAAACUGGGCAAGUUCCGUGAGGGACGGACUGAUGAGGCAGCUUCCCUAUAUCGGCUAAAAUACCAAUGACAGGCCACUGGAGAGGUCCUGGAGGAAGGUUUUUGCCUCUGUUUGAGAACAAAAACAGAGAUUCUAAGAAUGCAAAAGCAAGUAUGAGAUAUACUACACCGAUUAACAAGUCCAUUUUGCUUAAACAAAGUGUUUUUAAGCCUGUGAAGUGAGAAACCUUGAGCAGUUGAGCUAUAUGCAUGAUUCAUGAAGCAACUCAAGGUGCAACUAGUGGAGAAUAAAAAUAGAAAAUUAAAUUAACGUAUUAACUAUUAAGUAGUCCUAUGAAACUUGUUUAAUUAAGGGCUGCUCCCUUAAUUAGCAGCCAUCCAUUGAGCCGCUUAUUUGGCGGUAUGCACGUGGCAUUCAUAUAAUCAUAUUUAACUUUUUUUUUUUUGGUCACAAUAUAAUCAUAUUUAACUUGACGUAGGUAAAAAAGGACCACAGUUUACGAGUCAUUGUUGUACCAAAUAAGUAAAACAAUCACUACUACCCUUUAAUUAUAAAUAACCAGCAUUAGAGUACUCUACCCUUUUUAAAGAUGGUAUUUACACUUUAUUUGACCUUGCAAUAUGUGGAAAAAUGGUGUUUCGUUGCUCUCUUUUUACACUAAAUUUGACUUUUAUUAACAUAAGGAGUGGUAGUGUUUUAUUAUUUUCAGUUUUACACUUAAAUUUACAUUUAAUUUGUAUAAAAUACAGAAAAUUCACAAAAUAAUUAUUCAUGUACGGACUAUUAUCACUUGCACCUGUAGAUUAUAUCAAAUUAAUAUUUGUAUUUGUUCUUAAUGCUGUAUUACUGUACACCGAGCUUUUUAUUAAGACCACAAAUUAAUAGUAGUUAAUCCUGAGUAAAAUCUUUUACCAUAACUGAAUAUAUUUAGCAUAAAAUACUAUACAAACAUAUAAAGUGGCUGUAGUUUAGUGGUUAGAAUUCCACGUUGUGGCCGUGGAGACCUGGGCUCGAAUCCCAGCAGCCACACUUUUUUUCCCAUUUUGCGACCCUUUUAGAAGUGUAGGGUUUUUAAAGAGCCCAAUACUCUUUUCUAUUUGCUUUUGUUUUUUUUGGAAGACGCACAAGUUGAAGAUCAACAAAACCUAGAAAAGGUAUGUAUAGAGGUCCAAUCUUUAGCUCAUAUUAUGUGAUAAUCCUGGCCUUUUUGAUUUGAUUAUAUUUCAAUGUGUUCUUUUCGGUUGUCAAGAAAUGCUGUGAAAUAAUAUGAUCUUUCUUGGGUUUAUGCAUAGUUAGUCAUCUAGAUCUAAGACCCCUUGAUGUGAAAUUUAUGUUUUAAGUAGUGAAGAUCACAAGGAAGUGCUAUAAUAAUGUAAAGGUCCAAUCUUUAGCGUUUAUUAUGUGAUUAUGUUGGCCUGAAUUAUGAGGGUGUGAAGUUGAUCUGGGUGUGUUUGAGGCUUUGCAUAAUUCAUGAUUGUAAGCUGAAGACUGUUUUGUGAGGGUAGUAAUAAAAUUCAAUCUUAUGAUCCGGUGAACAGAAUUCGGUGAUGAUGAGUCUAUGACAUAUAUAACCAAGAAAUGACUGGUUCACAUAAAUCCAAAAUCAUCACCAUCUCUAUGGCCACAUAAUUUGGGUGAGUGGAAAUCUUAGAAUUCUAUUUGAAGGAAAGCUCUGACACACACUCAAGCUUUUAAGAGGUGACUCAUUUCUAGGUCUUUGAGAAGUUUGACAUCAUUGUAUGAACAAGUUACGAUGAUGACACUUAAAAGUGACUUGAAAAGUUUAAUGCUGUUCUUUCUAGGUUUUACAGAUUAUGUUUUUCUAAUUUGCAGCAAAACCGCCUUAAGUAGACUAAAAGCAUGUCUGAUAUAGUUGAAUUGAAUAUUUAGUUCCAUACAUCUGAAAGUAUAGACAAUUAGCUCUGUUUUUGAUUGUCCGUUGUGUUUUUAAGUGCGAAACACGCUAAAAAUAUCUUCAAUCAGAACUCGUAUGGUUCGAGAUGUAGGGUUAAAGGGUUAAAUGAGCAUCUACUGUCUGUAAAGCGAAAAAUUUGAUUCUGGUGUUUUAGUAGCUCAUACAAAGAAAUUUGUCAAGAAUAAGUUUGUUGUAGAUUUCAACUUUACAAGCUCUCAAACAGAGUUUUUUGACAAUGAAAAACAUAACUCAUAUUAAAGAAAAACAAACCACAUAUACUAUGUAUGCCCUGCUUUGUAGACAAGGGUUUGGGGAGAGACGAUGUUCUAUAUGUAAACAUUACCUCUAUAUCUAAGAGUAGAGAAGUUUUUUCUGUAUUACUCAAAACUUUAAUUCAUCCUCUUGCUAUCAAAGCUUCAAUUAGAUGUUAUAUGUAUAUGUCUGUGUAGAUGUAGUAUAUAUGAUAUUACAGUAAAAGUGUGUUUAUUAUUAUGUUAAAAAUGGAGCUUGUUGCUUUUACUAUGAAUUAGAAGAAGUACGUACUGGGUAUUUUAGGUGGUUUUGAUGUUCUGCAGAUUAUAUAACUAGGAAAACUAAACGGGGCAUGUCGCUUUAUAUACAUUAUUGUGGUGUCAUCAGUAUAUCUUUUUUAACUUGUUCAUACAUUGCACGUCAAAGCAUUUGGCUGGCCCAGUAUUUCGAUUAUGUUUAAAUGGUAUAUUAUUUGGACACUCAUUCAGCUUUAAUAAUUGAAGACAAUUAAAAGUACACUUUAAUUAAUAAUUAUAACAAAAACAAAUCUAUUGAUAAAUUGGUUAAAUUUAACUCUUAAGCCAUCAAUGUGACUUUAGUUUAGGGCUUGAAUCCAAGCAGUCACACCUAUUUUUGAUUCUUUUUUUUGCAACCUUCUCUAAAGUAGGGUUUUUAUAUGAGACCAGUUGCUUAUUUUUCUUUCCUUUAUCAUUUUGGAGGGCGCAGAAGUUGAAGAUUGACUAAAGACAGCAAAGGUAAUUGCACAAUCUCAUGCUCUACACACACAGACACACACACACAAACAUCACUUAUUAGAUCACUGUAUCAUAUAUGUGUCAUUUUUUAAUGGAGUUUGACUUGGAUGUGUUCUCGUUGGUUCCUAGAAAUUUUGUAAUAUAGUGUGAUCUUUAUUGGGUUAUAUAUCCUCUAGAUCUAAAACCCCUUAUUGUGAAUUUAGUGAAGGUCAUAAAAAAUGCAAUAAUAAUGUAAAGGUCCAAUCUUUAGCUUAUAUUAUGUGCUUAUUUAGCUUAAAUAUUAAUGGGGUGAAAUUGAUCUAAAGUAUGUUUGAGGUGUUUAUUUUUAUUUACGAGGAUUAGCUAAAGAUGGUUUGUGAGGAUUUUUAAAAAAUUUGAUUCAAUGAUCAGGCGCACAUAAUUUGUUGACUACAUAGGGAAUGCCGCAUAUAUAGAAAAACUCUGAAAUGACUGAUGCACUCAAAUCACAAAUCACUGUACACCAUCUCUUUAGCUGCGUAAUUUGGGUGGAACUCAUCAGAAUUCCAAUCUGUCAAUUCAAGAAAUUCUCUCACACCCUUUGCGCCAUACAGUCUACGUCAGACCCUUUGGGUGACCUAAUAAAUAAAUGAUGGUUAAAAUUUGAGAAACGGGUUGUUAAAAUGAUUCAGGGUGUGCGUGAUAUUCCUUGAGAAGGUGUAGCAAUGGAAUUAUAUGAGUUACACCCGAAUUGCAUGGCUGAAGAGAUGGGUGUAGAAAUGGUAAGAUGGUGUGGUUUGUCGAUUGGAUGAAUUAUUGUUUCUGUCACUUGUAGUGAGUCUUUUCGUCCGUGUUAUGUUUCUCUUUGUGGUCAACAAACUUUGCUUGUAGUCACAUUAAUAAAGGAACACUGAUGGUCAGUAUUUCUUGGUACGAGUAUGAGGUACUGAAGUCUUAACAUUUGGAUCAAAAUUGUAACCUUGCAGAUGAUAGACGAUCAAGACUUGGGUUUCAUAGCCAACUUUCUUGGAAUCUUUAUAUUUGGUUUGGUAAUUGCUUACCAUUAUGUGACAGCUGACCCGAAGUAUGAGGCCAACUAGAUCCAAGAUGCAUGCAACAGUUUAUCUCAGUUACAUGUUUCCUUCAUGUUGAAGUAACAUUAAGUUGGAACAAUGCUGGCAUUUACUAUAUUAAAUGUUAGCAGUUUUUAUGCUAGACAUUUCAUUUACAUUUUGUUAAAGCUUAAUUAAAAAGUUGCACCACAAAUUCUGUCUUUGUUAAUCAAAAUCCCACCUGAAUGCUGUGGAAGACGCAAUCUGUUUUUUGACUAUGAUGCUUUCGAUUUUUAAACACUUUCCAUACAGUUUAGGGGCCUUAUCUUAAGCUGUCUGGAUGAGCUUCAAAAUUUACUUUCAAGCCCAAAGUUCCCCCAACAUGUAUACUUUACCUUGCAAGUAACUUUAAUUUCAUAGUUCAUACCUCAACAUUUUCCUGCUCAACCUGAACGAAGUGGGGAUCUGAUCGGGGUCGAGCGGUACGGGUAAAUGUCCAUCCCUGUUUCAUACCAACACCAUUUUCCUGCGCCUUUGGUUUUAUAAGGAUCAAUGUCAUAUAUCAAAUUCCAAAAGAAUAAUUAUGCGGUAAAUCACUAAACCGGUGAGGAACAUCUCAUCAAAUAUCUCGACUGGAGAUGUAAAUAUUUGUAGCUGAUUCUUACCAUCAAAUUGACUGUUUAUUCUUCAUAUCCGAUUAAGCAAAUUGUCAUUUUUCACAAAUAUGAAACAAUGUUACGCUGUUUCUGUGUGUGGAUGUAUCUGCCAAUUUGCCCUGUCACAUUUAUUUUUAAAGGUAACAGCUGUGAAUUGGUGAUUAUUUACUCUAAGAACUUAAGUAUAGCUUGCAGGCUGCAGCAGCAGUAGCAUAUGAAAACCAGUGCAAAACUACAAAAUAUCGUUACCAACAGCGAAACUUUACCACCACCCAAAAAUGCACUUGCGCAUGUAAACGUAACGAGAUAACAAGUACCUCUCUUUACGCGUUUUAUUGUACAUCAGAAUAACGAUAUUAGUUGUCACUUUUCCGGACUGAGGGAGUAUGUUACAUGAAAAUAGUGCAUAAAUCGGUGAAAACAUGAAAUAAGAAUUAAUCAGAAAUUAGUCUAAAAUUAACUAAAUGAUUAAUUAAAUUAUAAUUAAUCAGAAAUUUAAUAAAUUCAACGUCCUAUAAAUUAAUCACCUACUUUAUGCAUAUUUGUCACAUUUCUGAAUUCAGGAAAUAUGCUAGUUUUCAAGCUACUUUUUCGAGGGUGUUAACGUCGAGUCUCACAAUCUGAAAGAAAAUGUUCCCAAGCACCAAUAUCAGAGAAGACCUUCAUCUAUCAUUUUUCCAUUCAAGACACUAUAUCAUAUAGUUUCCAUCCUCCUUUUUCUUUUUAACAUUCCACGAUCUAACGUUUAAAAAUCCUAGACUCAUUACGACCUAGCAUUAGAAACCCUAGACGCUAAUUUAUGUAACGUUCUACUCCUAAAAUGCUACUCGUUUAGCAUUUUACAGUGAUUUUCAACCCCAAACGCAGUGUUUUCUUACCAAAACUGAAACACAAGAUAGUCAAACGUUACUGAAUGAUAUUUGAGGCCAUUUUUGGGCAUUAGCUAUAAGUUUUAAGACAUAUGGGACCUUUGCUGCAAUUUCGAAAAAGAGGUAGCAUGCUAGAUAUAUUUGCAGGACACGAGAGGGAUGAGGGAGUAUUGGCUGCUUUCCCAGGAAGGAGUACACCAGAAACAUUUGCGGGAUGUAAGGGAGGAGGUGAACUGAGGGAGUACGCUAGAAACAUACACGGGACUGAGGAAGAAUGCCGGAAGCAUUUGCAAAGUAAUUGCACAGCACUAAACCUCUUUUCCAGCUAAAUGGCCCAGUACCAUUAUAUGUAAGAACAGGUACAAUAACAUCUGCAACACCUAGCAUUAACUAAAAACCUAAAAAUAAUAAAACUAAAUACUAACAUCUAUAUUUUAAGUUUAAACCUCCCUCCCAAUAUUACUAUAAACUACCAUGCACAUUUUAAGAUACAGCAACUGAGUCUACAUACAAAAUCCUAUUAAAAGCAACAUCCAUCUGCUUGACUACUACAUCCAUCUACUUGACUGUUGAACUGUUGGGCUUUUGUGUGUGUGUGUGUGGGGUGGGGUUGGNNNNNNNNNNNNNNNNNNNNNNGUGGGUUGUCACGGUGCUGGUUGAGUUGCAUGUUUGGCUGCCCAUAAGUAGGCAAUAAACAUCCACAACACAACCAUACCAAUUAUAGUGGUUCUGACCACUUCUUCCCUGCUCAUGUUAGUACGAAGAUCUGAGUAGUGGGAUGGACCAACAUUCACAUGAUUAUGGUGAUUUGUGCUUGAGCUCGCCCCGGUGAUUUCUUCAUAAGUUUCAUCUCCAAUCUCUGUCGUCGUGAUUAUUUCAUCAGUACUAUCUCCAAGCUCUGUCUCGGCGUUUUCUUCAUUAAUUUCAGUUUCAAGCUCUGCUAUUGGGCUUGUCUGUAUGAUUUCUUCAUUUGUACUUGUUACAUUGCUACUGCCUAAACAGUUAACGCACGAGCACGUACCACCUAGGAAAAGAGGUAGUGUCUGUAGGAAUUCAGUGACGACCUCUUGGUAGUUAUCUCCUAUGAUCCUUACUUUCUGUCUAGUGGCAGGUUUGAGAACCUGACAAAAAUAAUAGUAUAAUACUUAAUACAUGAAAAGAUAUGACAGGCAACUUACAACUGCUCCAAAUGUAAUAUUAUAUUGGCUACCACUUGGUUCUCAUGCACAGAUAGAGUUGAGAGAGAAAACCUGCCUGAAAUAGAGUUUGAAUUAUCAUACGUGCAACCGCAGGAAGCCGUAUGAUAGCCAAGCAAGCAAGACGUGUUGGAUAGUGAUCUUGCAGCAGUGUAGCACACGAUCGCAAUAUUUGCAUCGGAAAACCAAAUGGUGAUAAUCCCUUGCAAUCCAUCAAAACCGUAAUUUGAGGAUGCCUCCUGUCAACGAGGUUCAAAACUCCGUGUUCUAUCUGGGAAACUAAAAGAGCAAACUGUAAUUGAUUAAUCUGCUUAAUAAAACAUUAUGAAUUUAGCUAGGAGAACAAAUAAAAAUAAGAUAGUAGCAUAUCAAUGGACGUAGGUAUGUGAAAUGAAGCAACUCAUCCAGUUAUCAUCUGAUAGUAACCUUUAGUUGACCAGUUAAUAUCAUUCCAGGUUUCACCAACUUACUUCAAACAAUAUAGGGUUAGUUCUCAACCUAAUGAAAGCAAUCAAUCAAGCUAGUACAGGCAAUCAGGUCAAUGAUAAGCGCUUUUACAAUAUAGCUUAAAAAGAGGAAUCAAGACUCGUCGAGCUUUACUUUGACUUGUUACUAAUUGAAACAAGUUACUUAAAUGUACUUAAUAGAGAAUACUCACCAACUGCUUUAGCAAAUACGGGCUUAUUGCUAGAACUCAGGUUGGAGCAAGCGAGCCCAAGACGGAUAAUGAGACAGGGUCUUCUCUUAACAUCAUAGCCAUGCCAGAAUACAAAGCAAUCCCAGUCCUUAAGUUCAUCUGGGGAUAACAUAGUGUAAGUUUGUCUCCAUUGUAUCGUCUUCUUCACUGCUGUAACAAACCUUGAGAAGUCACCAUUCGAAGCAGCAUAAAAUCUACAAAGCUCAUCCUCGUCAAGCCUGGAGAGGCAUAUCAUCCAGUUUAACACAGUUAAGAUACAGAUGACUAAUUUUCAAAUGGUUAAUGUUUCUUAGAUCAAAAUUUUCAGGCUUUGUGGCACAGUAAAGUAUCUAGACAUAUCAUCAAGUUUUAAUCCUUAAAAGUAAAAUUACUUUAACAGAAGCAUCAUAUCUAAGGAGUUGUGUCUGCAGUCCUUACCUUUCAGGUAAAGUCAAACCCUCCUCAUUUAACUUCUCAUGCAAGUCUUGCAACCACUUCCUGGAAACAAGAACUCUCGGAGCUUCAUUGGUGGACCUGGAAAAUCAUAUUGACCAACAAAAUGGAAUUUAUAUACACGCAAACAUCAUAUUAGCAUAUAUAAUGAUAAUCUACAUUAUCCAAAUUGCAAAGGAGUAUUGUUAUACUAGUUUAAUUCGGUGACUGAGAUCAAGAAUAUAAAUAUCAUCAAUGACCGAGACAAAUUUAAUUAAACUGGUGGCAACUCAUAGAACUGAUAUUAAUCUGAGCAGGUUUGGUACAUGUCAUGACAAGUAUACGGCUUUAAAAUUCAUACAAAGACUGGACAAAGCUGUAGCUCUAGAUUACUAGCCUAGGAAACACAAAAAGGCCAAGUGACUGCAAAAGCAAGUUUCUUCAGGGUAGUAAGAGGGCCUGACGCUACCAAACAACCAUACAAAUUUACCAGACCUCCCAAGUAUGAACAAUAUCAAAUGGGGAACACAGUAACACACUACAGCAUAUAUCACAAGAAAAAAAAAAAGCGUUCUUGCCAGAUCACAGGAACUUACUAAGCCAAAAAUAUGAGGAAUUAUUUAGUGCUUGUACUUGCAGUAGAAUUCAAUUUCUUACCUUACGUCUGGACUAGAUAAUUGAGAAGGUGACCCCGACUGUGUUUCGUAACCAUCUGGAGAGGCAUAGGAAUUGUCACAUGAAGAUUCAUCAGAGAAAAUUGUUGCGAUUGACAGAGCUAACAUUGGCUUCGACAACCCCUAGCAGAAAUAAGUAUCAUCAGUACCAUUAAUAUAAUCACAAUUUACAAGAAACAACUAUUAAAAGAAUCCUCGAAUAACGAAAACAAAAUUGUUGGCCAGUCCAUAUGAUAUAUAAUCAAGUGUUGGAUCGGAAAGAAAGUCUAUGGCAGUCCAGUUUCCUACAAAUACUGUGAUUGCGUUUCCAUCUUCUCUCAAGCCACUAAGAUGGAAUACCACAGUAUAGCUUGCUUGCUGUCCAUAAAAUUGGCCUAAUAGGAAAAUCCUAUCAGUAUCAAAUAAUCAAUACACCAAAUACAGGCUCAGAGCCAUUAGUCACCAUGCCAGUAGAGACAGAGGAACUACCUAAUUUGAAGCACUCGGAGUUAAUACCUAGAAAUCAAUGAUAUGGAGAUGCACGAAUUUAACAAAUCUAAAAAUAUUGGGAUCUGGUGCUUACUGCUUGGGGAUGCAGCUUAUCUAAAAAUGUUACAAAUAUACAUCUUGAUGAUGUUAUCGUAUAUUAAAUAUAAAAUCUAUAAGAAUUCAAGGGUAAUACAAUUCAAUAGAACCAGAAACUAUAGAAAAAUUUCACAAAAGAAAAAUCUUUAAUAUGUGACAGUAUACCAGUAGUAAAGAUUAAAGAAUUAUGUCAUUGCCCAGAAACUGCGGUACUUAUGUGGUACACACGCAAGUACAACAUAGUACACAAUGCUAUUACACUUUUAAGACAUCAUUUUUCAUUUGUUGCCUACUCUACUCUACCCACUACUCGACCCUAUAGGUGAAUACAAGACUUUACAUACAUCAUAUAUGACAGCUGACAGGAUAACGGAUAACCGAUAGAGACACAGUGGUCGGUGGACUGAAACUAUGAAAGAAGGCCAGAUUCUUUAAAACCCACUAUCUCUCAUCCUUUGAUUACAAAAUCUGCCAUCCCCGCACCCAACACCCCAACGCGCUCUUGCGGACACGUGUCGUACCCAUGCGUCUUGCCCAUUAAACAACUAAUAAAUAUGAAUAACUUGACUGAUAUAUAUUGAAUUGCUUCCUAAUUCGAAAUGGAGAAGAACUUUGAUUAUGAAAAUGAAUUUGCCUCAUUUUUGAACUCAUAUUGAUUAAAGUUUAAUCCUAUUUUGCUCAAUGCCGUGAUAAAAUAUAUAAUAUAUUUUGAGAUAAUUAAUUGAAAUAUUUUUGAAUUUUAUGACACCAAAAUUCCAAAUAAUGGAACCAAAUGCAACGAGAUCUAGCAUCGAUUUGAGAUACAAAUAGCAUAGUCUUUUAAAACUAGCCUUCUGUCACCAAAAAUUUCUAAGCAGCACAAGCUUGUCAGACUAAUGGACAUUCCCCAACUAUGUGGAGGAAUGCGAGCUAAGAAUAUCAAGGUUACCCGUAAAGGCUCCCUUUGUUUCACAGAGAACAUUUUGCUGGUUUCAGAUAUUCUGGUGUUUGUUAGAAUUCUAUUUUACAGAUUUCAUGUCUUUGUUUAGUUUAGGAAAAAAAGAUAUAUCUAUCAGAGUAUGAAAGUUACUUAAAAAAUGAAAUGCUUUAAACUUUCACAGGAAUUAGUGUCCUCCAUUUUGAGGAUUUUCCCUCCACAUAUUGAACAAUUACUCAACAAAAAUAUAUGCGAAAAUAUAAAACAUAUUUUCACACAUAUUUUUGUUCAGUAAUUGUUCAAAAUGUUAGUUCCAAAAAAAUAAUUAAUCAGCAAACAAAUUGUUCAAAAUGCUAUUUCCAAAAAAAUGUUCAAAAUUUAGGAGAAAUAUGUUUCCACUUUUUUUUUUUGAAAUUUCCGCAAACGAAUAUUAUUCCGGAUUUAUUUUCUCUGAAAAUCAAGUUAAAUUUUGGCAAACAACCGGACACGUACAGAAGUAUAUCAAGAUGCCCAUUUCUAGUAGGUGGAUUGUGAAUGAACUAGAUUACAAUGAUGCGACUCCUGUACAGUCAAUUAAUACGCAACAAAAUGAAAGAGAGCUUAAAGAGUAUUAGGAAAUGCAACUUAGGCACUAGAAACAUGGAAAUUUAAAACGGUAAGACAGUAAUAGUGAUACCAAACCAACCUGCAUAUUCUUAACCAAGCCCUUGAAAGGAGUCCAUCUCUCAAUCCACCUGAACGGUGGAUAGCACAGAAGCUGGAGAGCCUGGAGCCCUUCCCAGACAAUUGGGAACUUCGCAUUUGAGAUCCUCCGCACAACUUCUAGCGCUGCAGUUUUAAGAAGAAACACACCUAUGAUACCCACAACCGGAUGUGCUACUCCCUUUUUUAUAAAAGAAACACAUUGCAAACUCUUCUUAGAGUACGCCUCUGGAACUGAACCAACCAAACCUACUUGGUGUGCCAUUCUAGUAUUAACAUCCCUCGUCUCUAAGUUCUCACUUGAACCAGAUACCGAUACAGAGUUCCCCAUUCAACUUCCUUGCAACGUCAACUGAUACAUGUUAAAAAAAUAGUAAAUCUGCAUGCCUAUAAUAUACAAGGAAACUACACAUAAAAUUCUAAACUGAAAAGAUUCCGUAACAUACCUAUAAAAUACAAUUAAUUCAGAGAAGUCAAGUCUAACGUCAUGCAUUUGUCUUCGUGCAAAAGAGACAGAGAAAUUAUAUGGCGGUAUAAAAUGCGCUCAUAUGAAACCCUAGAUGACUUAAAACAGUAUACUGAGUAUAAUGACUGAACGCACUUAUUCCAAAAAUAUACUUUACUGCGCUUUAACUUUUUCUGGUCUUAUUUUAGAAAUCCAAUUAAAAGAAAUCCCUAGGCUGUAGCGUGAUCAACACGUCUAUUAAGACAUGACAUAUUAGGGUAGUUAUAAAUGGAUAUAUAAACUUUAUUAACAAUAAUCGCUCACCAUUUCUCAAUUGAUAUAUGUCACGAUUCUCUCCAUUUCUCACACAAUAUACGUCACGAUACUCUCCUGAUUAACAUUAUACGCAUCAAAACUUUCUAACGAUGUUCACUCCUAUUUUAAUGAAUCCAACCGUCAACUGAUCUUUCUAUUUUUUACAAUUCAAUACAACUGUCGUUAUAACCGUACUCUCUCAAUACAUUCCAGAACUUUUCCAUCAUGAUAAGAUUUCAUUCUUUCCAUAUCAUGACAACCUUACCCGAAAAUGAAGGUCACCAACAGCUGAGCUAAAUUGAGAUUACAAACACCAUUCUCUUCACAAAAAUAACGACUAAACUACCUCUAACUGAACUAAAAUAAUACUUAAUCAAAGGAAUCACUCCGAAAUCAAACUCCAACUCAAAACACAUUACAAAAUCACAUAAACAAACAUAACAGCUUAGCAAAAUUAAACAAAAACACUACAUACAGAAUCACAAAAACAAACAUAACAACUUAACAACAUCAAACAAAAACACUACAUACACAUACACAGGCUAACAAUAACAGUGAUCACAAUCAAUAAGUCAAUCACAGUGAUAUUAAACAAUCAAAUAAUAUUAAAAUGAGUAAAUUAAAUCUUCUAACAUAGCAAACAAAAAUUAUCCGAAAAAAUAUUCAAAAUAAAUACAAACACAUACACAAUCGCAUAAAAAAUAGAGGCGAAGAUGAUUUUACCUUGUUAAUUAGAGUGUUGAAAAACACAUAAUAUGAAAUGAAGAAUUUGUGACACGGAUAUGGAGGAGGAUGAGUUAGGGUUCGGGGAGAAUUGGAGAAGCUUCGUGAGUUUAUGAGAACUCAGAGUCGGUGAAUUGCGACUACUAAAUUUAUUAUUUAUUAUUUAUUACGUAUUUAAACUGGUUUUUUAUUCUGACAAAAAUUAAAAAAAGUUGGUAUUUUUCAUUUUUUUAUUAGUAUAUUAUAAUAAGAAUAAUAAUAUAAUAUAAUUUAGAACGGCGGAGGNCAGCGGCAUGCUAGGUGAAGGCAGCAGGAGUGAUUAAGUCGAAUCAAGAUGUACAAAUUUAGUUCGGUUUGAUUUUGAUUAUCUGAAAAUUCGGUUUAUGUGAUUCAGAUUUAAUAUAUCGAAACAAAAUUCAUAUUGAUCCGAUUUUUAAAAGAAUAUUCGAUCCGUGUCAAAUAAUAUAUAAUAUAAAUUUAUAUUCAUAUAUUUUUUAUAUAUAUCUUAGAGUACUGAGUAAGUAAUUAUAUUUUGAUAACUUGUACUACUUUAAAUUUACAAUUUUAAGACUGAUUUUUAAGGUCAACAAUUGUGUGGCUGAAGAAAUGUUUUUUUAACAGGUUAAUUAUCAAGUUGGUCACUGAAGUGAGCUUAAUGUAUCAAGUUGGUCACUGAACUCAAAACGGUAUCAAGAUGGUUACUAAAGUCACCAUAAAUAUCAAACAAGUACCUUGAAAUAUGAGUUCAAGUAGUAAAAAUAUUAUUUAUAAAGUUUUACACAUUAAUUUUAAAUGUUACCACAACCAGCUAAAAGGUUAUGACUUCUAGUAUUUAAAAUAAUAGAAGUUCCACCAAGAUUCAUCACAUGGAUACGGGGUUGUGUUUGCACCACUCAGUUUUCUGUCAAACUUAAUGGAGCUAGUGUGGGGUUUUUCAAGGGUGCUAAGGGGCUGCGUCAAGGUGACCCAAUAUCGCCGUAUCUCUUCACUAUUGCUAUGAAUGUGUUCUCCUCCAUUCUCAACCAAGUCCCUAGUGGCUUUCAGUUUCAUUGGAAAUGCAAAGAGCUCAAGCUUACCCAUCUUUUCUUUGCUGAUGAUGUCCUUAUCUUCUCUAGGGGCGACAGGACGUCCAUUGAGCACAUAAUGGCAUCCCUUGCUCUUUUCUCACGGGUUAGUGGUCUCUCUGCCAACCUUUUGAAAAGUACUUGUUUUCUUAACAACUGUGAUACCCUGUUGAAGUCUUGGUUUGAUCACACCUAUGCUAUCCCCCAUGGCACCUUGCCUGUGCGCUUCCUUGGCGUCCCCCUUAUCACAAAGCAGCUUUGUGUUAAUGACUGCAUGCCUUUAAUUGAAAAAUUAACUGCUAGAAUUGAUGAUUGGACAAACAUUCUGCUUUCUAUAGCUGGGAGAGUCCAACUCAUUAAAUCUGUCCUUUUGGCCAUGGUCUCCUUCUGGACGAGGCACUUCAUUCUCCCUAAGGGUAUACAUCACACCAUUCAAUCCAUCUUGACCCGGUUUUUGUGGAAGGGUUCUCUGGCUGUAGGUGGGGCAAAAGUGGCUUGGGUUGAUCUUUGUUUGCCCAAAGAGGAGGGUGGCCUCGGUAUUCCUAACCCGGCUACUUGGAAUGAAGCUCAAAUCCUCUCACACCUUUGGAAAAUUGUAAACAAAGAUUGUACAUCUUUAUGGGUCAAUUGGGUCAUUCGAACUGUCAUCAAGCACAAGUCCUUUUGGAUGCUUCCAAUCCCAACUGAUUGUUCUUGGAUAUGGCGAAAGAUUCUCACCCUUCGUGACUCUGCUCGAGGCCACCUCAAUUUCAGAAUUGGGAAUGGAGCCACGACAUUGCUUUGGUUGGACCCUUGGUUCAAUUCGACCCCUAUUGCCUCUUGUCCCAGGGAUCCUAUUAUUUCUUAUCUUGGCUCCACCCCCCAAGCCAAGGUUUCUGACUGGAUUUCUCAAGGGCAUUGGGCAAUCCCGGAUCCUAUUUCUUCUCAGCGUCGCAGCCGAGCCCGCUUUGAUGACUGGUUGGCGACCUUCACUUUUCCCCCUGUGUCCUCCAAUCCUGAUCUGCUUUUUUGGGACUCUAAUGCAGGAAGCAAUGUUACUGCUCGUCUUAUAUGGGAUACAAUUAGGCACCAUGGCCAUGGUGUGCCUUGGUUUUUUGCUGUGUGGUUCAAACAGGGGAUCCCUCGCUAUCGCUUUCACUCUUGGUUAGUUUGUAAGGAACGCCUUGGCACCCUUGACAGACUCGACCAUUGGGAUCUCACACCUACUUUACAGUGUUAUCUUUGUAUUGGUGGAGUGGAAUCUCACUCCCAUCUAUUCAUGCACUGCCCUUAUACUUCCUAUAUCUUGGAUUUGCUGUUUGCCCCUAUUUACAGGAUUCGGAUCUUACCCCACUGGAAAUGGACGCACCUCCUCGAGCAUCUCAUGACCUGUCCUGAUCCUACCAGGCGAACCAUAUCUCUCAUUGCUGCCCAGGUUACUUCCUACCACUUAUGGCGAGAGAGAAAUGCUAGAAGACACAACAGAGGCUCCUUUGGCCCACGAAAGCUUCUUCAUGGAAUCAUCACUGACUUACAGGCUCGAAUUUUUGGGGAGCCUUGGUUCAUUGCUGCUGUUCGUAGUAAUUGUAUUCUGAGAACUUGUAUAUCACAAUUUGACUAGCUCUUGGGACUGUUUAUUUAUGGGGUUGUUCUGCCCUCUUCUUUCUUUGCUCGACUCUCUAGUUUAAAUCUGUUGUCUUAGAUUUAUCUUAGAGAGUCAUAGAUGGCAGGAUAUUUUGUACAUUCUUUUCUCUUCUAAUACAUAUCUAUUUAGCAAAAAAAAAUAAAAAUAAUAUAUAUAUAUAUAUAUAUUUUAUCAAGUUUAUUUAUAAUUUAUAUUUUAUUAUAUAGUUAUUUUUUUAAUUAAAAAUAAAUAAUAAAUAAACUUGAUAAAAUCUAAAUAUAUUAUCAUAUAUAUUAAAAGUCAUAACCUUUUACUUGGUUUUGGUAACAUUCAAAAAUAAUGUGUAAAAUUUUAUAAAUAAUAUUUUUACUGCUUGAACUUAUAUUUCAAGGUACUUGUUUGAUAUUUAUGAUCACUUCAGUGACCAUCUUGAUACCAUUUUGAGUUUAGUUACCAAUUUGAUACUCCCUCCGUCCCAUUUUAUGUGACCUCAUUUCCUUUUUGGGACGUCCCAAAAAGAAUGAACCUAAAAUACUUACUAUUUUUGAACACUACUUUUUACUAUUGGGAUAAUUAAUUUAUAGGUCCUUGAACUUUGGCCCAUUUUUGGUUCGCGUCCUUGAACUAAGUUUGUCAACGUGCGCAUCCUUAAACUUUGUAAAUUUUCAACUCAGGUCCCUCCGUCAGUUUUUAACUAACGGACGUUAUCUUAAAUUUGGGGGUUUUUGAUUCGUUGAUGGAUUGAUGAAACUGAUGGCAUGGGAAGUUUCGGGAGGUCAAACUGAAGAGAUUCAUGUAGGUUUCGAUGGCGGAAGAUUGCCAAAAUGGUAGCCGGAAUCAAUGGUCAUUUUCCGGCCGCCGGAGAGAUUGUCACCAUUCUGGCAAUCCUCCGCCAUCGAAACCUACAUGAAUGUCUUCGGUUUGACCUCCCGAAGAUUCAUAUACCAUCACUUUCAUCAAUUCAUCAUCGAAUCGAAAACCCCCAAAUUCAAAACCCUAAUUCACUAACUUCCGUUAGUCAAAAACUGACAGAGGGACAUGAAUUGGAAAUUUACAAAGUUUGAGGAUGCGCAUAUUGACAAACUUAGUUCAAGGACGCGAACCAAAAAUGGACCAAAGUUAAAGGACAUAUGAAUUAAUUAUCCCUUUUACUAUUACACCCACUAACUCUAUAUUUUAUACUCUCUUAUUAUUAAAUAAACACUAUUACACCCACUAAUUUUCUCCACUAUCCCAAAUCUAUUAUUAAAUAUUGAUAGGUCCCACCACUUUACCCACUUUUCAACUACAUUUACUACUUUUUUCUUAAUCUCCGUGAAAGUCAAACCCAUUCAUAUAAAAUGGGACGGAGGUAGUACAUAUUAAGCGCACUUCAGUGACCAACCAGAUAAUUAACCUUUUUUUUAAACAUAUUAAGGGCUCUGCUCCAAGUUAUAAGAUGUUGUUGACAGUCUUAAAGACAACAUGGGCAAAAAUGUUUACAAGAGCUCUAUUUUGUAAACGCGAGCUAGCGCGGUUCGAACUCAUUUAACUAGGCUUGGUUAGACUUGUUAAACGAGCCGAAUUUGGGUAAAGGUUUCGGCUCAUUUAAAAACGAGUCGGCUCGACUCGGCUCAUGAAAUUAAACGAGCCGAGUUCGGGUAGAUGUUUAGACUCGAUUAAGUGUAAAAUUAUACGAGCUGACUCGCUCGACUUGUUAAAACCAACUCGUUUAGCUAAAUGAGCCGGGUCGACUCGAUUUGUGAAAUUAAACGAAUCGAGUUCGGACAGAAAAUUAGACUCGUUUAACUAAACGAACUGGUUCGACUCGAUUAAAUUUGACUCGAAUUAGGCCCGGCUUAAAACUCGACAGGCUCGACUUGUAAUACCCUAUCUGUGUAUAUAUGUGUCGACUGUGUGUACUGAACAUAUUCAUCUAAUCUAAAAUUCUCAAUCAAUUUGUUACGCACAAGAUGAAUUAUUAACAAUAUUUGUGUGGAAACUGGGCAGUGGACGACAACCCGACUUUAGUUUUGUAGUUGGAUGGUUAAAAAGAACAUGUACACUUUCUAACAUUGUGUUUUUUGACUUUUACGAACUUUAAUUUCUAUAAUUUAUAAUAUUUUUAUACAAAUAUAGUUUAUAGUCUUUAUUUGCAUACUUACAAAAUAUUUUGAUUAUAUUACUUGUUUAUUCAGAAAUUUUAUUUCUCAUACUUUUUACACAUCGAGAAAUUUGAUUCAGAUUUAACAAAUGACACGAAAUUUUAUUUGUGCAGGAAUUUUACUUCUUCAGAUUUUUUUUUACUCAUCCAUAAAUUUGAUUUAAAUUUAAACAAAUGAUCUCUUAAAUUACGAGAAAUCAAUAAUACUAGGUUUUUCUAAAAUAAAAUUACAAAUUUCAAAACAAAAGUAAAAAUUGAAUCUUGAGUUUCUUUAUGGGGUGAAUCUGCUUUAUAAUUCUAGGCACAUUCACAGAAGCUUGAGGUUUGGAUGUUAAAUUGAUUAGAUCAAGAUGAAAUAAGUCUCUAAGAAAGACCAGCUAAAAAAUGUAAUAAAUAAUUUAAUAACUAACUUAACAGCACGAAGCUUAGAUAGAAGAAAGAGGAGGGAGACAGAUCAAAACUAGUAUGAAUGUGUUGGGUUAAUUUUAUAUGGUAAACUGGUGACUCUUUUCAUUAGAUUUAUGAUCGGAAUAUAGUGGUUACACUAAAAAGUUUCUUUGACGAAGAGUGUUUUCUUUUGUUGAUAUUAUUGUAUCAUUCGACAACUAUGUAUAGUGUAUGCUGACAAGGCCUAAGGCCUACUGAUAUGAAACCACAAGCACAAUAGACAAUUAUACAGUAGGUGAGAUGAAGCGUUUAAAUCUAAACACAUUAGAUUACGGUUGUUAGGGAAUAAGGUGGAAAAAAGUGUUGGACGAGAAAAUAUUAGAAUUUUUUUUUUCGCUUGAUAAUAUUGUAUUUUUCAACAAUUUUUUCCGUCUUAGAAUCCGGAUCCUUGGAUUAAUUAUCUGGUUUCUUAUAAUCUGAACCGUGAUCUUUGUUAUGAGAAAUUUACUUAAAUUUAUUAAAGCGACUUAUAGAGUCUAGUCAGUCAAUGUUGUCAGCUGCUUCCUAGAAGAUAACUGAGUGGAGUUUGUCAAUCAACUUUUUCAGCAACCAGCUCUCUCCUUCCUCCCAAGUCCUGAUGAAUUUCUCAUUCUUUCUCUGAAACAUAUAAGAGCUCCUUACUUCUACUAGACACUCAAUUCUCGCAUUCUCUUUUGUUAUGCAAAAUGGCCAGAGGAGAAGAGCCUGUGAUCGGAAUCGAUCUCGGAACCAUGUACUCAUGUGUUGGAGUUUUUCAAAACGGUCAUGUAAAGAUAAUUGCCAGUGAGCAUGGUGGGAGGAAGACACCAUCUUGUGUGGCUUUCACUGAUACUGAGAGGCUUAUUGGCGAAGCUGUAAUUGACCAGGCUGGGAUGAAUGCUGCUAACACUGUCUUUAGUAAGUAUUCUUGCUAUUUUAUGUCUGUUUUCGGUAAGGAUCGAAUUAGGACAAAUUUAAAUAUUCACGCGCACAUAUUUAAGCAAAGGCCAUCGUCUUAACACGUUCAGGUUUUGGGAGGAUCGAGAACUUAACAUAUCCGUUAGGACUUGGGCCAAAUUUUAUUUAUUCUUCAUAGGCAGUGUGGUGAUACAUUUUUGUAGCGUUUCUCACUUCUUAAUGUUGCAAAAGCAUUAAUUAAGAUUCAAGUUAGCCUAUAACUGACAGAACUAUUGUUUGUAUGAUCCUAACAAGAACUCUGUAGUUUCUUCACUCCUUUACCUCUAAACCAUUUUAUAGCUUAAGAUCUAGACCUCGAAGUUCACGAGUACAACCGGCGCUGAUGUAUUUUUCAAACAAACUACUAAAAAGUUAGAUAAUGUAGCAUUAUUUUUGGAAUAAGUGUUAUUGUAGUGUCUUAAGAUUAGCAGACCUAUUUAAGAUAAUACUCCAUUCCGAUUUCUGUUUAAUCUGUCAUAAUCUCCGCAUUAUCUGUGAGAUCAGUUUCAACCCUAAAUGCUCUCCCUUGCUUACCCAAAAUAAUCAAAAACAUAGGUUGGGAGGGGACUUUUGUUACAUUUUCCGGAUGACUGAGGAAUAAGAUCUGAAGGCGCAUAAAAAAAAAUUAAGUUGAUUACAAGUUAUUCUGCUAAACGUGUCCAUGAUCUGAUGUUGCCUGUCCAAAAAAAGUAAUUCUUAUCCUUGUUACUAAUAUUGUGAUUUAUAAAACAGAUGCUAAACAGCUGAUAGGCAGAAAAUUCAGCGACUUGUCUGUACAGCGCGAUAUAAAAAACUGGCAGUGUAAAGUGUUCUCAGGUCCUUUGGAAAAGCCCAUGAUUUUGGUCAAUUACAAAGGUGAGGAGAAGCAGUUCUCGGCAGAAGAGAUCUGCUCCAUGGUUCUCGUAAGGAUGAAGGAAAUUGCGGAGAAGCAUCUUGGAACAACAGUAAGAAAUGCUGUUAUCACUGUCCCUGCUUACUAUAAUGACUCUCAGCGCCAAGCAAUUAGAGAUGCUGGAACCAUUGCUGGCCUGAAAGUAAUGCGCACAAUUGCUGAGCCAACUGCAGCUGCAGUUGCUUAUGGUUUUGACAAGAAGCUGGCAGGAAUCGUUAGUUCAGACGGGGAAAAGAAUGUGCUCAUCUUUGAUCUUGGUGCUAGUAACUGUAACGUGUCUCUUCUUACAAUGGAAGAUGGUAUAUUCGAAGUGAAGGCUACACAUGGUGCGAGUCAGUUUGGAGGGGAGGAUUUUGUUAAUCGUAUGGUCAAUCACUUUGUUGAGGAGUUCAGAAGGAAAAACAAUAAGGACAUAAGUGGUAAUGCGAAAUGUAUGAGAAGAUUGAAAAAAGAAUGUGAGAAGGCAAAAAGGUUGCUCUCCUCUGUCCCAGUGACCAACAUUUAUUUGGAUUAUUUUUACUACGAUGACAGUUUCUCUGCAAAUAUAACUCGUGAUGAUUUCAAUGAGUUAAACAAAGAUCUGUUUGAAAGUUGUGUGGAGCUGGUCAAGAAGUGUUUGAGGGAUGCGCGGAUUGAUAAAAGACACAUCCAUGAGGUGGUCCCUGUAGGUGGAUCUUCUAGAAUUCCUAAAGUGCAGCAGUUACUGAAAGAGUUUUUCAAUGGGAAGGAGCUGUCCAUGGGUUUAAAUACCGAUGAGGGUGUUGCAUAUGGCGCAACUGUCCAGGCUGCGGUUCUGAGUGGCAGAGGCGACGAGAGGUUUCAAGACUUGAUGCUGUUGGAUGUUAAUCCCUUAUCCCUUGGAAUUGAUAUUAAUGGUGAAAUGUCUGUCAUUAUUCCUAAGAACUAUAACAUUCCCGCUAAAAAGUUUAAGAUUUUUCCAACCACUACUGACAAUCAGGUUGCCGUGUUCAUCCAAGUGUUUGAGGGUGAACACAAAUUGACAAAACAUAACAAACUGUUGGGAAAAUUUGUAUUCUCUGGCAUUCCUCCUGCGCCUAGUGGUGUUUCAAAGUACAUAGUGUACUUUGAUAUCGAUGCAGAUGGAUUGUUCAAUGUUUCUGCAGAAAAUGAGAAUUCAGAGCCGUUGGAGGAGAUAAAAGUGCCAACUUACGAGGAUAGAUUUUCAAAAGAAGAGCUUAAGAAGUUGGUACAAGAAGCUAAGAAGUACAAAGCAGACGAUGAAGAGAACAAAAAGAAGAUGGAGGCAAGAAUUGCUGUAGAGUCUUACUUCUAUAACUUGAAGAACAUCAUCAGUGACGAGAGACUAAGUUCCAGAUUUGGGGUAGCCAGCAGGAAGAAAAUGAAGGAUGCUAUUGAUAUCGAAAACCUGUGGUCAAAUGGGAACCAGUUUGUAAAGUUGGAGAACUUGGAGGAAAUUAUUAAGGAGCUCAAGGGACUCGCAAUAUUUUAACAAUGCUGCACUUCUGGGAAUCUUGAUUUUGCCGUGUUGAUAAGUAAGAAUUGCUCGUUUUCCAGUUGAUCAGCUUGUGCAGAGGGGGUAUUCCUAAAGAUUGAGGAGGGUUCUGUCAAGGUCUUGUACCUGCUUGUGUUUGCUUUGGUUGAAAAUUCUGUUUUAUAUUUUAUCUGGUAUCAUGUUCCAUUAUACAGCUUAUAUUACGUGAAUAUAAUAUAAUUCUGGAAAAUAAUUAUAAAAUGUUACCUGGGUUAUAUGGUGACACAUAUGACAUAAAUAAUAUUCAAAUAUUAGAAAAAAGACCCAACUAUAUAAAAAUAUUAAAAUAUUCAUUAUAAAUGACAAGUAAGAUCUUAAUUCAUAUCCAUACCCAUAUUCCAUAUAUUCCAUAUAUACUUAAUACAUGCUAGUGAAUACAAUGGUACGGAUAUGAAUAGUAUGAAUAGAUAUAAAAUUUUAAUUAUCUAUUUAUUAAGAUUAUCGCAAUAGUAUGAAUAGAUAGUAUUUAUAAUACUAUUUAUUCAAUAGUAUGAAUAGAUAUAAAGUUUAAUUUUUUAUAAAUAAAUUUUUUCUAUAUGAAAUCAACAUGGAUAAUUUGAUAUUAUACGAACUAGGAAGAGUAAUCGUGCUCAUCGUAGUUUAUAUAAUUGUUGUUAAUACUAUUAUAAAUUUGCAUACUUUUUAUCUUUUUUUUUUGAUAAAAAUCGUGAUUUUUUUUUUUGUAUUAAUAAUUAUAAAAUCUUAAUGGGAGCUCACGAAGCGCGGGCAUAAUUGCCUAGUACAAUAAAUAACAUGUAAUAUUUGAAUAACAAAAAGAAAAUAUAUAAUUUCCAUAAAAAUCUACUCCCUCCGUCCAUCAGAUUCUUUACAGUUUUUUUUUGAUGUCCCAUCCAAUUCUUCACAUUUCAAAACUUAACAAAAUUAGUCGAUGGGUCCCACCACUACUCCCUCCGUCCCUUUUACAUGUCCACUUUGGAAAAAAAAUUUGUCCCAAAUUACUUGUCCACUUCUCUUUUCAAAGCAACUUUUUGUAUGAGUUUUCAAAAAGUAACAAUUUUCAAUGUUUAACUAAUAUAUAUAUAGGGGAGGGUUCUGGUACAAACUUACAAACUUUUUUUGUUCAACACAUAUAUAACUUGAGUUCAACGUUUUUUAAGAUAUUUUGUUGAACAUCGAUUAAAAUUGUGUUGGAGAAGUACAUAAACUAAUUUUUUAAUAUAAAAACUAAGUUAAACCUAUUAUAUAACCAAGAGAAAAGUUAUAUGGAGACCACUUUUUUUGGAGACCGUGGAGACCAUUAUAUUCUGCAAGUAAAAUAUUGCAUAAAAACAUUGCAAAACUCAUAAUUUUGCAAAUCAAAACACAUUAUUUUGUGAAAUAUGUACUACAAAUAUCACAAAUUCAUCAAAGUUAUUGAAGAACAUCUAUGUUUAAUAAGUAGAAUGUGUAUGUUCUGCAAAUUGAACAAAUGUUCUGCAAACUAAACAUAUUCCGCAGGACAAAACAUUUUGUAAUAUUCUNAUAUGUACUACAAAUAUCACAAAUUCAUCAAAGUUAUUGAAGAACAUCUAUGUUUAAUAAGUAGAAUGUGUAUGUUCUGCAAAUUGAACAAAUGUUCUGCAAACUAAACAUAUUCCGCAGGACAAAACAUUUUGUAAUAUUCUACAUGCAAAACAUACAUGAUAUUCAAGAUUUUAAAUGAUAUAAGAAUCUUUGCACAACCUGUUUUGCAAAAUUAUGAGUUUUGCAAUAUUUUUAUGCAAUAUUUUACUUGCAGAACAUAAGUGGUCUCUACGGUCUCCAAAAAUAGUGGUCUCCAUAGAACUUAACUUAUUUAUAUUUCUAGACCCUACCCAAACCCCAGAGGUAUAGUUUAAGCAUCUCUAUAAAUGUAUUCAACACAAUGAUAACUAAUGUUCUACACCCAAUGUUGAACCCCAGUUACAAAUGUGUUGAAUGCACGAUUUAUUUAUGCGUUAUUUUUAUAAUUGUGACGUUUUUUCAAUAAUUUUAAAUAUAAAUACUUUCUAUAACUAAGGAUUAACAGGUUGGGAGAAUAAAAAAAAUUCAAAAAAAAAGUUUGUAAGUUUGUAAGUUAAAAAAGUUUUUAUUUGAUCCUAUCCCUAUAUAUAUAUAUAUACACAACUCUAUCUAAUUCAUUACAUUUAUUAGAGAUAUGUAUGAAAACAAGAUAUCCAACUAACAUUUUUUUAAGAUACGUUAUUUUUUCAAAAGGGACAAGUAAAAAGGGACGGAGGGAGUAUCUAAUUUUUCCUCUCUUUUCACGCUAUAUAUAUACACAACUCUAUCUAAUUCAUUACAUUUAUUAGAGAUAUGUAUGAAAACAAGAUAUCCAACUAACAUUUUUUUAAGAUACGUUAUUUUUUCAAAAGGGACAAGUAAAAAGGGACGGAGGGAGUAUCUAAUUUUUCCUCUCUUUUCACGCUACUUUUACUCUCUUUUCACAUUACCUUUACUCCACUAUCUCCUUUUUAUACAUUAAAAAUUAAUGGGUCCCACCACUUCACCCAAUUUUCUUUCUCUUUCACUAUUUUAUACGUAUUUCUUAACCUCUGUGUCCAACUCCAAUGUAAAGAACUCACCGGGACGGAGGGAGUACUUAGAUAUGCAAUAUCUAACAAUUAAUAUCAUUUAAUAUCUAAUUAGCAAAAACAAAACAUGCAAUAUCCAAGAAAAUCCACAAGAUAUGCAAUAUCCCAGAAGAUUUUUAUAGAUUUAAUUUCUAACAAUAUUUAUUACUAGUUAAUACACAACAACUAUAAAUAUCAUGCACAUUUUAUUUCCAAGCAUCAUCCUCACAUCAAAGACAUUAUUCAUUUUGUUGAAUUUAUAAUCAGUUGUUUCUUAAGACCUAGUAUGGAGAAGGCUCGAGUCAACAAAAUUAUUUCUCUUCUUGUAUUUUGGUCAUGGUGUGCGAUAUGUCAUGUAGUUCUACAUAGUUAAUCUAUCAAUAUAUAUUAUAAAUAAUAUAAUUUUGUGCUUCGUGAUCUCUGAUGUCAAUGAAAUAUUAUUAUUUUUGAUAAUUUAUGCAGAUUUAAAAUUAAUGGGAACAAAUGCAUCAGAUACACAAUGCAAAAGUGACAAUGAUUGUGAUUUAGUAUGUACCGAUAAAGCCAAAUGUGCAAAAGGUGAAUGUCAAUGCGUACUUUUUGGUUACGUUCCUGGCCCUAUUCGUGGUCAUGGUUUUGAUGAUAUGUAUGGUAGGUAAACAAGUAUGCAAGAAUGGUGUGUGCAAAUGUGUAGGACAUAUCGGUGACGAGAAUGAAGGACGCGGGGGCAUUUAUUAACAUAUGUAUAAUGAUUAUUUUUUCAGUGAUAUCAACUUAAUGAUUAGUUCAAUUUCUUGCUCGAUUACUUUCUUUGUUUUGACUCGAUUUUUUAUAUUUUCCGACACUAAUUAAGUAUAUAAACUUUUUUCCAACACAAUACAUAUAUUAAGACAAAUGAAAGUAAAACAAACAUCAUUUACCUAAAAUUACUAACCUUCUAAUUUUUUUUAUUUCUUUGGUCACAAACUGACUUCUAAUUUAACCUUGAAUAAUUUUUUAUUUUCAACAAUAUGAAAUAUUCUCAACUAGUGACGCUUCAUAAUUUGUUUUGGGGCCAGUUGAUAGAGGAAUACAAUCGACAGAGUAAAUUAAAUAAGAGGAUGUAAAAUCGUGAUCGGUUACGUGAUUAGAGUAAAACUCAAAUAGACAAAAAAAACUUAAAUUAAUAAACAUCAGUAAAAAAUGAAUUGUAUAGAGUCGAACCAAAAUUAAAAAGUUAGAAACAAUUAAUUUUUUUAAACUUUAUUAAUAAAUUACAACCAAACGGAGAAAAUCAGACUAAUUUGAUUAUUAAGAUAAAAUCCUUUUAAUAAUAUAUAUAUACAUAUAUAUAUAGAGAGAGAAAUCUAUAUAUAUAUUAUAUUAUAAUAUAUUAUAUUAUAUUAUAUAAGUAAUAUAUUUUUAAUAUAUGCAAUUUUUUAAGUUACUAAUCUCUAAAUUAUUAAGCAAUGUGUUGUUAAUUUUCUUAAAUGGCAAGUUGUAGGGGGUGUAUUCCGUUGAGAUUUUAAUGAAUUAUAUAUUGAGUUUGUGAAUUUUAAUGGAUUGUAUUUGAUUUAAAUUUUAUACAGAUUCUUAAUAAAAAAUGACUGAGUUGAUGAGAGUCUUUAGGAUUUAAACACGAUACUUCAAAAUCUCAUAGAUUUUGGUGGAAUUUCAAAUAUCCUAAAAUACACCGAAUAAUCUAAAAUAUCCAUCAUUUUAUGAAGUUCAAAAAGAGCCAUGAGCAAUUGAAUACCAUCAAUGGAUUUUAAAUAAUCCAAAUUGAAUACCAUCGAAUUUUAAAGCAUAAUUUAAAAUCCUGAUUGAAUAUCACCAGAUUUUGUAGCAUAAUUUAAAAUCCUAAUUGAAUAUCCCAUGAUUUGAUCAUUUUUUAAAAUUCGAGUUCAAUACCCUCGAAUUUCAUAAAUAAAAAGAAAUAUUUACAAUUCCAAUUAAAUACACUCUCUAAUUUAGUUUUAUGGAUUUCUUUGAUAAUUUUAACUUGCCACUUGAGUGCUUGAGCAUGGAUUGUCCAUAUAUAUAUAUAUAUAAGGAUAUAUUGUCCUUCUAUGGUCACCUUGAUAUCUCGAUUUAUUCUUACUCAUCCUAUCAUUGGACAAAUAAUUCUGUAGACUUCAGGCCCGCGAUAUUUUCACCCGAGAGUUGCAGGGACUAAGAGCUUUAAGGUUUAUAGUAGAAAUAUUAUUUCAAUUAAAUUUUGUUUAUAUUAUCUCACUAGAUUUUAUAAUUUAAACCAAAUUAAUAGUGAUUAGCCCAUGUUUUUAUUUUAAAACUGUCAAUUACAGCUGCGCUUUCGACGUCAAAUAUCUAAUAUAUCUGCUUUCUUGUAAGAAAUGUGCACCAAUGUGAUUCGAGGAUCAUAUUACAUGUGAUUUAAAACAAGUUUGUGAGAACAAAGAACGGUAAGACAAUCGUCCAUAUCAUGAUAAAAUGCAGAACUAUAUAUCAAGAAUAACAAUAAUAUGAAAUAUGCGAUAUUAGUUUUUGAUUAUGAUCGACAAUUACACAAAGAACAUGCACCAUCGACCUAAUGCGAAAAAUGUUUGACAACAAAUUCUAUAAUAUCUGUUCCUCGAACAAUCGAGUAUGAACGAAAUCAUUGUUACCAGUAUUACAUACACAUACGCCCUUAUCACAAUCCACAAAAUCACAGGCCAUUCGAGGACAGUCCGCUUUAGUUUUGCAUCGGGCAGCAUUUGAAUUUUGUAAAGUGCCUGGAUGAAUAAAUUGAUAUACUUGUUAAAUUAAUUAACAUAUUAUAAAUUAUUCUCUAUGUAGCUCUAUAAUGUAAACAUUGCAACUUGGUGAACAAGAUAGGACAUACCGCAAAUCAUAAGCAAUAAAAUAAAAAACCCGCACGUGUUUAGUGAAAGUUUGAGCAUGUUGUGCAUAAAAGAUACUAGUACUAUUUAUCGAUAUUAUUAGUAAUUGCAACGUACAAGUUUCAUUGUAAUAUUGCAAUUGCUUAUAUAAUUAACAUGGUCCAUAUUGCAUUAAAUAAAUGUAUUAAUGAUAAAUUUAUUGUCUCCAGCUAACAUGUAAUAUGCCAGGUAACGAUAAAUUUAUUGUCUCCAGCUCACAUGUAUAUGCUAGUCUCCCAUCAACGAGUGUGAAGACUAUCAUUCAGUUUUAUACAAACGAAUCAUGAUCUUUAUUUGGGGGCUUGUGAUGGACUUGUAGAUUACUCAAAUCUUUCUUUUUAACAUCAAUCAUCAAUCCCUAACUAUCGUCAAAUUUUCAUUCAACAACAUCUUAUAGCUAUCUAUUUCUUUUUUUUUAACUAACUAAAUCUCGCUCCAACUUGGCUCAUAUUUUUUGAGAAAAUAAUUUUUUCAUAAACGACUUUUUAAAAAUUUCCCGUAUAGGAUUGGACACCUUAUUCCUCUUUACCUAUCGCCCACCUCUUAUUCAUAAGACACCAAUUAUAAGCGCUUCCCCGGAGUUGGUAGCUUGCAAGACUAAGUUUAACUUGAUGAUUUUUUUUUUCCAUCUCUAAACAGGAUGUAAUCAUUUAUCGACUUUUGAAGGUGUUAGGUAGAUUUCUCGAAAGGUUGGGGACUUGCCUUCUCAGGAUCCGUUUUAAGGUGUUGAUGAAAUUUGAUAUACUCUUAGAAAAAAUCCAUUUAAAAAAGUGAUGUAGAAAUCAGAUAACUGUUUUGCAAUUUUUUUGAUAUUUAUAUAUUUUGAGUUAUAAGAUAAAAAAAAUAAUUUUUGGUGAGUUUUAAUAGUAAAAAAAGUUUUUUCCAAAAAUAUAUGGGAACCUGCUUUUCCUAAAUAUAAUUUUUGAGCUAAAAGCCGCUAUUCGAAAAAUCUGCUUUUAAAUAUAACAAACAGUUUUUCACAUGUUUUUCAAUAAGAAAAUUUAUGUUGCUGUUUGUCAUAACAAUGCCAAACGGAGCUUUAAACUAAAGUUGACUUUUUGAUUCAGUUGUUUGUUCCCAACCAAUGUCGUUGAAGUUUCGCCAAUUAAUUCAUCAUAUUUAUAUCUUUGUUAUCAUUGUUAUUACCGUUUCCGCUUUUGUUUCGUUGGUGAGUUAUGACUGCUACAUAAUUCAUUUAUAACUUAAUCAUAGUACAAAUAGCAAACAAUAUUCGAACAAAUAUGCAUGACAAAAUAAACGCAAUGCUUGAAUUUGUACUAGUAAAUUGACUGAAAAAGAUAAUUUUUGACGACUUAUAAGCCUAUAAUAUUGUGUCACUAUGUUUUUGUGAUUUUAAUGAGUUGUAGAUUUAAUUUAUGUAACUUUCAAUUUUUUAUGUGAUACAAUAAUUCUGAUUCUACAAUAACUAUGAAAUUAUAAAAAUAUCAAAUGAGGUGUUUUAUUUGAAUUAUGAAGUUAAAUUUAUUUGUAUAACUCAAUACUUACGAAUUUACACAUAUUUAAGUUAGAAAGUGAGAAAAAUUGACUUAGAUAUAUCUAAAUUAUUAGUAAUUUAUAGAGCUUCAUUUCCUUGCAUAUAUAUUAUAUUAGACUAUAUUUUUCUAUGUUGGUUUCUAGGAAUUCUAUUAUCAUUUUGAAUUUUAUUUCCUAAUUAAUUCAUGAUAUUUCAGGUUUAGUUUUAAUGUUUAAAUGAAAGCUAACUGUCUGAAAAUUUAUAUUAAUACAUUUCAAAUUUAUUUCCGUCAAAAUACAUUUAAAAAAACUAGACAUAUUAUACUAAGUUUAGAAAAAUAGGCUUUCGGCCCAAACCAACAAAUAUUAUGCUCCAAUAACACAAUAUAAAUUGUAAAAUUCUAAUCAAAUUUUGAUUCUGAUAUUUAAACCAUAUAUGUAUGAGUUUAAUUGUAUACAUUUUAUUUGAGAUUUAUCGAGGAAUAUUAAAAUAUUAAUUAUAAAUAACAAGUAAGACCUUAAUACAAUAAAUAAUAUGUAAUAUUUGAAUAGCAAAAGAAAAUAUAUAAUUUUCAUAAAAAUCUACUAGAUAUGCAAUAUCCAACAAGUAAUAUCAUUUAAUAUCUAAUUAGCAAAAACAAAACGUGCAAUAUCCGGAGAAAAUCCAUAAGAUAUGCAAUAUCCCAGAAGAUUUCUAUAGAUUUAAUUUCUAACAAUAUUUAUUACUAGUUAAUACACAACAACUAUAAAUAACAUACACAUUUCAUUUCCAAGCAUCAUCCUCACAUCAAAUACAUUAUUCAUUUUGUUGAAUUUAUAAUCAGUUGUUUCUUAAGACCUAGUAUGGAGAAGGCUCGAGUCAACAAAAUUAUAUCUCUUCUUGUGUUGGUCAUGGUGUGCGGUAUGUCAUGUCUACAUAGUUAAUCUAUCAAUAUUUAUUAUAAAUAAUAUAAUUUUGUGCUUCGUGAUAUCUGAUGCUAAUGAAAUAUUAUUAUUUUUUGAUAAUUUAUGCAGAUUUACAAUUAAUGAGAACAAAUGCAUCAGAUCUACAAUGUAAAAGUGACGGGGAUUGCAAAUAUUAUGCUGAAUGUGUCGAUGGUAAAAUGAGAUGUGUAAAAGGUGAAUGCCGAUGCAUACAUUUUGGUAUCCCUGGCCCUCAACCUAGUCACGGUUUUGAUGAUGAUAAGAAAGUUAACAACGAGGUUAGAUGUAAAACAAUGAGAGAUUGUUUAAAUUAUCUAUGUUUAGUAGGUAAACAAGUAUGCAAGAAUGGUGUGUGCAAAUGUGAAGGACAUGUUGGUCACGAAAAUGAAGGACGUGGAGGAAUUUAUUAAUAUAUAUAUAUGUAAUGAUUAUUUCUUGAGUUUUAUCAACUUAGUGAAUUAGUUCAAUUUCUUGCUCUAAUUACUUUUCUUUGUUUUGGCUCGAUUUUUAAUAUUUUCCAACACUAAUAAAGUACAUAAAUUUCCCCCCCACAUAAUACAUGUGGUAAGACCAAUGAAAGUAAAACAAUCAUCAUUUGACUAAAAUUUCUGACCUUCUAAUUUAUUUAUUUUUGUGUGUCACAAACUGACUUUAUACUUAAACCUCAAAUAAUCUUUUAUUUUCAUUUUCAAGAAUAUGAAAUAUUAUGAACUAGCAACACUUCAAAAUUUGUUUUGAAGUUAUUUGAUAGAGGAAUACAAUCGACAAAAUAAAUAAAAUAAGAGGAUGUGAAAUAGUGGUCAAUUACAUGAUUAAAGUAAAAUAUUGGAUAGAUACAAAACUGAAAUCAAUAAAAAUUAGUAAAAACAAAAUCAUAUAGUUGAACCAAAAUUAAAAAGUUGAAAACAAAUACAAAAAUUAACUUUAUUUAUCAAUUACAAAGAAACAGAAAAAAAUCAGACCAAUUUGAUAAUUAAAAUAGCAUCCUUUUAAUAAUUUAUAUACAUUUUUUAUAUAAAUAAUUAUGUAUUUUUAAUAUUAGCAGUUUCUUAAGUUAUUAAUCUCUAAAAUUAAAAUUGAGCAAUGCAUUGUUAAUUUUUUUAUAGGGGAAAAUUCUAGGGGGUGUAUUCAAUUGAAAUUUUAAAAUUUUUUAUAUGAUCUAUGGAUUUUAAUGGAUUGUAUCUGAUUUUAAUUUUAUACGGAUUCUUGAUAAAAUAUGACAGAGUUGAUGAGAGUCUUUAGGAUUUAAACAGAAUACUUCAAAAUCUCAAGGAUUUUGUUGGAAUCUCAAAUAUAUUCAAAUACACCGAACAAUCUAACAAAAUUCAUCAUUUUAUGAAGUGCUAAAAAAUUCAUGAGCAUUUGAAUACCAUCAAUGAAUUUUAACUAAUCUCAAUUGAAUACUAUCGCAUUUUAAAAUAUACUUAAAAUUCUGAUUGAAUACCACCAAAUUUUGUAGUAUAUUAUAAAAUCCUAAUUAAAUAUCCUAGGAUUUGAUAAAUUUUUUAAAAUUCGAGUUGAAUACCCCUAAAAUUUCAUCAAAAAAACAAAUCUUUUAAUUCAAUUGAAUGCGCUUCAUAAUUUAAUGUUAUGGAUUCCUUUAAUAAUUUUAACUUGCCACUUGGGUGCUUGAGCAUGGAUUGUCCACAUAUAUAAGGAUACAUUGUCCAUCUGAGGUCACCUUGAUAUCUAAAUUUGAUUCUUACUCAUCCUAUCAUUGGACAAAUAACUUUUUAUUUGGAAAUGUUACAAGCACCGUGAUAUUUUCUCCCGAAAGUCGCAAAGACUAAGAGCUUUAAGGUUAAUAAUAGAAAUAUUAUUUAAGUCAAGUUUUGUUUAUAUAUCAUUAGAUUUUAUAAUUUAAACCAAAUUAAUAGUUAUUAGAUCAUGUUUUUAUUUUAAAUCUGUCGAUUACAAUGACGCUUUAAAUAUCAAAUAUCUAAUAUAUUUGCUAUCUUGUCAGAACUUCGCACCAAAGCGAUUCGAGGGUCAUAUCACACAUGAUUUAAAACAACUUUGUGAGAACAGAUAAAUGUAAGACAUGCGUCCAUAUUAUGGUAAAAUUUAAUUUAUUAAGCUUGUUAUAUUAAUUUUUAAAAAUAUGUUGUGAUUAGUUGGAUUUAAAAAAUCGAAUCGGCAAAGUAACUUGCACAAUUAGUCAAUCAAAUUGGCAAUUUCUGUAUUGAUAAGUUGUUCAGUUUCUUAAAUAUAUCUUGCACUCAAGUGAUUUCAUCUGUUGAUAAGAAGACCAGGUGAUUAGGUUACAUAUUAUCUUGUGUUAGUUCUCUAAUUAUUUAAUUUAUUAUGUCGCGGUCUUUAUUUAUGAAUACUAGUUGAUGAUCCGUGCCAAGCACGGGUUUAAAUAAAAUUUUAAUUUUUUUUAUUUAUUGGAAACAUAAUAUUUUUUGAAUUACAUUAUCAUAUUUUUAUUAUAUUUAUUUAAAUUAUUAUUUUUAAAUGUUAUUUAGAUUAUUAUUAAUUCGAUAUAAGACUUUCUAUAUAUUAAAAUUUGAUAUUAUUUUUGUAAAUAAUGAAUUUUAAUUAUAUAACAUAUUUAAGUUAAUUAAAUUAAAAAUUCCUUUAAACUUCGGUAUUAGUUUGUCAUACAAACAACUACUAUUCCUAAGUCUAAAAGAACUCCAACCCACAUUAGAAUUACCCAUUCUAACUCUAAAAUAAUUACGGAUUAAAUAUACAUAACACAUAUCUAUUAUAACUCUAAAUUAAUUACAAAUAUUAGAAGUCUAAAAAAAUUCUUAAGUUAAAUAACUUAAAUAUGUUUUUUAAAUAAAAUUCGCAAUAAAUAAUGAAAUAAAAAUAAAACAAAAUAAUAAUUGAGUUUCUUAGCUUAUUUUUUAUUUUAUGUUCUUAUAUCUACAUAAAAACUCUGUCGACUUAUUAUAUUUAUUUGAUAGGAAUUUUAUUGAGUUGAUUCAUAUUUAUUGGAUAGAAAUUUUACAGAGUUAAUUCCUAUGUUAAAUUGUUCGAUAAAUAUAUAAUUUGUAAUUAAUUUAGAGUUAUAAUAGAUAUGUGUUAUGUAUAUUUAAUCCGUAAUUAUUUUAAAGUUAGAAUAGGUAAUUCUAACGUGGGUUGGAGUUCUUUUAGACUUAGGAAUAGUAGUUGUUUGUAUGACAAACUAAUAGGGUUGGUUCAGCUGGUUAAAGAGAGGACAUAGGUUUACCCAGUGCGCACCCGAAGGGUAGCGGCUGCGGGUUCCUACGUUAAAAAAAAAAAAAAAAAUAUAGAAGUUUAAAGGAAUUUUUAAGUUAAUUAACUUAAAUAUGUUUUAUAAAUAAAAUUCGUUAUUUAAAUAUUUAAUUUAUUUUAUGUUCUCAUAUCUGCACAAAAGCUCUUCUGACUCCCUAUAUUUAUUUGAUAGUAAUUUUAUACAGAAUUCAUAUUUAUGUGAAAAGGAUUUUAUAGAGUUAAUUUCUAAGUUAAAUUGUUUCAGUUCUAAAAAUUACAAUAUUUAGUUAUAUUGGGAUAGAAUUAUAUACUAUGAAUAAUCGUUAUGUAAAAAAGUCAUGAGCAGUAUAAUGACCAAAUUUUGGUACUGAAACGUGAUUUCGCUUAUUAACAAAGGGUAUUGAUUGUUUCCGGAAGUUCUUGCAAAAAUCUAAUAAGAGCAAAUUUUUGUGAUUAAUUUAUGAAAGGUCCUACCAUGCACAAUCAAGCAGACAAAUGGAGAUGAAAAGAAAAGAUUGCCCAAACACGCCCUAUAUAGGAUCCAGCCAUUCAAGAUUAAUGGAUUGGUCUGAAGUCACAUUCUGAACUAUUAGCCAGGGAUUUACUUGUAGUUACCGUUGGUAGAAUUCUGGAACAUCGGUUUCGUUGGUGAAAGUGAUCACAAUGAGGUUACUCUGCUCUGAAUUAUUGCGGCCUGCAGCGGCUAAAAUUUGAGUUGGCUUGAAAAAUGAUGUGUAUGAACACAUUGAAAUUAGCCUUUUGCUGUCUGAAUUGUUCAUAGUCAACUUUAUAGCAUCCUACAUCGUCCUAUUGAUUUUUUUUUUCUAUGCAGAUUAGUUAUUUCAGCAGAAGAACUUUAUGUAUUUUUAUUGACUUUAUAUUUGCACUUUUUUUUAGGGUUUUGGAGAAUGGCUGGUGAAGCAGAAGGGCCUGCAGUUAGGAUUGAUCAUGUGCUCAUGUGUUCCAUGUACAAAUUUCAACUGUUUAUACCAAUAAAAUUACAGACCAUGGCCACACAAUAUGAUCACAAUUUUACGCCUUGUAAACCUAUAUGUUAUGCUAUCAUAUCGAAAAAUGAAUAAAUUUAACCACUUCAGAAAGAACUUAUGCGUCAAUUCUCAUCCAGAUUGCAGAAUUACUGGAUUUGAAGAAACUAAUGAAACUCAUUCAGAAAUUUGCAGUUGACUAAAAAAUGCAGUACAGUAUAUUAAGCCUUUUGUUCUCUUAAGCUGCUCAAAAGUGCGAAUGCAGAUUUUAUUUUGAAGCUGAGAAGGCAGAUUAUAUUAAGCUUCUUGUACUAAUAUUUUAAUUAGUCUUUGUUUUGAUGUUGUAUUCCCGUUUAAAAGUGUUUCAGUUCUAAAUUGGCUUAAUGACCUUUUAGCCCUCGAAGUAUGUAUGAAUGUUCCGAUGCGGCCUCGAUGUUUAAAACCGUACCUUUCGACCCUCAAAGUAUCCGAUACGUACCUUUUAGUCCUUUUCCUAAAAAACGGUAUAAAUCGGGGGGUAAAGUAGAGAAUUCCUAAUUUGGGUUAAGUUUAUGCGUACCCUUUAAACCCUAAAGAAUACAAAAAAUAGAAAACACAGUGAAGAAGCUCGAGCUGCUGCGGAUAGAAGAAACAAGGCGCGAUUGGGUGUGGAUUGAAGUCUUAGAUCGUGAUGGCUAGCAUAAGCGACAGCUCCGCUGGUAAUUUCUUAACCCUUUUCUCAAUUGAAUAUGAUGAUUAACCCCCCCCCCCCCUUGUAUCUGCAUCAUUUUCAUAGGGUUUUUGUUUUUCUGUAUGAUUAUUUUCCAAUGUUCAUCUCGUGAUUUUGUGAUUAAAAGGUGAUGAUGCUAUAAUGUUGAGUAUGUUUCAUGGUGGGUCUUUGAAUUGGGUCCCCGUUACCGAAUAUGUUGGGGGUAGAGUCACCGUGUACAAUUUUAGAGACCAGGACGAAAUUAACAUGGAGAGUCUGAGAGCAUGGAGUAAAGCUCUGGGUUAUGGGGGUUUGAGCUGUCUCUAUUAUAGGAUUCCUGAUAGAGAUCUUGAUGGAGGGUUGGUUUUAUUGAAAGAUGAGAAAGAUGUAGGAGAUAUGUUGUCAUUUGCUAUGGAAAAUGACAACAAAAUAGAUGUUUAUGUGCAACAUUCUAAUCAGGAGUUUGAAGAAAAUUUUGGAGGGGUGAAUGAUGCAGCUGAAGAACGCAUGAGUGUGGAUGAACUUGAGGACUCUGAUUUUGCUGAAUCAGAUUAUUCGAUGACUGAUGAUGACUUGCUCUUUAAUGAUAAAGUUGAUGCUGGAGUUGAAUGGGUUGGUGUAUUGAGGGCUGGACUGGGAUUAGCAGAAGAAGUGCCGUUGGAGCCAGAAGAUGAAGAACAGAGUGAGUAUGACAGUGAUGAUCUUGAAAGCUUGGAUGGCAAUGAUUUAGAGGAGGGUGAAGGCAGUAGUAGAAGGAAAACAUUUCCAAUCUACAAGGACACAGAAGAUCCAAAGUGGACAGUUGGGAUGGUUUUCACUGAUCACAAACAAUGCAGAGAAGCUAUAAUGAAACAUUCAGCUAGUGAAGGUAGAGUGAUAAGGUUUGUCAAGAGUGACAGAACAAGGGUGAAGGCUGUGUGUAAAGCUCCAUGCCAGUGGUCUCUUUUUGCCUCUCUCAACUUCAACAAAACCAUGCAGUUAAAGAAAGUGGGCCCAGGUACAUUUUGAGGUUAUUUGUGUCUUUUUACAAUGCCAACUGGGUGAAUGCAUAUUGUAUUUAUGUCUUCUUUUUCUGACAGAGCACACAUGUGCUAGAGAGCAGAGGGGGUUACCUCUGAUAAAUUCAGGAUUCUUGGCAAGGAAAUAUCUGGCAGAAUUCAGAAUCAACCCCUCUUGGCCAGUGAAAGCAUUCCACAACACAGUUUUAAGAGAUCUGCAGCUGGAUAUCAAGCCUCACAUCUUGAGAAAAGCAAGGAGAAAGUGUAUGAGAAUUAUGAAUGGGACACUUGAAGAGCAGUUCCAGAAGCUGUGGGACUACAGGACAGAGCUUCUCAAAAGGAACCCCAACUCAACAGUUGAGAUUGACAUAGAGCCAGGUAUUGUAUCUAAUUAUUUCACUUUAAAAUGCUUUAUGUGUACUUUUUUUUUAAAUUCCAGAUCUGUGCUUGUAGGGGCUGUUGGAGUCUUUAGAAGGAUGUACAUCUGUCUAGGAGGGCUCAAGCAUGGCUUUAAGCUUGGUUGCAGGAAGUUCAUAGGUUUGGAUGGCUGUCACCUGAAAAGUGCUUACAAAGGUCAGUUACUCUGUGCUGUGGGUUUAGAUGGCAAUAAUUGUAUGUUUCCUAUAGCAUAUGCAGUAGUUGAGGCUGAGAAACUUGAUUCCUGGAGAUGGUUUGUGGCUUAUCUUGUUCAAGAUUUUGAUAUAGGCCUAGGUGAUGGUUGGUCCUUCAUUAGUGAUAGGCAGAAGGGGCUUUUGAAUGUAGUUCAAGAGAUGUUACCCAUGGCUGAGCAUAGGUAUUGUGUUAGACACUUACACAAUAAUUUUAAGGGUAAGUAUGGGGGUAGGUCUUUGAAGGACAAGCUUUGGGCUUGUGCUAGGGCAUCAAAUAUUGAGGCAUUUCAGGUUGCUAUGACCAACAUUAAAGAGGAGAAUGAGGGUGCUUGGAAAUGGUUGACAGAGGUUCCAUUCCAUCAUUGGACUAGAUCUCAUUUCAAAACAGAGUCAAGAUGUGAUCUUCUUUUGAACAAUAUGUGUGAGAGUUUUAAUAGGUGUAUUUUGGGGGCUAGGGAGCAAGGAGUUCUAUUGAUGUUAGAAAUGAUUAGAGAAUACCUGAUGAGGAGGCUGCAGACAAAAAGAGAUGAAAUGGUUUCUUGGGAGGACAAAAAAUUUACUCCAAAAAUCUACAAGAUUAUUGAGAAAAACAAGAAACUGAGUGGAUCUUGCUACUCCACAUAUGCUGGUUAUGAUGAAUUUGAAGUUACUACAUUCACUGGUUCCAAGUAUGCUGUCCAUCUAGGAAACAGGACCUGUGGGUGUAUGAGAUGGGACUUGUGUGGCAUACCUUGCCAACAUGUCAUAAGUUGCUUGAAUAGGAUGGGGUACAGUGUAGAGGACUAUGUUGACAAGGUCUACACCACAGCCAACUACAAAAAAGCUUACUCUGGAAUAAUCUAUCCCAUGAAUGGUCACAAUUUGUGGGAGAAGAGUGGUUUAGUAAUGAAACCACCAACUGUUGAGAGGCAACCAGGAAGGCCCAAAAAAAGGAGAAGACCAGAGAUGCCAGACUUAGUUGAAAAGGAGAUUGAAGGUGUGAAGACUUUAAGCAAGAAAACUCAAUUAACUGUGAGGUAGUAAUUUCCUAUAUUUUCUUUAUUUUUUGCCUUUUUUGCCUUUUUCUAUGCUUUAUAAGAUUUUCUUACAUUUAUGCAGGUGUGGGAAGUGCAAGGAAUUUGGCCAUAACAAAAGGACUUGCCCUUCACUUCAUCCAGUUGAGGCAAAUGCUGAGGCAGAAGCUGCAAAUGCUGAGGCAGAAGCUGCAAAUGCUGAGGCAGAAGCUGCAGAUGAAGGAGAUAGUGCUGAACUGCAAGAAACUGCAAUUGAUUAUCCUGACCAAGGUCCACCCUUGACUCAACAAAGUCAAGAGUUUGAGGGACCUCUUGUUGAAGAAGAGGGGGACAGUGAGGGUGAAGCUGCAAGUGAGGACAAUGAGGGUGAAGCUGCAAGUGAUGCAAGUGAGGAGAGUGAGGAUGAUGAAACCCCUCUAGCAAUUGCAGCAAAGAAGAUUAGGCAAAUGAGGAUCCAAAAAAUGGGGUUGACAACAACCAAAGAUUCACCUAUCAUGGUUGCAGCUGGAAAACUGAAGACCCUUAAAGAGAUAAUGGAUUCAGAAAAGAAGAAGGAAACAAGUGUUGCAGAGGCUCAAGCUGUUGAAAUGGAGGAUGCUAGGAGGAAGACUGUGAAACAGGAAAUGCAACAGAGGAUUGACAAAGGCAAAAAUCCAAUGAAAGUCUCUGAGAUUGAACCUAGGAGAAGCUACAGAUUGUUUAGGAAAACAGCUCUUAACAAAUUCACAAACACAGUGGAUACCCCAGUUGUCAUUGAUGAGGCUGGGGAGGAGGAUAAACAACCUCCACGGGUGCAGAUAAAUUCUUACACAGGCCCUAUGAAACUAGGGAAGAAACAACCUCCACCAGUGAAGCAGUAUAAGGCCAUUGUUGGUCAAACAGAGGUAAAGUCUGCACCAUUCUUAUCACAUGGCAGAACUGUAAUCACAAAGGGUACAUUGGCCAAAGCUCUCGGUGCUUUGAAAAAGAGUUAUCUCCCAGGUUCUACAGCAAAGGGGAAGGAUAGCCAACAGCCUUGAUUUUAGCAGUUUUUCUCUAUUAUUUUGUAAUGCUAUGACAUUGGUACUUUGCCUACUUUCUGGACUUAAUUUUAUUUCAGUUGUAAUGCUUUUGGGGAUGUUUUGUAACUUGAUCUUUUGCAAAGAAUUUAAUGUAAGCUAAUGAUUUCCAUUCCAAAACAUCUACUUUCAUUUCAUUACAAUAGAUGCUAGUACAUACUGCAUAGUACAACUAGGGUAGUUCUAACACACUAGGUGAAGCAUUUUUGUUUGCCCUUACAAACACCCAUACUAUUAACAACACAAACAACAAAACCAGUAUGGACUUUUUUCUCUUCACGGGUCUGUUCACACCAGCUGCAGCCUCAUUUUUCUUUGCAUCAUCUUCGAGAUUUCGAAUGCGCCGCAACAGUCCUGGGAUUAUUGCUUUUGAUCUUGCACACAUGGGUGGAUCAAACCAUUGGUGAAAGUUACAAGCAUUGCUUCUGUUAUCCUGCAGUUAAAUUAGAUAUAGUUAGAUUACAUUUAAGAACAAAAAUGAGAGAUUAGAAUCUGCUUACCUUGAAUCUCAUACAUCCCCAGAAUUGCCUCCCCGGAUUAGAAUCAGUCCACGAUGUCUUCAAAGCAGCAGCUGUUCCACACCUACAGUUAGGCUCCAUCUAGACAACUUGUUCUGUUUUACACAAGAAAAUGACAACACACACAACUAUGAUACAUAUAUAUAUACACAAGAAACAUCAAGGGCAAAAGGGGAUGGCGGGAGACCUCCAGAUUUUUGGAGGGAAACUGAGGGUUAAAUGUCUUGUUUGUCCCCCCCCGAUUUAUACUGUUUUUUUGGAAAAGGGCUAAAAGGUACGUAUCGGAUACUUUAAGGGUCGAAAGGUACGCUUUUAAACAUCGAGGCCGCAUCGGAACAUUCAUACAUACUUCGAGGGCUAAAAGGUCAUUAAGCCUUCUAAAUUUUUAUGGUCUGCACUGUUUACUAGAAUUAUUAUCUGGGAAUUGUAGCACUGUUUGUUAGAAAAUGGUAAGUUUAAGACAUGGAAUUACCUUAAUCUAAUUGUUGGAGGUUGUUCCUUGUAAUGAGGACUUAAACUUUCAUGUUUGGAUCUAAGACAUUUUCUUAGUGUAAUCCAUAAAUAAAUUGAGUUGAAGUUAGUAGCUUGAAAGUGGUAAAAUAUGUUAUGUGGGUUAGUCCCACAUUGAUAUUGGAAAGUGAGGUUGGUGGCUUUAUAUAGUACAUGUGCAAGUGUAGUGUUCAACUACUAAGGCAUGUGGGUGUGCAAGGUUGUAGUGAGCGCCCGCCGCCGCCGCCCCGGGUCGGGUCGAAGGGCGAUUUGGGCAAGCUAAGUGAUUUCUGUCUUUUCUUGUCGAUUUAAGGUACCUGAUAUAUAACUGCCUCAUUGUUGCGCUAAUAUAUAUAGUUUAAUAUUUCCAACACUGUUCACAUAGACUCUUUUCAUCAACAUGUAGCUCAUAUGGGAGGAUCAUGUUUAACUUUGAAUGCAGGUAAGCAGUUCAAUAUUAAUAUAAUAAGGAAUAUAAUUUCUGCGAUGAAGAUAAAAUGCUUAUGGAGCAAAUAUAACUUGGUCAAAAUGAAAUUACUCUCUGAGAGGAGACUUUAGAUCUGAUCAGAGUAUCAAACAGACAGACCUUAUUAGACAAUUUGACUAAUUUAGAUUAGGAUGAAGUGCAUGUGUAUACUAUAAGUUGGUAGGGAAUUUGCGAGUCAGUUUCUCAACCUCUAACUUCAUCUUCCGGAUUUUCUAUUUUAUUUAUUUAUUUAUUUUAAACGUAGGAACCGCAGCCACUACCCUUCGGGUGCGCACCGGUUCUUUCUCUGCAAAUUAGUUUUCUAAACAGAACAUCUCUUUAUUUUUAUUCUACUUUCUAUUUUCAGUUCUGCAUUCUGCUUCUCCAAAAUGGCUGGAAGAGGAGAAGGACCUGCAAUUGGAAUCGAUCUCGGAACUAUGUACUCAUGUGUUGGAGUUUAGCAAGGCAUGUUGGAUUUUAUAUAAUCUUAAACCACGCUAGUUAAUUAUCAUUAUUGUUUUUGAUUUCAUUUGCUGUAAUAACGAGUGGCUUGAUAUAAGUCAGCUACUAGCAUCUAGGACCGUGAUUGUCUGGCAGUAGAGUUGGUUUAGGAAUUUUGUUGGACUCAUGUCCUUAUUUCUGGCUUUCCAGUUUUUGAGUCUGUAAUCUAUUUAUGCAUUUUUCAGAAUAAAGAAAAAAGCAAGACUUUGACGAGCAAAACAAAAGCUUUUCGAUCUCUCUCAGUUAUAUCAGAUUGUUGAUAUAUGUUUAUUAACAACACUUGGUAUCAGAGCUGAAGUUCUCUAUGAAUGUCAAAGACGCCAACAAUGGAGAUGAACAAAGACAAAGGCGGUUCAAUCGAUUUGAGUUACCCAAAGGCACCGGUAGAAGAGAAAUUGGCAUGGCUAUGAUUUCCAGUUUUAUACUCCUAUCAAAUGUUGAUUUACAGCUUCUUCUUUUUUUUUGGUAAGGAAUGUUGAUUUACAGCUUUAUAUUCAAAGCAUACAUGAUUUAUAUACUCUUUCUCUUAUAAACUGUUUUACAAUUAUAUCUUUCUUUUAUUCAUAUUGAUACUGCUGUUUAUUCAUAUUGAUACUGCUAUUUAUAGCUCACCCUUGCAAACUAUGUUCAUACAUGUUCCAGAUGCCUAGGACUUGAGCGUUAGCUAGGAGACCUGUAGCAGGGGCUCUAUCCAUGCCCCAACUUUGGAUCUUUUGAGGUAGAGUAAGUCAGUCUUCUAGUUCUGAUUUCAAUACUAGAGCCGAUCCUGGUUGAAAUUGAUUUUUAAUUUAAAUCAUUUUUAAAAUAUGCAAGUUUUGAAAUAUAUGUUUUUACUUUCUUUUAAAAUUAGAGGUUUUAAAUUGUUUUUCUUUUAAUGACACCAAAUUCAAAUUAUUUUUAUUGACUCCGGAGAGAUGUCACUAUGGUAGAGUUAUAUAUUAUAAUAAAAGAUUUAGAGAGCUUCAUUAUCUUGCAUUUAGAUUAUAUUAGACUAUAUUUUUUAUGUUGGUUUCUAGGAAUUCCAUUAUUAUUUAUAAAAAAAAUCUAAUUAAUUCAUGAAAUUUCAGGUUUAGUUUUAAUCUUUAAAUGAAAGUUAAUCAUCUAAAAUGCUAGGCCUUUAUAAUUUAGAUUUAUGUCUAUUAAAAUUCAUUUAAAAAUAAUUAGACAUAUUAAAUUAAGUUUAGAGUAAUAGACGUAUGGCCCAAACCAACUAGAAUUUAUCCUCCAAUAAUACAAUAUAAAUUGCAAAUUUUAGUAAUUAACUAAUAAGUAAUUUUGAUUUUGAUAUAUGUAAUUUUGAUUGUGAUAUUUAAAACUCAAAAUGACACAUAUCCAAGUAUAUAAUAUUUUUUGAGCUUAAAUACAUUAAUUUUAUUUGAGGAUCAGGGUGGAAAUAUUAAAGUUCUCAUUAUAAAUGACAAGUAAGAAUUUAAUACCAUAAACAACAUGUAAUAUCUAAUUAGUAAAGAGAAAAUAUAUAAUAUGUAGAAAAAUCCACUAAAUAUGUAAAAUUUAGGUUGUGGAAAUAUCAAAGUUUUUAUUAUAAAUGACAAGAUAGAUCUUAUCUAUUGCAAUAAGUAACAUAAAUAAUUAGCAAAAAUAAAACGUGCAAUAUUCAGAGAAAAUCCACUAGAUAUGCAUAUCGAGGAAAAUCUCUAGAGAUUUAAUUUCUAACAACAUUUAUUAAUAGUUAAUACAAAACAACUAUAAAUAACAAACAUAUAUCAUUUACAACCCAUCAUCCUCACAACAAGGACACAAUCAUUUUUGCACAACUUAUAACCAGGUGUUUGUUAUGACCUAGUAUGGAGAAGGCUCUAAUCAACAAAAAUAUUUUUCUUCUUGUAUUGGUCAUGGUGUUUGGUAUGUCAUACAACUCUACAUAAUUAAUCUAUCAAUAUAUAUUACAUAUAAUAUAAUUUUGCUUAAUGAUAUGUGAUACUAAUGAAAUAUUAUUGUUUUUUUAUCAUUUGUGCAGAUUUACCAUUAGUUAGAUUAAAUGCAUCAAAUAAAAUAUGUAAAAUAGAUAAUGAUUGCGGAAUUUCGGCAUGUUCCAGUGGUGUAAUGAGAUGUGUAAAUGGUGAAUGCAAAUGUGAACCAUUUUAUUUUGACCCUGCCCCUGUCCCAAGUCAAGUACCUAAUGAUGAUAAAAAAGUUAGCAGUGAGAUUAGAUGCAAAACAGUGCACGAUUGUGAAAAAACUGUUAUAUGUAUGAUAGGUAAGCAGUAUGAAAGAAUGGUAUGUGCAAAUGUGUAGGAUAUAUUGGUCACUAAAAUUGAAGGUCGUCAGGGCAUUUAUUGAUAUAUGUAUGAUGUUCGGUGCUUUAAUAUUAUCAAGUUAAUGAAUUAGUACAAUUCGUGUUUGAUUACGUUUCCUUGUUUCAACUUGAUUUUUUAUCCGACGCUAUAAACACACACACACACACAUACAUAAUAUAUAUAUAUAUAUACACACACAUAUAUAUACAUAUAUAUAUAUAUAUGUAUAUGUAUAUAUGUAUGUUAAUGAUCAAAUACAAACUACAAACUAAUCUAAGCCAUUAAAUCAAGCUAAUGUAAUUGCCGUCCACUCUACCCUCUCACACAUAUUCCACAGAUUCCCUCCAUUUUUAAUUUGAUUUUUCACGUCAAUCAAAUCACUUUUUUUGAAAUCCGACUUCACUGUAUUUUUCUUCAUCUCCCAGCAAUCAAUUUCCAUACCAUAUUUGAUAUAUUUCGAUGCGAUUUAUAAAUUUUUUAUUUUGGUUUUUAGUUUUUAUUCUAAGAAAUGUUUGUAGUGGAGGAGCAUCCUAUAUUAUAUAUAUCUAUAUAAAAGAAGGCUCAAUGGAGACCAAAUAUUUUGGAGUCCUUAGAGCAUCUCCAAUGGGAGGUGCCAAGAGGGGUGCCAAUGCCAUGUGGCAUGACAUGGACCGGCACUCUCGUUGGCACCCCCAUUGGAGAUGUUGGAGUGCUAUUGGGGUGCCAGGUGAGUUGGCUUUAGGGUGCCAAAAGUUGGCAACCGAUAAAGUAGGGUGCCAACUUCAUUUGUGGUCCCAAUAAUACAUAAAAUAUAGAUUUGUGGUCUCAAUAAUACAUAAAAUAUUAUUUCUCUAUUAAUAAAGUUGGCAUCUUUGGAGUGCCAACCAUUGGAGUGUAUUUUUAAAAAAGGGUGCUAAAAAUGAUUUGGAAGAGUGUGAAUAUAAAAAAUAAUAUUUUGAGUUAUGUGUUAAAAUUGGCACCCCUUGAAGGGUGCCAGCCAUUGGAGAUGCUCUUGGAGACUACAAGAUCUACCGUUAAUAUAAUCUGGCAAUUAACGAACAUGAUUAAAUAUUUUUGUCCUGCAUUUCUAGUAAUAUUCUUGUCCUGCAUUUCUAGUAAACAACAAUUGCAGAACAUUGUAAUUUGAAGAAUAGAUUCUUGAGAUAUCAUAGCUUCAGUUGCUUCAAGAUCAUCAACAUGAGUUUUAGUUUUAAUUCAAAAUUAUCUUUAUAAUUUACUGUAUUCUUGUCGUAAUGUAGUAUUAAUAAUUUGUCCCGCAUAUUUGUGAUAUAUCUAAGUGUUAUUUUGUCUCGCAACAAAUUCAAUUCGUUGCAGGACAAUAACGAUGAGUUCAGUGCCAAUCAUAGCAAUGUCCAACUACAUCUUUGUUUUGUAUCCAAUUAUUAUUUUUAUUUUAUUAGGAUUUCGGUGAUUGAACACCAAUAUCAUGGAAUUAUUAUUUUAUGUUCUGCAGGAUUUAGAAAUUCUGCAUGUUGUUCACUGAUUUAGAAGUGCUGGACAGGAGGACCUGCAGUUAGGAUUGAUCUUGGGACCAUAUGUACUCAUGUGUUGGAUUUUGGAGAUGACACCAUCUCAUGUGGUUAUUGCGAGUGUUUUUAAUGAAGCUUAGCAAGGACAUUAAUUCUGAUGAGGCAGUUGCACUGGAUGUCGCUGCCAUAGCUGACACGAUGAUUAGUGACGAAGGUGGUGGAAUGAUUAAUGUGAUGCCACUGGAUAUUACUUCUGAAGACCUUAGUAGUGGGAAUUAGACUGUUCUAUCUCCAAAAAAUACAAGCUGUCCUUGACUUGGUAUUGAUCCAAGUGUUUCAGAUUAGGGUGCUGGUCCCUGGCAUAUGAUUGCCAGGGAGGGGUUAAGUAACACAUGGUUUUCUGGCUGUCGGAUGCAUAUCUAGCGCCCAGGAUUAUAACAUUUUUCUUCAGACUUCUAGCAGUUUUUAACCGCUAGACGCUAGACAGAUUUUCCCCUUCUAGCGGUUAAAAACCGCUAGACGUGUUAAAAUUUUGUUAUAAUCCUGGCCGCUGGAUAUGCAUNUGUCGGAUGCAUAUCUAGCGGCCAGGAUUAUAACAUUUUUCUUAAGACGUCUAGCAGUUUUUAACCGCUAGACGCUAGACAGAUUUUCCCCUUCUAGCGGUUAAAAACCGCUAGACGUGUUAAAAUUUUGUUAUAAUCCUGGCCGCUGGAUAUGCAUCCAACGGCCAGAAAACCAUAUGCCAGUUAAUCAGUCCACAGCCAUCGAUGGCUGUGGACCAGGACCCUUCAGAUUAUGCCUUGUUACAAUAUGAAUGNCAUGGUUUUCUGGCUGUCGGAUGCAUAUCUAGCGGCCAGGAUUAUAACAUUUUUCUUAAGACGUCUAGCAGUUUUUAACCGCUAGACGCUAGACAGAUUUUCCCCUUCUAGCGGUUAAAAACCGCUAGACGUGUUAAAAUUUUGUUAUAAUCCUGGCCGCUGGAUAUGCAUCCAACGGCCAGAAAACCAUAUGCCAGUUAAUCAGUCCACAGCCAUCGAUGGCUGUGGACCAGGACCCUUCAGAUUAUGCCUUGUUACAAUAUGAAUGUGUAUUAUAUCGAAAAUAUAAUUACAGAUUAUGGCCACACAAUAUGAUCAACAAUUUUAUGCCUUGUUAACCUAUAUGAUUAGUGUAUAAUGUAUUAUAUCGAAAAAUGAAUAAGUUCAAUCACUUCAGAUAGUACAUAUGCAUUGGUUUUCAUCCAGAUUGCAGAAUUACUGGAUUUGAAGAAACUAAUGAAACUCAUUUAGAAAUUUUCAGUUGACUAAAAAAUGCAGAACAGUAGUAUAUCAAGCUUUUUGUCCUCUUAAGCUGCUCAAAAGUGGGAUAGUAUAUCAAGCUUUUUGUUUUCUUAAGCUGCUCAAAAUUGGGAAUGCAGAUUUUGUUUUGAAGGUGACAAGGGAGAUUAUAUUAAGCUUCUUGUUCUAUUUUUGUUAGUAUUAAUUUGUUUUGAUGUUAUAUACCCAUUUAAAAGUGUUUCAGUUCUAAAUGUGUAUGGUCUGCUGUGAUGUUUUUAGAUGGAUCUUCACUAACAAAAUACCAAUUCAAAGGAAAACAAGCACCAGCACUUAAUAAUAAGAUCCAGAACCAAGUUGCUUACAAUGAAAAGAAACUAGAACAGAUAAACUGGACAAUUCGAGAAGCCAGAGUCUCCUUACUAAAUUGAUUAAACUAAAAUGAUAUUCUCCAUAAGCCCCUCCUCUCAACCCUAAUUCCUCUUAUCCCCUCGCUUCCUCUUGCUGUUCAGUUCCCUUUCUACCCUUGGGCUUCCUUCUGUUGAAUACUAGUAGCUUAGUGGGCUGGGCCUGAUCUGUAGGCUGGGCCUGAUCUGUUACAUUACUCCCCGCCAGAUCCUGAACCUUGUCCUCAAGGUUGAAAGCUGGGAAACGUUGGUCCAACAAAGCAGCUUGUUCCCAAGUAGCAUCAAAUGAGGGCAGUCCUUUCCACUUAAUCAGUGUGACAGCCCGAGAAUCCGGGGGUCUGGAUUCUGACGUCACCACAUAAAGCCAUUUUAAAACACUUUUGAAAACCUGUAUUUAUUUGAAAAGAUAAUAAAAUCAAAGGAUUUAAAACUUGAAGACUUUAAUAAAAGAUUUAAAAGAAAACACUUUAACCCCCUAAAAACAGGAUCGCAUCCAGGUCACAGUAUUGAAAUUAGAAUCAACCGCUAUAAAUAAACAAUGUCUUACAACCUCAGAUCAUCUUCGAUGAGAAGAAUCACUGCCAAUCUAUUUAAAUUAUGAUUACAACUGAAUCUCAACAAUUCUAUCUAGAACCAACCUUGACAAUCUCCCUGAACAUUUCCACUUGUCCUCUGUAUACUCUAUACUCUGACUCCUCGCCUAGCCUUAGCCAUACUCGCAACCUCAAUCAUGCAAUUCAUCGUUAAGCUUUUCUGAAAUGGUUAAAAAGGAAUAGCAAGGGUGAGCAACAAUGCUCAGCAAGUGUAUAUAAGCAACAAUAGUCCUGAAAUAUCUUAUCAGGGUUCACAAGUUCAGGAUAUGCAAUUGAAAACUUCACAAUUCUUAUCAGCAAUUGAAAUCAGAAUUCAAACUUACAGAAGAAUUGUCGAAUUGGAUUCAUCACAUUUUUACUUAAAAACCAAAGGUUAGGCUGCUGAUCAGUCACGCACUAACCCCGAACAUGGCACACAGCCCUGUUCUCUAUACUGGAUCCAAGGCACACAUUGGCCUAUAAUUGACCACGAAUCUGGUCUGACCACGAAUCUGGUCCACAUAUUUUAUAAAAACUAAUCCAAUUCUAACAAUUUAAAUCAACAGACAAUUGAAACAACAGAACAAAAUCAUAAUCAUUAUCAGCAACAGAAAUAUUUCAAAUCAACUUUUGGGAAUCAACAUUUCAUAAACCACAGUCUGUCUUUUGAUAAAUCAUAGUUCAGGAAAUUCCUAACUAUUCAGUAUCCUCCAUUAUCGGCUAAGCAACUGAAUUUAGCCUGCUAAACCAGCAUGACAAUGGCGGGUUGAAUAAUCAAGAAGAUCCCAAUUCAUUCUAGGUUCUAACUAUCACUGAGCAACACAUGCUUCAAUGACGGUCUGAACUUCGAAUUAAUUUGUAGAACUGGUAUUUUUAAAAUCUUGAGGAUUGGAAAGAAUGGAUCAAAAUAGAAAGUUGAGAGUAAUUAGGUGUUUGGCUUUUCAAAACUUGGAAGAAGAAAACAAUCAUGGGAUUCAUUCUCAGAAGUAAGAGUUUGUUUGAGAAGGGUCUCAGCAUAAACAAUAUCAUAAUCUUGACAGAAUAAUCAGAACAUGCAAUAUAUAUAUGAGGAAGGAUUUAGGAAUACUUGCCUUAAAUCCGCCUCCACACCCAUAGCUUAAUCUCAUCUUUCCAAUUCACAAUCUAUGCAUAUCAUAACCUCCAGACCAUCUCUGUAUAUACUCUAUUCGCAAUACGACUUCGCUUUCUCGACUCGUUCCUUAUUCGCUUUGCAACAUCGUUUGACCUUCUGUACGUCUUCAAUCGUAUACGCCUCGUCCAAAUCCUUUACGAGAAUAAAAUACUACCAUAAUUACUAAAUAAUCUAUUGAUUCUUAUCUUACUUAUCAAACUCGGUAUCAUAACCUAUCGCAUAUACAUAUCACGUAUAUCGAUAGCAUUUAACACAUAAUCACAUAUCACCCUAUAUAAUCUCUAUGCACUUAUCAGAUAUCACUUAACAUAUAAUCAUGCUUUGACUCUAUCAUAUAGUCACAUCAUACUCCAUGUAGCAUACUACAACUCAAUAACCAUAUAUAUCCUAUUGAAAAUCUGACAGCGUCUUGUCUAUUUAUAGGACUAUCCAUCUGUUAAUCUAUUUCAACCAACAACCAAUCAAUCAACUCAAAUUCCUGUAAUCUACAUAUUCUUAUCCAACAUUAAUCAAGAUAAGAUGCUAUGUCUCCCAAAUCAUUUAUCAAAUCAAAUGGACACGUAUUUCAUAUAAUCAUCACUAUAUAGCAAAUAGAUCACGUAUAGUCACAUUAUGCAUUUUCAACAAUCUUUAUACACAUUGGAAACUCAAUCAUAUUGUUACAUUAUAUUAAACUAGAGUUUCUAAGCUUUAACCUCUUUUUCGUUUCACUCGAUUCUGAAUUACGGAUCAAAAGUUAUUAACAAAACAGUUUUCUAACUCCCUAUCGACAUAUAACAUAUCACACAGACAACAGAAAACACAUUGCACAUAAGGUUUCCCAUCCCAAUCGAUAUCCAAUCAAGUCUCAGGUUAAAAAUGAUUUUUCGAGAAUUUUCUGGAAUUUUCUAAACAUUUUUCGGAAUUAAAACAGGUAAAAGAAUCCAUUUUUGAAUAAAUAAUCAAAUCCGAUUGCUCAAGAUCGGAUCCGAAAUCAUUUGAAAUCAAUUAACGAGCCUCAAACAUAUUUUAGAAAAAUAAUCCAAAGCUCGAAACUAUUUCUCGGAAUUUUUAAAUCAAAAGAAAUCAUUAAAUCUAAUUAAUUAAUCAAUUAAAAUCAAUUAAUAAUUUAUUAAAAUAAUUAAUCAAUUAAUAUUAAAAUUAAUUGACCAAUUAAAAUAAUUAUUACUAAUUAAAUUUAAUUAAUAAUCUAAUUUCAGAUUUAUUUUUGAAUAAAGAAGUAAUUAAAAAGCAUUUUUGAAAUUAAAAUAAUUAAAUAAAACAAUUUUUGAAAAUUAAAAUCAAAAGGUUUAUUUUGUAAACUUUUGAAAGUUUUCGGCCAGGGUUCAAAAUGCAACUUUUCAAAGUUACAGGGGGUGUUUUGUAAGAUUCAAAACUUGGAUACGAUGACUUCAUCAUCUUUAUAAGUUGGGUGGCCAAACGGCAAUUUGCCGCCGGCCACCACUAACUUCGCCGGACACGGCGCUGCCGCCCCCCAACAUGCAUCAGAAACUCCAGAAACAAUGUAUACACUACCAGGAUCAUGUUCAAGUCGUUAAAAUCAGUAACAAAUCGAAGGGUUGGCCGUAAAAUCUUAAUAAACAACCGCCGCCGGCGGACCCAUUUCCAGACUCCGGCGACUCCAUUCGAAUUCCAACAUAUAAACUAAUUACACGAACAAAUUCAUCUCCUCAUGCUCUAUCCAGUGAUAUAAGCCAUAACAGCCCAGAUUUAGCGAAUUAAAAACCCCCAAUUUCCGAUUGAAAAUAUUCAUAAUCCUUCAAGAACAUUCAAGAACACAACCCAAUAAUCAAACCCAAUUUUAUAUAUGAUACGGAAGUCAAAAAUCGAUAUAUAAUAUACCAAAACGACGAGAAAAACACGCUCUACAACAUGGAAUCAUCAAAUCAAUCAAACAAUCACGUUUGCAAAAAUUCACUAUUUAAAUCAUAAUAAUUCGAAUUUUAUAAAAAUAAAAUAAAAUCACCUGUUCAAUCUGCAUAUAAACGGAUGAUUAUACUAGAUUCUACUCGUCAAGAGCUUCGUUUUGACUAUUUAUACGCCUCUAUCCGAUUCCAAUAACGCCUUCAAAUCCUCGUUUGAUUAUGAAGAACACGAAGAACACCCGUUCGUUUUCUCUCGGUAUUCGUGCAGAGAAACUGACGAAAUGAUUAUACGCGCGAAAUAAACUGGUAAAGGAUAUUUAUAGAAGAAGAUAAGAGAAUAUUCCUUGAAUAUGCUUUGGAAUAUUCCUGGAAUAUGCUUCACGCAUUACGAGAUAACCAGAUAAUUAUUAACUUUAAAAAUAUUAAUAAAACCGUACCGGAUCAUUUACGGGACAAACCGUACUCCGGAUCGAAAAAGUUAAAACACGAGAAAUGCUCAGAAUGUCCCAAAUAGCUUAAUGGCGAAAUUUUCCCGAACGCCCGCGGGGUUUAAAAUGCUAAAUAACUAUUUUAAUAUAAUUAAUAAUCAAACGAGAUUAAAUUCACAAAUCGAUUCUAAAAUCACGUAGCAAUCCAAAAAUCGAUAUGAACAUAUCUAAAUAAACUAUAUUUUAUCCUGAUCAUAUAGAAAUUGAAAUAUCUCAAAUCCGAACACAUAUGGGCAGUCAAUUCAAUAAACCAGAUAACACAACUCUUACAACAAUUUAUAUAAAUAUCACAUACUAUUCAUAAAUUAUCAGGAAAAUACCCAAAUGUUUUAUAUUUUAUUUUGAGAAUAUAAAAAUUGAAAACUCGUGAUUGCAACAUAUAUAAGCAAUCAAAAUAGAAAACUAGUCCUCAUAUGAUUUACCAAAUAUUCAUAUAAUAUUCAGAAAUAACCAUAACUAGUUACACGACCAUUACACACGUAACACUUAAUCAAGUAAUGCAUAUAUUCAAAUAUUAACCAUCUAACUUUCAUGACCAAUCUCUGUAUUUUCAGAAAUAAUUUUUGAAAUGAGUUUUGAAAGGACACUCAUAUAUCCAUAUAUAAAUCAUUUGAAAAUAUCUAAAUAACAUAUGACUCAUUCUGAUAAUAUCAAUAAUUAAACCCACAGUUCUAGCACAUAUAAAUAACGUUUACAGAAAUUCAAUUUGCACCAAAAUUCAUACAAUAUUCACAUUAAAUUAUCAUAACUAACUAAACUCACAAUUCCACAUGCAACACUUAGCCAUAUAACAAUAGCAAUCUUUUAAAUCUUUAAAAUCAAUUAUAUAAAAUAUAAUUUUGAAAAGACAACCCUGUAUUGAUAAAACAAUAACCCGGAAUUUAAAUAUAAAGUUUUGAAGACACAUUAAACUGGAAUAAAAUAUUGAACUUUAUUCCUUUCUCUCUAAGAAAAUUACUUUCAUAACAAUAAACAAUUUUUGAAAAAUCCGGGUCGUUCAAAUAUACGAAAUUCCAGAAGAAGAGUGCACAAUCUGUUUAAACCUUAUAAUUUUACAUCACAAUUAUACUCAUACUACACAGACUAUUCAUCUUUUCAGAUAAAAGUCAAUUAAAGCCAAUAAUAAUAUUCAAAAACUUAUCUCGAUUUUAAUAAACUAAUUCUUAAAAUCUGGGAUGUUACAAUCAGUAUCUCAACUUGCUGGUCUGGGGUCUGUCUUACUGCUAACAGCUGCUCCGGUUCCACACACAACUCCAUAUCUGCUGUUAGCUGCUCAGGGAUCGUUGCUCGCACUACUUCUGUUCCAACAUGUCUUUUGAGAUGAGAUACAUGAAAGACUGGGUGAAUUUUACAGCCCUCCGGUAGUUCCAGUUUGUAAGCAACUUCCCCCACUCGCUGUAUUAUGCGAAACGGCCCAAAGAAUCUGGGUGAUAACUUCUCACAAGGACGACGAGCCAACGAACUUUGUCGAUAUGGCUGAAGCUUAAGAAAAACCAAAUCCCCAAUAGUAAACACUAAAUCCCUGCGUUUAGUAUCAGCUGAACUUUUCAUAUGGUGCUGGGCUUUAAGCAAGUUGGCCUGCAGUUCAUCUAACACAGCGUCUCGGACGCGCAGCAUCUCGGACGCGCAGCAUCUCGGACGCGCAGCAUCUCAUCAAUGGAGUCGACUGGGGAUUGUCAUCUUCCCAACCUGUACAAUGACGGUGGUUCACGCCCAUAGACUACUUGAAACGGCCUAAACUUUGUUGACAGGUGUGGGGCUGUGUUAUAGGAGAACUCAGCCCAAGGCAACCAUUCCGCCCAAUUCUUCGGUUUGCCCUGGAUAAAACACCUGAGAUACGUUUCAAGCCCCUUAUUUACAUUCUCAGUUUGACCAUCCGUUUGGGGAUGGUACGCGGUGCUCUUCUUAAGCACUGUCCCCUGUAAGCGAAAUAAUUCAGACCAAAAAUUGCUGAGAAAAAUACGAUCACGGUCGGACACGAUAGCAGAAGGGAACCCAUGCAAACGCACAAUCUCUUUAACAAAAACUCCUGCCACUGUCACAGCACUAUAGGGAUGGCGCAAACCCAGGAAAUGAGCGUAAUUGGACAAGCGGUCCACAACAACCAAUAUCGAGUUAUACCCCUUUGGUGACGGUAAUCCAUCGAUGAAGUCAAGAGAUACCUCUUCCCACACUAAAUCUGGCAAGGGCAAUGGUUGUAACAACCCCGCUGGGGACUGUUGUAAGGCCUUUUGUUGCUGACAGGUCUUGCACUUCUGCACAUACAACCCGACAUCUUUCCUCAUACUUUCCCAAAACCAAUCUCCUGCCAAUCUCAAAUAAGUCUUCAACUUCCCCGCGUGACCUCCCAUCAUAGAGUCAUGAUACUCGUGCAACAACCCAGGAAUGAACGCUGACUUCUUAGGAAUCACAACUCUCCCUUUGAACAUGAGAGUGUCAUCAACCACUGUUGUACCCUUUGUGAGUUGUGCUCCCCUGAGUGAGCUCUGUUUUUACCAGCUGUAGCUACGAAUCCGCCGCUAUCUCUUGGCGUAGCUUGCUCCAAUCUAACACUGGGCGACAUACUAACGCCCUCAACAGAACUUCACCUGCCUGUUUACGCGACAGGGCGUCUGCCACGCGAUUGGCUACCCCAGGUUUGAACUGCACUUCAAAAUCGUACCCCAUCAGUUUUCAUACCCACUUCUGAUACUCCAACCCAAUUUCACGCUGCUAGGUGAUGAAUUUAAUACUCUGCUGGUCAGUUCUAAUUACGAAAUGUCGGCCUAGGAGAUAACUCCUCCAUUUCUGUACGGCUAAACACACAGCCAUCAACUCCUUCUCGUACACGCACUUCUGCUGAGCCUGAGGACCUAAAAGCUUGCUGAAAAAUGCCAAUGGCCGUUGGUCUUGCAUUAGUAUUGCACUAAUACCAAACCCGGAUGCGUCGGUCUCCACCACGAAGCUUUUCUGCCAAUCUGGCAUGGCCAGUACCGGGGGUUGUGUCAUCGCACUUUUCAAUCUGUUAAAUGCAGCUGUUGCCUCUUCCGUCCAUCCAAACUUAUCUUUCCGCAACUGUUCAGUAAGCGGUUGAGCAAUUUGCGCGUAAUGCUUGACAAACUUACGGUAGUACCCCGUGAGCCCGAGGAAACCCCGUAAGGCACGCAAAUUUGCAGGCACGGGACAAUCCAUGAUUGCUUGCACCUUCUCCAUAUCAACCUCCACCCCUUUCUCUGAAAUAACAUGUCCCAAGUACGAAACUACCCGCUGUCCAAACUCACAUUUCUUCUCAUUUGCGUAAAGCUGGUGUUCGGCUAAUUUACUCAACACCUGGCUGACAUGAUAAACAUGUUCACUAUCAGACUUGCUGUAUACGAGGAUAUCGUCAAAAAAAACCAGCACAAAUCUGCAUAAGUAUGGACGAAACACAUCGUUCAUUAGAGACUGAAAUGUUGCGGGCGCAUUCGUCAAGCCAAAAGGCAUGACCAGAAAUUCGUAGUGGCCGGCGUGUGUAUGAAAAGCAGUCUUAUGCACAUCCUCAGGGCGUACCAAAAUCUGGUGGUACCCGGCUUUCAAGUCGAGCUUUGUGAAAACCUUUGCACCGUAUAGCUCAUCAAGUAACUCUUCAAUGAUCGGAAUAGGGUAUUUGUCCGGUAUUGUCUCCUUGUUCAAAGCCCUAUAAUCAACGCAAAACCGCCAUGACCCAUCUUUUUUCUUAACUAGUAGUACUGGACUAGAAAACGGACUAGUAGAUGGGCGGAUCACCCCAGCUGCUAACAUAUCUUGAAUGAGGCGCUCAAUCUCAUCCUUCUAUGAUUGCGGGUAGCGGUAAGGUCUUACUCCCACCGGAUUACUCCCCUCCCGCAAUGUGAUAGAGUGGCCAUGGCUUCGCUGUGGAGGUAAGCCCGGAGGCUGCUGGAACACGGUGUGGAAGUCAUGUACCACAGACUACAAGAAUUCAGGCACCUCACCCCCCCCCCCCCCCCUUGCUCCACACCCACCCCCCCCUGUNNNNNNNNNNNNNNNNNNNNNNNNNNNNNNNNNNNNNNNNNNNNNNNNNNNNNNNNNNNNNNNNNNNNNNNNNNNNNNNNNNNNNNNNNNNNNNNNNNNNNNNNNNNNNNNNNNNNNNNNNNNNNNNNNNNNNNNNNNNNNNNNNNNNNNNNNNNNNNNNNNNNNNNNNNNNNNNNNNNNNNNNNNNNNNNNNNNNNNNNNNNNNNNNNNNNNNNNNNNNNNNNNNNNNNNNNNNNNNNNNNNNNNNNNNNNNNNNNNNNNNNNNNNNNNNNNNNNNNNNNNNNNNNNNNNNNNNNNNNNNNNNNNNNNNNNNNNNNNNNNNNNNNNNNNNNNNNNNNNNNNNNNNNNNNNNNNNNNNNNNNNNNNNNNNNNNNNNNNNNNNNNNNNNNNNNNNNNNNNNNNNNNNNNNNNNNNNNNNNNNNNNNNNNNNNNNNNNNNNNNNNNNNNNNNNNNNNNNNNNNNNNNNNNNNNNNNNNNNNNNNNNNNNNNNNNNNNNNNNNNNNNNNNNNNNNNNNNNNNNNNNNNNNNNNNNNNNNNNNNNNNNNNNNNNNNNNNNNNNNNNNNNNNNNNNNNNNNNNNNNNNNNNNNNNNNNNNNNNNNNNNNNNNNNNNNNNNNNNNNNNNNNNNNNNNNNNNNNNNNNNNNNNNNNNNNNCUUGUAGCUACACAUCCAUCCAUCUGGUUACAUUCCAUGAGAUACCCACCCCCUUCCUUCCUUAAAGUUCUGAUCAUAGCCUUCAACGACAGCUGAGCCCGGACCAAAGACGGAUCCCCAACCAACUUCACCGGCUGUCCAUUCAUAUCAAAGAUCAUCACCUGAGUUUUCCAAUUGGUAAUAACCGUUCCCAGUCUCUCUAACCACUGGACACCGAGUAUAAUAUCAGAAUUGCCAAGCUCCAAAGGCAAAAAAUCAGUCACGACCUCCACCCCUCCAUCUAAGUGUAGCUUGACCCCUUCACAGAUGCCCUUACCUCGUAUAGCCUCUCCGUUUCCCAAAUGUACCCCGAAACUGCCCGAGUCCGUCACCACAAGGCCGAGUUCCUUUACUACCCCAAGUGCGAUGAAGUUGUGCGUCGCACCCGGGUCAAUCAUGACUACCACUGAUCGAUCCUUAACCAAACCCCGCAACUUCAUUGUUUUGGGACUAGACAACCCAAUAACUGAGUUCAAUGAGACCUCAAGAGUGGGUUCCUCCACCGUGGUUACGACUUGCUCCUCCUCAUUUGGGCCCUCCAUAUCCUCCCCGCCAUCCAUCCACAACAUGCUCAACUCCUUUUUAGUGCAACAAUGGCCCAUGCUCCAUUUACCAUCACACUUGAAACACAGACCCUUAGCCCUCUUUUCCUGAAAUUCCUUGUCGGAGAGCCGACGUACUUCACCUAACAGCUUGGGCAUUGCUACAGUACUGGUCUUAGCCCCAGAAACAAUCGAAGUUGAGUUGGAAUUGUUAUUUUACACCAACUAUGAGAAAGAUUGUAGAAGGGGGGGUUGAAUACAAUCUUUUACAAAUUUAAAAGAUUCAAGAACAAUACACUAAGAACACAAUAAACAGAAAAACACCAAGUAUUAAAAAUACGGGUGGAUUGAAUGAUCCACCCGUGAGAUUUUAUAUAGAAGAAUCUGUGGAUUGUUUUACAAUUCGCACAGCUGCUGGUUCAUCACUCAAAACAAGUUCUAACUCUCAGAUUUUUCUCUCAAGUAAUUGAACAAGUUCAACUGAUGCUACUAACUUGGUUAUAUACUCCAAGUUUUACAAAGCUUUUAGCUAGAUUACAAAAUGCACUCUAAUCUAAAAACAAUGCUGCACAACUUUGUCUUAUGCAUGCUUUCUGAGAUGUCUUCAUCUUUGACCAUCAUCUUGAUUUGAUCCAGAUUGCGCUGCAUGAGAUAAGUAUGUUUCUGCUUCUUCUUUAUUUUCCUAAUUAGGCUUCCAUGUCUAUUUUAGUGUAAUUCGAUCCAUGUGAUUUGUCAGACUUAAGCUCUAGUCACUUUCAACUGCUCUUUGCUUCAUCAGUUGAAAGUUCUGGUUGCUUUCUNNNNNNNNNNNNNNNNNNNNNNNNNNNNNNNNNNNNNNNNNNNNNNNNNNNNNNNNNNNNNNNNNNNNNNNNNNNNNNNNNNNNNNNNNNNNNNNNNNNNNNNNNNNNNNNNNNNNNNNNNNNNNNNNNNNNNNNNNNNNNNNNNNNNNNNNNNNNNNNNNNNNNNNNNNNNNNNNNNNNNNNNNNNNNNNNNNNNNNNNNNNNNNNNNNNNNNNNNNNNNNNNNNNNNNNNNNNNNNNNNNNNNNNNNNNNNNNNNNNNNNNNNNNNNNNNNNNNNNNNNNNNNNNNNNNNNNNNNNNNNNNNNNNNNUAAAAAUGUUUAUGUUAUCAUCAAGUGUAAUCACCCUGAGAAUUGUGGUUGUGGUUGGAAAAAUUAUUGAUUCCUAACAAUCUCCCCCAAUUUAUGACUGGAGAAGAUGCAGACAUAAAUUCUACACUUGAUGAUAACAAAACAUUAAUAAAAUAAAAUGCAGAAUUUAAAUACAAGAGUUAGAAAAGAUUACAGAUGAUUAUGCUCCUCUAGACUGAGCAGUUACUUGUUCCUAGAAGAUCUUCUUCUUCUGGACUUAAGUUUUUCUUCAAGAAUAUUAAUCUGCUUCUGAAAGAUCCUGUAGAACCAUUCUUCAUCACUAUCUUGUCUGUUGAGCUUGGAUUGGAGAGUCUUCAGAGUAUUCAAGCUAGCAACCUUGAGUUGAUCUUUAGGUCUGAAAAAUCUCCUAACACCUUGAUUGUCCCUAAAUUCCAUGACUGGAGUAGGUUCAUGAUGAAUUUUCUUUCCAGUGUAGGGAAUUUUCAGCCUUCUUUGUAGACUAGCAUCUGAGUUCCAUUCCUUCCUGAUCUCAAGGAUUCUCUUUAGUACCAUUUGCUUUGCAGGUGGUGUAAAUCCUCCAGUCCUCUUCAUAGAUCCAUAUAUUUUUGUUAGAGAACUGAAUCCCUCAGAAUUCAGAACUCUGUGAAGAGGCCAGAUGACAUCACCCUUGUUUUUGUAAGAGAAUACCAAUCUUUCAGGUAACUUUGAAGUUGCCUCUAUUCCUCUUACUUCUUGAAGAUCAUCCAGCUCCAGAUCCAACUCAGAAAUUUCUUCAAUGUUAGCAAUGAUGAGAUAGUCAUCAAGGUUCUCAGGUUCUUUUGGAGGUUUAGGAGGGUUAGCCAUCCUUUUAGCCACAGACUUGACUUUCUUCUUUGGCUUGGAAGAUUCUUGGACAAGAAAAGCUGGAAUUGGAAUAUCUUCCAAGUCAAUUGGCUCCUCCUUUGGCAUUAUUGGCUCAUCAUGGAAGUUGACAUCUGGAUGUACUACUGUGGUAUCCUUGAUUGGAGAAGAAGGCUUUGAGAUAGGCUUUUCUGGCACUUCUUCUCUUCUCUUGGCUGCCUCAGGCAUCUUAGUUUUAGAUUUGACUCUCUUUUUCUUUGGAGAAGAUUCAAGAGGCAAUCCUUUCUCAUUUAAAAGCUCAGCUGCCAACUCCUCUUCCAGCUCAAUAGCAUACCUUUCAUCCACCUCUAUUUGGUUCAAAGAGAGUUGGGAUUCAAACUCCUCUUUUUCACAUUCUCUGGCCACCUCUUCAGCUUUUGCAAAUGAGUAGUGAGGAUGGCCAGUUCCAAUAAACAGCUUCUGGCCUUCUCUGUAGAUGAUGGCAAAAUGAGCCUUUAAGGCCACAUCUGCACAAUCUUUAUAACUUUUGAUUUCUUGGCCCAAAAGCUUGUAUUCAUUUUUGUCAGGCCUGGCUAGUGGAAAGUAGAUUGAGCUUGAGUCUUUUCCAGGCCUGGAGUAACCACAAUUGUUUGGAAACAGAAUUGGCUUGAACUCAUUCAGAAAUGAUGGCUCACCCUUUUCUGUCUUGGAGGGAAUAACAAUCUCAGGUGUAAUUACCCUGAGAAUUGUGGUUGUGGUUGGAAAAGAGAUUUGAGCUGUGGUGGCUGUAGAAGAUGUAGACGAUUUCUUGCCCAGUUGAGCCACUCUCUUUGCAAUGGAGUCCAAUUCUUUCAUCCUUGCAAUCUUCUGCUUUUCCCUUUCAGUGUGGAAAGGGGGUAGAANNNNNNNNNNNNNNNNNNNNNNNNNNNNNNNNNNNNNNNNNNNNNNNNNNNNNNNNNNNNNNNNNNNNNNNNNNNNNNNNNNNNNNNNNNNNNNNNNNNNNNNNNNNNNNNNNNNNNNNNNNNNNNNNNNNNNNNNNNNNNNNNNNNNNNNNNNNNNNNNNNNNNNNNNNNNNNNNNNNNNNNNNNNNNNNNNNNNNNNNNNNNNNNNNNNNNNNNNNNNNNNNNNNNNNNNNNNNNNNNNNNNNNNNNNNNNNNNNNNNNNNNNNNNNNNNNNNNNNNNNNNNNNNNNNNNNNNNNNNNNNNNNNNNNNNNNNNNNNNNNNNNNNNNNNNNNNNNNNNNNNNNNNNNNNNNNNNNNNNNNNNNNNNNNNNNNNNNNNNNNNNNNNNNNNNNNNNNNNNNNNNNNNNNNNNNNNNNNNNNNNNNNNNNNNNNNNNNNNNNNNNNNNNNNNNNNNNNNNNNNNNNNNNNNNNNNNNNNNNNNNNNNNNNNNNNNNNNNNNNNNNNNNNNNNNNNNNNNNNNNNNNNNNNNNNNNNNNNNUGCACACACGGGCACUCCGCACUUGUAAAUAGAAGAGUAAUUGACUUAGUAGCGAGAGAGAUGAAAUUCGAGAACAUUAGCACAAUCUGAGGUAUUAUAAUUGGCAAGGCAAUUACUUCAUAGUUCACUCAUUCAUCACGUAGUUGCAUUCAUGCAUUGCAUUGUAUUAUUGUAUAGUGUCGUUGACGCUUGAGGACAAGCAUCAGUUUAAGUUUGGGGGUGUGAUAAGUGGUAUUUAUACACACUUAUAGGCCUUCAUUUCCACUUAAAUUGGUUGGUUGUACUUAAGUGUUUAGUGUCUUUUGAUGUGUUUUUAUUGUUUUUCUGUGCAGGUCACGAGUUGAGGUGAUGAAGUGAUUUUCUAUCAUUUUAGGUUGGUUUUGGUGCAUUAUUUGCAAGAAUAGAGAAUUGUGGAUUCAUCGCGACUUGGGAUUUUGUGGGUAUAUCUUCUACAAACCCUCACGAGAGCACACUCGUCCACUAGAGCUAUCUAGGGGUUUAAAGGGCUUGUUGCAUGUGCUAAAUGCAACCGUGAUCACCUACGGAAGUGGUACUAGAAGCGAGGAAGGACAUGCACGCGAGAACGAGCGAGAAACGAAGAAACGGAGCUGCCAGUGCAGACACUAGCGCGCCCGCGCUAAGUGGUAGCGCGCCCGCGCUACUAACUGCAUCACUAGCGCGCCCGCGCUAGAGUAGCGCGGUGGCGCCCCACUGAAGCUUCCCGGGCCGAUUUUUACAGCUUUUCUGAUGGAUUUUCGCAGCGGCCGAGGCCCGGUUGACUUAGUCAAUGCAUUUUAUUUCUCGUGUGUAAAAACCCUAGCCUCAUAGUAGUUAGAAUAUCGAAACAAUAUCAUAGCUAGUUUUCUUUUGUAAUCGAACACAUUAUCAGUUGUAUUAGAUCGUUCUUCGCGAGGAAGUGACAGUUUCGAGCAAGAUCGUGAACUUCAAUCUGUAACGUGUGAUCUUUAUUAUUAAUUCAAGCAUUUUUAUUCCAAUUAAGUCUUGUCUUUUCUUUAUCAUGUUUUCAUUAGAACCCAUGAUGUCGAUUAGUUCGAUUAUGAACUAACCGCCUUCAUGGGAUUCUAAUGGAUUUAUCGAUGUAGUCUAGUAAAGAAUAUUAAUUACUCGAUUUUGUGACAUAUGUUGAUUUCUUUGCAUGAGCCGUGCUUAUUCUUCUUAGGAGCGUAGCUAACUUCUAAGUUGUUUGUUAAUUCUUUCUGAAGCGAGAGUGGAUGAUUGAAUUUAGAACUAUGCCAUGUAAACAUAGGAUUAUGUGAAUGAAACAUAAUUUGUGGUAGACUUGAACUAUUUUUAUCACCCUGUGUAAUCACGAUAGACGACUUGCUAUUAAACCUCUCUGCUUACACUACCGCUAUAGAGAUAUAGGGUCUGAGCUUUGUUGGUGUCCAUGAGAUUUCUAUCUUAAUUGUGGAUUUCGAUUGGUAUGAUAUGUGUGCAACGAGAGUUGGCAUGUAUUACUUUCGUGUUGUCUGAUUAGGAUCAACAGUCGCAUAUUAAUCAGUAAUUUCAAUUCUAGAUGAAUUCGAUAAUGAAGUUAGAAUCCCAUGUGUUUUCCUAUUCUGAAUUUGAUUAGUAAUUUUAGUUAUUAGUAUAAAAGAAACCAUCCUUGUUAAUUGUCUUGGCAGUGAAAAUUGAUCAUACAUUGUUGCAUAGGUGCGUAUUCUUAAUUCACCAGUCUCUGUGGGAUCGAACUUAAUAUAUUACUUGUGAUCACGUGCGCUUGCGUGUAGAUUUUUUGCGAACAAGUUUUUGGCGCCGCUGCCGGGGACUCGGUGUUAAUUAAUUAGUUUAUGUACUUGUCAUCAGUGUGCAUUAAAAUUCACUGACUAGGAUUCUAUUCUCUUCUCACUUUUCUUCUUUUCUUUAUUUCAGGUACUUGGAUCGCGUUUUUACUAACACGUUCUCAAGCUCGUAAAAAAGCAAUUGAUUCAUCUUCAUCUUCUUCUUCUGAUUCUGAAAAAAUGACAGAACCUGAAGCACAAACAGACAGUAAGGCAUUGAAGGAUUUCUCUAUGCCAAAGAUCGAUGAUAUCCAGUCAAGCAUUGUCAGGCCUGCAAUCGCAGCCAAUGCCUUUGAAAUCAAACCAGGAACUAUUCAAAUGGUCCAGAACUCGGUACAGUUUGGGGGUUCUCCUACUGAAGACCCUAAUAUGCAUAUACGUAAUUUUAUAGAGAUCUGUGACACUUUCAAAUUCAAUGAUGUCUCUGAUGAAGCUGUGAAGCUAAGGCUUUUCCCAUUUUCACUGAGAGAUAAGGCUAAGGGAUGGUUGCAUUCUUUACCAUCUGGCCCUAUUACUACAUGGGAAGAUCUAUCUCAGAAAUUUCUCACUAAAUUCUUCCCCAUGGCAAAGACUGCUGCACUACGAAAUGCUCUAUCUCAAUUCUCUCAACAAUCAGGAGAAACAUUCUGUGAAGCCUGGGAGCGAUAUAAGGAGAUGCUAAGGAAGUGUCCCCAUCAUGGCAUGCCGGAUUGGAUGCAAAUAAACUGUUUCUAUAAUGGUCUUGGACCUCAAUCCAGACCUAUGCUUGAUGCUGCUUCUGGAGGUGCGCUAUGGGCUAAGAGUUAUGAAGAAGCUUAUGAUCUUAUUGAAAAUGNNNNNNNNNNNNNNNNNNNNNNNNNNNNNNNNNNNNNNNNNNNNNNNNNNNNNNNNNNNNNNNNNNNNNNNNNNNNNNNNNNNNNNNNNNNNNNNNNNNNNNNNNNNNNNNNNNNNNNNNNNNNNNNNNNNNNNNNNNNNNNNNNNNNNNNNNNNNNNNNNNNNNNNNNNNNNNNNNNNNNNNNNNNNNNNNNNNNNNNNNNNNNNNNNNNNNNNNNNNNNNNNNNNNNNNNNNNNNNNNNNNNNNNNNNNNNNNNNNNNNNNNNNNNNNNNNNNNNNNNNNNNNNNNNNNNNNNNNNNNNNNNNNNNNNNNNNNNNNNNNNNNNNNNNNNNNNNNNNUUUUUUUCUAUUUUUCUCAAUUUUUUUUAUUUUACAUGUUUAGUAGUAAUUGUCGUAGUCAGUAUCACGAGCAUUUGCAUGAAUUAUGAAGUUAAGCCAAGUUAAUUGCCUAUGAUGAGUUAUGUGCGUAGUUCUUGAUUAGUAGUUUCAAUUGCAAUGCUAGGUUAGUACUUGGAAAUUGCUUGUGUUGGAAAUUGUAAUUCACAUAUGUUCUUGAGAUAGGAUUUAGACGAAAUUCCAUGAAUUCUAGGAUUGAAUUGAGCAUCCUUCAGCUUAGGUCUGUAAAUCUUAAGUUUGGGGGAACUGAGGAGUAGAUAUGCCUUUCUAAAAAAAAAAAAGAAAAAGAAAAAAAAAAGAAAAAAUAGUAGUAAAUAAAUUCACUAAAAAAAUAAGUGGUAGAAUUAACUAGGUUGAGCUCAUUAGUACUCGAGUAAUUAAGUCUGAGGGGACUUUGUGCCUAACAACCUAAAGCCCUUCGUGGUUUGGGAUUGUUGACCCAACGCUCGCUACAUGGGUACUAGUGCAUAAAUCUUUAGGGAUCUCAACCAUUGCACGGUUAAAUAAACCACUAGAAUAAAGUGAAUAAUUGGUGUGUGAAGUCUUGUGGUGUUCGUAACGCAUUUACACUGCGAAGCGCUCUGACCUUAGACCAAGCAAUUAAUCACCAAUAAAAAAAAGAAAAAAAAAAAAAUAAUAUAGUGAAUAAAAUAGAAGGGUGUGGACAUUCUUUGGGACCUUGGCUUUUAGUUGGACUUGAGUGACGGGGUGUUAGUUUAGACUUUUACGAUUCUUGAUUGGGAUUCUGUGGGAGUAGUAGUUUUUGUCUUGUCUCAAUAAAAGAGCAUGCUUGCACACACGGGCACUCCGCACUUGUAAAUAGAAGAGUGAUUGACUUGGUAGCGAGAGAGAUGAAAGUCGAGAACAUUAGCACAAUCUGAGGUAUUAAAAAUUUGCAAGGCAAUUACUUCAUAGUUCACUCAUUCAUCACGUAGUUGCAUUCAUGCAUUGCAUUGUAUUAUUGUAUAGUGUCGUUGACGCUUGAGGACAAGCAUCAGUUUAAGUUUGGGGGUGUGAUAAGUGGUAUUUAUACACACUUAUAGGCCUUCAUUUCCACUUAAAUUGGUUGGUUGUACUUAAGUGUUUAGUGUCUUUUGAUGUGUUUUUAGUGUUUUUCUGUGCAGGUCACGAGUUGAGGUGAUGAAGUGAUUUUCUAUCAUUUUAGGUUGUUUUUGGUGCAUUAUUUGCAAGAAUAGAGAAUUGUGGAUUCAUCACGACUUGGGAUUUUGUGGGUACAUCUUCUACAAACCCUCACGAGAACACACUCGUCCACUAGAGCUAUCUAGGGGUUUAAAGGGCUUGUUGCAUGUGCUAAAUGCAACCGUGAUCACCUACGGAAGUGGUACUAGAGCGUGAUUGAUUUUAAAGGAAAAUCCACAGAACACACUGUCACAGAGGAAGGAAAUGGAAGAGAAAGAUCCAACAAAUCAUCAAAAUGAUGAUGAUCAAUCUCAGAUGGGGGCUUCUCCAUGAAAUCCAAAGAUGGAGAAUUUACAAGUGUGGUGUGAAUUAAUUCCACAUCCACAGAAGAGGUUGGGGAUUGUGUUUGAGUAGUAGAGAUGGUAAGAUCAUAAAUAUGGGUGAUUUGUUGAGAUGAAGAAGGGGGCUGUGACUCCACAUUUAUUGGAGUCACAUCAAUCUGACUUUGAGAAGUUACAGGCAUAAAAUCCAGAAUGGAUGCCUGUGUGUGUGCAGAGUGCUUAAGUUUGUCACUUCUCAUCUUCUUUCUCCCAUAAGCUUUGAUUGGUGAAGAAGUGGUGUCCCUCCCCCUUUUUAUCUGUGUCCCUGGUUGGGGACUAUUUUCAAUAGCAACAUCCUUUUGGGAGGAUGCUGCUAGGGAUGUGUUUAAUUCCAUAUUAACAUCUACAGUCUUUUGGGAGACUGCAGAGUGGCCAGGCUGGUCAACACACACCUCUCCAUCCUUAUUCUUAGGGCUUCUUUUAUGUUCACCCUUUCCCUCCCCCUCACAACCUCCAAUCACACUCCCCUCAGGUUUGUGUUUCUUGGAUUUUACAACAGAUGUCUUUUGGGAGGCAUCUGAGGUUGGUUUAGAAGACUUGUUUUUAGAAGGUUUUGCCACUUGUGUGGACUGUUGAUGGGCCUCUUCAACAGCCCUGAUGGCAGAAAGCAAAGAAGGUGAGGGUUGAGAAAGAGUAGUAGGAAAGCCAUGUACCUCUUUGUGCUUUCCAGCCUCCAUUGUUGGCAGGUACACCACCUCCAAGGAGGGAUAUAAAUUCAUCCUAAAGAGGUCUUUAAAGACUCUCUUUUCCUGCACAAAACUGGGAAGCUUGGCUUCCUUGUUAGUAAUAACUAGCUUUUUGUUGAGAUGAUUAGCUAGCAUCAUGAGAAAUCUGACAUAAUAAAUAUUCCUAGGUCUACCAGUUUUAUCACCUAGUUUCUCCCCAAUUUCUUGGAUCAUCAAACCACCAAAGUUGAAAUAUUCAUUAGUCAGGUACAUGUAAAGCAUUUGUAAAAUCUGGGAAGUAAGAGCAUUGAAAUUACUAAUUUUACCAGAAAAUGCCUUAAUAAAAGCAUCACAUAAAUAACUCCAUUCUCUCCUAAGACCCCUUCUUUCUAUUUUACCUAAGGCAUCAGUUGGCAAAACAUAAUUCAUGGCAUAAAGUAAAUUAACCAACUGAUUAUCACUAGGCAAAGAUAAAACAGUAUCUUCAGGAAUCUUAAAGCAUGCUUUCAUAACAUCAGCAUUGACAGAAUGAAUUUCAUUAUUGACAGAGAAAGUUAGAGUUUCAUGCUCACUAUUAAACUCUGCAGAGGUCCACAUCUCCUCCACUAUUUCAUGGUAGAUGGUAGGAGCUUCAAGCAUAGCAUAAGAGAGCUGGCUUGACUUGAUGAACUCCAUCAUCCUGUGAUACUCCUUCUCCUCCACAGCCUUGGUAUCCACAAAUGACGCGAAGUUGUUCUUCUCAUAAAUAAACCCACUUGGUGCAGUAUACUUCUUCAUUGGUGCCAUUGUAGUUACAGAGAAAGCUUGAGGAAAAAUUAGAGUUUGCUUUUGCACAGAGAGAGAAGAGAACUUGAAGAAUUCGAAAGAGUGAGAUGAAAAGAAAUGAAAAUAAAUUAAAACACUUAAAUACUUUCUCAGAAAAUUGCUGUGAUUGGCUGAGAAAUUACCGUUGAGAAGAAAUUACUCUUAUUUAACUCUACAAAAAUUACACACACGAUCGUGUGUAUAAAGUAGGAGAGAGACAAAAGAAAUUUCAACGGCUCAGAUCUGAUAAUACUUUCAACGGAUGAAAUAAGCGCCUCUUUAAACUUCCUAUUCAACUGAUGAAGAUCAGUUGAAGGCGUCUUCAACUGGUGUCAUCAGUUGAAUGAAAAACAACGCAAGAGGAUAUUGUUUCAAGCAUCAGUUGAAACAAUUUCACUAGUUCAUCAGUUGAAAUAUUAUAGACUUUAUCCAGAAUUAUAAUUAAUUCAAUUUUGAUAAAUCAAAAUUAAUCAAAUUCUGGCUGCCAAAUUACAGAAAAAUUCACUCUAAAUUAGGAGAAAUUUAACAUACCUAAUUUACUUACCAACCUUGUGAAUGUGGAUUCAUCAAGAGGCUUUGUGAAAAUAUCUGCAAUCUGUUCUUCACUUGGAACAAAAUGCAUUUCAACAGUACCAGCCAUCACAUGUUCUCUUAUGAAGUGGUAUUUGAUGUCAAUGUGCUUGGUUCUUGAGUGUUGUACUGGAUUUUCAGUUAUAGCAAUAGCACUGGUGUUGUCACAAAAUAUUGGGAUUUUUGAGAGAUUUAAUCCAUAAUCAAGUAAUUGAUUUCUCAUCCACAAUAAUUGUGCACAACAGCUUCCAGCUGCAAUGUACUCAGCCUCAGCUGUAGAGGUUGAUACAGAAUUUUGCUUUUUGCUAAACCAAGAAAUCAAUCUGUCACCAAGAAAUUGACAGGUGCCUGUUGUACUUUUUCUAUCAAUUUUGCAUCCUGCAAAAUCAGCAUCUGAAUAUCCAAUUAGAUCAAAUCCAGAGUCUUUAGGGUACCAAAUACCAAGAUUUGGUGUUCCCUUAAGAUAUCUGAAUAUUCUUUUUAUAGCAAUAAGAUGUGAUUCUUUAGGAUCAGAUUGAAAUCUAGCACAGAGGCAUGUAGAAAACAUAAUAUCUGGUCUACUAGCUGUCAAAUAUAAAAGAGAACCAACCAUGCCUCUAUAAUUAGAGAUGUCCACAGAUUUCUCAUUAGGACUUAACUCUAAUUUGGUGGCUGUUGGCAUGGGAGUCUUAGCUUCUUUGCAAUCCAAUAAAUCAAACUUUUUAAGUAGAUCAUAGAUGUACUUAGUUUGAUUUAUGAAUAUACCUUCCUUUACUUGUUUAACUUGUAAACCAAGAAAGUAGGUGAGCUCUCCCAUCAUGCUCAUUUCAUACUGACUUUUCAUUAGAUUAGCAAACUUCUUGCAAAGUUUCUCAUCUGUAGAACCAAAAAUUAUAUCAUCUACAUAAAUUUGAACCAGAAUAAAGGCACCAUUUACAUUUCUGUAAAAUAGUGUUUUAUCCACAGUUCCUCUGGAAAAAUGAUUAUCUAACAAGAAUUGAGACAGAGUGUCAUACCAUGCCCUUGGUGCUUGCUUUAGUCCAUAGAGUGCUUUUAAUAAAAAGUAAACAUACUCUGGAAAUUCUGGAUCUUCAAAACCAGGAGGCUGACUGACAUAUACCUCCUCUUCCAGUUCACCAUUUAGAAAAGCACUCUUGACAUCCAUUUGAUAAACUUUAAAGUUUGCAUGAGCAGCAUAGGCCAGGAAGAUUCUUAUUGCUUCCAGUCUUGCAACUGGUGCAAAGGUCUCAUCAAAAUCAAUUCCUUCAGAUUGAGAGUAUCCUUUAGCAACAAGCCUUGCCUUGUUUCUGGUGACAACUCCAUUCUCAUCCACCUUGUUUCUGAAUACCCACCUUGUUCCUACAAUUGUUCUGUUUUUAGGUUUGGGUACCAGCUUCCAUACAUUGUUUCUCUCAAAUUGAUUUAAUUCUUCUUGCAUAGCAAGAACCCAAUCAGCAUCUUUGAGAGCAUCUUCUAUGACUUUAGGUUCAUCCUGUGAAAGGAAUGCACUGUACAAACACUCAUCUUGAGUUGCUCUUCUUGUUUGUACAGAUGCAUUUGCAUCUCCAAUAAUUAGCUCAAAAGGAUGAUCCCUUGUCCACUUUCUUUGUGGUGGAAGUGAUUGUCUUGAUGAUGUGGCUUCAUUAUUGAAGUUCAGGUUUCCAUGUUGGAAAGCUCCCCCUAAAUUUGACAUCUCAUUAUUUCUAGACUGAUUGAAACUUUGAGACAUUCUUUCAACUGAUGAUCCUUGAGGUGUUUCAACUGAUCCCUCCAAUGUAGUUUCAACUGAUGCUUCAGUUGAAUUUCCAAUUGCAGUUGUUUCUUGCACCAGAGAGUCAUCAGUUGGAAUAUUAAUUCCAGGAUUAAUUCCAACAUUUUGAAUAAUGUCAUCAUCAUCAUCACUGUCAUACAGAUCACCUUCACCUUCAUUUUCAAAUCUGAGAUUAUCAUGAAAUCCUUCAUCUGAGAAUCCUUGAAUCUUCUUAUCAUCAAAAACCACAUGGAUUGAUUCCAUAACAAUGUUGGUUCUCAGAUUAUAUACUCUAAAUGAUUUUCCAUCAGAGUAUCCAACAAAAAUAGCUUCAUCUGCCUUGGCCUCAAAUUUUCCAAGAUUUUCACCUUGAUUUCUUAGAACAUAACACUUGCAUCCAAAUACAUGAAGAAAGCUAAUUGUUGGCUUCUUUCCUUUGAAGAGUUGAAAGGGAGUUAGAUUAUGAGGUUUGGUAAUUAGUGAAAUGUUUUGAGUGAAGCAAGCAGUGUUCACAGCUUCAGCCCAAAAAUAGGUUGGAAGUUGAGCUUCAUUAAUCAUGGUUCUUGCAGCCUCAAUAAGAGUUCUAUUCUUCCUUUCAACAACACCAUUUUGUUGUGGAGUUCUUGGUGCAGAGAACUCAUGAAUAAUUCCCUCUUCUUCACAAAAUUCUUUCAUCACAGAGUUCUUGAAUUCUGUUCCAUUGUCACUUCUUAUCCUUCCAACUUUGACAUCUGGAUUGUUGUUUAAUGCCUUGAUAUGAUUGAUGAUGAUUUUCCCAGCUUCAUCCUUAGAAUGCAGGAAGAAAGUCCAAGUGAAUUUUGAAAAAUCAUCAACAAUCACUAGGCAAUAUUUCUUCUUUGAAAUAGACAUGAUGUUGACUGGUCCAAACAAAUCCAUAUGCAAGAGCUGAAGGGGCUUCACAAUUGAUGAAAGAGUUUUGCUUUUGAAAGAGCUUCUCUUUUGCUUUCCUAGCUGACAAGCUCCACAAAGUCCAUCUUUGGAGAAUUCCAGCUUAGGUAGACCUCUUACCAAGUCCUUCUUUACUAACUCAUUCAGGGUUUUGAAAUUUAGAUGAGACAAUCUCUUAUGCCAUAGCCAACUGUCAUCUGAGCUUGCUUUGCUGAGAAGGCAAGUGAUAGAUUCAGACUUUACAGAAUUGAAGUCAGCUACAUACACAUUUCCUUUCCUUUGUCCAAUCAGAACCACAUUGUUGUCAUCUCCUUUGGUGACAACACAGGCUGCAGGAGUGAAAUUAACUUUGUAACCUUUGUCACAGAGCUGACUGAUGCUAAGCAAGUUGUGCUUAAGACCAGACACCAAUGCAACUUCAUCAAUGAUGACAUUCUCUUUUGCAAUCAAGCCAUAUCCCAUAGUAUAUCCUUUGCUGUCAUCUCCAAAGGUAAUGCUAGGGCCAGCUUUCUCCACAAACUUUGUGAGCAGGGAGGAAUCACCAGUCAUGUGCCUGGAGCAUCCACUAUCCAAGUACCACAAAUUCUUCUUGUGGUUUCCCUGCACACAUUUCACAAACAGAUCAAGUUGAUUUUGGUACCCAAAUUGCUUUGGGUCCAGAUUUGUUAGUCUUAGCAGCCUUUUCCACUUUCUCAACCUUUUCCUUGGAUUGAAUUGGUUCAAUCUUUGGUUUUGGUUGAGAAAUUGGAAUAUCAACUCUGUUUUCAAACACAGGCCUUUGAGACAUGCAUAAAUUGUUCAUUCCAUGCAAAUUUGAAUGAAAUUGAGGCAUGUUAAAGGCAUUGAAAUAAGGAUUGAACAUAUAUGGCAUGUUAGGCUGAGAAUAAGGAUUGUGAGGCAAUAAACCAGGCAUCAUAUUCAUAGCAGAUAAAUUCAUGUGAGGAACAGAUGUCAUAGGAAUAGGCAAAGAUAAAUUAGGAGCAAUCACAGUUUUACAAUUAGCAGAUAAAUGAUUUACACUACCACACUUACUGCAGGUUUUCCUAAGAGCACUAGCAUUGGGAGUGUAAUUGGUGUGCUUGUUAACUCCUAUUUUGCCAUUUCUAUUUCCUUUCUUCUUUUUAGUCUCCUCAGAUUUAUGCUCACUAGUAUCCAACUUCUUCUUGUUCUUGUUACUGGAAUUAAGAGUGUUAUUAACACUAUCACUGGUCUCAGAAGAACUAUUCUCACCUUUAACAAAAUUCUUUUUAACAGGACCAUAUUUCUUGUUAAGCUUCUUGAGAACACUCUUGUCAACUGAUGAGUUUUUGUUCAACUGAUGACUCUCAUCAGUUGAGACUUUGCUCUUCAACUGAUGAUCAUCAUCAGUAUUCUCAUCACCUGAACUGUUCUCAGAUAUCUCAAGCACUUUCUUAUUCCUCUUCCACUCAUUCUCUACAAAGGUCUCUCUACCUUGCAUGUUGAUGAUAUUGGUGGAAACAUCCCUACCAGAUUUCCAUUUGGCAAUAAUCUCUUGUUCCUUAUCAAGCUGCUUUCUUAUGAUCUCUUCUCUUUUCAGAACAACCAAGAGAUCAUCCUUGGCUGUCUGACACUCAAUUUUCAGCUUCUCAAACUCAAUAAAUUGAGCUUCUAAGACACUGUUUCUAUCACUAAGAAAGGUGUUAGCUUCCUUAAUCCUACUAUUUUCCUUAGUGAGAGAUUUUAAAGAAACAUACAAGUGAUACAAUUCUGUAGACAUUUCAUUAAUAGUAGCAUUGCAUUCAUCUUUAGUUAACUCAACUAGGUUUGUAGUGAAUACCUGACUACUGCUUCCAGUGUUUUCUUCUUGAUCUGUGGAGUUGGCCAUUAGAGCUAGAUUGACAAACUCCUCCUCUUCAUCAGAAUCAUCUCCAGCUGCCCAAUCAUCCUUUGUGAUGAAUGCUCUUUCCUUUUGUUUGAGAAGUUCAUAAUAUUUCUUUUUGUAGUCAAUGUUUUCACUUGACUUCUUCUCAACUUUAGGCUUUCUGCACUCAUUUGCAAAGUGACCUGCAUUCCCACAGUUGAAGCACUUGAAUUUUGAUCUGUCUACCAUGCUUCUAUCAGACUUGGGAUUGCCUUUAAAAGAUUUUGCAGAAUUAAAAUUCUUUUUGAAUUUCAGUUUGGAGAAUCUUCUUGACAGGAAGGCUAGAUGUUCAUCAAUUCCAUCACUUUCUUCACCAGAAUCAGCUACUUCUUUCUCCUUUCUUCUUCCUUUGCUUGACUCUGAGCUCUCCUCUUUGACCAACUUCUCAGUUUCUUCAACUUGAGACUUUCCCUUGUCCUUGACAGUAUCCUCCAGAGAUGCAACUAGAGCCACAGAUGAAUGCCCUUUCUUUUGGCUUUUCUCAAUCUCUUCAUCUUGUUCCAUUUCAAGCUCAUAAGUCUUUAAGGUUCCAUACAGUCUCUCUAGAGUAUAGUCUUUAAACUCUUGUGUAUUUCUGAGAGAGACUGUCAUGGGUUUCCAUUCUUUGGGAAGAGCUCUUAAGAAUUUCAAGUUUGAAUCCUUAACUUGAUAUACUCUUCCAAAGAGCUUUAGACCAUUUAACAGUUUUUGAAAUCUGUUAAAUGUAUCACUCAAACUUUCACCAGCCCUGAAAUGGAAUGACUCAUAUUGUUGAAUAAGAAGCUGCAUUUUGUUCUCUCUUACUUGCUCAUUCCCUUCACAGAUGGUCCUGAUGGUGUCCCAAACUUCUUUGGCACUUGUGCAGCUAAUAACACUAUCAAUCAUUUCUUGAUCCAAACCAUUGAACAGAAGGUUCAUGGUUUUCUUGUCCUUGUGCACUUCUUCAGUAUCUUCUUGAGAAUAUUCAUGGAUAGGUUUUGGAAUCAUCUUACCUACCAUGUCUUCACCAUCAGCUCCCAUACUUGUGCAGACCUUCAUGGGGACAUGAGGUCCUUUUUCAAUGCAGUUCACAUAGCUUUCAUCAAUGGACAACAGAUGCAGAUGCAUUCUCACUUUCCAGUGAAAAUAGUUGUCUUUGUCAAGAACAGGAAUCUUCACUCCAGCAUCCUUCUUUCCCAUCUUUCUCUAGCAGUGUUGAUCUUUUUCCCUGUUUGUUGGGAACCUCGCUCUGAUACCAAUUGUUAUUUUACACCAACUAUGAGAAAGAUUGUAGAAGGGGGGGGUUGAAUACAAUCUUUUACAAAUUUAAAAGAUUCAAGAAUAAUACACUAAGAACACAGUAAACAGAAAAACACCAAGUAUUAAAAAUACGGGUGGAUUGAAUGAUCCACCCGUGAGAUUUUAUAUAGAAGAAUCUGUGGAUUGUUUACAAUUCGCACAGCUGCUGGUUCAUCACUCAAAAAAGUUCUAACUCUCAGAUUUUUCUCUCAAGUAAUUUGAACAAGUUCAACUGAUGCUACUAACUUGGUUAUAUACUCCAAGUUUUACAAAGCUUUUAGCUAGAUUACAAAAUGCACUCUAAUCUAAAAACAAUGCUGCACAACUUUGUCUUAUGCAUGCUUUCUGAGAUGUCUUCAUCUUUGACCAUCAUCUUGAUUUGAUCCAGAUUGCACUGCAUGAGAUAAGUAUGUUUCUGCUUCUUCUUUAUUUUCCUAAUUAGGCUUCCAUGUCUAUUUUAGUGUAAUUCGAUCCAUGUGAUUUGUCAGACUUAAGCUCUAGUCACUUUCAACUGCUCUUUGCUUCAUCAGUUGAAAGUUCUGGUUGCUUUCAACUGCUCUUGACUUUAUCAGUUGAAUGCCCGGCUCAUCAGUUGAAUGAAUUACAAACUCCAUCAGUUGAAUGCUGUUCCAGUCUCAUCAGUUGAAUUCCUCAGCAUCAUCCGUUGAACACUUUGUCUUCAGUUGAAUGCUUGAUUUUCAUCAGUUGAAACAUCAUCCAGUCUUCAUCAGUUGAAUAGUUACAUCUCAUCAGUUGAAUAUCCUUCACUUAGAUAAAAUUACAUGGCAUUGGAUAUUUACAAUUAGCCAUCCUAUUCUACCCAUCCGUUGAUAAUUCCCAAAGACAAGAAGUGUAACAAUUACAACUGAAAUUUGAUAAAGAUUCUAAGUAAGACAUGUUACAAAAAUGUUUAUGUUAUCAUCAAAAAUUAUUGAUUCCUAACAGGAAUCACUUACCCCAGAGAUGGUAUUGUGACGAGUGAACGGGCUAGUUACAAACCCUGAACUGGUAAAUCCUGUGGCAGAACUCUUCUGCCCUGUAGUUGCCUGCCCCCCUUUAAUACACACAGACCCAUUCUUGGAGUUGCCUACUGCCUUAUAUUUUUCCUCGACUCGCAAAGCCAUCUCCAUUGCCUGUUCGAGAUGUAUCGGGUUCAGGAGUCGUACUUCCGCCCGAAUGUCCUCCUUUAAACCAAUCAGAAAUUGCCAAAAACAAAAUGCUCUCAGGGAUGCGAUCCAAAGGAGCUGCCGUCUCAAUAUAACUACGCUUAUACUCCAAAACCGUAGAGGUCUGUUAAGUGGCCAACCAUUGUUCAUACAACGAGCCCCCAUCCGCAACCCGGAACUGCUUUAGUAUGAAAUCAUUAAGAUCACUCCAAAGCCGAAUUGGCCGCCUCUUAUUCUCCCAUUGAUACCAUCGCAGAGCGUCCCCUUCCAUAGCCACAACCACCGCCUCUAGCAUCUCCUCCUUCGAUAAGCGAUAAAAACUGAAAUAACGCUCAACCCGGAGUAUCCACCCAUCCGGAUCUGACCCAUCAAAGACCGGCAUGUCCAACUUACGAUAACGCCAGUGGCCGGGACCACCACCCGACCCACCGCCCCCAAACCCAUGACCUUCCCCAGUAGGUGGAGCAAAUCCGCGGUGGCCCUGACCGCCUCCACCAAAAGGCAUGCCGAGGUGAGUGGGGUGAGAGGAGCUUCCUUCACCACGAUCGACGCCCACAAAAUUAGUGGAAGUGAGACCUGUGAGAGCAGAUCUGAGUUCAGCCUGAAACUUGAGUUGGUCAUUGCGCAUGAGAUUAAUCAUCUGCUCAUGGCUCUCACGAGAUCUAUUAAUUCGCCCUUCCAAUCGAACAGCCAAGGCAUCGAUAUCCUCCCCCUAUUUGCGCGCUGUGGCGUUCUGCCCUUGAACUAACAACUCGGUGAGCGACGCGCGCACCGCCCCCAUCGCAGACUCAACUGCUUUCGCAACGAGCUCGGCCAUAGACUCCUCGAGCUCCGUCGCCUUCUCUUCAAGCUGAUCAAUACGCUGAGUGACUGUUGGCGGCCCCAUGGAUGCAAACGCUUUGAUACCACUUGUGAUGUUUUUAGAUGGAUCUUCACCAACAAAAUACCAAUUAAAAGGAAAACAAGCACCAGCACUUAAUAAUAAGAUCCAAAACCAAGUUGCUUACAAUGAAGAAAAACUAGAACAGAUAAACUGGACAAUUCGAGAAGCCAGAGUCUUCUUACUAAAUUGAUUAAACUAAAAUGAUAUUCUCCAUAAGCCCCUCCUCUCAACCCUAAUUCCUCUUAUCCCCUCUCUUCCUUUUGCUAUUCAGUUCCCUUUCUACCCUUGGGCUUCCUUCUGUUGAAUACUAGUAGCUUAGUGGGCUGGGCCUGAUCUGUAGGUUGGACCUGAUCUGUUACAUCUGCGCUAUGUGUAUGAUCUACAGAAUACACAAGGCGAUACUCGUUUACUAGAAUUAUCAAAUAUAAACUCGUCAAAAUGAAAUUACUUUUCAAGAGGAGACUUUAGAUCUGAUCAGAGUACCAGACAGACAGACCUUAUUAGACAAUUUGACUUUAUUUAGAUUAGUUGUUAGGGAAUUUGUGAGUCUGUGAUUGCCAGUCCAUAUGAUUCUGUUUGUGAAAUUAAAUACUGAUUUGUCCCAUCCACUUCCAUCACUGGUGUUGCUGUUCCCGGAAAUGCACUAACCUCUCUCAGCCACUUUGCGCCGAUCGUAUGAUUUUUCCUACGGGGUUCAGCUCGCAUCCAUGUACCAUAACCAUAAGGUUUUUCAAUCAGUUCUAUUGGAGUCUUGAACAAUCUUCAGCAAAAUUUCUCACUAUGCUUAAUCAUGCCGCGUAUGAAACAAAAAUAAUAUUAUUUUGAAAUUCCCUAGAUUUGAUCAAUUCUAAAUGUCCUCGUAUUAUAUUAAAUUAAAUAUAGUAUGAGGGAAUGUAAUUCCUACUCCUAAUUUCGGAACCUAAUUAAGAUCUGAAAAAUCUAUAUGUGGUUUCAUUCUGAUUUUUGAAACUAGAUGUGGUUUCAUUCUGAUUUCUGAAUUUGCACCAUCUAGUAUUUAAUGGUUUUUACACCGUUCGAACAGAAAUAAAGAUUCUCACAAGAAUUUGUGAAAAAUCCGAAAUACUUUUAAAAUAAUUACUACUUAAUAAAUUACUCAAAUAUGAAUCAAUAUAUAAUCAUGGUAUAAUUAAAAAUAAACAUAAAUUAUUAUUAAUAAAAUCAUAUAACAAUAUGAAAUAAUAAAAGUACAUAUAAUAUAUAUGAGAAUUGAGGAGCGAGAUAAAAUAUAGAAAAGAUAGCGGGGUUCUGAAUUAAAGGGUCAUAAAAUUUUCAAUUCUCCGUUCGGAAUAAAGCGAUUAAGAGCAGUCGGUGAUAAAUUAAAAUAAUAAAUAUUAAUUACUGAUCGAAGUAUAAAUUAACUUAAAUUAAAAUAAAUAAAUAUUGAUUAGUGAUAUAAAAAAAUAUAUUUACAUAAAAAUUAUACAAACAUAUUUCAUGUAAAAUUGGGAGGUGAUUUUUUUUUUCUUUUGUAACCUGAAAAUAUGACAGGGGAGCGAAAAUCAACGCAAGUCAUAAGACACGGCACAACGUUAGCAAACCAGAAUUUAAAAUAGAAUCCCAACAUAAUAUUCUUCUAUCCCCUUUUACGUAUGUUCAUUUUGAUUUUAAUUUUUAAUUAAACAUAACAAAUUAUCUAUUCAUUAUUUUUAAAAUCUUAAAAUUGCAUAUACAAAAAUAUACAAAAUAUAUUUUCUAAUGAUAUAAUUUUUAUUAUUUUUUCAAUUAUAUAAUAUGUAAAUUUCUGCAAAGUAUAGUCAAUUUAACUGAUAAAAGUCAAAAUGGACACAUAAAAGGAGACGGAGGGAGUAAUUGUCUUCCUAGUUAAAGUUGCGAAGCAAAAGAAGAUAUGCAAUCUUUCUUUCCGACAUCGACCAUCAAUCCCUAACUAUCAUCAAAAUUUUGUUUAACAUCUAAUAACUAUUUAGUUCGAAUGCAAUCUCAUGUCUCUUGACAGUCCUUCCUCAAACUGAUGCGCCUACUAACCUCCUCCUUUCUAAUCAAAGUUACAUCAUACUAACCCAUAAUGAAAAGUCAACUUCAUGCUCGGAAAUAAUUUGUUUCUCUCUUUUUUCCAAACUAAUUAAAUCUCGCUCCAACUUAGCUCAUAUUUUUUGAGAAAAUUAUUUUUUUAUAAACACCUCUUUAAAAAUUUCCCGUAUAAGAUUGGACAGCUUGCUCCUCGUUACCUUUCACCCACCUCUUAUUCAUGAAACACCAAUUAUAAGCGCUUUUGAGUUGGUAGCUUGAAAUACUAAUUUUUAACUUGCCGAAUUUUUUUCCAUCUCUCAACAGGAUAUAAUCACUAAUCGACUUUUGAAGGUGGUAGGUAGAUUUCUCUUAAGUUUGGGGACUUGCCUUCUCAGAAUCCAUUUGAAAGUGCUGUUGAAAAUUGAUAUACUCUUAAGAAAAGUAAAGAUAAAAAAAAUAAUGUUGUGCAAAUUAGAUUAAUGUUUGACAAUUUUUUUUUAUAUUUCCAUAUUUUGAGUUAUAACAUAAUUUUUUUGGGUGAAGUUUAAAAGUGAAAUCUGUAACAGCUUCCUACAAAAUUGAAAAAUCAGCUUUUUUUCAAAAAUAUAUGGGAACAUGCUUUUCUGAAAAAUUAUUUUUUAGCUAAAAACUGCUAUAUAUAAAAUAGUUUUUCACCUGUUUUAUAAUAAAAUGUUGGCAUUGUUGUUUAUAAUAACAAUGCCAAACGAAGCUUUAAACUAAAUUGUUAGGCUUUUUGGUUCCCUUGUUUUUUCCCAACUAAUAUCGUUGAAGUUUUGGCCCAAGUAAUUCGUCAUAUUUAUAUAUUUGUUUGUUGUCAUUGUUAUUGUUGUUUUCACUUUUGUGGCGUUGGUGAAUUAUGACCGCUACAUAAUGCAAUUGUAACUUAAUAUCAUAGUACAAAUAGAAAUAAUAUUGGGAGAAAUAUGCAUGACAAAAUUAAAAGCAAUGCUUGAAAUUUUACUGGUAAAAAAAUUUAAAAAUUAAUUCUUCACGACUUAUAAGCCUAUAACAUUGUGUUAUUAUGUUUUUGUGAUUUUAAUGAGUUGUGUAUUUAACUUAUGUAACUUUCAAUUUUUAUUGUGAUACAAUACUCUGACUCCACAAUAAUUAUGAAAUCAUAUAAGAUAGUAAUUGAAUGUGGUGUUUUAUUUGAAUUAUUAAGUUAAAUAUAUUUGUAUAACUCAAUACUAAUGAAUCUAAAGCAGUGUUCUAAAAGUCGGCGAUUAAUCGCGGAUUAAUCGCUGUUCGGUCGGCCACCGUCUCGAUUAAGCGUUAAUCGGUGAAAAAAAUCGUUUUUUCUGAAAAUCGGGAUUAAUCGGUCAAAAGUCGGGAUUAAUCGGAAAAAGUCGGUCAAAAAUCGGCGAAUUUAAAAAAAUUUAAAAUAAAACGUAAAAAAAUUUUAAAAUUAAUUUAAAAUAAAACAAAAGGCAUGGAAAUGACAAAACACAGAAAUUAAAGUUGUUUUUUAUUACCUUUCACUCUUUCAAUAUUAGCCUCUAAAUUCUAAUUACAUAAAUUUGCAAUAUCUUCCUUCGCAGAUUGAAUCAAAUUCAAGUUUAUAUAUGAGAUGACUAGACUUGUAUAUGUAUAUAAAGGCAUGUUUUGUAUUAUAGAAAAUCAUUAAUCUUUUGAUUUUAUAUGUCUAUAAAUUUAUACUAUAUAUAAUUUUAUUAAUAUAUAUAUAAUUUUAAAAAUAAUAUUAAAUUGAUCACGAUUAAUAAUCUGAUUAAUCACUCCGAUUAAUCUCCGAUUAUCCGAUUAAUCGUUGGACGGUGUCUUCACCGACUAAGUCCGAUUCCCNUAUUAUAGAAAAUCAUUAAUCUUUUGAUUUUAUAUGUCUAUAAAUUUAUACUAUAUAUAAUUUUAUUAAUAUAUAUAUAAUUUUAAAAAUAAUAUUAAAUUGAUCACGAUUAAUAAUCUGAUUAAUCACUCCGAUUAAUCUCCGAUUAUCCGAUUAAUCGUUGGACGGUGUCUUCACCGACUAAGUCCGAUUCCCGCUUUUUACAACACUGAUCUAAAAGUAUAUCUAAAGUUUGAAAGUGAGAAAAAUUAACUUAGAUACACCUAAAGUUUUAGUAAUUUAUAUAGCUUCUAUCCUUGCAUAUAGAAUAUAUAUGUUACACUAUAUUUUUCUAUUUUGGUUUCUAGAAACUUUGUUAUCAAUUUGAAUAUUAUUUUUUCUCUUAUUAAUUCAUGAUAUUUCAAGUUUAGUUUUAAUCUUUAAGUGAAAGCUAACCGUCUGAAAAGCUAUAUUAAUACAAUUCAAUUUAUAUCCAUUAAAAUACAUUAAAAAAUUGAGAUACAUUAACUUAAGCUUAAAAAAAUUAGCUUCGCGCCCACACCAAUAAAAAUUAUGCUUCAGCAAUACAAUAUGAAUUGUAAAUUUUAAUAAUUAUUAGUAAAUCUUGAUUUUGAUGCAGGCUAUUACGUGAGCUCGUGGGUUUAUCCAGUGCGCAUCCGAAGGGUAGCGGCUGCGGGUUCCUACGUUAAAAAAAAUAAAUAAAUUUGAUUUUAAUAUUUAUAACUCAAAUACAUUUACAAGUAUGUAAUAUAUAUNNNNNNNNNNNNNNNNNNNNNNNNNNNNNNNNNNNNNNNNNNNNNNNNNNNNNNNNNNNNNNNNNNNNNNNNNNNNNNNNNNNNNNNNNNNNNNNNNNNNNNNNNNNNNNNNNNNNNNNNNNNNNNNNNNNNNNNNNNNNNNNNNNNNNNNNNNNNNNNNNNNNNNNNNNNNNNNNNNNNNNNNNNNNNNNNNNNNNNNNNNNNNNNNNNNNNNNNNNNNNNNNNNNNNNNNNNNNNNNNNNNNNNNNNNNNNNNNNNNNNNNNNNNNNNNNNNNNNNNNNNNNNNNNNNNNNNNNNNNNNNNNNNNNNNNNNNNNNNNNNNNNNNNNNNNNNNNNNNNNNNNNNNNNNNNNNNNNNNNNNNNNNNNNNNNNNNNNNNNNNNNNNNNNNNNNNNNNNNNNNNNNNNNNNNNNNNNNNNNNNNNNNNNNNNNNNNNNNNNNNNNNNNNNNNNNNNNNNNNNNNNNNNNNNNNNNNNNNNNNNNNNNNNNNNNNNNNNNNNNNNNNNNNNNNNNNNNNNNNNNNNNNNNNNNNNNNNNNNNNNNNNNNNNNNNNNNNNNNNNNNNNNNNNNNNNNNNNNNNNNNNNNNNNNNNNNNNNNNNNNNNNNNNNNNNNNNNNNNNNNNNNNNNNNNNNNNNNNNNNNNNNNNNNNNNNNNNNNNNNNNNNNNNNNNNNNNNNNNNNNNNNNNNNNNNNNNNNNNNNNNNNNNNNNNNNNNNNNNNNNNNNNNNNNNNNNNNNNNNNNNNNNNNNNNNNNNNNNNNNNNNNNNAUAUAUAUAUAUUUGAGUGUAAUUAUAUUUAUUUUAUUUGAGAUUUAUAGUGAAAAUAUUAAAAUUUUCAUUAUACAUGACAAGUAAGAUAUUACUACAAUAAAUAACAUGUAAUAUCUAAUUAGCAAGAAAAAAAUAUAAUAUCUAGAAAAUCUACCAGAUAUGCAAUAUCUAACAAGUAACAUCAUGUAAUUACUAAUUAGUAAGAACAAAACGUGCAAUAUCCCGGGAAAAUCCACAAGAUAUGCAAUAUCCGAGAAGAUUUGUGUAGAUUUAAUUUCUAACAAAAUUUAUUAUUAGUUAAUACCCAACAACUAUAAAUAACAAGCACAUUUCAUUCCCAACCCAUCAUCCUCACAUCAAAGACAUAAUUCUCUGUGUUAUAUUAAUAAUCAGUUAUUUCUUAAGACCUAUUAUAUAUGGAGAAGGCUCUGGUCAACAAAAUUAUUUCUCUUCUUGUGUUGGUCAUGCUGUGUGGUAUGUCAUGUAAUUCUACAUAGUUAAUCUUUCAAUAUAUAUAUAUUAUAAAUAAUAUAAUUUUGUUCUUCAUGAUCUCUGAUACUAAUGAAAUAUUAUUAUUUUUUGAUAAUUUAUGCAGAUUUACAAUUAAUGAGAACAAAUGCAUCAAAUAUACAAUGUCAAAGUGACACUGAUUGCAAAUAUUUUCCUGAAUGUGUCGAUGGUAAAAUGAGAUGUGUAAACGGUGAAUGCAGAUGCAUACCAUUUGGUGUCCCCGGCCCUCAAGCUAGUCACGGUUUUGGUGAUGAUAAGAAAGUUAACAACGAGAUUAGAUGUAAAACAGUAAGCGAUUGUGCAAAUACUUUUCUAUGUUUGGUAGGUAAACAAGUAUGCAAGAAUGGUGUGUGCAAAUGUGAAGGACAUAUUGGUCACGAAAAUGAAGAACGUGGAGGCAUUUAUUAAUAUAUAUGUAAUGAUUUUUUCUUGAGUUUUAUUAACUUAAUGAGUUAGUUCAAUUUCUUGCUCUAAUUACUUCUUUGUUUUGGCUCGAUUUUAAUAUUUUCCGACACUAAUAAAGUAUAUGAAUUUUUUUCCGACAUAAUACAUAUGUUAGGACCAAUGAAAGUAAAACAAUCAUCAUUUGACUAAAAACUUCCGACCUUCUCAACUUUCUACUUAAAUCUCAAAUAAUCUUUUAUUUUCAUUUUCAAGAAUAUGAAAUACUCUCAACUAGCAACACUUCAAAAUUUGUUUUUGGGUUAAUUGAUAGAGGAAUACAGGCAAAAGAAAUAAAAUAAGAGGAUGUAAAAUAAUGAUGAAUUACAUGAUUAAAGUAAAAUACUGUAAUAGAUACAAAACUAAAAUCAAUAAAUAUCAGUAAAAACAAUAUCGUAUAGAGUCGAACCAAAAUUAAAAAGUAAAAAAAAAUAAAAAAAAAAUAACUUUAUAUAUAAAUUACAACAAAACAGGAAAAGAUCAAACCAAUUUGAUCAUUAAAAUAGCAUCCUUUUAAUAAUUUAUAUACAUUUUUAUAUAAAUAAUUAUGUAUUUUUAAUAUAAGUAGUUUCUUAGGUUACUAAUCUCUAAAAUUAAAAUUAAGCAAUGUAUUGUUAAUUUUCUUAAAUGAGAGAAUUCUAGGUGCUGUAUUCAAUUGAAAUAUUAAUAAACUUUAUCUAUGAAGUUUAAUGGAUUGUAUCUGAUUUUAAUUGUAUACGAAUUCUUAAUAAAUUAUGACGGAGUUGAUGAGAUUUUUUAGGAUUUAAACACAUAGUUCAAAAUCUCAUGAAUUUUGUUGGAAUUUCAAAUAUAUUAAAAUACACCGAACAAUCUCACAAAAUUCAUCAUUUUAUGAAGUUCAAAAAAAUCUGUGAGCAUUUGAAUACCAUCAAUGAAUUUGAAAUAAUCCCAAUUGAAUACUAUCGCAUUUUAAAGCAUACUUAAAAUUGUUAUUGAAUACCACCAAAUUUUGUAGUAUAGUAUAAAAUCCUAAUUGUAUAACCUAGGAUUUGAUACAUUUUUUAAAAUUCAAUUGAGUACUCUUAAAUUUCAUUAACAAAAAGACAAAUCUUUUAAAAUUUCAAUUGAAUGCACUUCGUAAUUUAGUGUUAUGGAUUUCUUUAAUAAUUUCAACUUGCCACUUGGGUGCUUAAGCACUUAUUGUCCACAUAUAUUAUAAGGAUACAUUCUCCUUCUGUGGUCACGUUGAUAUGUAAGUUUGAUUCUUACUCAUCAGAUCAUUGGACAAAUAACUUUUUAUUCGGAAUUGUUACUAAGCACUGUGAUAUUUUCUCCCGAGAGUCAGCACAGACUAAGAGCUUUAAGGUUAAUGAUAGAAAUAUUAUUUCAGUUAAGUUUUGCUUAUAUUAUCAUCAGAUUUUAUAAUUUAAACCAAAUUAAUAGUAAUUAGACCACGUUUUUAGUUUAAAUCUGUCGAUUACAAUGGCGCUUUAAAUAUCAAAUAUCUAAUAUAUUUGCUUUUUUUUUUGUCAGAAAUUCGCACCAAAACGAUUCGAGGAUCAUAUUACACGUGAUUUAAAACAACUUUGUGAGGAUAGAGAAAUGUAAGACAUGCAUCCAUAUUAUGGUAAAAUUUAAUUUAUUAAGCCUGUUAUAUUAAUUUUCAAAAAUCUAUUGUGAUUAGUUGGAUUUAAAAAAUUGAAUCGGCAAAGUAAUUAAUUUGUACGAUUAGUCGGUCAAAUUGGCAAUUUCUGUAUUGAUAAGUUGUUCAGUUUCUUAAAUAUAUCUUGCGUUCAAGUGAUUUCGUCAGUUGUUAAGACUUAAGAAGACCAGGUGACUGCGUUACAUAUUAUCUUGUGUUAGUUGUCUAAACUUUAUUUAUUAUGUUGCGGUCUUUGAUUUAUGAAUAUUGUUUGCCGAAGUUCUUGCAAAAAUCUAAUUUUUGUGAUUAAUCUAUUAAAGAUCCUACCAUGCACAAUCAAGCACAUGCACAAUCAAGCAGGCAAAUGGAUCGACGCCAUUCAAGAUUACAAAUGGAUUAGUCUGAAGUCACAUUCUGAACUCUUGGCCAGGGAUUUACUUGUAGUUACCAUUGGUAGAAUUCUGGAACAUCGGUUUCGUCGGUGAAAGUGAUCACAGUGAGGUUACUCUGCUCUGAAGUAUUGUGGCCUGCAGCGGCUAAAAUUUGAGUUAGCUUGAAAAAUGAUGUGUAUGAACACAUUGAAAUUAGCCUUUUGCUGUCUGAAUUGUUCAUAGUCAACUUUAUAGCAUCCUACAUCGUCCUAUUGAUUUUUUUUGAGUAUAUUGCAAAACGCACCCCCUGAUUUUUGCGAAAAGCACUUUUUACCUUAGACUUUCCAAAAUUGCACUAUCCACCCCCAUCAUUUGAAAAGCCUGGCAGUAUGCACCUGGUUUGACCACAACCGUUAGUCUCUCCCGUUAACGUUAAACUUUAAGGGUAAAGCUGUAAUUUCACCGAAGGCUUUACAGUCCACUUCUAUUUUUCUACUAAUUGUUUACCCUAAAUAUCUAAUUCCCUCCCAAAUUGAGACCCUAGAAUUGAUAUACUUGCACUAAACUUUUUGAAGCUUUGUAAUUAACAGCAAUGAGAGGGCGUUUAAGGAUCGGCGUUCAAGCCCGAAAUGAUGGUGACCUUUGGAAAGAGGAUAAAGAGAAGAAGAUUCAGUAAGCCAUGAUUCAGUAAGCCGAUUUGAAGAAGAAAAAAAAACGAAGAGAAAAGAGAAGAAGAUGCUGUGGGGUUGUAUGUAGUGUGCGUAUAUAAAGCCAACAUGAAUAAGACCGUUGCUCAGCAUUUAAUUAAAAAGAAACUGAAAUACCAAGCAUACCCUCAGCAUUAACUAACGGUAACGGAUAUAUUUAGCGGAAGGGUCUAAAAUGUCGCGCCAAAAAAAUUAUCGGGCUGGAUAGUGCAAUUUUGGAAAGUCUAGAGUAAAAAGUGCUUUUCGCAAAAACCAGGGAUGUGCGUUUUGCAAUAUACUCAUUUUUUUUCUAUGCAGAUUAGUCAUUUAAGCAGAAAAACCUUUUAUAUUUUUAUUGACUUUAUAUUUGCACUUUUUUUUAGGGUUUUGGAGAAUGGCUGGUGAAGCAGAAGGGCCUGCAGUUAGGAUUGAUCUUGGGACCAUGUGCUCAUGUGUUGGAGUUUAGCAGCGGGAUUGUGCUGAAAUUAUCUCCAAUGAUGAUAAUAAGAGGAUGACAUGUCUCAUGCUGUUAUUGCGAGUGUUUUUAAUGAAGUUUAGCAAGGACAUUAAUUCUGAUGAGGCAGUUGCACUGGAUGCCGCUGCCAUAGCUGACACGAUGAUUAGUGAUGAAGGUGGGGGAAUGAUUGAUGAGAUGCCACUGGAUAUAUAUUACUUCUGAAGACCUUGGUAUUGAAACUAUUAGUGAAAUAAUGACUGUCCUAUCUCCAAAGAAUACAAGUGUUUGAGGGACGAGGGUGACAAUAAUAUGACAAAAUAUAACUAGUGUUCCAUGUACAAAUUUCAACUAUUUAUACCAAUAAAACUACAGACCAUGGCCACACAAUAUGAUCACAAAUUUAUGCCUUGUCAACCUAUAUGGUAUGCUAUCAUAUCAAAAAAAAAAAAUUCAACCACUUCAGAAAGAACUUAUGCGUCAAUUUUCAUCCAUAUUGCAGAAUUACUGGAUUUGAAGAAACUAAUGAAACUCAUUUAGAAAUUUGCAGUCGACUAAAAAAUGCAGUCCAGUAUAUUAAGCCUUUUGUUCUCUUAAGCUGCUCAAAAGUGGGAAUGCAGAUUUUAUUUUGAAGCUGAGAAGGCUGAUUAUACUAAGCUUCUUGUACUACUAUUUUUAUUAGUCUUUGUUUUGUUGUUGUAUUCCCAUUUAAAAGCGUUUCAGUUCUAAAUGUUUAUGGUCUGCACUGUGAUGAUCUACAGAAUACACAAGGCGAUACUCGUUUACUUCUCAUAGACUCUUUUCAUCAACAUGUAGCUCAAAUGGGAGGAUCAUGUCUAACAUUGAAUGCAGGUAAGCAGUUUAAUAUUCAUAUAAUAAGGAAUAUAAUUUCUGCGAUGAAGACAAAAUGCUUAUGCAGCAAAUAUAAGUUGGUCAAAGUGAAAUUACUCUCUGAGAGGAGACUUUAGAUCUGAUCAGAGUAUCAGACAGACAGACCUUAUUAGACAAUUUGACUUGGUCAUUCUUUUUGCAAGUUGACUAAUUUAGAUUAGGAUGAAGUGCAUGUGUAUACUAUAAGUUGGUAGGGAAUUUGUGAGUCAGCAGUCAGUUUCCUCAACCUCUAACUUCAUCUUAGAGAUUUCUUUCUCUGCAAAUUAGUUAUCUAAACAGAACAUCUUUCAUUUUUAUUUCACUUUCUAUUUUCACUUCUGUAUUCUGCUUUUGCAAAAUGGCUGGAAGAAGAGAAGGACCAGCAGUGGGAAUUGAUCUGGGAACCAUGUACUCAUGUGUUGGAGUUUGGCAAGGCAGCCAUGUCGAAAUCAUUGCCAAUGAUCAUGGUAGCAGGACGACGCCAUCUUGUGUGGCUUUUUCUGAUACAGAAAUUCUGAUUGGUGAUGCUGCACGCAACCAGGGUGGAAUGAAUCCUGAUAACACCGUCUUCAGUAAGUACAUUAUGGCUUAUGCUAUGUUUUGUCCCAUUUCUACAAUUAUUAUUCAAUUUUUAUUCAAGCAAGCAUAGCGACUCAGAUGUGAAAUCACCCAGACAGUGUUUUUCUUUGUUCAUUUGUAUAUAGUUUUGCAUAAUGACAUGUGUAAUACAAGUAGAUUUUUGUUUCUCUAUUGUUAAACUUGCUCAGAAAAUGUCAUGACCUAAGGAGUAAUGAUUUUGGCUAGUGUUUGACAGUGUAUCCCAUUGCCUAUAGAAUUUUUUAUGAACCUGAUGUUUCUUUCGUAUUAUUUUUGUUGCAUAAAGGCGUUAAACGGUUAAUAGGCAGAAAAUUCAGCGACUUGAGUGUACAGAAUGACAUGAAAUUUUGGCCCUUUAAAGUCAUUUCUAAUCAUGGCGGAAAACCUAUGGUCUUGGUCACCUAUAAGGGGCAGGAGAAGAGGUUUUACGCGGAGGAACUCUCCUCAAUGAUUCUAAUAAAGAUGAAAGAAAUUGUUGAGAAGUGUCUUGGAUCAACUGUAAGAAAUGCUGUUAUUACUGUCCCAGCUUACUUUAAUGACUCUCAGCGGAAUGCAAUUAUAGAUGCUGGAGUUAUUUCUGGCAUUAAUGUAAUACGCGUAAUUUCUGAGCCAAGUGCAGCAGCAAUUACAUAUGGUCUUGAAAAGAGGAAGGCGGAUAGUAGUACAGGCGGUGAGAAAAAUGUGCUUGUCUUCGAUCUAGGUGGUAGUAAUUGUAAUGUUUCUCUUGUUGUAAUUGAAGAGGGAAUUUUUGAAGUAAGGGCUACCACUGGUGCCAGUCACCUUGGAGGAGAGGAUUUUGUCCAUCGGAUGGUGAAUCAUUUUAUUCGGGAGAUCAUGAGGAAGAACAAAAAGGACAUAACUGGUAAUGCUAAAUCUAUUAGAAGAUUGAAAAAUGCUUGUGAAAGGGCAAAGAGGACACUCUCUUCGGCUGCAAUGACAUCAAUUGAGUUAGAAUUUUUGUAUGAUGGUGUUAGUUUCUCUGAAAAUAUUUCUCGUGACAAAUUUGAAGAGUUGAACAUGGACCUCUUUAAAAGUUGUUUGGAGCUGGUCGAGAAGUGUUUGAGGGGUGGCAAUAUUGAUAAGAGAAACAUCCAUGAUGUGGUCCUUGUUGGUGGAUCUACUCGAAUUCCAAAAGUACAGCAGCUAUUGAAAAACUUUUUUAACGGGAAGGAGCUCUGCAUGAGUUUGAAUCCUGAUGAGGCUGUUGCAAAUGGUGCAGCUGUGCUAGCUGCAAUCCUUAGUGGCGAAGGCCACGAAGCUGUUCAGGACUUAAUGCUGUUAGAUGUCACUCCUCUAUCCCUUGGGAUCGGAACUAGUGGUGAAACAAUGUCUGUCCUUAUUCCAAAGAAUACAACUAUCCCCACUAAGAGGGAGCAAAUUUUCUCAACCUCCAUAGACAAUCAGCUUGAUGUGCUGAUCGAAGUCUUUGAAGGCGAAAACCCAAAUACCAAGGAUAACAACUUGCUGGGAAAAUUUGUACUCUCUGGCAUUUCCCCUGCACCUAAGGGCGUCCCUCAGUUCACCGUUUGCUUUGACAUUGAUGCAUAUGGGAGGCUAAAUGUGUCUGCCGAGGAUAAGACUACAGGGAAGAAGAUCAAGAUAAAAGUAACCAAUAACGAGGAGAGAUUGUCGAAGGAAGAGCUUGAGAAGAUGGUAAAAGAAGCUGAGAAGUACAGAGCAGAAGCUAAAGUGAACAAGAAAGCGACAGAGAAAAGGUAUGCUUUUAUUUCCCCGGGAUUUUUUCCUUUCUGCAAAUUAAUUACUUUGACAGAAAAACUCUAUAUCUUUAUAUGAGUUUUUAUUUACACUAUUAUGCUUGAUUUUAUAGAAUGGCUGGAAAAGGAGGACCUGCAAUAGGACUUGAUCUUGGAACCAUGUACUCAUGUGUUGGAGUUUGGGAAGGUAACCAUGUCGAAAUCAUUGCCAAUGAUCAUGGUAGCAGGAUUACUCCUUCUUGUGUGGCUUUCUCUGAUACUGAGGUUCUAAUUGGUGAUGCUGCAUACAGCCAGGGUGGGAUGAAUCCUAAUAAUACUGUCUUUAGUAAGUACCAAGUGCACUAUGCUAUCAUGCUAUGCUUUGUAUAUGCCUAAUCCAGGAUCUGGUUUGUGUUUCAUAAUUGUGCAUUUUAAGAUAGUCAAAACAAUAGAAAAACACGACGUAAGAGCAUCUUCAACGGGGUGUUAAUAUUUGGGUGUCAAUAUUAUCAAAUUAUUACGCUAAUAUUUUAUCCUCUCUCUUCGAUAGUACUUUUAGAACCUUUCUUACCAAAACUUACUUCAAUGAUUGGCACUCAAAGUUGCCAAUCAUUUAGACAAAUAUAUUAAUAAUAGAUAUUAAGAUACAUUUAUCUAUUUUGAAAGGGCGUCAAAAGUUGACAACUUUACUUGGCACCACUUCAACGAAGAACCAACAAGAGUGUCAUGCCACAUCAUGUCACAUGUCACAAUAGCACUCUUCUUAAAACUCUCAUCCGACUCAUUCUAAAUAUACAUAUUUCUUAACAUUUGUCUUUUCACUUUGGAAUCUAGUUUCACUGCUUCGAAUAUGUAUAUAAUUUGUUACUGUUGCAUACAUAGAUCAGGAUACCAAUAUACAAGCUGUUCAAGCAUAGUGCAGCUACCUAAAGUAAAAUCACCCAUUAAUUUUUUUGUGAAAUUUGUUAGUUAAUAUAUAGUUCUGUGCAAUGUAACAGAGAAUCACAUUAUAGCAGCAGUAGUAGUAAAGCUUGCUCGAACAAAAAUCAGAACUAAAAUAAAUGACUACUGAAGAUGAUCCUAUUUUAGACUAUACAGCACAAGACUUUUUUAAGGUCUCUCACUGGUGUUUAUGAGCUCCGGUGUAAAAGAUGUGAAGUAGAUGUAAAGAGAAUAGAUUAUAGAAGGGCUGUUAAAUGUCUUCGCCUCCCCUUCCCCGCUCCCAGUAAGAUUCAAAGAAACACAGAGAUCAUAGUGGUUAUGUUUGGGAACUUAAAUUUCAUUUAUAAUUUUGGUUUUGAUCAAAUAACGUGUUUGGAUAUAUGGUAAAAAAAAUAAUUAGAUUUGGAUUUCAGUUAAAUACAAGGCAUUGAAAUACUAGUAUAAAUUUAAGGAUCUGAAAUGACAACUCAAAUCAUUUCAUUUGAAAUCCAACGUUCGGAAUAAAAUACAUGUUCCCGAUAGCAAUUAUUUAUUCACUGAUGUUGGUCUUUUCUUUUCUUUUCCUUUUUUUGCUUCAAAGGUGUUAAACGCUUGAUUGGCAGAAAAUUCAGCGACUCAAAAGUACUGGGUGAUAUAACAUUUUGGCCAUUUAAAGUAAUCUCCGGUCCCCGUGAAAAGCCUGUGAUCUUGGUCACCUAUAAAGGUCAGCAGAAGCAGUUUCAUGUAGAGGAAAUAUCCUCUAUGAUAUUAAUGAAGAUGAAAGAAAUUGCAGAGAAUUAUCUUGGAUCAGUUGUUAGGGAUGCUGUUAUUACUGUCCCCGCUUACUUCAAUGACUCUCAGCGCAAUGCAACUGUAGAUGCUGGAGUCAUUGCAGGCCUUAAUGUAAUGCGUAUUGUUGCUGAGCCGAGUGCAGCUGCAGUAGCAUACGGCCUUGAGAAGAAGAUGGCAGGUAGUAGUACAGAAGGCGGAAAAAACGUGAUAAUCUUUGAUCUUGGUGGUAGUAAUUGUAGCGUCUCACUUGUCGUAAUUGAAGAGGGUAUUUUUGAAGUAAGGGCUACAACUGGUGCUACUCACCUCGGAGGAGAGGAUUUUGUCAAUCGGAUGGUGAGUUAUUUUGUUAAGGAUUUCAUGAGGAUGUAUAGAAAGGACAUAAGUGGUAAUGCUAAAUCUGUUAGAAGAUUGAGAAAUGCUUGUGAAAGGGCAAAGAGGACACUCUCUUCUGCUGCAAUGACUACCAUUGAACUUGAGUAUCUGUAUGAUGGUGCCGAUUUCUCUUCAAAUAUUACCCGUGACAGAUUCGAAGACUUAAAUAUGGACCUAUUUAACGGUUGUUUAGAGUUGGUCGAGAAGUGUUUGACAGAAGCCAGUAUAGAUAAGAGAAACAUUGAUGAUGUGGUCCUUGUUGGUGGAUCAACUCGAAUUCCAAAAGUGCAGCAGCUAUUGAAACACUUUUUCAAUGGGAAAGAGCUCUGCUUGAGUAUGAAUCCUGAUGAGGCUGUUGCAAAUGGUGCAGCUGUGCUGGCUGCAAUCCUGAGUGGUGAAGGAAACGACACGGUUCAGGACCUAAUGCUGUUGGAUGUCACUUCUCUAUCCCUUGGGAUUGGAACUAGUGGCGAAACAAUGUCUGUCAUGAUCCCAAAGAAUACAACUAUCCCCACUAAGAGGGAGCAAAUUUUCUCAACCUCCAUAGAUAAUCAGCUUGACGUUUUGAUCGAAGUCUUUGAGGGUGAAAACAGAAAUACCAAGGAUAACAACUUGCUGGGAAAAUUUGUGCUCUCUGGCAUUCCUCCUGCCCCUAGGGGUGUUCCUCAGUUCAUCGUAUGCUUUGACAUUGAUGCAUAUGGGAUGUUAAAUGUGUCUGCCGAGGAUAAGACUACCGGGAAGAAGAUCAAGAUAAAAGUAACCAAUAACGAGGAGAGAUUGUCAAAGGAAGAGCUUGAGAAGAUGGUAAAAGAAGCUGAGAAGUUCAAAGCAGAAAAUUCAGAAAAUAAGAAGGCAGCAGAGGGGAGAAAUGCUCUGGAGGAUUACAUCUUUAAGAUGAAGAACGUCAUGAGUGACGAAAAAUUUAGCUCCAAACUUCCAUUUGCGAGCAGAAAGAAAGUAGAGAAUGCUAUGAAGUUGGCAACACAGUGGUUGGAUAGGAAUCAGACCGCAAAGGUAGAAGAGUUGGAGGGAAUAAUGAAAGGGCUGAAGGGGUUUGCAAUUGCUUGAAUGUAUACCUUGUUUGAGAUAAAGUCCCUUUGGCCGCUGGCCGGUGCAAGAGGUGAAGGCCGGAGACGGUAAAAGCGGAUUUCCCAAGUUGUUGUAAUUUCUAGAUAAAAUUGAUUUGUUUCUAAUAUGAUUUGAUUACAUUUUCUUAGUGUUAGGGAGAAGGAUGUCCGCUAGGGACUACAGGACGGAUAAAUUUGGAACUUCAGUUCAUGUUCACAAUCAUAAGUCUGAAAGGAAGCUCGGCAAGAAUCAAAGAAAAUAUGGAAGGGCGUUGUAGAUAAUAGUCGAAUUCAAAUUAACAUUGAGAUUCUCAACUAAUCGGUUAAUUUAUUGAUCAUUUGGGAUUCACAAUUAUAAGUUUGAAAGGGAGCUCACCCAGAUAAGAAUUAAAGAAAAUAUGGAAGGGAAUUGAAGACUAUAGUCAGAAUACAAACACUUAAAACAUACUUGAAACAUAACAUAAAUUGAAAAGUGAAAAAUACUACUUAAAACAUAAUAUAAAUUGUAUAGAAGAAAAAGGCAAGAUGAUAAAGUUGAAAAAUUCAUUUAAUUUUAGUUUAUGGAAUAAAAUUAGUAAACAAAAGAAGCAGCAUGCUGUUUUAAUAUUCUUAAACCUAUCACACUAAUGCUUCUGUCAAAUCGACAUAUGCACGCUGCUCACGCCAGGGAGAAGGGCGAAGGCAUACAUGAACCUCAUGUUCUUCUGGUCCAACACGAUGUUUGGGAACCUCGAUCUCAAGCAUUGUACCUGUCUCAUCCCCAUAAGCUUCAAGUUUUGCAUCUUCUGGAAUGCGUGCUGGAAGGGUAAUUUCCCUAACAAAUUCCCCUGGUGGGCAGUGUUCCGGUGUCGGAUCUGUUAACUUGAAUGUUCUAUCUUGCCUUUUAAUGAUUGGCAUACACCCAGUGCUCACACAAGAUAUCUUCACAAUUCCAUGCGAGGGAGUGUUUCGCCAAGUGACUUUCACCCGCUGCAAAUCAGCACAAGGUAAGCUGACAAUAAUCAAAAAACCCUUAUCAUCCUCAUAAAUUGUUUUCGCAGCUGUUACUGGCCCGUAUGUGCUCCUCAUUACCCCAGUAAAUUCAUUAACCCAGUGUGGCUCAAUGGAGUGUGCGUCCACAACCCCAUCUGAAUGUGAACUGUUAUUAGCCAACGUACAAUCAUAAUCAUUUUCGGGUGCAAAAUAAUUUUUCGGCCGUUUGUUACAAUUAGCCAGAAGGUCCAUCCCUUCACCAUUUACAUGGUUUGGUUGCUGAGUUGAUAAUUUCAAACCACACCCGUUAAGCAAUCGUUUUGGUUGCUGAUUAACAUUGUUCUUUAAUGGAGGCAGUCGCUCAAUCUCAAGUUCUGUGACAGGAAGUGUCCUCCAUGAGCUGAAAUCACUAGCCUCAAGAGGAAUUGAGAAAUUCAAAUCUCUUCCAGUAAGCUCCAUCCACUUCUUGCAUUCUCCCUCGUCUAGGCCAGCAAAAUUGGGUGAAGGAACAACUUCUAUUCCAUGAACACAUUGGGGAUUAGACAGACCCCUAUAGUGUUUCCUCUGCAUUCUAUGAGAUCGAACAAACCCCUUAUCAGCACUGAAUGGAAAUGGACGUUCUCCUUGGCGUGAAUGACCAUUCAUGUAACUCCUUAGCUGCAUUUUGCCUAAUGCGUUAUCAGGCCUAUCCUUGAAAACCCACAUAUACAUAUUCUCCAUAUCAUGCUGAACCAAAAAGACAUCCAGCUUCAAAUCAGUUUUAUCAUACCCGGAAACUCCAUUAGUGUCCCGCACAGCAAUCUUAGACUUAGACUUCUCAUUUAAAGCUGGCUUAAAGUAAAAAUUAAAGAAAAACCAAGCACCCCACACACUGUCAAGCCGUUUAGCACACUUCUUUCCAACUUUAGUCAAAUUAAUAUGUGUCUCCGCCUCAUAAUGCUGAGGAGCAUGGCUAACAUCUAAGAUAUCACAAGCAUCAUUCCAAGAAGGCGGCGGCGGACUCGGUUCCGCUGACAAAGGGAGAUUAAUAUCUGGAGGACUCGAGACAUUAAUUGCACGAUUCAAUUCUCUCUCAAUUUCCUCAUGAGACGACAAACUCGAAUCCAUGGACAACAAAGUACACAAAUGACUAUCCAUAGAUAAUGUAGUAAUUACAGCUCCCCCCAUCUUUUCUUUCGUUGGCAUAAUUGUCGCUACUUCGGUGGAAUCAAUAGUCCCACCACAGUCAACACUCAAAAGCAUGAGCACCUCACACACAUAUUCACCCUCUAAUUCUAACCAAUCAAGAAACUUCCAAAGACGACCCUAAUCAAUUGACAACAUACCGAAACACCAUAACCACCUCAAAGCCAUUCUAAACUAAACCCUAAGAGAGAGAAAAACCAAAAAACAAACCAACCAAUUCAGAGAAAACCCAUCAAACCCCAAAACCUAUAAAACCAAUCAAACCCCUUAAAAACCAAAAAAACACCAAGAACUGAUUAGAUUGAACUAAAAUAUAGAAUUAUUCUAAGCAAUCAAUCAAUCCACAGCAUACCCAAAAUCCCAAAAACACUUCAUAGCCAUUCUAACCCAAUCUAAGCUCAAACCCAACAGAUCAAAUCAAUAAAAACUAGCCUAAACCCAAUAAAGAUCCAAUCUUUAAGAUUCAAACAACCCAAUAAAGAUCCAAUCUUUAACACUCAAGAUAUCAAACUAACCUAUAAAACACACAGAUUUCAAAGAUUUCUUAAAUUAGCAACAGGGCGUCCAAUCUUUAUCUUUAGCAAAAGUAAGAUAAAGAGAAGAAAUCAAAGAAAGAAUAGAACGGUACCUUUGAAGACAACGCAUUGAUCCACAAAAUGAGGGAGAUUGAGAGAGAUGAUUGAAAGAGAAACAAAGAGAGAGGAGAGAAAGAGGAGAAGAUGGGGUUAACGGAGUUAGUUUAUAGAGAGAUGGAGUUGGGACCUGCACCAGUUAGAACCGGUGAGGAAGAUAACGGAGGGGCGUUAAAAUAGACGGUGGGAAUGAUGAGAUAGAGAAAUGUAAUUAUUACUAUUAUAUGCAUGUAUGUUAAUGUUGUUGAGAUAAGAGAAGUGUCAAACUAGGCGUCUGUCUGAGUGUGUGAUUGGUUGUAUAAUGUAUGCAAGACUUUUGUGUAAUGUAGGUAACCCUAAACGGGAGUUAUGUUGUGUAUACGUAUACAAGGUUAUCUCUAUUAUGUUGUGUGGCUUUCACUUUUGCCGACUGUGGUAAGGUUAGUUGUGAUGAUAAGUCAUGUAUACGAUUUAUUGCAAAUACAAGUAGUGCGAUUUCGUUUUUUUUUACAAAGAUAAGAAGAUUUCAUUAACUUGAAUAUAAUACAGCUGGAAUAAACCCUCAACUCUUGAUAGUAUAAUGGAUCAAAAUUUAUUAAUAUCGUAAAAGAAUAAUAUUAUAUAUCAAAUUAGAUAUAAAAUUUGUUAUAGAAUAAGAUGACGUGACAUUGAUAAUGUGAUAUUUCCGAAUGACUUAAUCAGAAUAUUCAAAUAUACAUGAACAUAUCAUUUAAGUUAUAAUUAAUAAAAAUAUAAUAUGUGUCAUUUUGUACAUGUUUUUUUAAUUUAAUUUAAUAUUUUUAACAUUUUCUAUUAUAAAAUAUUGAAAUUUGAUAUUAUGUGUCACUAAGCGAUAUUUUGUGUGUAUUCAAUAUACAUGUCAUCUUAACUAAAUGACGUUGAUGAUGAUAAUUAACUGAACUAAAAUAAAAAAAAAUUGAUUAACUAAUUAUCCAAUAAAAUAAUAUUGUGACGAGCAAUUUGAAGUGACUGUAUAUGAUAUAUAAAAUGAUAUAUGUUAACUGCUUCAGCAAUAUCGAGGUUGCGUGAGACAUAAUCAGCCUCUUAUUAAUAGAUAUGAGAAGUGUGGAAAAUAUAAAUGAAUGAUGUUAGAUAAGGGAGAAGGAUAUUAGUAAAGUCUAUAUCUAUAACUUAUAUGACGGUAAUUUUGAUAAUAUUCAUGAUUGGAAUCAAGAGUCUCGAUGAUUUUUUUUGCCGAAAUGUGCUAGUUGUGUGUUAUUUUAGACGGAGAUUAGACUUUUGAGUUGUCUCCUUGUGAUCUUAUGAUCUCUACUCAUGAUUUCCUCAUUUGCUUAUAUACGCAUAUAGGGACGGAUCUAGGGAUUUUAGUCAAGUGGGGGGGGGGGGGGGGNNNNNNNNNNNNNNNNNNNNNNNNNNNNNNNNNNNNNNNNNNNNNNNNNNNNNNNNNNNNNNNNNGGGGGGGGGGGGGGGGAAUCACUUUUUAGAGACAAAACGAGACAAAUUUUCAUUUAACCAAAAUGGUUUGAGUUGAUUGAUGAGUUAAAAUAUAAAUUUAUGAUAAGAAAUAUACAAAAUAUGAACAGAAAUACUGAUAUUAGCCCAGCCUUAUGGGACUGCUGAGAGCAUGAGACAAGUAAAUAUUAGAACAGAAGGGGUUGAGACACGAGAGAUAUUAGCCCAGCCUUAUGGAGCUGUUGAGAGCCUGAGACAAGCAAAUAAGAUAUUAGCCCAGCCGAAAUUCAGAUCGAACCGAAAUUCUAAUAUUUUCCGGACCGUACCGGACCGAAAUUCUAUUAUGAACCGAAACGAAAUAAUUCGGUACGGUCCGGCCAAAAGAACUGAAAACUAAAAUAAAAAUUACAUUAUAAAUAAAUUUAAAUUUUAUGAAUUAUUUUAAAAAAUAAUAUUUAUUUAUCACCAACACUUCAUAAAAAAUAGAUUUAAUUAAAUUUACAAAUUACAUAUUAUUAUUAUAGUAUAUAAGAUAUAUAUAAAAUAUAAAUAUAUAUUAUAUAUUGUUUGGACUAUUCUAUCUAUUCAGUCUGGACCAAAAUAUUUAUUUAAGGACCGGAUCGAACCGAAUUUUUAUUUUGGUCAAUUCGACCCGAACCGAAUAGACCGAAUUUUCAGAAAAUCAAAACACUUCAGUUCGGUUUUCCGCUUCCACUUUAAUUUUGCUCACCCCUAUUAACAAUUACUCUAUUUUUUAGUUCGAUGUUGGAUCUCUAUUCGCUCUCAUCUCAUUAAUAAUGAUGAAUUGAUGAUCUUUCUGCAUGCAAAAGCUCCACACUAGAAAGACCUUUGUUAUUUUGAGCAUGAAUAUUUCAACUUUUUAUUUAAUUCGAUUCGAUACGAUACGAAACUUUUUAUGGCCCGGUUGACAUCAUCAUCACAUACUUAUAUAAUUAGUUAGAGAUGCAACAGUGAGUUUAUAUAUCUAUAUCAAUAAUUGGCUAAUUCUGCUGUCAAAUUAUAGUUUUAGUCAUCCAUAAUCUUCUGACGCGGUGUUUAGAUUUCUAAUCACCUCUUUGUAAGGCCAGUUAUCCGACACACCCACACUCCAUGUUUGUUUUUUCGUAUAUUUUAGUUGGGUGACCUAUUAUGGCACCUAACUUAUCUUUAACAUAUUGUUUAUGUAAUUAUAUAUUUUGUUGUCUACAUGAAAAUGCGGAUAUUCCUUUAAUAUAUUUAUGAAUAUCCGAUUUGGGUCUUAAGAUAAUUAUUUAAAAAAAUAAUCUUUAUUGUUUUGUAAGAUUUAGUCAAUAUGAUUGCAUUUAUCAACAAACUAUACAUAGCUUAGCAGCAUACUAUAUGCUAUCCUUCUUCUCAGUUUUCGGAUUUUUCAUGGUUGUUACUCUCAUCUCAAAUAUUAAUGAUCAUACUGAUUAAACUUUAUUUGAAAAAAUAUUAUGAUAUAUAUAAUAUAAAGAAAUUAAAAAGUAUAACUAAAUAUCUUGAUAUUAAUUUUUUCAGAUUAUAUACUUCUCGUCCUUCUGAUUACUUUACGGUUCUUUUACAUUUCUUUACAUUUAUUUUAAAGUGCAUAUAGUUUCAUAAUUUUUUAAAAUUUUAUAUAAAUAUUUAAACAUUAAUUUUUUAUUCAGAUAACAAAAAAAUUAAAAUAAUUUAUAAAACUAUAUCUUUUAUAAAAAUAUUAAAAUACCUGUCAAGCUCCCAUUACACAUAUUAUGAUAAAAAGUAUAUGGUCAAAGAGAGUAGUAUAUAGAAUCCGUAAAAAAAAAAAAAAAAUAAACACAAUAAUCAUAUUGAUUUUUCUCUUUUUAAGAGUAAGUUUUGAGAGAGAAAAUGAAAUUUUAAAAUAUUUUAAAAUCAUCAUAUAAGAAAUAUUAAAAGCAACAUAUAAAUCAGAACUAUAUAAUUUUGAUUAAAAAGAGUAUUUUACUAGUUAUCUACGAAAAUAUAGAUUGCGGUUAACCUAUUUGAAUGCGUCAUCUAACAAGUGUUUAGUUACUUAAACACUCAACAUGCUAAAAGUGGACAUAUCAUCAAAUAGUAUAAGGGUAGACUUUUCCCUUAUAUAUUUUUGUAUUAUACACACAAUGUAUAAAUUUACGUAUAGGCUAGUGGUUUCCAGAGUAGUUUUUUUUUUUUUGAUAAGCAGCAUUAAUAUUAAUAUCUCGGAAAGUCUUACAGCAAGUGUACUAAGCCACCAAAAGGAUGCACACAUGCAUCUGCCACCUAACCUUGCAGCAAAACAACUAAAGAACCUAGAGAACCUACAUAGCCAACAUGACUUCCAUAAUCUUAGCAAGAGGGUCCGAGACCUAACAUAGAACUGAACAGUUAAUAAACCGAAAAGCUAAUAAAAGCGACAAAAGAUAUGAAAGGCUAGAAGUGGUCAGAUGCUCGCGCUCCUACGCAGCUUUCUAACCCUUAACCCAGCAAGUGUAGCAUGAGAGACAUCGCGCUUUCGUUUGAGUGUUGGGGCAGGGGGAGGACCAUCCUCAACUUCUCCCAGGCCAAAGUUAGGAGCCACUUCAUCGAUCGGAGCCUGCAGCACCAUCCCCAUAUCGCGAUCCACAUGAUAUUUCAGGUCACCAAACCAGCCCGGGGUUUCAGCGAAAACAGAGAGAUGCUGUAACCCAUAGUCUGCUAGAUACCGAGCAGUUGAGUUCAUUUCAGUGGGAAUCCAUAUGAUCUUCCUAUUUGUGGUGUUCACCUUGAAGUGGUUGGCAUGCACUGUGUUGAAUAGCCUGAAAGGUUCCAGUUGGUCAUCACGCAAGAAAACAUGCUCUUGAGUUGAGAUAGUUUCAAAAGUGUUAUGGUUGGACGUUUCUAUAAGCGUCUUUUCCCAUUUUUUGUGCACAGAUUCCACACACGCCGCUUGAAUGCCAGCCAUGAUCGCCUGCUCUUCAUUCAGCCCAUUCAUUGGACCUGAGGCAGUCCACACAUUUGCACCAGCAUCAUCACGGGCAAUCACACCCACCCCUAUUGAGUUUCCAUUAGCGAGAGGCUCAGGAAGAACUUCACAAUGGACAUUAAUUUUAAUGUAACCCUCGUCAGGAAGCUCCCAAGUGACAUCCAUUAAAAACAAAGUGAAAGGAGAGUGAAAAUAGAGAAGGAAAGAGGUGAGUGAGAGAAGAUUAGAAGGAGAGAUGAAUAUAUAGUCAACUUGGGGCAGAGAAAAGGAAAGCAAAUAUACAGGUAAUUGCUACAACCCCUGGACACGGAGAAGAGACCGAUGGACAAUGCACUGGCUCGACUGCAGAAGUUAACGUUGGAAAAGCCAGCAAAUCUGAGAUUAGCCGCCAAUUUUAGAGGAAAUCUUUCAUUGGUUCCCUAAAAUCAGAGACCCCCUCUAAAAAAGCUGGCAUGAACAGUAACAUUGAAAAUGUCAAUACUAAUAGAGCUGUUCCAUGCAUUUGAAAUAGGUUAACUAGCAGAACAACAAAGAAAUGCCCGGGAAAGUGAGAUGGCAAAAUCCAGGGGUCAAGUGUCAAUGUGACUUGAGGCCCAAUAGCAAUGAAAGUUAGGCCUGUUAAGCCCAUCUUUGGCCAACUGGUCUGCAGAAUGAUUAAAAGUACUGGGGACAAAUUGGAUGCUAACUAGUCCUGCCAGCAGUUGGAGAAUGUCAAAGUCCGGUUGUAGUAGUGGGAAUGAAUCGGAUAAUCCUCUGUAUAUAGCAUUUAUAGCUCCAGUAGAGUCAGAGCAUACAACCACCCUUUUGUUAACUAAUUUACUGGAUUGAAUGUAGUUAAGGACAUGUAGAAUGGCCAUAACUUCUGCCUCCAGCACAGAGAAGGCUGGAACCUGGCCAGAGAAGCAGUAAAGAGUUUGUUUGCUGCUAUUUUUGAUACAACCUCCCACCGCACAACAUAACUUUCCCCAAGCAUUAACAUUUUUUGCACCAUCAACCAUGCAGAUGUAAUCAUAAUUUUGGUAUUUAAAAUCCCAGAACGACAUUGAAAUGGUGUGGUGAUGUAUAUUAAUUGCACCAAUUGGGUUCACCUUCCACAGAGGAUCAUCCCCAAAAUUCAUUAGAUUCGAAGCAAGUCCCCAUUUAGAUGAACGAAUGAAAAUAAUCUCUUUCAUGGCUGCUCUCGAAGUUCUCUUAGAUUGGAAAAUAAGCUCAUUUCGCGUCAGCCAAAUUGUCCACAAAGUAGCUGCAAUCACCAUUCGCCAAAUUGGAGAGACAUGUUUCUUGUGAAUUAGGCUAAAUAAUGAGUGUAGAGAAAAUUUGGGCACUCUGGCUAGUUGUGGCUUGAGGCUCCACCACUGUCCAACAUAAUCCCAAGCCCAUAUGGCUGGAGUGCAUUCCCAAAACACAUGGUUUACAGAUUCUACUUCAGAGUCACACCAAGGACAAAGUGCAGACAAAUUCUUUAGCCGGACACUGAGAAAAGACUUGGUUGGGAGAAUGGCCCAAGCAAGUUUCCAUAGGAAAGCGGUAAUUCUUGGGGGUACUUUUAUAGCCCAAAUGCAGUUCCAAUGCUUGGAUGAAGUGGAGGACGAGUGAUUAAUCCCCAGUUGAAAGAAACCCUCUCUAGAGGAAUAUGAGCCCUGGUUGGGUAUCCACUUGAGAACAUCCUCCAUGUCAUCUAACAAGAUUGCCUGCAGGUGAAAAGUGAUAUAAGAAAUAGAUUCCAGAUCACUGCUAGAGAGCUGUUCUGCCCAAAGUUUCACCCCGGUUUCUCCUUGUAGCCAGAUACCAACUACUGAGCGAACAAUUGUUAAACGCAUUGCUGAUUUUUUAUAUAGGCAGGGAAAAAGGACUGAGAGUGGUUCAUCUCGAAGCCAGCUGUCUUCCCAGAAAAGUACUCUCCUGCCGGAUCUAACUCUCCAUUUAAAAUUCCUCCUUUGUACUAGUGGUCCAACUCUCGAAGUGUUAAAAACCGAGAGCAUACUUUUUAUGACUGGAGAGGUCUUAGACAUUUCAACCUUGGAGAGGUCAUAGUUCCACUCCUUACCAUAACGCUGGACGAAGAAGUUGUUCCAAAAACAACCACGUUCCUUGUAGGCUCGCCAAACCCAUUUCGCCAACAGGAGAUUGUUUUUUAAAGAUAUAGGAACUAAACCUUGGCCUCCAGCACUCUUUAAUUGACAAAUACUCUCCCAAUUUAAUAGGUGCAUCUUUUUUUCUGAGUCCUUAAAUUGACCCCAGAAGAAAUUUCGACGCAUUUGUUCGAUAAUGUUGACAAUUUGAGAAGGCAUUUUAUACAAGCUGAACCAGAAAAGGGGCACGCUAUCAAUUACUGCUUUGAGAAGCACCACUCUCCCGGCAAUGGAAACUUUCGAAGCAUCAAAGGACUGCAACUUCCUUCGAAGUUUGUCAAUCAGAGGGGUCCAGAAGGAGAUAGAAUGUGGAGACGAACCAAUCAUUGCUCCAAGAUAUUUGAAAGGUAGGGACCCAACUUGACACCCCAGAACUCCAGCCGAAUUUGUUAAACGUGAAGUCGUUGUAUGAAAACCGAAGAGCUGACUUUUUGAGAAGUUUAUUUUUAACCCCGACAAUAGUUGAAAACAUUGUAGUAUCCUCUUGAUCCCAUACACUGAGCCUUCAUCUCCUUCAAGAAACAGAAUGACAUCAUCCGCAAAUUGCAGAUGAGUUAAAGAUUCAGAACAGCCCAGAAGAGAUAUUCCUUUGAAAAUUUUUUGAGCCUCGCCUCUGCAAAUCAAUUGAGAUAGUACUUCCCCCACCAGAUUGAAGAUUAGAGGGGAUAAGGGAUCCCCUUGGCGGAGGCCGCAUUUAGGACUAAACUCAGCUGUAGGUGAUCCAUUUACGAGGAUCGAAAUUUGAGAGGAAUCAAAAAUUUGUUGAAUCCAGUUGAUCCAUAGAGAGCUAAAAUUCAUCUUGGCUAAAACCUCAUAAACAAAAUCCCAAUUAACACGAUCAAACGCUUUCUCGAAAUCAAUUUUGAAAAUCAUUCCGGAUGCAAUCUUCUUUUGUAGCAUGAAUACAAUUUCAUUGGUGAGAAGUAUACUAUCCGAAAUUUGUCGUCCCCGAAUGAAACCUGAUUGUUGCGGGCCAACCAGAAGGUUCAUAAAUUUACUAAGCCUGAUCGACAAGACCUUCGUAAGGAGUUUCACUAAAGCAUUCAUGAGACUGAUUGGUCGAUAUUCCGAACAUUUCAUCGGCUGUAGUACUUUAGGAAUUAGAGCUAUGAAAGAGGAGUUGCAUCCUUGAGGAAGUGAACCAGUAGAAUGAAAAUUUUGAAAAAACAGCAGGACCUCAUGCUUUAUCUCAGGCCAUAGAAGAGAUAGAACGCCAGCAUUUAUUCCAUCAGGCCCCGGAGCCUUGGUCUUUUCCGUAGAAGACAGAGCAAAUUCUAUUUCGGUUAAUGUGAAUUUGGCAUCUAGAAAGCUACACUGGCUCGGGGACAGAGUAGACAAAGAGCACGAGCCCAGAUUGAAGACCAUCCUUGGAGGCUCCUUUGCUAACAAAUUGGAGAAGUGAGAGUAGAAAGCUUGCUUGAUUUCAACCGCCCUGGUAAGAGUUACUUGCUCAUACUCGAUUUUUCGAAUAGUGUUGUGAGCCCUGCGUUUAGCUAUAGCCCGAUGGAAGAAACGAGUAUUCUUUUCCCCAUAAAGCUGCCAGCUCGUUUUGGACCGUUGACAUAACAUACGAGACCUUAUCCUGUAUAACUUAUCAAGAUCGAACUGGCAUUUGGUUGAUGAUUUCGGGUUUGAAAGUCCAUUGUCUUCCCUAUCCCGAGCUGUCUCUGCUUCCUUUAUUUUGAUAUCUAUAUUACCCAUCUUGGUAGAAUUCCACCUCUUAACAGCCUCUCUUAACGACCUGAAUUUAUGAUGAAUAUUGGAGGACUGCGAGUUCUUCCAUGAAUUUCGUAAAGUAUGAGCGAGUGUGUCAUCUUCCAGCCAGCAAUUAAAGAACUUGAAAGGGCGCGGACCCCAAUCCUGAGUAGAAGUUUUGAGUAAAAGCGGCUUGUGAUCAGAUAAUUUCCGACAAAGAGCCUGAAUGCCCCAGUCUCCAGACAUAAACCACGCAGGAGAUACUAAUGCCCUGUCAAGACGACCUUUCUUAGGAGAGGGACCAAACCAAGUGAACGUGGAAUUGAGUAUUGGGAUAUCAGCUAACCCACAGGAAUUUAGGAAAGAGUUAAAAGCAUCCGAGAGCGCAUGUGAAUGAUUACAACCAAACCUUUCAUCUGCAGAACGAACCACAUUGAAGUCUCCAAGUAAACAGACGUAGGAUUCAUCUAGUAGUCCUAAUGCAGUACUAAGAUCAGCCCAAAGUUGCAGUUUAUCUCGAGCACCUUGAGGUGCGUAGAUAUUAAAACACGCAAAGCGGGUGGAAUUAGAAAUCAUGGUGCCUCUAAUUAAUAACCAAUGACGGGAAACUUCAGACGAGCUAAUGUUUACCUCUGCUGUGUUCCACACUGUAAGAAGGCCCCCCGAAAGGCCUCGAGCCGGAAAUUCAGCCCAUCCUGGAUCGUGGCCCAUACCUAAUCUUUUCACUGUAUUUGAGUCCCACAGAGUACAUUUUGUUUCCUGCAGACAACAAAUGACUGCCUUUGAAGAUUCGUUUAGUAAUCUGACAAAUUGACGACUAUCAGAGCUGCAAGCACCCCUGACAUUCCAGCUUAAGAAAGAGUGUGUAUUCAUAAAAACUUAAACAAUGAAGUAGAGAGAAACGAGAGAGAUUAAGCAGCCAGAUUCUGCCGGAUGAGUUCCAGUGAUUCUUGCCUCGAAUUAUUAGGGAGUAAUCCCAUCAGUAGUCCAGUUUCCAAAAUGGAUUCUGCCUCAUCAGUUGAGUUGUUAAGAAAGAAAUGUGAAAUCUGUUGAAGACCUUCCCCUUUUUUCCUUCUACGUUUCGGAAGUUUGAAAGAUUUGUUAAUCUUGUUUGAGUUGAGUUUACGAGGGCGUCCUCUCCUCCCUUUCACUUUCAGUUUAUCCAGAUCUUGCAAGAUGUCCAUACUCCUAUCCUGAAUUGAGAUAAAUUCAUCCAAGGAUUCCUCAUCCACAACUGAUCCAUUGGAAUCCGAAGCAUUUAAUGGGUCUGAGGGUGAGGUAUCUCUAUCACGGGGAAGCCAAUUUGUUGUGACCAAUGUGAUAGGAGACUCUUCUGAAAAGGGUGUUAGGGGGUUUAUGUCAGAGUUGGAAACUUCCCCUGCUAAGUUUUCUUCUUCAGGAAUAGUGAUAUCGCCACACCCCUCAUCCGUCAAGGUGUGGGUCUCAAUCUCUGAAUCAAUUAGAACUACAUUCCCAGUUCUAUUUUCCUCCAAGAUUACCUCUUCAUCUAAGAUCUCUUCCUCAUCUUCAGCAAGUAUUUCCUGAACUUCCUCUUCAUCAUCAACUAGUUCAUGAUCAUUGAAGUGAUUAUGCUCGGGAAGGGCAGUUGAUCCUGCUGGGUUACUUGAGAUUGACAUACAUUCCCCCUCAGAUUUCUUAGUGGAUUCGCAAGACCUCCUUGACUGAAUGAAGUCAUUAGCAGGAGAAUCCCGGGAAUAACUAAAAAAAUCAUUUGGAAUAGCAUCAUUUAGUUGAGACAAGGCCCCGGUUGUUUCCAGAAAACGUACCUUCCAGAUUUUUCCCAUGAGAUUAAUGUAUUUGAUUUCAUCGAUCUCAGAAACGCUCUGUGUUUCUAACAGGAAUUUUGGGGUUUGGUAGAAAUCCUCCUCAUCACGAGUUUUACCGAACUGAAGAAUGGUUCCAAAGCUACUAAGAAUAUUCUUGAAAUUAUCUUCCUUCCAACCAACAAUAGGCAAACCUCUAACUUCGACCCAUGUUUUCCGUGAUGGGAGGAGAUCAUCCAAAUGCAGGUCACGAACCUCAGCAAACCCAAUCUUUAGGAACUCUCGAUCAGUAUCUUGCAGAUCCAUGUAGUGCGGGAAAUAAGCAAUGAACCUAUCCCCAGAUAAACCUCUGAUUAGAGCAUUGACCGCACCUAGUCCCUCCGCAAUCAUACCCACAGUGUCUGUUGUUUCAUGUUUGACUGUCCUCAGGAAUAAGCUAUUUUCCAUGAUAUGAAUAAAAUCUUCGUCCGGCAAGAGCUCUACUGAGGCAGGGGGGGAAGGGAGAUCCCGAGGCAAUGAGUGACUUACAGAUUUAGGGGACUCAGGUGGGGUAAUAUGUACCUUUGGAGCCCGCGUAGAACUAGCAGAUUUAGGGGGCUGAGAGGGAGGCUUUUGAGCACCCUUAGCUUUAGCCAGAUAUAAUUUCCUUGAGCCAAUAAGUUUGCCAUUAAGAGCGGAAAUGAUGUUGUCAGCCUGUUUCUCAUCGGACACCAACAAGAACCCAAAUCUAUUGCCAAAUUUGUCUCUUUUCCGAGGCAGAAUAAUAUCCCUAAUUUUCCCUUCCUUUUUAAAGAGAGACCAUAGAUCUUUCAUAUGGAGGCUAUCAUCCAAUUCUGUAAAGAAAAUGGAUGAUUUAGGCGCCAUAUCACCCUUCUUUCGGGAAGAUUGGGAUUUUGGGGGAGGGGAUCGUUUAACAGUAGGGGACGGCCUUGCUGAAUUCUUAAGCAGAGCCUCUCUGAAAGUUUGUGAGGGAGACUGAGGAAGGGGUUUCGUUGAAGCGUGAUCACCCGUCAGCGAGUGAUGGUGGAUCUGUCCUAGAGCUAGGGAGAGGGCCUUGUCAUUACCACCUAAUGCGUCUUUAAGUACACCAGGCUCCACCAUAGAAGCAUGAACUUUGAGAAAAUCAUAAGUGAUGAUCUUUUGUUCUUCCACCAUGUAAUCCUUUUUAUUGGGCGAAAUAAACUUUGGUUUCUUUUGUAUUGGCCUAGCGCUGAGAGAGCCAAAAUGAAUCUGAUGGAGGGCCAUACGGACUCCUUCUUGGUCUCCAUUGCUAGCUUUAGCGAUUGUAUUUGGAUGUACCAAAUCCGCAUUCGCCCUUAUAAAGUUUAAAAGAGUAGUGUCAUUAUUAGCUUCAGAAUACUGACCUUGAGAUAGUUGCCGGAAACCAUUGAUGUAGAGGGCUGAGUCUUGAGAAUGUGGCUGAGAUUGCUGAAGGUUGACCGGGCGGACCCUAGAUCCCUGUUUCCCCCUUUUCGCCAUAACUCCUGCUUGUGCUUGAAGCUCUGAAACAUUUGCUCCUUUGUUAUCUGCUCUCUCGCCUUUCGUCAUUGAAAUCCCCUUUUGCUCCUGCCUUGCUAAUUCUAUAGAUCCAUAAUGAAUUUGAUUUAGAGCCAUUCGCACUGCCUCUCUCUGCCCUUGUAAUGCCUCUAUCCUUGUAUUUGGGUGAAUUAGAUGCUCAUAAGCUGAUAAGAAAAGGAGGAGAGGAUCCAUAGUAGCAGAAUCUCCUUCCUUGUCAUUCCUUUCAAUUUCUAGGUUUGAAGCCUUCUCCCACCACCCAUUAUUGUAGAGGAAUUCAUGUAUACUCCACAACGCCUCCUCAUCUCCCUUGACUCCUUCUUCUAACAACUCUCUUGAAACCACUCCCAAGAGAAAGUCCACCUUUGCCUCUGCCAUGGGUAGCAGAGCAUGAUUCCCUUUGUUAACUGCUGCCACUAAUUCAUGAUCAAGCAAGAACCAGAAUUUAUUGAUUGUUUCCAGCUGCUGUUGCUUUUUAAUUUCCUGUUCCGAGUUAUUUCCAAGCUGUGCUUCCUUAAAACCAGAUGAAAAGCUUCCAUUCCCUAGGUUGGUUGCUCCCUUACUCUGAAUCUCACUUCCUUUACUACUCUUCUCGCCGGAGGUGCCCUUGGAGUUGUUAUUACCUAGCGGUCCGUUGUUGGGUUUUGUGACCGUUGAAGCCAUAUUUAUAUCCAUGUGCAACUUUCCUUUUUCGGUUUCCAGAGUAGUUGAGGGAGUAGAGGAUGGCGAGUUGAUAUGAUAAUUGGAGCUUUUGAUGAAGAAAGUGGGCAUGUAACGAUAUUUGCGAGUAGAUUCUCCAGAUAUUUCGUAACAUGGGUUGGUUAUUUAUUUUCAUUAUUUUAUUUUAUUUGUUGUGGAAAUGAGAGAGCACGUGGCUUCUUAGUGGUGGUAGCCUGCCUUAUCAACAUUGUAACCUCAGUUAUCACCUUUCUCAACUUGGUAUUAUUUUAUUGUCGAGAGAAAAUGAAGGCCUUUUUCUUUGGUUAGCCAAACUUUAGUUUUAUGCAUGUGACUAUGUGAGUUAAUAUACUUGUACUUUCUCACUUUUUAGUAGAGCGAGACUUGUUGUUUACAACUUUAUUAUGAAUAUAAAUGAAUUUAGAAUGUGGAAAACAAGUGUAGAAAUAUGGGAAAGCUUGCCCAAGUUGGCAAGUAAUGCAAUCAACUACCCACUUGAAGUUGAAUAACCUAUAUUAAUGAUUUGAAUUAGAUCUUCGAUAUUUUGAAAAUAUAUGUUUCUCAAAUAUGUAUAUUAAAAUAUAAUAUGCUGUGAACUCGAUUUUAAUUUUAAUUUUUAAAAACACAAGUAAGGAAUCAUAGUUUCAUUCUCACAUCCCUAUGUACUCCCUCAGUGCCGUUGAGUUGUUAAUGUUCACCGUUUACACGUAUUUUGAGAUUCUUAUAAAGUAUAGUUCUACAAAAAAAUUUUAAUUUAUUUUUUUUGAAUAAAAAUUUAAAUAUUCAGAUUUUUUUUUGGGAAAAAAAACAUCAUGAAACUAUAUUUUAAAGAGAUCUUAAAAAACAUGCCAAAAAGUAGGGCUGGCAAUUUCGGGUUUCGGGUCGGGUUCGGGUCGGGUUGACAGUCGCGGGUCAAAAAAUUUACCCAACCCGAACCCGACCCGAAAAUUUAAUGGGUCAGAAUACUCAACCCGAACCCGACCCGCAUUACCCGCGGGUAACCCGAACCCGACCCGAAAAUUAAUAUUUAUUAAUAAAAAUAUUUUUUAAAUAAUAAAUAAAUAUUAUUUUAAUCCAAAUAAAUUAAUUUUUAUUAAAUUAAAUAAUUUUAUAUUAAAUUUAACUAAUAAAUUUUAUAAAAAUAAUAUAAAUAAUAUAAAUAUAUAUAAUAUUUAUAUUAUAUAUUAAUUUUCGGGUAAUUUCGGGUCAAUUUCGGGUAACCCGAAUUCAACCCGAAAAUGACCCGAUUUUUCUGGGUUGAUUUUGGGUCAACCCGAAUUAGACCCGAACCCGAAAACCCCCAACCCGAAUUCGUAUUUUGCGGGUCGAAUUCGUGUCGGGUUGUCGGGUCGGGUCCAAUAUUGCCACCCCUACCAAAAAGUGAUGUUAACAAUCCAACGAGACGGAGGGAGCUACGAGUUUUGAAAGAAGUCCCGAAGCUCCCUAAAAUUAUGACUCAAUGUGAUUUAUCAACGAGUAGUGCUACAUGCACAAAAUUAGGUACAUAAUUUUAUACAAAAUGAUAUGACAAUCUAGGUGAGAAAUUUUAAUGGGUGCUAUUAAUACAUAUGUAGGGGCAUUCCAAUCACAAGUUAACACAUACUCAUUCUGUGAAUGUUUUUGUCCCUAAUUCUGAGUAUGUAGCAUUUUCCUUUAACAAUUAUCGUGAUUUAAUGUGAUAAGUGGGAAAUUUAAAAUAUCUAUUUGGAUAAUUUUUGAUUUAUUAAUGACAUUAUGAGUUAUUAAAAAUAUAAUACUAGAAAUAAAGAUGAUUUAUGGGUAACUUAUGUUUUAUGAGUAAUUUUUAUCUAAAAAAUUGUUUUUAAAAAAUAAAUCAAAUAUCUCAAACUAACUUCUGUCUUUAAAUCAGUUUCUGAUUUGUUUUUAAUUUUAAGCAGACUUCUAACUUAUUACCCAAAUAAAUAUUUUGUACGCGCCAAUAAGAUCAACAAAGGCAUUCGUGACACUGGUGGGACACGGAAGUCAUGGGAAGUCAUUGGUCUGAGGCUUCGGGUGAAACCAAUAAUUAGCUCAAAAUGGAAAAUGACUUAAAUCCUGAAUUUUAAGUCGAGAUAAAUAGCAUUUUAAUAUCUUUUUUCCGGUCUAAUUUUUUAUGAACAAAAAUACAUUACACCGUGAUCAAAUAGUUUUUUUGUAUGAACGAAAAUGCAUUAUAAUGUGAUCAACUCAUAAUUGGAUGAACAAAAGCACAGUACAAUGUGAUCACCUGACGUUGGAUGAACGAAAACACGUUAGAAUGUGCUUAGUUUUGAUUAUUGUUUAUACAUCGUAUUCCAUUUCCCUAAAGAAUUGAUUAACCUUGAAAAGGGCCGGCAGCUUUUUUGAAUUGUGUUUUGGUUGAUAGUUUAAUAAUCCAGGAGGUUGCCCACUAACUUAGAACUCCAAGUCUCCCACCAGUUCGUUAUAAGUUUCAAAUGUGUUAAAUUUCCGUAGCCCAUUUCAAACACGGCCCAAAAACUAUUGCAACAAGAUCUUUCAAAAAUAAAUAAUUGACCUUGUCUGAAUGUCUGAUAUCAGAAGUCCAGAUUCCAAUUGCCAAAUGGGGUCCCAGAAAACGCCAAUUUUUCUUAAACAACAAACAUGUCCAAACUAUGAGAGCAAAUCCAAGAUGAGACAAACGUUACAUUUAAAAUAUCUGUCAAACAUUAUUUAAGGGUCUUUUGAUGUCAAUGAACAACUAUUUUUUUGGUAGUAGAGAUUUUUGAGCAUGCAAAAAACAUCAUUAUUAAUGAGAUUGAAAUCGACACAAAUAUGUCAACUAACUAAAAAUUGGUUGUCAGGGUGUGUCCUAGAAAACCGAACAUUUAAUAAUGUUCCAUAUUUUCCCCUAGCUGCAGGCCAACACACUCAGUUUCCAACUCCUCUGCAUCAUGGCACAAGACAAUGAAGGCAGCUCUAGUUCCAUCGUGCCCAAACUAGUCAUCCUCUUAGUCGCCAUAGCUUGUGCUGGCUUCAUAAUUGCGUUGUACCAUUGCAUCCGUGUCGGUUGGUGCACACAAUACCAGCAACGUCCCCCUCUGCAACCGCGAAAUAGGCCUUUUCCUUUCAGACGCGAGGAGCAGCAGAGCAGCGUUGAAAAUUCUAUUGCAGAGCUCAUUCCUGUACGUAAAUUUAGCAAGACUAAUUUGGACUUGGAGGGCGGGGAUAACCAUACGUGCUCCAUUUGCUUGUGUGAAUUCGAAGAAGGGGAGGAGCUACGUACAUUGCCCGAAUGUGUUCACUCUUUUCAUGUAAGUUGCAUUGAUAUGUGGUUUUAUUCGCAUACUAGUUGUCCGUUGUGCAGAACUGAUGCUACGCCAUCUCCACGGGGACUCAUACAUUAUUUGGAGUUGAAUUCGGAAAGGCCAGCUCCAAGGCAAGGUUUAGAAUCCAGUGAAGUUUGAGUUUGUUUUAUUGCCUAUAUUCUGAACUUGUGUCAGCCUUCUUGAACUAAAUUUUAUUUUAUCAAUGAGAUCGUCUCCUCAAUUGGGACUUUGGGGAAGUGAAAUCGUAGUGUUUUUUUUUUCGAACUUGAAAGUAGAAAUGUAAAAGUAGGGGAAGGUUCAAAUGGAAAAUUUGGUCUCUGGAAACUUGUAUAUUCUGUAUAAAAAGUGGCAUCUGCUUAAAAUUUUGUAGCUAAACUUUAUUUCGAAGAAAUUAUAUUUUUUUCUCAUAAUAGUGCUUUUAACUAUUGAACCCAUGUUUUUUUCAUAUUACAAAAUUAUAAUGUUUAAAGUGUUUUUCGAGUUCUCCAUAGAAUCCACAGUUAGUUUAACAGAUCACUGGCAAAUUACUAACUGCAAGAUUUAUGUUCACGAGACAGUAACUAAUAAGCGACAAACUAACUAACUAAAACACUGAACUGAGUAAUGUGUGAAGUACAUAUCACAGAACAACGGGAAAAGAAUUAAGAGUAUAAGUCUAUAAUGGGGAGGGUGAUCCUUGAAACAACAAUUCUGAAAACAAAGAGAUUUUCCUCCCUUAUGAAAUCUGAACUGAAAAUAUGACAAUUAAGACCAUUCUUACUUGAAACAAAAAUUCUGAAAACGAAGAGAUUUUCUUCCCCUUUUUUUCCCACUUAAAAUAUGAGAAUUAAGACCGUUCUAAUGAUCACAGGAGACCAAACUGUAAACACUGCAAAUUCACAGGAGUCCCCUUCCUCGCAAACCCCCUUAUUUCAUCCAUGCACAUGAAUACGGAGUAUACUGAACCAAGACCAGACGUCAUAGUAUUGCAGCAGUACUGUUUUCUAUUCCCAGUACUUGAUGAAUGAUGAUAAAAUUUUAUUGCCAGUUCUGCAUGUGGAUGAACUGGGAACUAGUAACUGUACAUUUUGUAUUCCAGAUAAACCUUUCGUUCUGAUUGCUGUCAUAAACAAGUUAUCCCAGAUCUCUAGUAAGAGAUUUCUUGUAAUGAUAACAUCAUAUUAUAAGUCCAUCUCUUGCAGGAUACCUCUUAAUCUAGAGGAAGAAAGCUUGUCACAUCAUAUGGAAAGCUAAUAUGUAAAAUAAAGAAUAUUUCGACACAUCUGUUAAUUACUUCAUAAAAUUCAAAUUCCCGCUCUGGAAUUGAAAAUUGACUUCCUGUACAGACUAAAUUCCAAGCGGAAUCGCCAAAAUUGUUGUCGUCAUUUUGUGAAAGAGCAGACAUAUUAAAACUAUGAAAGCAUACAGAGGCUUUACAUAGUAAGACAAACACUACAUAAUAAUUAUCAACCCAACAAUGACUAUUUGAUAUGCACUCAUUUCCAACCAUUCCUCUACCAUGGCACAAGACAACUCUAAUUCCCUCAUACCAAAAUUAGUCAUCGUCUUGGUCGCUGCAGCCUGCAUGGCCCUCGUUAUUGCAUUGUACCAUUGCAUCCGUGUUGGCUGGACCACGCGAUACCACCACAAUGAAACACCGCAGCAACAUCAUCUUGGGCAAGAGGAGCAACAGAGCUUUGAGAAUUCAAUUGCAGAGCUCAUCCCCAUACACAAGUUUAAGAAGUCCUGUUUGGAUUUGGAAGGCCGAAAUGAUCAUACAUGCUCAAUUUGCUUGAGUGAAUUCGAGGAAGGGGAGGAGUUACGUACCUUGCCUGAAUGUUCACACUCUUUUCAUGUAAGUUGUAUAGACAUGUGGUUCCAUUCACAUACUAGUUGUCCGAUGUGCAGAAUCGAUGCUACGCCAUCAUGGCACGGACUGAUGCAUUAUUUAGAGUCAGACUCAGAGAGGCCGGCAACAAGGCAAGGUCUGGGAUCCAGAGAGAUCAGAGUGUAAUUUUUUUAUUCUGCAUUUGUCGCAGAUUGGAUUAAAUUUUAUUUUAUCUCUUUGUCGCAUAUUUGGCCAAAGCAGCCGUAUCACAUCAAUACUGAUUUAAUUAUUUUUUAAGAUCAGACCAUAUGCUGAUCAGUUGAUAUAACAAUGCAGAAUGCCGGUUUAAUUAUUGUUCCAUAUCCCUCUAAUGAAAGCCAAGGCAAAGCUCAUUGGAUAUAUAAGUUUCAAAAUAAAAUAUUACACUAAAGCUGUUCAUAGUAUUUAGCUCUAAAGAGAGAUUCGGUUCAUGAGAGUGUGCUAAUAAUUCUUAAAAGUUACAAAGUCGAGUUAAAAGUAUCCUUAAAUUUCGCCUAAAGGAUACCCCUCUCUUAGUCGUUCAAUGUCAAUGAUCGAGUAUUUAUAGAAGUAUGAACUUGUGUGUACUAAACUAUUAUAAAAUCCAACUUCGAUUACAAAAAUUAUACAUGACACUGGCAAACGGACCAAGGAAAUUUUGCCCUUCCCUAAAAAAGAUCAAAAUAUUAUCACUUGGCAAGACAAAUUUUGACUCAUUCACAUUAAACAACUACAAUUAUCUUGUAAUAACCGUCAUGGCUACAUAGAUUUUGAAAUGGCCUUUCUAUCUAGCUAGUAAUUCUCUCCUAAGCAACUGAAAGAAGGUCUUCACUUGUCUUCACAAUGUCUAGCCUCAAUUUUCUGAGUCAUUUUUAUAUCCUCUUUCUUGUAGUUGCAUCCAUGGCCUUCUUCGUUACAAUUUAUCACUGUAUUAUGGUGAGUUGCCAAAAUAGAAUUGAGCGUCACAAUUCUGAUCAAGUGUCACAGUCCACUGUCAUCAGAAUACAGAACUUCUUACUUUGGCGCAAUGGACAAGAACUUAACAGUGCUCAAGAUCGUGGUGCCACGGUCCUGGGGCUUGAGAACUCGAAGAUUGAGCUAAUUCCAAGACAUAAAUUUGAAAAAGGUAAAGGGAUUCUUGAUGCAGAGUGCGCUGUUUGCUUGAGCGAGUUUGCAGAGGAUGAAGAAAUACGAACUUUGCCAGAAUGUUUGCAUUCUUUUCAUGUAGAGUGCAUUGACAUGUGGCUUCAUUCACAUCCUAAUUGUCCAACAUGUCGGGCCAAUGCUUCACCACCAUCCUCCUCCUUGCUAUUACAUCCUUGCCCAAAGUGAUACCGUGGUUAUGGCAUAGCAUAUUAGGAGAGAUGAAGAAUUGAAGAAAGGGACCGUGCAGUUAGCUUGGUUACAUGCAAAUGAAAGGACAGCGCAGGGCCGGCCCUUCAUAAGGCGAUCAAGGCGAAUGGCUAGGACAGCCCUUCAUAAGGCGAUCAAGGCGAAUGGCUAGGACAUCACUGUCCCACGGGCACCAAAAAAAUCUAUGCAUAUGUAAUAAAUAAUGAUAAAUUUAUGCAUUUAUAGACAUACAUUUAAAUUGAUUGUGUUGUUAAUUUUAAAAUAACGUUUUUAUUAAAUCAUUGUAUAUUGAUUUGAAUGUAUGUAAAAUUUUCAUUUACUAUCUUGAAAAAUAGGGACAUCAAUCACAUCAUUAUCAAAAUUCGUCUAGGACACUCAAAUCUGUGGGACGGCCUGGGUCAGUGCGUCUUUCUUUAAUGUAGCAGAACUUGCAUUACAUGAAAACUGAAAGACUUGUUACCAGUUCCUUAUGUCAAAAUUAGAAGAAGAAUUUAAUUCGGUUAUAUUGCAAGCUGCUGCAGCUGUUAGCUGUUACCCUAUCUUUUCUAAUUUCUGUAGACAAUGGUAUUAGAUUUUUACACGCCUAACUAAAAAUUAUUACAAUUCUAAAUCAAUAGAACAAGAAGCACAUCUGUCAUCGUUUGGCCAUUAGUCUGUGACCUUCAGAUGAAUAAAAUCAUGAACUCGAAAUCUUGCUUUAUUUUAGCAACGCAGAAAACAAAGCACAAAUGUAUUGAUGUAUAUAAGAUUUAAUUUCCAUUACACUUUAUUGAGAAUGAAUAAGAAGGAUGGUCAAGACUUGGAUAUUACUAAGUGCAGUUACAUGCCUAAGGUUUCAUACCCCUAAGACCACGUCUGUGAAUUUGAUCUUGUUUCCCAGUACAAACGCAAAGACCAUCGACACACUUGCCUCCAAACGGACACACGUUCGAACAUCCAGUAUCAAUGCAUUUUGAAAUUUGAUCUUGUUUCCCGGUACAGACGCAAAGACCAUCGACACACUUGCCUCCAAACGGACACACGUUCGUACAUCCAGUAUCAAAGCAUUUUGAAAUUUGAUCUUGUUUCCCGGUACAGACGCAAAGACCAUCGACACACUUGCCUCCAAACGGACACACGUUCGUACAUCCAGUAUCAAAGCAUUUUGAAAUUUGAUCUUGUUUCCCGGUACAGACGCAAAGACCAUCGACACACUUGCCUCCAAACGGACACACGUUCGUACAUCCAGUAUCAAAGCAUUUUGAAAUUUGAUCUUGUUUCCCGGUACAGACGCAAAGACCAUCGACACACUUGCCUCCAAACGGACACACGUUCGUACAUCCAGUAUCAAAGCAUUUUGAAAUUUGAUCUUGUUUCCCUGUACAGACGCAAUGACCAUCGACACACUUGCCUCCAAAAGGACACUCUGUCAAACAAUUAGUAGUGCAUCCAUGUACAUGCACCAAUGACACAGUAAACACCAGGACUAGUGUUAAGACUAUAGAAAACUGCUUCAUAUCUGAUGGUUUUUCUGGAGAAUAUAUAUCUGAAAGAUUUAAAAGAGAAAAUGUUUUCUCCUCUCCUUGCGAGUGUUUUAUUUCCGAUGAAGAUCCUCCACAAUAUAUACAGACAUAUUAUACAAUCACUCCAUCCGAAAGACAUAACUGUUGGAUUUCAUAAUAAAUUCAUAUUAAUUGUCAUUAAUAUGAUAAUUAACUUAUGUAACUUGCAACUAUUCACUUAAGUAUAUAUUUUAGGAUGUAUCAAUGGAGAUUUUCAACUGUUCGGUAGGAAUGAAAAAUGAAACCAUCUGGUGGUAUAUCACAGUUAAACUAGCAUAAAAACCCGUGCGAGGCACGGGCCUCUAGUUUGUGUUUCUGUUUUAAAUAAUAUUCAUGUCUCGUCAUAUUAUUUCGAGCGUAACUAUCACGUUUUAUUCAUUGACAAAGUAUGUAAAUAUGAAAAUGUAAUAUUUGCAACCUAGCAUUAAUAGUAAUAAUAAGUAUUAUAUUUUUAAAAAAAAUUAUGGAUCAGAAACUACAUUUGAACAGAUUUUUCUAUAUUCAAAGUCGUUAGGAUAUAGAGGCCACUACCGUACAAUCUACAUGUUCAAAAUUAUAUUCGAAAUUAAUAUUGAAACUUUUAAAUUUUAAAUAUAUUAUACAUCAUUAAAAGUAUCUGUAAUUAAAUUAUUUCAUCUAAUAUAACAUGAUUUUGAUUUAAACUUGUUCUUGAUAUGUGAAUUACGAUAUCUUAAAUCAUGAUUAAAUGAAGAUGUGUGGUCCGUAUUGUUUUAUAUUUAUUUCUUCUUUUUUAAGUGUAAGUUUGCGUAAUAAUUAAGUGAUACAUGAUGUGGCAUAUCAUCAACACAUUUUUUUUUAGCAUUGUUGCACACACCUUGUAUAAGUAGAAAUUGAACUAUGUAAAAAGACUCAUACCCUAUUUUAUUAUAAAAGUGUCUAUUGAAUUACUAACCUUAUAGUUGUACCCAAAAAAAUUCUGACACCUUUGAUAUGGCUUACCCUUUUAAUUUUCAUCUCAAUUAUAUGGUAUUUCAAUGUCUUAGAUUUUUAUUGUUAAUAUGUUAUAAUACUGUCUCGUUAUAAAAAUUUUAUUUUUAUCAUUAGUUAUCUAAGCUUGUUGAUUAGUACUUUUAAUGAUUUUCCAUUUAAUUGUUAUAAACCAGAUCUCAAAAUAAUUUUCUGGAAUUUCAAAUAGCAAAACGAGAGUAUAUAUGAGUUAGGCCUCAAGUUCAUAAAAACAUGAAAUGUAAUUACUUUUUGUAGUUUUGUACAAACUCACAUUUUUUAAAUAUUUUUAUACUCGUAUUUCUUGGGGGUGAGCAAUGUAGCAUAUCAUUUUCAAUUGUUAAAGAUCAGAUCAGGUAUUCGAUAUUCUGGAUUAUGGAAAAACUAUCCUUGUUCUAGUCCCGUUUAGUAAGAUAUUAGUUUUCAUCAUAUCGCGUCGGAUUAUCCGGCUCAGAAUUAAUUAUAUUUUAUUAGUUUAAUUUGUAGAUGAUUAAUUAAUUUAAUUGUAGUUUGAAUCAAUUUAUUUAACUGGUAUGUUAUAUAUUGAUUGAUGGCAUGUUAAAAUUAUAGCUUUAAGAUUUUAAUAUAUAUGACUUAUUUCUCUGUGUUAUUUUAUUUUAACCAAGUAAAAUUUAUAACUCAAUUCUUUUAGUUGGUCUCAUAAACAUUUAUUAUUAUUAUUAGUUGACUUUUGAUUAACAAUAUAGUGGGGCUGUUUGGGAACCGGAAGCAAUUUCUGCUUCUGGCUUCUGCUUUUCUUGACCCGUUUGUGUAAAGAAGUAGAAGCACUUUUAAGAAGCUGAGAAUGCUAACUUCUCUUUCACAGAUUCUGCUUCUUUUCCAAACACUUUAUUAACUUAUUUAUUUCUCACUUCUACUCCACUUCUUUACUUUAAACAUAGAAUCACUUUUUUUAAGCUUGGCGAAACGGCGAAACGGCCCCAGAAUUUUUCUAAAUUCACCUUCAUAUCACAAAUUACUAUAUUUCAAAUUCAUUUAUCAUCAAAAUUACAUCAUUUAGAUAUAUUUUCUAACACCAAAUUUGAUAUCUUUGUCAUUGUUCUUAUAUUUAUAAUUUUCUCAAAAAAAAAUUUAGUUACACGCCGAAUUCUGAAUUCAUAAGUUUAACAUAAAAAAUAUUUUAAGUAAGAAUAUUCUUUCAUUUACAUUAUUUCGUGUUAUUCAAAAUAUUGUAAUCUCUUUAUAAAUCGCCUUUUAUAAAAAAUAAAUAAAUUAAUAUGACAUUGUCCAUGUUGAAAGUCCAUCAAUUAUUUCUUUCAAAGAUGCUAACUAAAUCCUUAGUUUUUGUGCUUAUUUCUCACAUUUAUGACUUAAAAUUUCUGUAAUAUUGUAUUCGUACUCGUUUAGAGUAUUAAGUUGGAUUUGAAUUCUUUCAUUUUUAUUCGAAUAUGAAUUAUAUCUAUUUUUAGAAAUCUGAAUCAUGAUUCGAGCCCGAUCAUUCAGAUUCUUUUUCUAUUCUAAAUUUAUUUACGUAAAUAAUUGAUUUAUAAAUAUUAAUUAAUCAUGUAAGCAAUAUAUGAGACUUAUCUGAAAUAAUAACUUGUCUCAAAGAAAUAAGAAAUUGAAGAGAAUGUAAAUACAACAGUUUUAAUGCACGUGGUUAAUGCUUUUGAAUAACAAAACUAAUUGCUUAUGUAGCUCAAGUGGUUUGAGUGAUGUAUUUGUAUUGGAGAGAUCUUAGGUCCAAGUCUUAUGAAAAACAAUUUUUUUAUAUAUAUGAGGAGGAGGCAGGUUCGGAGUUAGGCUCGGGUUCGGAGCUAGGUAAUUUAUUUGCUCAGGAGGGAGGCUUAACACGAACCUGUUGUGCUAUUAUAUAUAUAAGUAGAAGUCCCCUGCAUUGUCAAUUUAUCAUAGUAACUUUCACUCAUUUGCCGUAAAUUCAAAUUUCCAUAAUUAUGCGUAAUUAAAACAAGUACAUUAUUUUAUUUCCUACCUAUUUUUGAUAUAUAUACUCUCUUGUUUUUGCUUUUUAUUAGAUUUACUAUCAUUUUUACAUUAAUUAAAAUCUAUAAACAUAUAUGUGUGUGUGAUUUUGUUGUAUAUUGAUUUAUAUUUUGUUUGUUUGUUUUUUCUCCGUAUAUCAUGGAAGCGAGCUGUUAUGUGACUUAUGGGUAUUAUUUUCUCAUUCAUUUAUGCUCUGUUGUCUAAACGUCCGGAACUAUACUUGCAUGACUUUAGUUAGAUGAUAAACUUUCUUUGAAAGAAAGAAAUCUGGAGACGGUUUAUUGUAUACCGUUCAUCAGCCGGAACAUAGACUAAAAUUAUCUUAUAAUGACCGUCACGACUACAUAGAUUUUGAAAUGGCCUUUCUAUCUAGCUAGUAAUUCUCUCCUAAGCAACUGAAAGAAGGUCUUCACUUGUUUUCACAAUGUCUAACCUUAAUUUUCUGAGUCAUUUUUAUAUCCUUUUUCUUGUAGUUGCAUCCAUGGCCUUCUUCGUUACAAUUUAUCACUGUAUUGUGGUGAGUUUCCAAAAUAGAAUUGAGCGUCACAAUUCUGAUCAAGUGUCACAGUCCACUGUCCUCAGAAUACAGAACUUUUUACUUUGGCGCAAUGGAGUAAUGGACAAGAACGUAACAGUGCUCAAGAUCGUGGUGCCACGGUGCUGGGGCUUGAGAACUCGAAGAUUGAGCUUAUUCCAAGACAUAUAUUUGAAAAGGGUAAGGGGAUUCUUGAUGCAGAGUGUGCUGUUUGCUUGAGCGAGUUUGCAGAGGAUGAAGAAAUACGAACUUUGCCAGAAUGUUUGCAUUCUUUUCAUGUAGAGUGUAUUGACAUGUGGGCUGUGGCUUCAUUCGCAUCCUAAUUGUCCAACAUGUCGGGCCAAUGCUUCACCACCAUCCUCCUUCUUGCUAUUACAUCCUUGCCCGAAGUGAUACUAUGGUCGUGGCAUGGCAAGGCCAUGUGGUUAAUCUAGCAUAUUAGGAGAGAUGAAGAAUUGAAGCAAGGGACCGUAAAAUACAGGAUUUUAGUGCAGUCUGAUGCUUGGUUACGUUACGUGCAAAUGAAAGGUCAGCACUGGGCCAGCCCUUGCUAAGGCGAUCAAGGCGAACGCCUAGGACACCACUGUCCCACGAGCACCAAAAAAUCUAUGCAUAUGUAAUAUAUACAGUAAUAUAUAAUGAUAAAUUUAUGCAUUUAUAUAUAUAUACAUGCAUAUAAAUAUACAUGCAUAUAAAUUGAUUGUGUUGUUAAUCUUAAAAUAAUGUUUUUCUUAAAUCAUUGUCUAUUGACUUAAAUGUAUGUAAAAUUUUCCUUUACUAUCUUGAAAAAUAGGGGCAUCAUUUUCAAAAUUCGUCUAGGACACCCAAAUAUGUGAGACGGUCCUGGGUCACUGCGUCUUUCUUUUAUGUAGCAGAACUUGCAUUACAUGAAAACUGAAAGACUUGUUACCAGUUUCUUAUGUCAAAAGUAGAAGAAGAAUUUAAUUUGGUUAUUUUGCAAGCUACUGCAGCUGUUACCCUAUCUUUUCUGUAGAAAAUGGUUAUAGUUUUUUACACGCCUAACUAAAAAUUAUUACAACUCUAAAUCAAUAGAACAAGAAGCACAUUUGUUAUCGUUUGGCGAUUAGUUUGUAACCUUUAGAUGAAUAAAAUGAUGAACUCGAAAUCUUGCUUCAUAACAACGCAGAAAACAAAGCGGAAAUGUAUUGAUGUUUAUAAGAUUUAAUUACCAUUACAUUUUAUUGAGAAUGAAUAAGAGGGAUUGUCAAGACAUUGGCAAUCACAAGUGCAAUUACAUGCCUAAGGUUUCAUACCCCUAACCAUGUCUGUGAAUUUGAUCUUGCUUCCCAGUACAAACGCAAACACCAUCGACACACUUGCCUCCAUACGGACACACGUUCGUACAUCCAGUAUCAAAGCAUUUUGAAAUUUGAUCUUGUUUUCCGGUACAGACGCAAAGACCAUCGACACACUUGCCUCCAUGCGGACACACGUUCGUACAUCCAGUAUCAAAGCAUUUUGAAAUUUGAUCUUGUUUCCCGGUACAGACGCAAAGACCAUCGACACACUUGCCUCCAAACGGACACACGUUCGUACAUCCAGUAUCAAAGCAUUUUGAAAUUUGAUCUUGUUUCCCUGUACAGACGCAAUGACCAUCGACACACUUGCCUCCAAAAGGACACUCUUUCAAACAAUUAGUAGUGCAUCCAUGUACAUGCACCAAUGACACAGUAAACACCAGGACUAGUGUUAAGACUAUAGAAAACUGCUUCAUAUCUGAUGGUUUUUCUGGAGAAUAUAUAUCUGAAAGAUAUUAAAGAGAAAAUGUUUUCUCCUCUUCUUGCGAUUGUUUUAUUUCCAAUCGAUGAAGAUCCUCCACUAUAUAUACAGACAUAUUAUACAAUCACUCGGAGUGAUUGAUAUUUACACGAGUGAAUCACUCCAUCUCAAAGACAUAACGGUGGGAUUUCAUAAUAAAUACAUAUUAAUUGUGAUUGAUAUGAUAAUUAGAGUAUAUGUGUUGGUAAAUCAUACAUUCUUUGUUUUAAAAAAUUUGAUUACAAUCAUAGUCGACUUGAUUAUUCCGUGAAAAUCUCAGAGAAAUUGGGUUCUUUUUAAAAAUAUCCAUCUGUAAAAUUACUUUUCUAAAAAUACUACCAUCUUUAUCAUUGUUUUUAAGAAUAUCUUUUCAUAAAUUGUUUUUUUCAAAAAUACGAUUUGCAACUCCAGGCGGCGCCAGCCGUGUUGCAACUUCAUUUGCAACCUCAUUUGCAACUUUUGCAACCUCAUUUGCAACUAUAUAUAGUUUUCAGUUGCAUUUAGUUGCAACUGAGGUUGCAAAUGAAGUUGCAACUGCAGUUGCUUGCAACCUCAUUUGCAGAAUUUGCAACUUACAGUUUUCAGUUGAAUUAGUUGCAAUUACAAUUGCAAGAGUUGAAACUUUCUAUUUUUAUUUGCAACUUUUGCAACCUCAUUUGCGACUUUUGCAGCCUCAUUUGCAACUGAAAUGGUUGCGCCGCCCAAGGUUGCAAAUGAGGUUGCAAACCGUAUUUUUGAAAAAAAAAAAUUUAUGAAAAUGUAAUUUUAAAAAUAAUUCUGAAAGGUAGUAUUUUUGAAAACAAUAAAAGAAAAGGUAGUUAGUUUUGUAGACUUCCCAUAGAAAUUCCAUUUAACUAGGGUAGGAUAAGUGUUAAUUAACUAAUCCUACUAAAAUAUUGAUAGUAAUAUUUACAUGAUCAUAUAAUAUUUUAACAUUUUUCUUAUUUAAUCCAAUUUUAUAUCGAGCUUGAAUUGUGGGUGUACAUAAGUUUGCUUUAGUCUCCACAAGUCUAAACUCAUAUUACUCACUCCGCUCAAUUUAUAAGUCCUUUUGUUUAAGUUUCUUUUACUUUUCCAAGAGUCUUAACUAAUUUUGGAUCAACUAUUACAAAAUAUUAUUUGUUGUUUUAGAAAAUAAAAAGUUACAUAUUAAAAUUGAUUUGAUUUAUCUUUUGAUGAUUUUUUUUGCCAGAGAAAACUCAAGUAUGAAGAAAAGCGAGAAAAUCUGUGUUAAUUACGUACAAUGUAUAGUAUUCUUUUCUUAAUUGCAAUCAUAAAUAUAAGGGCAAUUUUGGACAGAAUCUUGUGAAUAAUUACAUAUCUUUUAUUUAUGGUAUUUCCAAAAUUCAAUUUCUGCCACAAUUAAUGUGAAUUACAUUUCCAAAAUUCAAUCAAUUAAAUUAAUUUUGAAUAUAUCUUAAUAAAUAUAUUAACUCCUAAUAAAACACUUAGUGGAAUCAACCAAAUAAUAAAUUUAGCAGACAUAAGAUUUUACAAAAAAUCGUACUAAUAAAUACAUUAUGAUUCUAUUAAGAAUUUUAUUAAUAUGUUACAAAAAAUGUCAUAUCAAUAUUAUUAAGAUUUUACUAAGUAAUUCACUAAUGACAUCGGAUUUCUACUAUUUUAAUAUUCGAUAAAUUUAUUCCAUAUUAUUAAGUUCUAUCAUUUGAUUCCCUAACUAUAUCAAGAAUUUAUUAAAAAAUUGUUUCGUCCGUUAGUCAUAUAUUGACAUUAUUUAUUAUGUAUUCUUUUUAAACAAUGUAGAAUUUAAUAUAAUAAAUUUUAAUGAUACAUUAAUUAAUAUUCUAAUAAUUAAUGCAUUAAAUUUUCGAAUCUUAAUAAAAUAAAAUACUUAAGAGAAUUUUAACAAAAUAUUUUGUGUUGUAGAUUAAUUAGUAUUAGUAAUAUGUAAUAAAACAUUUUUAAGUGUCUUCAAAUAGAAAUUUUUAUUAUUUAUUUUAAAAGAACAUAUAAUAUAUUUUUAUAUAUUAUUAUUGUCUAUUCUAGAUAUUUAACAAUAUUAUUAAAUUUGUAAUAAGAUUUCACUAACAAUAUAAAAUUAUUAUAAAUUUCUAAAUCAUGUGAAUAAGUGUAUUUUAUAAAUACGUUAAGAUUCUAAUAAAAAGUUUUAUCAGGUUAUUCGUUAGAACAAUUAUUAGAGAUUCGUUAGAAACACGAGUAGAAAACAUUAGAAUUUUUUUAUAUUAUAUAUAAUCAAAUUAUCAAAAUACAUAAUAAAACUUUUCGAAGAAUCUUAGUUUAUUUAUUAAAUAAGUUUAAUAAUAAAAUUAAUAAUAAAAUUUAAUUUAAUAAUAAAAUUAAUAUAUAUAGAAGAUUCUCUAAAAUAUUCUAUUAUUUAUAAGUAAUAAAUAUUUGUAUCAUGCAAGAUUCUUUUAGAAUAUUUAAUUUUUUUUAUAUAUUAUUCACUCUAUAAUAUUCUUUUGACUCUUCAAAUAUUUUUAAAUUAAUAUUAUUUUGAAAAAUUUCAAACUAAUUAAUAUUUAAGAAUUCUAAUUUAAAAUUAUAAUAAUAUUUAAAGGAACACUUUAAGAAACCUUCAAAUGUUAAAUGUUAGAGGUGAAACACUUAACAGAAUCUUAAUAUUAUUAAUAUAUAUAGAAAAUUCUCUAAAAUAUUUUAUUAUUUCUACUAAUAAAUAUUUGUAUCGUGCAAGAUUCUUUUGAAAUAUUUAAAAUAUUUUUGUAUAAAUUAUACAUCCUAUAAUAUUUUUUUGACUCUUCAAAUAUAUUAUUAAAUUAUUAUUAUUUUGAAGAAUUUCAAACUAAUUAAUAUCAAAGAAUCUAAAUUAAAAAUUAUAAUAAUAUUUAAAAGAACACUUCAAGAAUCUUUCAAAUGUUGAAAGUUAUAGGUGAAACACCUAAUAGAAUCUAUACAUAUUAUUAACAUAUAUAGAAGAUUCUCUAACAUAUUUUAUUAUUUCUAGUAAUAAAUAUUUAUAUCGUGCAAGAUUUCUUUAGAAUAUUCAAUGUUUUUUAAGAAAAUAUUCACCCUAUAAUAUUCUUUUGACUUUUCAAAUGAUUUUAAAUUAGUAUUAAAUUAAUAUACAAGAUUCUCUAAGAUAUUUUAUUAUAAAUAUUAUAUGUUAAAUGUAAAAUGUAAAAUAGUAGUUUUCAAAUCUUUUCAAAGUGAAUCUUUUAAAAUUUGAAAUUUGAAAUUCAAACUGAAUAUACAUUAAAUGAUUGAUUGAUUGAUUGAGAUAUGAAGAAUCUAUUUAAAUAUGAUAUUAAUGUGCGAUUGAUUUUAUAUAUAUUUAUGUUACAAAAUUACCCUAUAUACUCUAGAGUUGAUUGACAUAAUUAAUAUGUACAAUACAUAGUAUUAUUAAACAAGUAUACGUGAUCAACGGUGAUUAACAGGGUUCCUCAGUUUUCUUAAUAACAGCAUCUCCAACGGGGUUGGCUAUAAUCGUUGGCUAAAUUGAACCUGUAAGACAAUAUGUAAAAUUUGCCGAACCUGUAAGACAUUGUACUUCAAUGGUGUUGGCUAUAUUGGUUGGCUAUAAUUUAAAAAUAGGAUGUUAUUAAUAUUUUAGAUUUUUAAAAUAGAAUAUAUCAAUUUAAUAUGGUACUAAAUGAUGUGUAAUCUUCCUACAGAUCUCUUACAAGCCUGUAGAGGUUCGACAAAUAUAGCCAUCUAUAGAAGGUUGACUAAAAUUAUUGAUAACAGAUUAACAUGGUUGGAGGGAGACCUUUUCAACAGAUUGGCUAUAUUUUUUAUAUUUGGCAAGACAACUCAUCAUUUAACUAAGAGGUUUGUAUGGUUGGAAAUGCUCUAAGUGGGUUUUCUUAGGAUCUUCCUCAUGAUAAUUAACUUAGGCAUCGAACCCACAAAUCCGUCCAUACUCCCUAUAAAAGACAUAGGCAUCCUCAAUAGUAGCGAAUUGCUGAUUCGCAUAGGGUGUCUUACUGACGCAUUUAGGAGUAUAAUAUUUUAUCCCAUUUGCUUCAACACAUGUCAUUUCAGGUUCCUCAAUACUGUUAAAUUCAACAUUACUUGACUGUGUUGACAAAUGUUCAAUUUCAUCAUCCGAAUAUGAACUACCAAUGUCUGGAACAUCAGAUUCAUGAUCAGAUCUCUCUGAGUCUGAGCUCUCAAUAUGUGGGGCAGACACGGAACCUACAUCGCAGAAGUAUAUCGUUAAACGUACUUCGGAACAUACACGCUAGGAAAAACAAACUCAAAAAACAAUGUAAUUAAAAGAUGUUCUGCAGUAUACAAAAAAUCAGAUACAAGUACAAUGUAAUGCUUUGUAUGUCAAACACUAUUGAAGAACAUAUAUAUAUAUAAUCUGUUCUGCAUUAUAACGCGAAAUACUAACAAAAGCCAGAUUAUAAAUCAGAAAGAGGAAAAAACGAAAAAAAAGAACCAUUCCCAUCAGACACGAUUAAAACAAACGAACACACAAAUCACAUCAAAUCAAAUCAUCAAACCUAGGAAGAAACACAAUAACGUACUUGGUUCUUCAUAUUGAGAAGCCAUGUCAAGCACAGAACACAAAAAUCGAAAAAAUAUUUACUCGUGAAUCUUUGGUUAAAAAAUUGUAUCAAAAACAGAACACAGAUUGCAAGCCCAAUAAGGUGUGACUUAUCAAGCGUAAUUGUUUCCCCAUAAUUCUGCACUGCACUUACGUGAUGUUAACAGCGUUAAAACUAACGGAUUAGAUAAAAGAAACUGUAAAACUAUUUUUUUAUAUUUUACUUAAAAUAAAAGAGACAUAAAAUAAUGACCAUCAGAUUAAAAUGUAAUGGAUGGCCAGGAUCUUGGACUCCUAAGACUCCAAAAAAUGUGUGAACUCCAUAGAACUUACUUCAUAAUAUAUAUAUAUAUAUAUAUAUAUAUAUAUAUAUAUAUAUAUAUAUAUAUAUAUAUAUAUAUAUAUAUAUANNNNNNNNNNNNNNNNNNNNNNNNNNNNNNNNNNNNNNNNNNNNNNNNNNNNNNNNNNNNNNNNNNNNNNNNNNNNNNNNNNNNNNNNNNNNNNNNNNNNNNNNNNNNNNNNNNNNNNNNNNNNNNNNNNNNNNAUAUAUAUAUGCCCAACAUUCAAAAAGAGGGACUCCUUAUAUGGAGUUACAUAGUGCGCCACUAUAAAUCAUCAAUUUUAUUAUAAAUUCUGUUAUAGAAUACAUAUAAAACGUGAUUCUAAUAUAGAAUACUAUAAAAUAAAUCCAUUUUAAGUAAUUUAACACUUAAAAUUUGAUUAAAAAAAGUAUAUUUUCGAAACUGUUCUACAACAGAAUAAUUCUGGAUGAUUAUUAUUCUGUUAUAGAAUCAUGUUGAGAUAUUGCAUAAUUGUAGAUGAUCUUUGGAAUAAAAAAAAUGUAUAACUUCGUUUUCAGUUUAAUAAUCAAAAUUUGUAAUUAUAUUUCAUAAAAAAUAUAACAUAAUAUAUAUUAUGUAUAUAUUUAUAAUGAUGUGCUACGUAACUCCAUAUAAGAGGGUAUGCUAUGUAGUGCUACCCUAUAUAUAUAUAUAGGGAGCUAUUCUAGUACAAACUCAACUAAUCUAAAAACCUACAAACCUGGUCCGAUCCAAUAGCAAAGCCCAGUCCAAUAAACAUAUUAUAACACCGCCCAGUCCAUCAUACAAAACAUCCGCCAGUCAGACAAAUUUAAUAUUAUAGUCAGAUAUACCUAUACAUACAUUACAGUGACGCUGCUUUUGCUCUCGCACUGUUCAUCUUCCUCAAAACAAAAGGUACGAAUAACAUUUUCUUUCAAUUACUCACUGAUUUCUUCGUGUAUUUGAUACAACGGUUCAAUUUCAUAGCGAAAUCGAGCACUGAAGUCGAGCAAUGAAUUAAGCAAAAUCAGUUUCAAAAAUCUUCAAAAGGUACAUUCCUAUGCUUUUUUAGUGAUUUAAGUGAAUAAAUCUUUCGUAGUGAUUGCAUGUCAGUAUAAUGAUGAUUCCCAGGGUUUAUUUUUGAUUUUUGACAAAAGCUAACUGUUCAUUUUAAUGUUUCUCUAUGACAGCAGGUAAAUCUUAUUUAUUUCAUAGUGAAGGCAUAAUUUAAUGGCUAGAACUAAAGGAGGUAUGAUUUUGAAAAUUUUCUAUGAUUGCAUACUUUUUUUUUUAUGAUUUGACUGUUAUUGAAUAUCAAACUGCUAGUGAUUGUAUUUCUCAGCACAUUAUGUGUUAGUGAUUGUAUUUAUCAUAAAAAAUUUUGUUAUUGCAUACUUGUUUUUUAUGAUUGUAAGUUUCAGCACAUUAUGUGUUAAUCACUAUCUUCUGACUCAAAUUAAGUUAGUAAUUAUUUGUUUAUAUUUUAGUGAUUGUAAUGCUGAUUGUGAUAACAAAUUGAAUGUAUUAAGUUCUCCUAUUGAAACUCCAGUGAUUGUAGAGCUAUAUUAGUGAUUGAACAGCCCAAGCUAAUGACAUUUCAAUAAUUAAAUAACAUUGUUGUUAAUUGCUAGUAAAUUUGUAGCCAAAUGUAUACAUACAUUAAUGUCCCUUAAGACUGGAUAAUUGUAACUUUAAAAAAUCUAUAUCUACAUAUAUAAGAAACUACUAAGAGUCAUGUGAUUAAUUUAGUACCUUAGGCUUGUAUUAUAGUGACUGAUUAACUUAUAAUUGUCAUUGUAGUCAUUCUAGACUUGUUUUGUAGUGAUUGCACGCUCUUAUGAUAAAACACAGAGUAUACCUUCACCUUAGUGCUAGCAUAUAUAGUAUUAUCACCAUAUAUGUUGUUGAUAAUUUUGUUAGUGUCAAAAUAUUUGGUGCCAUUCACUAUGUUAUUAGAUUCAAAAUUGUUGUUAUGAACUUGAAAUUACUUUUUUAAUGUGAUAUAAUAUUAUAUCUGCAUAAACUUAAAUGGCAUACACUUGUGCAAUAUUAUGUUGAUUAGUGCAUAAACUACAAAAUUUUUAUGUCACUGAAUAUUUAUGACUUUUAGAGCGGGGGAUGAUUACUUUUAGAGGACGGGUGAUGACUUUUAGGAGGGAUGAUGAAUUUUACAGGGCGGGUGAUGAAUUCUGGGGGGGGAGGGAUGAUGAAUUUUAUAGGGCGGGUGAUGACUUCUGGGGGUGGGGGGUUUAACUAAUUUAGUUUUUAUUUUGUGGUUUUUGUUGGAGUUGUUUAUAGUGGUUUUUGCAAUACCAAUUUGUUUAAAAACAGCAUGAUAUUGUGGUCUGUCUGUUUUAGUUGAUUGUAGAGUUAUAUAUUUUAGUGAUUCUGAUAAGAGUCCUCUGAUUCUUUUUUUAAUUUAGGCAUGAAUAAUAGUGAUUGUAGGCUUAUUUUAUAGUGAUUGUUUACAUUACAUAGAGUACUGUUAAGAUACAAUGUUAAUGUUAAAUAUAGUGAUUAAUCCACUAAAUAAGCUGAAAAACUUAGUGAUUCUAGUCUUGUUUUUCAAUGAUUAUAGGCUUUAUUAUGGAAAGACCAUUAUUGUCAUAUAAACUACUAAAAUACAGAGUGAUUGUAGGCCUAUGAUGAAUUGAUUGUAGCCCCUAGGGGCAUCAUGACAUAUGGGGGGGGGGGGGGGGGGAGCUUCUGGAGUUCUACAUGUCAAAAAAUGGCAUGUAUGUUUAAUCCCUUUCCGAGAUUCAUGUUUGCAGGACAUAGACCACAGCUUAGAAGAAGCUCCAAAAUAAGACAACAAAGUUUCCCCAAAAGUACAAGCACGGAAGCAAUAUAUCUUGUACAAUCAAGCAGUGCUUCAGAGCCUGACGAUAAUAUGGACCGCCAAACAAAGAUAUAUCGUAAGUCGGGAAAUAAGGCUAAAGUCACAGCAGGAAGACCAGUUGAAGAUCCUCAUCACACCACUGUAUAUCUUUGUUAUUGUUCUCAUAUACUUAAUGUUAACAUUUUACAAAAUUGUAUACUACUAAAAUAUUUAUUCUGUAUCUAUUUACCAGGAAUCAAGCGGACGUAACUACACACUAGCAAAUUUGCAAAAAAACUCACCACCAGUACUCUUAAAGAAGCCGCCCACCACAACCAAUGAUUGUUUCAACAACUACUUUUGAUGAAAUCCAUGACGACAACUUGACAAACAAUGAUUGUUUAAGAACUAGUUAGCUUAUUUUUGUGAAUACUCGACAAGCAAUUAUUGUAUGGCAAAUUAUCUGUCGUAUUCUAUCUUAAUUAUUCACUUUUUCAUGAUGCUAUUGUACAAGAGAUUCUAAACUGUUCUACAAGUAUCAAUUUUACUUUUAACUUCUUCAGAGGUUGCAAAUUCAGUUCAGUAAUAUGAGUAAUUUAAUUUAUGCUAUUAACAUGUUCCAAAUUUGUAGUAUGUGCUUCAAAUUUUACUAUAAUAUGUACAAAUCUCAAUCCAUUGAACUGCAAAUACAAAAAUAACGACUAAAAAACAUAACUACUGUUUUUAAAAUACAGCUAAACUUCAGUGAUUGGAACUCACAUUCUAGUGAUUACAACAUCACAUUUUAGUAGUUGGACCAUAAAAAAUUAAUGAUUGGAAAAUAUAUUUACUAUAUAAUCCACAAUAUAUUCAUUCAAAUGAACAUAAACUGUCAAAAACUAAGUAAUAUCAAAUUCAUACUAACUACUGUACAUUUUAAACAAAAUAUGACCACUUUUACAACAACUUUUCUUCAAUCUACACUUUCUUCAAUCUGUGCUUUCUUCUUCUUCUUAUCACAUGUCCUGGAGUCAUGAGUAGUUGCACCACACUCUUUGCAUUUUCUUACUCUUUUUUUGGCUUUCUUCUGUUCCCUUACGAACAUCAAAACCUCCUAAAUGACCAUAAUUCUUGUAAAAUAAAAACGCUUUUUCCAAGCUGUCAUGAACUUGAUUAACAGCUGGCACACAACUAAGAUCAACAACAGAUGGUAAAUAAUAUUUCCGUCCACCAGGAGACAAAACAUAGCUUGAUACUGAACCAUCAUUUUCACUAGAAGAAGGAUCACAACUCGCAUUUGAACUACUAAUAUGAGAUAAGUCACCACAACUAGAACCUGCAUCCGCACAUGAAUAACAAUUAAAAGCAAAAACUACACACACUACUAAUCAACUGCAUAACAAUUAUAAACCUAUAUUAUAUUGUAGUGAUUUACAUCAUCAAACUAUAGUGAUUGUAGAUUUAUAUUAUAGUGAAUAUGGAGUUACAUUGAACAGAUAACUUUGAUACACUACAAUAAACCACAAAAUUAGAUUAAGUUCAGCCAUAACAAAACAACAAUAUCUCACUGAACAAAACAAAUUUAUAUGUGACCAAAACACAGAACAAGUUGAAUAAUAAACCAAAACAUAAACAUGAAAUUAUCACUGAAUACCUAUAUUACUAAUUAAACUCAUCUGAUUUACUAGUUAACAUCAUAUAUUAUUAAAAACUACUAGACAUUCAUACAUAUGCAAAUUGAAAACAAGAAACUACAACUUUCAAACAAAACAUCUAGUACAUCAUCAUCUCCAUAUCUCCAUAUAAUCAUUCACAAUGAGAAACUACAAAUGUAAUAAAAAAAACUGUUAAUCAGCAUCAUUUGGCAAAAGAAAAAACAGUACAAUCACUAAACAACAUAUACACUACCAUCAUAUCACAAACAUUACACACAAGAACAAAAAACUGAAUUUACGGGGAAAAUACAUACUUGACCUCAAAAAAACAAAAAACCACACAGGAUAAGCUAAUUUCAACAUCAAAACAACACAUUUUUUAACACUAAAAAUACUAAACCGAAUUGCAAUAACAACAUUAUUAAAAGCGACAAUUGCAAAUAGUAAAUUAAACACAAAUUUCAUAUAAUCGAGGACAUGAAAGCAAAAAAGUAACUCUUGCCUUGAUUAUCACUGAUUUUGAUAAGAUCUCUUGUAAUCAUCGUGUACAACUUCAAUCACCGACUCCGACAAAAGCUUCAACACGAUAAUGAACGCCUCCAGUACGAUACUACCUCAAUUGAGCAUAAGAGCAAGCAUACGAAAAUCUCUCCAGAAGCUCGAAGAGAACGAGAUGAAAAUCUGAAGACAACAGUAACGAUAAAACAUGAGAGAGAAAGAGAGAUAGUAGAGAGAGAAGCAGCAACGCGUUAAAUGACACGUAAUCCAUAUCUUUUGUUCUUAUUUUAAAGCAAAUAAACGGAUGGCUACGAUUAAAACUAGCUACACAUAUAUCAAGGGCCCAGAUUAGUUCCUAGUUUUUAUUAAAAAAUAGGUUUGUAUUUGAACAAAAGCCUAUAUAUAUAUAUAAUAAUUUUUACCUAAGAGCUCGGUAGGAAGAAAAUUGAAACCCUCUGGUAUGUCACAGACAAAGUCCCCUGCAUCGUCAAUUUAUCAUAGUAACUUCCCCUCGUGUGCCGUAAAAUUCAAAUUUCCAUAACUAUUCGUAAAAAAAACAAGAGGAUAUUUGUGUAAAUAGAGGACAUCCACGUAUACAAACUGAAUGACACAUCACUUUUUUAUAUUACCUGAUCCCAUGUGAGCAUUUCUUGGACAACGUGACAUCUUUAGUCUCAACAUUAAUUUAGACAAGGAUAUGUUAUGCCCACCCUUUUUCCCACUCUUUACUUACCCCCUCCAGCUGUGAUUUUAUUAUUAUUUUUUUCUGCCCAAGUUUUUAGAGUUUUGAGAUUAAAAACUAUUAUUAAACUCAUGGUUAGCACAAAGUCAUAUUCCAUUUGUUGUUCAUUUUUCUGUUUAGUAAUCAUGUGAUUAUCCCCAUUUUAUAGAUUGUCUUUUUUGGUUUUAAUAAAGUUGCAAAGAUAGAGAGAUAAGUUUUUUGUAAUCAUACUUCAUGAUUCAAUAAUGUGAUUUUGUGUAAAAAGGGUCUUUGGUCAAAAGUGUUAUUCACUCUUGGAUUCUUGUUUUUGUGUUGUGUCUUGGUGAAAUGAGACUACUCAUUUAUAGUACCUAAAAAGACUUCAACUCUCUUUCUUGUGUUUUUUUUUGUACUAGUUUUGUGGUGUAAACAAUCUGCUUGCAGUUGAGGAAUCAGGAUUUUGGAUUAGUGGGAGCUGAAGUAGACUAGAUUGAGAUCAGAUGCAAAGAUGAAAUCUUUAAAUACAGUAGGGCUAGCUCUGAGUGUUGUGUUUGGGUGUCUUUUGCUAGCUCUUGUUGCUGAAAUUUACUACUUGUUAUGGUGGAAGAGAAGGUUUAGAAGUAGAGAUUUAGAAGAUGGUUAUAACAGCAGCCCAGCUACAAGAGAGUUCUUUUACAUGUUUUGUUGGAAAAAGCCAUCAUCUUUGAGCUCAACAGCUUUAAAUCCAGGGGAACUCACAGAAACUAGCAGCACCCAUGUUCAAGAAUCACUGUCAAAUGGUCAAUCUAGCAAGGACUUUUGGUUCAGACCAUUUGGUGAAGAUAGUGUAGAAGCUGAGCUCUUGGGCCUGCAGAAUCUCUCUGGCCCACCAAGAUUUCUGUUCACUAUCAAGGAGGAAACUAAAGAGGAUUUGGAAUCUGAAGAAGGUGGUGGCAAGUCAAGAAAGAGCUCAAGAACCAGGAGUUUGAGUGAUUUGGUUCUUAAUCCAGAGACUCCAUUUUUGACACCUCUUACUUCACCAUCUUAUUUUACACCUCCUAGAACACCUAUGGAUACUUUGUACAAUCACAAUGGAUUCAACCCUCUCUAUGAAUCAACAAGUGAUGCUGAGUUCAAUAAGAUAAAGUCAUCCCCACCUCCAACUUUUAAGUUCUUGAGAGAUGCAGAAGAUAAAUUGCAGAAGAAAAAGUUACUUGAAGAAGCUGAGAAUUGCUCUCAUAAGAAAGAAAGAUUUGUGACAGAAGAUGAAGAUUCUUCUUUUAUCACACUCAUUGUGCCUAGACAAAACAAAGAAAGAGACACAUUUUACUCUUCUAGCUCCUCACAGGUUCUUCCUCUGUCUGCUUCACCUCCCUCCUACAAACACUCAUCUAACAAGAAACCAUCUUUACAUUAUAAUUAGAGACAUUUUUGUUGUAUUUGUAAGAUUUCUCAUCUUAUUUUGUAUGAAUCUUUAAUUUUUCAGUAAAAAAAGUGGUAUUUAUUCUAGAUAAGUUUAAGAAUGAGCGAGAAUCGAACUCAGAACCGCAAUCAGAUAAACCAUGGCAACUUGGCUAUGCCAUUCUUUAGUUUUUAGAAAUCCUUACUGCUAGACUUUUUUAGUUAGUUUGUUUUUUGUUACAUGAGUGAUGAAGUUGAUGAUGCAAAUGCCUAGUGCUAGAGAAUUGCAUCCUGAAUUUUCAGAAGGAGACAGCAUUUCCUUAGAGACUUUAACUGAUUGUAAGUUUGGUGAAAUGAUGCCAUUGGAGGGGCUAGUGAGAAUGAUUUGUUUUUAUUCAAUCUAUGUGUCCCUUCAGCUGUGUAAUGAUUCAACACAUGUUAUCAUUCUUGUGGAUGAUGAUGCUAGUUUAGAACUCAUUGUAUGAUAUUGUCAAAAAGGUCAUUGUAUAUUCUUAUCAAAAUUUAAUGUAAAAUCAACUUUUUGUUGUCCAAUAAAUCUCUGUAAGCUGGGACUUAUCUAUUGUGACCAACUCAUUCAUCCAUAUCGUAAGUUUCAUUGGAGGCACUUGCUCCAUUUCCCGGAUGCUAGUGGUCCUGUCUCAGUUCUCAACCAGAAACUGCCUUAUAAUGUUAAUCGAUCAUCAGAACUAACCGAUUGACCUUUUAUCAGAAAUUUAUCAUCAAUUUUUUCGAUAAAUCAGAGAUUUUAGUCUGAUCGAAGUAUGAUCAGUAAAUCGGUAAAAUAUUUUUUAAUGAUCAAUCAGAUAUUAAUCGAGAAUCUUCAAAAUAUUCCUAAAACUUACGGAUAACUUUUACAACCGACAUGAGAUAACCCGUAAAUUUCGACGAAAUUUCUAACUUAUAAUGUUAACCAAUUUAUAUUCGAACAAAGUCCUUUCUUCAAAAUUUAAGAUUCUGCACCUUGCACUGAAGCUGAAGCAUGAGUGGUCUGCGAGCACUGGGGAUAAGGAAACCUCAUAGAAAAAGUGCAUGAGUUUGAUUGUUUGCAUAAAUUAUUAAUAUUCUAUAUUCUCUCGUUCUAAUAAAGUAUUGAAUCUUAUAGCACUAUAUUGUAGAAAAAUGUGAUAGUUUUGGUCAUUUACCUAAACAACAAGGAACGAGAAGCAAGCGUUCGUGACAAUAUCUGGUUUGGUAAGGCCGAAAGGCAAUGCACACACUGAAGAAUCAUUACAGAGUUUACUUUGACAGAGCACUUGUAUAUAAAUAUAUGUUGUUGAAUUUUGUGGGUGAAAUUUACAGGCUUUAGAAUAGGCGCCAAUCAUACACAUGGGUCUGUCUAAUGUAAAAUUAUUACAUACGAGACCGUAAGAUUAAAAAUAAAAGUUAAUUUGUCCAGUUUCUCAUGUCACGUUGCAGGAUUUUUCCAACUGUUAAAACCUGAUUUGUGAGGUUAAAAAAUGCAAGGUACAGAGUUACAGGUGAACUUUUUUUUCAUGAAGGUAAAUAUAAAAAGUAAGAGCCUGUUUGUCCCGACUUAAAGCCGGGAUUUAAAGUUUAUCCAAAUUUAAACUGAAAAAUGUCAGUUUGUGUAAUAAAUUAGAAGUCAGUUUAAAGUCAAAAAUAAGUCAGGAAGUUGACUUAAAGUGAGAAGUCAGUUUGAGGUAUUUUUUUUCAGGGACUUAAUUUUUUUGAACUUUUUUUUGAUAAAAUUUACCCCUAAGUCAUAAGCUACCAAUAAAUCAAUUUUAUUUUUAUUUUUAUAUUUUUAAUAACUUUUAAGUCAUUAGUAAGUCAAAAUUACCCAAACAUACAUUUAAAACUUUUAGUUUAUCACAUAAAUUUCGUUAAGUCAUAAGUCAUAAUUCCAGUCGAACGGGCUCUAAACCUAAAAGGCUUUUAAAGUUAUGUAUUACUCCCUCCGUUUCAAUUUACAUGUCCACUUUUAAGAAAAAUUUUUGUUUCAAAUUACUUGUCCACAUCAACUUUCAAUGCAAAUGUAUAUUUCCAAAGUCAAUUCUACUCCACAUAUCUUUUAUUUAUAUUUCCUAGAUCAAUCUCACUCCACAUAUUUUGAUCAUUUAAUGCAAUUAAUUUGUGAAUAUUCACUUUUCUUAAAUUGUGUGAUUUUUUAAAGUGGACAUCUAAUUUGAAACAGAGGGAAUAUCUAAUAUAUACACCGUCAUAUGAAUAAACAUGAUUAUAAAUUGUUUAUUUGUAAAGGAGGAAGAACAGAUAAAAGUCGCAAGGGACAUGAAAGAACACAUGUGGCCUGUUUGAUUUCUAAUUUAGUAUUUUAUGUACUCAUAUUAUAAUAUUUACUAACAUGCAAGUUCUACUGGGGGAGUGGACUGGUGAAAUAUACACGAUCACUUGAUUUUGGUUUGUGGACGGUUCAUUGAGAUUUGUUAAUUUAUAGAUUGGAAUUUCCCGACUUUAACUCUUUUAAAAGCUUUGAGAUUUAAGAAAAUUUUGAAUCUGAAGCUUUGAUUUUGGUAUGUAUUAUUUGUAUAUAUAAUUUGCAUGUAAUUAUUGGCCAACAUGUUUUCCGAGUAAUAUCAUUGAAAAAAAUUUAUGAACAUUUUGUUGGAUCAGACUUUUAUGCUUUUCAAUAUUUUUCAACAUAUCUGGCUGUGAUAAUGAAUUAUGAACCAAACCAACAUAUUCGUUAUAUCCCGUUUUAAAUCGGGCCUGAAGUGGGUAAAAUAUACCUCCUACCCUUUAACUUAACUAGAGAGGUGCUUUCUUUUAUCUCUCGUUUUGAGAGUCGACUCCCGUAUUAGGGUUUCAGCCGUCACUUCUCCGUCUUCCAGAUUUUCAUCUUCACACCAAUUAACCAAUUCGCUCUCUCAUCCCUUUUAUUAUUUUACUAGUUUUUUAAUAAAAACAAGAUCUAAUCUUGUUUGAGUACCUUGUUAUCAAGGUUGUGUGCCCAUCUUUUUGGGAUGUCAGUGUUAUGUUUUCGUAUUUUUAUGUGUCUUGAUGUGUCGUUCGAUUAUCAAUCUGAAAAGGAUUUAUACGGUAUUUUGGGAGAUCGGUAAGACUCGCAUCGAUUUCGGAACGAUGGUGGAUAUCGCAAGAGCUCACCUUUCACAACAAAUAAUUGUUCAUGUUUUGGAGACGUUUGGUGCUCCAAGAUCAGUUGAUUUGACUGAUAGUUCUGAACAUUGGGCUACAGGUGAUGCUUAUGUGAAGGUCAAUUGCGAUACUACUAGUUUCAUAACUGAUGUAGGUUGGAUUGCUCGAGAUAUCAUUAUAAUACUUUUUAGAUCAAAGAAUAUGAAUAUUCUAUUUGUUAAGCGAUCUGAAAACAAAACGACUAUUUGUUUAGUUCGUUCUUUGUUUCACAAUCAGAUUGUAAUUGACAGUUCGGGGGUUUGUCCUGGCUGGUUUUAUGCUUCGUAUUAAAAAAUCCUUUGUUUGUCAAAAAAAAACUAGAGAGGUGCUUUCCGUGAAAACUCCGACUUAGUGCAUAAUAAAUAAAACAGUGUGAUAUAAUAUUAAUAUAAUACAUUGACACAUGACCUUUUUCACAUGGGACUUACUUAAAUAGUUUCGAUUGUCGAUGAUGGGCGACAAUGAUUUGGAACCAAGAUAUCAGAACUGUCAUUGCACACUUUCUUAAAUUAACUUGAUUCCUUUUUGUGUAAUUCAUUAUUCUCCAUUAUCUACGUUGCUAAAGCAACAACCGCCAAUACACUAACUGCCAUCAUUCCAACGGAGCCUAUUUCUUUCAUGCCCUCACUCCCAUUCCCAUGUAAUACUAUUGUAGAUGCCGACACGAAUUCUGACGCUUCCACCACAAAAAUACGGUUGUCAAAUUUAGAAACAGCGUGAAACCUUGCCAAAUCCUUCAACAAACCAACAUCAGUAAUGAUUCAUUGGUAUGCGCGGGUUAAUAUAAAUGAUUCUAAACUAUGAACGUUGAUCCUAUUUUGAUAUAUAUAAAUCUAUGUAAAUGAAGAAAUUAUAAUAGUAUAUUGAUUUUUUUUCCUUUAAGGAAUGAUGAAAUCAAGUUGCAACCAUAAUUUCUUGAAACAAAGAAGAUAAUUGGUAUCAUAUAAAAUUUACUACCUCUUUCAUAAAAAUUCUUAAUAUUUAUCACUCAUUUUAAUAUAUGUAAAAGAGAUCUAUAUAUACUAUUUAAUAUGUAUUGUAAUUUUAUCAAAUAUAAAAUUUAUAUAGUCUUAAAAUAUUGUUUCUCGUAUCGUAUAUAUUCUAAUAUGUUAAACCUGUAAAUAAAUAGGUCGUAUAUAUUUUUUUGAUAAAUAUUUAAAUAUAUAUAAUUAGAGUUAAGUUCUAUGGAGUACACAAAAACAUUGGAGUAUUCGAGUACAAGUCUUAAUUUUUUAGUUUAAUCAUAAAUAAUAUAUUUGAUUAUACAAAUUUAUAUACAAUCUAUCAUUCAUAAGUUGUCUUGCACAUAAUUGUCUAUCAAUCUUUAAUAUCUUUCAACUUUAACAAGUAUUAACAUUAUUGUUCUGCUUAUUAGUUAUAUUGCAGAACAUAGAGUCCUGUAAUUUAUAAAAGUCAUUAUUCUACCUUUUGUUUACAAUGUUUAUGUUGUGUAGAACAUAAUGUGCAGGUUAUUAAAUGUUUACGAAUAUUAUUGAACAAAAAAAUUGAAAUUUAGAUGAAUAGAUUAUAUUUUAUCCAACUUUGUACUCCAAUACUCCAAUAUAUUGUGUACUCCAUUGAACUUUACCAUAUAAUUAUAAUAAAAAGUAUAUAUAUAUGUGUCAAAAUAAUGAAGAAAUCUAUAAAUGGACAUAUAUCGAUCAAAAUAGUUAUUAAUGCAAUAAUAUAAUUCAGUAUAAAUUAGUUACUCCCUCCGUGCCUCUCAUUUCUUUACACUUUUUUUUGCAUUGUUCGAUGAGCAUUUUAAGAUAGAAUAUAAUUUUAUAACCUUUUUCUGAAAAUUUUCUUUUCUUAUAAAAAUUUAGAUAAUAACUAUUUAUUCUGAAAAAAAAUUGAAAUAUAUUUUCAAACUAUAUUUUUCCCUUCCCCCGACGUAAACGGAGGGACGGAGGAAGCAGCUGAUUUGAGGUCGUUUACGUGAGCUCUCAGGCCCAUGUUACGGCAUGCUCUUUCUGAUCCGUCCAUGGAUUUCCAACUUUGGGUUAUCUACACGGGCCUGUUCAGCGAGUUUACUAUUCGAGAGUCAGAUAUGCCCACAUAUCGUAGUCAUAGUACCACUGUACUAGUAUGCAAGGUCGGAGCCCAUUCCAUAAUAUUUAAACUUCUGAGCUUCAUAUAUAAUGCCAAUGUCUAUACCAUUACUAGCCUCAAAUUAUAUUUUAAUAUUAUUUAAUAUAAAAUGUUCAAUUAUGUUGUGAAUUAUCAUAAUUACUUUGUUUAGUAUGGAAAGUGAAAACCAUCGUAAUUAUUUAGCCAAACACAAUAUAUUUCAAUUUUCCUAAACUUGUAAGAAACAGUACAUAGCAGUAUUCUUUGCGGAAGACUUGGUAAACCUUUGCUUGAUAAAAUGAAAAAAAAGUAAUUUUUCUAAAGUUUCCGCAUGUUUUUUAAAAUAUUACUUUAAAAUUUAUGAGAAGCAAAUCUCUAUAUAAAAUCUUAUAAAAGUUAAUUAACUUCGUGCAUUCUGCUUGCACGGUUUCAAAACUUUUAUCACAUUGUUGUUAGAUUUCUACAGCAACCGAACUUUUUCGCUAGCACUGUUUUGAGGGACACACCUUUUGAACAGGAUUCUAAAAUCAUUACUUACUCCGUCUCAUUUUACCAAUUUCAUGUAUUUUAAGUUGUUAAAAAAUUCACAUCUAAAUAUAAUUUUUAAAAAAAAAAUUAUAAAAAUCUAAAAUUAAAUUUAUAUAAGAAUUGAUUUUUUUUAUUGUGUGUAGAUAUUUUUUUUUACACCUCAAUGUAUUCAAUAUAGGUGUGAAACAGUCAUGGGAAUAACAAAUAUUUGAAACUUUAGUGAUAAUAUAUAAAAUAUUACAUAUUCCCUCAAUUAUGGCGGUAUCGUACACAAACCCUGUUGAGUAAACUGUAAACCAUCAAGACCCCCGCUAUCAUAAGUCAUAACAGCACUUUUAAGCUCUCUGAGCUAAUUUCACAAACACCUGGUGUGCGUUUUGCUGAUCAUCCAUGAAAGGAAGCAAAACAGCUGUAUCUGUCGUUGAAAAAUGCAAGGUAGCAUCCCUUUAUCCCCCUCUAAUAUCUACUUGCGCAUAUAUGUGUGUAUAUAUUUUUGAUAAUUUAAUUUUUAUUUGCUUAUAAUGUAUUAUGUUCAUUUUGUAGACUAUAUUGACAUCAAAUUGGCAAGGGAAUCUCAAUACCAUCAUGGCUGACGCUCAAGGAAGGUAUUCACUGUGCCCCCAUCACGCUGAAAAUAAAUUAUUUUGAAUGUUUGAUCAGUUACAUUUCUAAUGCAGCAAAGGGGAGAUUUAUACGUCGAAAGUUAAUUACUUCAUUAAGAAAGGGAAGCCGUACUUAUGGGUACCCGAAGAGGACUUGCACAAUGUGGUAUGCAACUUGUUUUUGAUUGGUUUAUUUUUGUGGAUUAUAUUAUGUGAAAUUUUUGCAAGCAUGUGUGUUGCUUGUGUUUAUUCGUAAUUAUAUUGGUGUGUUUUGUUAAGCUCCUGAGAAGUGAAGCAGUUCAUUGAAGUGUUUUUGUAGAUCGUUGUUUCUGUUAUAUUGUAUCAUAAACAUGAUAAUUUUAACUAUGUUGUUAUUACUGUAACUGUUAUUUUUGUUGUUAUCGGUGCUGCUUUUGAAUUUGGUUUGGGGGUACUAUAGCCUUGAAUCUCUAGUGCAUUUUGGCUUGCACGGAGAGAGAAAGUUUCGAAACAAUUUUUUCUGGCAGUGUAAGUGUGUAACCAAAAAGACGUGCCAGAUAACGGAAAACCGGUGAGUGGUGGCUAUCGAGAAGUAUGUGUAACAACCAAAAUAACUUAAACCCAAUUGUUUGAUUAAUGUAGAGUAAACCUCAGAGUUGUGGCCAAAGUUUACAUCGAUUUUCAAAACGUUGGCUAUAGUUCCAAAUUCUCAAAAAGAUGGCCAAACUUUGGCUUCGCUUUUUAAAAGUGUGGCUCUCGUUAAAUGUCACUAACGGGAGCCCAACGGGAGCUCAUUUUUAUCCUUUUGUUUAUUCCAAAUUCUCAGAAAAGUGGCCAAAUUUUGGUCCGCUUUUCAAAAAUGUGGCUCCCGUUAAUACAUUUAACGGGAGCCACACUUUUAAAAAUCGGAGCCAAAGUUUGGCCAUCUUUUUGAGAGUUUGAAACUCUGGCCAACUUUUUGAAAAUCGGUGUAAACUUUGGCCACAAUUUUGAAGUUUACUCUUAUAGUUGUGUGUAAGAAGGUGAGACAGGGUGAGACAUAACUUGGAAUUUGAGAUGAAUGUAUGUCUUUAAAUGGCAAGACUGAGUGUAAGAUAUCAUUAAUUGAAUGACUGAAGUACUGCAUGGGCAACUGUUUUCAUUUCUUGUUGUGUUGAAUAUUUAAAAAGUUAUUGAUGUCAAGUAAUUUGGCUUUUCAACCAAUUUUAGUGGAUUAGAGAGAAUCACUAAAUGAGUGAUCACAGUUCUCCAAUAACACAAUGAAAUAACUUUGCAUUUCAUCUAUAAAUAGCUAGAUUAGUCUAGUUUUAGGAUAUUUUACUACCAUUAGCAGUAGUGCUCUUCACUCCUGCUAGCACUGGAAUGCAAAUGUGCACAUUACUUAGCUGUACGACAUUUUUGAUACUAAUCGGAACCAAUUCCUGGUAAUGGCGUGUUAGUAUAGUAACUAACUCCAAGAAUCUUCUGACUAGUCAUCAAUCCAGACGGUGAAUGUAUCUGCAUAUCUUUCUCAAAAGAAAUUAAUAUUUGUGACUCCCGCCAGAUCAUCACCAGCCGCGAACCUAAACUUGGAUAAUAAUUUCAGAAGUAUGAAAUGUCGUUGUGCUUGAGCUUCGUCCAAAAGUAAUUGUUCUUGUGCAUCGAAAGUGAUUUUUAUAAGUUCUGUUUUUUUAAUUUUUUUGUUACAUAUAUAGUACUUGUGAUAUAAUUGACAGUGAAAUCAAAUCAAAUUUGUAAUUUUUGCAACAUGAAUACUGGUUAUUAUUUUUUCUUGUACACCUUAGUUGUUACCGAUCUUCUAUUUAAGCUUCUCCUUGACGAAUUUACAAACAUGUUAUUGGUUUGCUGCAUGGUUCAAAGUCGUGGACAAAAUUAACUGCUCAAUUUGACUUCUCUUACUUUUCUAGUAACAGUGUGUAGCUAAGUAAUUGAACUCGUCUUUGUGUCUUUUUAUUAUGUAGAAUACUAUCAUCGACGAACGCGGAUCAUUUGCUGUGGCCACACCUUUUCCAGGCCCGCUUUUAAACAUACUCCGGUCAAUGAAAAAGGUUUCUUGUAUAUAAUUCUAUUUCAUUCCAUUUCUUCAAUUGAAAUUAUCUCUUUUUUAUUGCAUAUAUAUAUACAGUAGCUGGCCAAUCAUAUAUGAACUUUGUAAAAUAGGAUCUUGGAUUCUUCAGACAAGUGACUUAAGACACAAUGACACUUUUAAUAUAACAUAUUAGAUGGUCUGUUAAAAAUAUUCUUGGUUAAUAUAUAAACUGGAAUUAGAGAAAAAUAUGACUUUUGGAAAAUAAUUUCCUAAAUAGCAUACAUGUGCAUCAGACAUGUAUCACUUAUCUAUAUUAUCAUUUUUUUAUUUUAUUGAUCACUCACUCAAACAAAUUUCUAAUUGUAAACACGGGCUCUGCAAUAGCACAUUUAUUAUAAUUUCAUGUAAUAUUGUGCAGUUACCACCUCGAGUUGCUCUAAUGGGAGACAUUGUUCCUCUUAAAGAUGAAAAGGUAUGAUAUCUAUUAAAUCCAUCAGAUUCAUAUAUAAAACUUCUUUCGAAUGACUUCGAAAAUUUUCUUAACUGUUUCCCUAGAACUGUUUUCUUUUGAGGUGAUAGGUCUGUACUCUGUAGCAUGACAUAGGAUUUGUCACAUUAACUGUUCUGAUAUUCUUCCAAGUUGGUGAUUCUUAUUCCUUUGGGGUUUUCGUCAUCUUAGAGUUUCUUGCUGUUUCAAGUGUUGGUUUUGUGGCUGCAGUGAAAUUUUAAUGGGAAAUUGCUUAAAUAAUUAUUCAGGGUACUUGUGUCGCACAACCUACAGUUACGCCCCAUUAAGUUCGAAGGAAAGAUCAGGGGGACAAUGGAAUGAAAUAUUUACUAUUCAUCAUAAGUUUAUUCCUUUCCUCAUUUUGCUCGAGCAAAUUUUGCAAAUCACACUAUAGCUCAAUUCUGCCAAUCAAGGGACCGAUGCUUGUUCCCAUGUUCCUACCUCCUGCUUACAUCCUUUACAACCCUUAUUUGUAGAUUAUUGGUGCCUGUUCUUGUUCACUUAUUUCUACUGUAACCUUUUAAUCCAAUCUUGAUUUCCUUGCAAUUUCUAAUUCCAUUCCUCCUAGCCGAAUGAAACAUAAGCAUUUAACAUGGUUGCUUGUACACAAGGGAUAACUGACGGGGACCUAAUUCUUUGGGAAUUUUUGUAUUGAGUUUAUUGCAAGUAGUUAUAGACUUUCUGAUGUAUUAUGCAACUUCUAAUUAUCGCAGGUAAAACUUGUAUUUUCAUGAAAUAUAAUUUAAUUUGUUGGAUUUGAAACUCCACCAUUUGAUUAGUCGCUACUCUGUGAAGCACCCCUAUACAUGUGAUGUAGGUUUAGCUUUUUAGGUUAACUGCUAGUAUUAACUCCGUAAUUUCUAUUUUCUUUCCGUCAUGUCGCAGGUUCAGUUAGCUACAGAAUGCCUUAGAGAAACCAUAACUUCUGAACAGAAAGCAUUUAAGGAAUCUAGCUAUUCAGUUUCUGGUGUAUUAAGCACUGCCAAUCUGGAGUCCACUUCAAGAAGCCAAAAUCUUCAGGAUCUCCUUGAUAGCAAUAAAAGCUACACAGUAUAUAAGUUGGAUUUAAGGUAGCAAAUUUUAUUAUUAUAUCGUUUACUUUAUACAAUAUUUCAUCAAAAUGUUGUUUUGUAUGGAACAUAGAAAGUUAGAGAAAAGUACUUGAAGUAUAAGACAAACACACAUCGAAGAGGAUAAACUAUUAAGCAAAGCAAAUUUAUCUGUUAUAUUUCGCUCGUAGAGCAUGAGUCUGGAGUGUAAGAUGUUUGCAGACCCUACCUUGACUAGUUGACUCAUGAAAGGAUAGGCUGUUUAUGCAAAGACCCUCAUCCCUAAGCCUUGACAACGCAAUUACAAUAAUAAAACACAUACAUAAAAGCAGUAUAGACACGAACACAAUACAGUAGGAGCCCUCUAAGUUAAUACGUUCUAAACCUAUAACUCUCUAAAUUGAUAAGAGGUCCCUGUCCCAAGUUGGGACCAAUAUUAAAAUUUAAUAACCCUUCUGUUGUGAUAACUAAUAUAUUUUAAGAUAAUCCCAGUGUUAAAUAUCGGUCCCAACUUUUGCAUAAAGUGAUGUUCUCGACUAUAUACAAUUUUGUAUACACUUUGUGAUCGUGAUUUUUUUUUUUUUUAAAUAUUUAUCGGUGCAAUUUUUUCUUGUUAAACAUCCACACCAUGUAUUAUUAUCUAAAUUACUUUUAAUUCAUCUUUAUGAUAUCUUUUAUGUCAUAUUGAUGAUUUUUUUUUCAAUUUAGGGAAUGUUAUUUAAAUUUAUAUGUGUUAUUUUGACCCCGGAAGCAUGGUUGUCAUGUCGGUCGACUAGUCGCGACUAGUCGGCGACUAGUCGAUUAAGCGAUGAAGGGAUGUCGACUCAACAUUUCGACUAGCUGAAUGUCGAUAUUUCGGUCGCCUGGUCGACUAGUCAGUCGACUAGUCGACUAAGCGGUCGACUAGUCGACUAUUUCAGCUACAGAUUGAGCAUUUUGACUUUUUUUAUUGCCGACUUCUUAUUGUUUCCACUUUCCAGCAGAAUGUGUUUACUGAUAUGUUAAUGGUUUCUGGUUAUGUGUUUCUUGCAUUCUGUAUUUCUAAUUUCUGCACUCCGCAGUUUGAUUUCUGUUACUGUUUGUUCUGCACUUAUGCAGAUUUCUGCUCUUUAUUCUACAGAUUAUUGCUUUUGCUCUGUUUAUUUGUAAUCUGCAUUGUGCAUAAAUAAUUCUGUACAUAUUAUUUCUGUAUAAUUUUGUUGUGCACUGCACUACCAGUACCAUACUUAAUUACAAAUUACAACACAUCACAGUAUCACACAAUUGUUAAUUUGUUAAUUGUUACAUAUUUUACAUGAUCAGAAGUACUUUGCUUUGUUGUUAUUUGUUAACUCUUUCCACUUUUCCGUCAUUCUCUUCACGUGUUCGAUCUUUAAUUCCUUAGAUUCUGGAAUAUAAUAUUGUGAAGGUGUCAGAACUUGGGAAACCUGAAUUACAUAAUGUAUAUAUAUUAUAUUCAAUAUAUAAUAAUAUAUUAUUUUUUGCCGACUAGUCUGCGACUAGUCUACGACUAAUCGACUAGUCAACUAGCCGAAGGUCCAUCGACUCGCUUCGACUUACCGACGUGACAACCAUGCCCGGAAGUGUUAAUGCAUAUAAAUAUAAGUAAAUCACUUGAAAAUAAUGGAUAUGAUAUGUAUUAGUAGGUAGAAUAUUUAUUAUAAUUAUUUUUAUCAAAAAAUAGAAACCUCUCUUAUAUGAUAAGUUGAUAACCUCUCUUAAGUGAUAAACUUCUCUAGUCCCAAAAAUAUAACUUUACAGGAUUUCUACUUAUAGAACUCUAUAAAGUGAAUACCAAGAGGUAAAAUGUCAAGCACUAAAUGGACGGAGAACAAACGGGAAGCAUAUUACACCAAAAGAAAUUAACCAUUAAGCACUCCCGUCCGCACACCCACCCACACUCCUAUACUACAUUACUACCAUCCCCUUUACCCCCAAUUACAGGAACUUUCAACCCUUUAGGAAUGUCAGCUGUUAUGUCCUCAAAUAAGGUUCAACUUUAGAUGUUGAUGUAAUGAAUUUUAGUAUUAACUGCUCCAUUCACCACGAUGAACUAUGUUAACCUUAACAAAUCUGCUUUUUUGUAAUUCUGAAAAUUCGAAUACCACAAAAUACAAUUAGUGUUGAAAUAUAAUGUAGUAAAUGGUUAAUUUUGCCAUUUGUUUUGUCUUUGCUUUUCUGUCUUUCGUGUUCCAAUUCUUACCACCUUAUUCUGAGUUCUUAUAUACAGUAUAUCUUAUUGCUUGUUUCACCCAUGUACUGUUUAUUGCUUGGCUGAGACUAGGGGUGAAUAAUCAUCUUAUCUUCUUAGUAUUUGUUGUCUGUUUUGAAAUUACAAAUUGAUUACCAGUACUGAAAGCUACUUUUUCACCUCCCUUUACUUUACAUGGUAAAUUAUUUAUCUAUGGUCAAAAUGGUAUCACCCUUUUAUUUCUUAAGUAUCUUUUUGCACAUUAAAGAUAUAUUAAUAAAAAGUUUGAGUUUCAGUUGAAACUCUGAUUGGAGUAAUCUAUGUGGGUGAGGUAACAAGGCAGAUAAUAGUUGUAAAGUGUUAAACACACUGUUCACAAAGUUUAAAACUUUCAUAGCAUGAAGCUUAAAGCUAAUCACCGUUGCUAUCCGAGGUACAAUUUUAGAGAUUUGAGACAAUGUAGGCCUGUAGGGCUCAAUUUUAUAUCUACCACUUAAUUUACUAUAAUUAAAGUAUGUACUAGCCAUGUGAUUAGCUAUUACUUAUCUACCAACUUUUAACAUUUUAAAGUCCUGGUUAUCUUCUUAGUCCUGGUUUGUCCGAUUUUUGGCCCUGGUUUGGUGUUUAUCAAGGCAAAGCCUUGAAUUUGAUAAUACUAGUACCUUGUUUGGGAUACAAGAUUCUGAUUAACAAAAAACAUAUAAUUGCUAUAUUUACAGUAUCAUAUGUAUGUACCUGAAACUCUCACAGUUAACCCAAGGGUCAUGUGUUCAUAUCUGAAAUUCCUCUACCGCUGUUGCGAUUCCGAUGAUGAUUCCAAAAUAAUCCCUACCCUAACUGCUUCCCCAACAUCACAGUUUUCAGUUACUGUCCAUUCAACUCGUGUCACCAAUUUUCAUCCCAAUAUUAACAUUUUUAUACUCUGGAACUCACUGCAAAGGAUUGAAGCAGUGGAGUUCCUAAAUAACAUUAGAUCUGUAGCAGUUCCUCAGACAUAUGUCAUUUCUAAAAAGCGAUAUGUUGUAAUAUUGUGAAACCUGAUUAUUUGUAAACCAUAUACUCGAAAGACAAUGUAAUGGGACUCAAACAGAUUGGUAAGUUUUGAGAUUUAUUCUUUCGGUAUAUAAAAUUAAUAUCAACAUUGAAGGAAAAUUUAUUCAUGAAGUCACAAGGUAAAAUACGUUCAAGCUGGAAAAAACAAUCAUGCGUCUGGCGUAAAAAUGAAAUCAGACCAAUUUUCCAAUGGAUUCUUACUUGGGAUACUAGGAUGACAUUGUUCAGUAUGCUUACUCCUGGUAGCGAAAUUAAGACUUUCAUGCAAAAGAGUUUUAUUCAUCCCGUAUUGACAUUACAAAAGGACCCUUGUAGAGAUGGCAGAAAAAACCGAUCCGAAUGGAUACUCGACCGUUUCGACCCGAAUGGAUAUUACCGAACCCGAUAUUUUGGAUUUGGAUUUGGAUACUAGGUUUUCCUUAUCGAAACCCGACCCGAAAUCCAAACCCGAUCCAAACCCGAAGCCCCAAAAAAAAUCAAAUAUAUAUAUAUAUAUAUAUAUAUAUAUAUGUGUGUGUAUGUAUACUAAUAUACUUUUUUUCAAUUUUAAAUCUACUAAAUUUUGUUUAUAUAUAUAUAGGUAGAGUGUGAAUGUGUAUAUUCUUGGGUUAUAGUGACUUUUUUUGUUUAACUAAUGAGUUACUUUAAAAUUUCAUACUCCAUAUAGCGAAGAUUUGUGUUUAGAAAUUAUUAAAUACUGUUCAAGAUUUUAUUAAUGUGUAAUAAUUUAUUAUUAAAGUAGUUUAGUUUUAAAUAUAAUGAAAUUUAAGGGCGAAAAAUCAAAAAUAAUAUUUUUACAAUAUUAUAUAAAUUUCGGGAUUCAGGUUUUGGAUAAACCCGAACAAACCCGAACCCAAUCCGAAACCAAUCCGACCCGUUGCCAUCUCUAGACCCUUAGUAUGUAAAUAAAUAGAUUUUAGUCGAAUCAGUAAAGGUUAAGUUAUUGAUACCACUUUCUUGAUCUGAAAACUUUUCUGCUAUGUGUAUCUCUCCGCAGCUCAUGUACUUACAUAGACAGCAACGGAAGUACCCAUGAAGUAGAUUUGGAGACAAUUAGAAAAACUAAAGCAGACGCUCUAUGUAAGUUCAUAAAAUUCUUGUCUUCCCUCCCCCCAUCUAAGCGAGUCACUCAUGAGCAGUAAUACCGUGUGUGUGUGUGUGUGUGUGUGUAAUAGUUGCUGGUAACUAUAAUAUUUUAGUUUAAUCCUUCUUAGUCCUUACGCUACGAAAUUGUCUUCUGUAGCACCUUUCUCUAUGAGUUUAAUCGAUGGAAUUAAUCAAAGUGAAGCAAGGAGGAGAGCACUGAUCUUUUUCUGCAUCACAUAUUUAAAUAAGAAUGUCAAGGUAAGUCAUUAAUCAUCAAAUUUCUGUGAACACCAAGGAACCAUGUAUAGUAUGCAGUGAGAUAUAGGAGAAAUCAAAUAGGGCUUACUUAAGGCUUUUCUCUGCACAUUUGAGUAAAUAAUACUUCCUCCACUUUCGAUGAAUUGAUAUAUGAAGUUUGGAAACAAUGAGAAAUUGGUUUGCUGAUAUUAUAAUAAUUUAGAAAAUUCACUAAUUAAAAAAGCAUGAGUUUUGUAGUUCAUGUGUAUACAGACAACUGGAAACUUGGGUAAAAGCCGCUAAAUAAUCUUUACAUUUUAUUUCUGGAGAGAAUAAGUUGAGAUAAAUGAUAAUUUGUGUGGUUAGUCAAUAAGUCAGAUAGUUGUAGUAACUGAUAACUCUAAUAUGAACACAUAUUUACAUAUUCUACGGCAAGGUUGCUAUCUUAAUGGGAAUGAGGAUACUAAUAUGUGUUCAAAGGCGUAGCUUGUGACUCACUCGAGUCUAGCAGAAUCAAAUAAGAAUUUCAAAUAAAUGAACUUGAGCCAUAUCUGAUUGAGGCAAAACAAAAAUUAAUUGGAAUCUGAGCGAGUUAUAUGAAUUCGAGUAGAAUCUGACAAUGUAAGUAUUCGUAGGCAUUUUAUUUGGUUUCACCCCUCUCCUAGUAAUUAAUAUGUGUGGAAUAUUAAAAAUUUGGUGCGUUCACUUGCCUAAAUAAAUUGAGGUUUGAGGUUGUAAUUUGAACACUUUACUUGCUGGAAAAUAAAUAUUGGAAAAUAUUACUAGUUCUACUUUGAAUCACAUGAUAACAGACUUGUACCUGUACUGUAAUUUAUGUAGUAAAAUAAUAAAUUGUGGCAACAUAUACUUCCUAGAAGGCUGAAACUUAUUGUAAAUUCUAGCACUGAUAAUUUGUAAUCCAUCAUGCAAGCUACAGAGAACUAAAAUGUUAUACUAUUAUCUCUGAUGGAAUAUACUUGAUCGACCAUGAACUUUCACGUUCUAGUUCAAAGCUAUGUGAUGUUAAGUGCAUUGCUAAAGUCUUGGACUAUCAAUCCAUAAUAAACUAUUGUCAGCAGUUUCCUAGAACCUGUUAUUCUUUCACCCAAGUUCUUUCCCUUGUAUCAUACGGAUUCCUUCUUCAAGUAACCUUUACGUUUCCUGAACAGGACGCGUUAAUGCUCUCUGCCGAUAGGAAAGGCUUUGACGUUCUAGGCAAGACUCUUGGGCCAGUGAUGAAUGAUGGUUCCCGUCAGUACCUGUGGGAAGAACUCAGAUUUGAGCUCAAUGAAGAAGCAAAAGAUAUUGAAUCAUUCUGUCAACAGCUUGUCUCAAUGGAAGUGGAGGCCCUUAAAACUGUCUCCAAGUUCAGUGGUAUAUGAUGCGCAUAGCCAUAUUCAUACCAGUAGUGGCCUAUGAGAAUGAGACAUGAUGUCUGCAAAAUUGAGGUAAGACUGGAGAAUUAGAUUAAUUUUGCCAAAAUAGUUGUAUGCUUCUGUCUUUGUAUACUACAUUUAUGAUUGUGUUUUUUUGAAAAAAACUUCCGAUCCUUGAAAUUUCUAAUCAAUUCGUCCAAGCCAGUUUUCUUAGGUUCAGCUCUCACAGAUAUACACGGUCAUGGACCUUUGGAUAUAUGAUUUGGUGGAAUUGGCUUGGGUUGUGAAACUGGUGUACCAUAAAUUUUACAGUUUAAGAUUUUCUAUUCACUUCAUUGUGCUAAGUCUGCAAAUUUGUCUGGUGGCUGCAAUACUCCAGAGAGAUUUACAAGUAUAGGAAAGGAUUCAAAGUGAUGAUCAGUACACAAUAAAAGCUAUGAUCUUGUACCACUAUUUUUUUAAAGCCGGAUUUCAACACAAUAUCAUAUUCUCAUGCAUGAUUCGUAAAUACGCAGUAAUAUGUAUAAUUUCGAGUAAAAUGCAUGACUGCUAUUGGGUUGGCUUCGGAACUUAAAACUUGUCAGUUCUGUGCAGAAAUAUCAUUUUGAACAAUGCAUGUAACAAAGAUUUGUCCUCGCUUGUUCAAAAUGUUGUUUUUUAUUUGAAAUUAGUUAAAAUCCAUAUAUUUUUUUGUAUUUCGUGUUCCCGUGUCACGUGUCAAAUCGUCGGGUCUAGAAAUAAGUCAUGCGACAUAAACCCUCAAAGAAAGACUUCAAGACUAUAAAGUCCGUUAACCACAAGAAAUGGAUUACUAUCAAAUAUAGAAAAAAAUGGGGGUUUACUAUGAGCAAACUCGUGCGUUUACCAGCUUCUUUUAUACAUAUAAGAGCCAGGCAAGAAAUGAAGAAGAUGAAUGGGGAGACCAUUCAGAAGUGACGUGGCACGUGAAGAAAAGCAGUAGGAGACUACCAAGUCCGACCAUAAGCAUCUUCUGCUUGCGGUAGAGCCUCCUCAGCUCAAACUAUAUACUUUAUAUAUCUUACUUUAUCAUAUGUGUCCAGUGGUGAUAUCAGACACGACUCGAACCCGACCCGAACUUGUAACCCAUUUACUGAAACAAAACUCGAAAGUGACUCGAAAAUUACCUUCAAUUUUCGAAAUUUUCAAUUUUCAGUUUUAUUUAAUUUUAGAUGAUUUUACCUUGACCCGAAAUCGACCUAAUUGCUGACAUGAACACGACUCGUUAUCCGAAAUUGCCACCCUUGCCUCUAGUAAAGUUCAUACUGCCCCAUAAUUUCGUUGUUAUUUUAUUUUCCGCAAGGCUCAUGUAAAUUGUUUCUGAUGACCCCCCGCCCCGCCCCACAUUUCUUGUUCAUGAAUGUAGAUGUAUUGCCGGUGGCAAAAUCGACCAGGAGAUUCCAGCCUAAUGUUUGUACAAUUUGACUUUAUUAUUUAAGUAGUUUUUAUGGUCUUGAUUCAGUUAUAAGGAUUUUAUGGUAAUGUAUUUCUUCUCGAUUGUUCAAAAAAAUAGUUGUAAUACUAUAAUAUGUAUGAGUAAUGUUAAGUACAUCAAAAUCUUUUCCCAAAUUUAAUAAUAUUUUCGCAAUAUGUGAAAUAAUAAUAUUUAAAUUUGCGGGACGAGAUUGGAAUUAAGAUGAACAUGAUCACAACAUCCAGCAGUCCCUUAUUGCAGCUCGAUCUUUAAAAAUUCCGUGCCUUGUAAGAGUGAGAUUCUCUCCCAAACACGUCACAUUCAGAUCUCUUUGUAGCAAAAGCAUAAAUCACGAACAUCAAGCUCAUAGCAAAAUGUUGUGGAGCCUUACAUAAUAUAUAUAUUCAUGCAUAUGUUCGUUUGCAUGUGUAUCAUGUCUUGAGGGUCGCAUCAGUCGGCUGCACAUAUUUUCAUCCCCUUUCGUCACCGGAAAACUUGGAGCUUCAUAGUUGAGACCUGAAUGUGUUUUCAAAUUUUGGUCACGACUAGGGUACUCCUGUGUUUAGAAUUUUAAAUAAAGUGAUGUGACACUUUUUAUGUUUAGACGCUUUUUUGAUUUGGUCUCAAACAAUUGUUUUCUGCAGUAUGCAUUUUAAAGUUCGAAAAACGCUUCGCUUUGCACCCCAUGACCAUUCUCCGUUUAAUUGACCGUUAAAGUUAACAGAUUUCAGAUUUUCAUCAGAUUUUCAUUUUGCACCCACAAGUAUAAUUUUUUUUCAUGAGCAUUUUGAUUUUUUUUUCAUGAAUCAAAAAUUUGUUUAUCAUUUUCGUCUGCUAGGAUAUUAAUAAUCCAAAUUAUCCGAAACUUAAUGUGGAAAACGAUACAUGCAGAUGGAUAAGCCCUCUAUACUCGGGGAUGCUGCCCUAUUGUUCUUAUCGUAAGAUGAAAAACAAUCAACAUCACCGCAAAUGACAAGAACAUUUUGCAUUCAUGAAAAAAAUAUAUUUCAAAAUACUCAUAAAAAAAUUAAAAUUGUGGGGUGCAAAGUGAAAACCUGAAAUAUGUUAACUUUAACGGUCAAUUAAACGGAGAGUGGUCAAAAAAGUGCAAAGCGAAACGGUUUUCAAAUUUUAGGGUGCAUACUACCAAAAAAUUUGUUUGAGACAAAAUCAAAAAUGCGUUUAAAUAUAAGGAAUGCAAAGUGUCAAUCACUCUUUUAAAUAUAUAAAUGAAAUUUAGAGAGCUAGCUAGGCUGUAUAUGAACUUAAAUGUAAACCCGAUUCAUUCGUUUUCAUGUCUUAACUAGGAAAAUUUAAAGUGCAUGAGUAUCAACUUAUAAACCCCAUCCAUUUAUAUAUAUAGUCUUUCUCUGUGUCCUAAUUUAUUAGAAAAAUCUAGUGCAUAUUUGGCAUAGUCUGCUUCUAACUUUUUUCAAUAAGAAACCUGCUUCUACUUUCCAUCACCCGUUUGUGUAAAAAAUCAGAAGCACUUAUAAAAAACUAAGAAUACUAACUUUUGUUUCGGACUUCUACUUCUUUCCAAAAUAGUUUAAUCAUUUAUAAGUCUUAAUUUACUUCUCACUUAUAAUCCACUUCUUUAUUUUAAGUAAGUAAGAAGCAUUUUUUUUAAAUUUAUCCAAGCGGGCUUACUCUAGUUCCCCCACCCCAGAGAUCGACAGAUCAACUUUCUCAAAUGUUAUACUCUAACAUUGCGUUAACUUAGAUGGAAUAAAAUGGAAAGAGAAUGUAAUGAAAUUUAUGCUGGGGUAAUCGAAAAAAAGUCUAUAAGAUCAAUUUCUUCUAUCAUUACAUUCCAAAAUAUUUAAAUAAGAAAUUUCAUGUGUUUUAGAAGGAAUGCUCAUUUCACUUCUUCACUAUAAUUUUUUAUUAAUAGAAAAUUAAACUUACCUAUAUUUAGUUAAUUACUACAUUCUCCUUCUUUUCUUUUUCUUCAUAAUACUUCUUUGAUGUUUCUCAUAUUUCAUUUCAUCCAAGUUCAUUUCAUCCAAGUGAAUACAACCUAACUGUGCUGUGAUCAUUACAACUUUAAUCCCUAUCAUAUAUAAUGUUAUAUGUGUGACCACUACAACUUUUGGUAACCGUAUAAAAUCACAUAAGAAAUCUUCCUCAAAACCCUAACAAAAUUUAUAACUAAAGUGAGAGUGGGCUAUAUAUAUAGGUAGCCAUCAAGAAAUAAAUAAACAGACACACACUUCUUCCUUUAUCUUUUCAUCCUCCACUUCUUGCUUUCUCUCUCUCAGCUUUAGUGACGCAAAUUUCCACCAUAAACCACCCAAACUUUAUCAAAAGAAAGAAAAGAAAGAUUAAAAGAUCAAAGCACUAUGGUUUUCUCAUCUGUUCCAGCCUUUCAAGUACUGGAUCCUCUCAAUUGGCAAUACCAAGUAAGUUUUUACAUUUAUCUCUUCAUCAUGAUUAACUUUAUAUCUACUUCUUGGAAAAAUUUGGAAUCUAGUAGCUAGUUGUAAGAUGUGUAUAUACUCUUAGACAUGUUACAAGAAAGAAUUCCGCACUUUCACAUGGACUUUUGACACCAAAUUUGUCGGAUUGACUUUAAAUUUAAGUAUGAUAUAUAUAUAUACAGAGAAGUGCUCAAAUACAAACUAUAAUCGAUUGGUUUUGGCUUUAAAUUUACAGCCACCAGGAGGAUCAGUAUCGGAUAACAAUAACGAUGAUAGCAAUCACAACCACCUCACACUACCACCUAUGCCUCCGUCUCACGGCCUUCCAAUCGGGCCUAAUUCAAUGGCAGAGAGACCUAAGUUAACAAAGCUUCCACCUCAAGAAACAGCCUAUAAAUGCCCGCGUUGUGCAUCCACCAACACGAAAUUUUGCUACUACAACAACUACAGUCUCUCACAGCCAAGGCACUUUUGCAAGGCCUGUCGUCGCUAUUGGACUAGGGGCGGUGCACUGAGAAAUGUACCUGUCGGUGGUGGCUUCCGGAGGAACAAGAAAAGUAAAAGAAUUAGGUCAAAGUCUCCGAUUACAUGUAAUAGCUCAGCAAGUGGAGUUUCUUCUGGUAGCUGUACCACGAACAAUAUUUUAGGUCAUUCAGCCCCUUCAAUUUUACCACAAUUUCCUUUGUUGCCCUCGAUGAAAUUCACUGAGAUUCUUGGAGCUGAGGAUAUUAACAGCUUGAUUUUCCGGGGAAUUCAGUCCCCAGCUGCCGCGUCUGGUGAGUAUAGUGAUCAAUGGAGAUUGCAGAAAUCCGCUGUUGCGCCUGGAGUACUGGAACCAUUAUCAACAGGAGUGACGUAUCAGUUUCGAGGUGAAGGUCUAGGGGAAGCUACCACCAGUCAGCAUGAUUUUAAGACAGCAGACUAUUCUAGUGGCCCUUCUCAAGCUGAGUUGAUAAAAUUUGGAGAAGAUCAAGGAUUCAUGAGUUUGCCGAAGAACGUUUUGGAUUUUCCGGGGAAUGAACAACAAGAGUAUUGGAGUUCUGUCUAUGCAUGGAAUGAGCCAAAUGGUUUAAAUCCUUCUACAGGUCAUCUCUUGUGAUUUAAAUAAUUUUUUGUUUCCUUCGAAACCCUAUUUUAUCCAGCGCUGGACUAUAUAUUAUUUUUGUUUGAUUAAUCUCGUGUGUUUGAUGUAUAUUGAAUAUAAAUCUCUCUGCUAUCUUAUACAUGAAGACUACCGUAAUUUAAGAAUUUGUACUCAGAUCAAGGGUGAAAGAAGCAUUGGCCGAGUGAAUGAACGUGUUCUGUUAUUUCUACGACUGAAAACCCUAAUGAAGAAGAAUGGAUUAGUAUGUUUGUUUUGAAUUUUGAUAUGUAUUGAUCUUCUCUAUAAGAAAGAUAUUCUUGUGUAACUACAAUUUAAGAUCAACAUAUCAAGGGGAUGAAUAUAUGUUUAUUUAUAUAUAGUAGAUAACCUUUGAGCACUGAUAAUUGGUUCCUGCAUGCGUACUUUUAUGUUGUGUCUGGUUAAAGUGAAUGAAUUAGGAGAAACGGAAUGAAAUUUUAAAUAUGUUAUGGACAAUAUAAUUGUUUAUAAUUUUCAUUCCUUCCCCCAUUCUAUUCCUCCUUAGCUAGUAAGUACUUUUUACGAGUAUAGGCUCGUAAAAAUGUUUCAUUUCCACAGAUGUGUAGGCAGUUGCCAGUCACUCCCCAUGCAUGUUUGUUCAAGCAAAUAUAGUAGUACGUCUAGUAGUCCUAGCUCGAUGAGCAUCAACUCAUAAAGAACGUACUGAUGAAUUAAAUUUUGUACUUCUCUCCCAUGCCCUAAAACAACCCUCUUUCUUGGACAGUUCAAUUCCCAAUGUUGAAUAGUAAGAUGAUCACUUCAGAUUCAUCAGCUUUUUAUGGUGGGAGAUAGGUGUCGUCAAAGUGGAGUAUUCGAGUAAUUAAUGAGGUUCGGCCAUGCUUGAAUACUACUCUACUCUCCCUUAAUUUCCUUUCUCAAAGCUAGCUUCUGGUAAUUAUAAAGAUCGACAAUAAAAGCCUAUUCUCCAGUACACGCACUCUCCUUUAGAUUCAGCACUUCUGUGCAGGGUAAUAACAUAAAUUGGGACCUCAAUGUAUCCCAUGUUUUAGUGUUCGAUUAAUUUGCAUUUUAGCUUUCCUAAGUGAGAACUGAGAACCUCAUAUUCAUCAAGUCGUAGGUAAAUAAUUUACAAUACAUCUCUUUUUGUGAUACAAUAGCGUUUCCAUUCUUAUUUACCUCAACCUCAUAUUCAUCAAGUAGGUAAAUAAUCUACGAUACAUCCCUUUUUGUGAUGCAAUAGCGUUUCCAUUCUUACUUACCUCAAUUCGACUAUUCUCAUACUCUUCAUUCCAUUUUCAUUAUCAUCCGCCAUCGGACAAUGCCCUUAGUCUAGAGAAGCACAUGAAUGUCAGUGUGAUGGGAAAUAAUUUUGUAAGAAUGAUACAACAAUGAUCCAUAUAUAUGAUUGAGACAUAAUUAAAGUGGUGGCAAAAGAGUAAUACAUAAAGAAGAGCCGCUGAGUGUAACAACUACAAAUUAUUUAGUAACAGAAUCUGUACUUAAAGUUUGUUGGGGCUGCCAAUUGCUUUUGUGAUAACCAGGACAAGGCAAAGGCAAAGCAAAACCUCGCCCCCCUCCCCCUCUGUCAAAAAGCUUCUGCGCAUAUAUUACACGCACGCACUCGCUUUCUAUCAAUGUGUGCAUGAUUUGUGAAAUAAUUUAGCGAUGGUUGUAGUGGUUGUGUCCAUUUGCUGAAGAUAAAAAAAUGUGGGGCGCGACUGCCACACAAUCACUUCCUACACCGUAUUUUUUAUCUUUAAAAAACACGAUACUUAAUAUGAUUAUCAGCGAAUUCUAUGAAUAUACCAGAUAUUGAGAUUAUAUAUCGAAUAUUAUUUUUCAAUGUCUUUUAAUAUUGAGUCUAUUUUAAAAAUAAGGGUGAGUGUACAAGUCCGGACAUGUUUUGUAUAAAUAUAAUUCAGUCUCGGUUAGAAGAAUUGAACACAUAUCGGAGCAAGAAAAAAAGAUGUCAGCCUUAUCGGAUAUAGGCUGAUUAAUUAAAUGUAUACAUGAUAGUUUUAAAUCUUGCAGGUGAUAUAACAUUAAAUAAGAAAAAUGGAGGACGGCGUAUUAAAGUUGUUGAGUCUUGAUCCAUGGUUUAGAGAGUAAGUUCACUUUGAAAAAAUCUUGACUUUGGUCUCAUGGCUUACAGUGGGUCACUUCAUUUUGAAGAAUUUCAUAGGCUAUGUCGACUUCAAUCUGAAGUGUUAUGUCAUUUUGGUUUGAAAAAAAGGCUCGUAUCAUUCGAUGACAGAGAAUUUCAUGACAAAAGCGAGUAUCAUGUUUAGAAAAUUAUAGAUCAAGAUACUAUUUAGUAUUUACAUAUAUAUAUAUAUAUAUUACACUCACACACACACACACACACACACACACAUAUAUAUAUAUAUAUAUAUAUAUAUAUAUAUAUGAGGUCGAAAAUGACAUUUGAAAACUGAAACUUGAAAUCAGGAAUUCAGUGGNNNNNNNNNNNNNNNNNNNNNNNNNNNNNNNNNUCCCUACACUUUUAUAAUAAAGACAUGGUUUUCGUAUACAUUUUACCCUUCCCACACCUUAAUCUAAGUGGGAUAUAGUUUGUAUGUUUAGUCUGGUUUAGUUUAUCUUUCAGUAAAUAUAAACACAUUUACGAGUUACGACUCAUUCUUGAUUUUUUUUUUUUUAAAUUCGCUCACCUAAUCCUAAAAAGAAUUAUCUAUUAAUUUACUGAUUAUAUUUCGAUUUAGCUAAAAAUUCCUAUUUAUCCAAUUUUUUUUAAUAAAUUCUAAAUUAAUAGAUCAAUCGAUUAAUUUCGAUACUAAUUUUUACGAAUAAUUAUAUAUGUUGUCACAUCGGAGCUUUUAUUUGUGUUGCAUGUUCUGCUCCGCCCAUACCAUGGUCGAUGUACCCUCCUUACUUCUGAUGAUAAACAUACUAAUUAAAUGUAGUGUAUGUAUGUUUCUCUUUUGCUAGCCUAUUGUUUCUUUAAACAUUCAACCGGUAGUCAUUCCAAUUGUUCAAUUUUAAGCAAUAAUAAUUAAAUUAUUCGAGGACUCUCAACACUACAAAAAAAAAAGGACAAAAUCGACCGGAUAAAAUCGACUGCCUAAAAAAAAUGUCAACUUAAAAUCGACUGGCAGCAAUCGGUCGGUCAUGAGACAGCACGACAUCGUUUUGCCUUGCUGACAAGUUCCAAGAACUCUCGUGAAUCGGAGAUAUGCUCUUUCUAGCUCGCUCGUCCGCUGAGAGAUAUAGCAAAAGAUAACGUGCAUGAGAUCAGGUAGAUUAGUCCAACACAUUCGUUUUAUAAUAUUAACACUUGUGUCUUGGUAAUUAUAUAUCUAGCAAUUUUACAUACGCUACGCGUUUGAUUGUGAAGCGAGAAGCAGUUGACUAGGCUGGUAUAUCAUCCAGCGACUCCUUGCGAGUUUCCGUCUCACAUUACUAAAUUACUGUAUUUUCCUAUCACGAAAAAGACGCGAAGAACUCAUAUAUUAUUCUACACUUAAUUUUUUAAAUUUUGUUUAAAGUAAACUUCAGAGUUGUGGCAAUGUUUACAUCGAUUUUCAAAACGUUGACUAGAAUUCCAAAUUCUCAAAAAGAUGGUCAAACUUUGAUUUCGCUUUUCAAAAGUGUGGAGUCUAAUGAGAGCCACAUCUUUGAAAAACGGACCAAAAUUUGGCCACUUUUCUAAGAAUUUGGAAUUCAUUUUUACCUUUUUGUUACAUUCCAAAUUCUCAAAAAAAUGGUCAAAGGUUUUCUUACAUAACAGCGUGGUCUAGGAACAAAUGAUGCAAGUCGACUUGUUCAUUUGGAGUUUUAUGCAGCUUCUGCUAUUAUCCGAUAGUGAUCUCAUUUUAGCCUUUAAGCUCAAGAGAAAUUUCUGUUCGCUACUUCUUCAAGCAAGUUGCAAAUAUUUAGCUCACAACCACAUCACUAGUCAACCAGAGCAGCUGUCAUAUAUGUUUAAUUUAUCUUCAAAAAUGUAUUCAUAUUUGUUAAGAACUUUCUUUUUAUUUUUUUUAUUUUUAAUCAUCGGUCAACGUACGUACGAGGCAGUUGACCACAAGCCUGGCUAAACAUUCAAAGUAAACCCUACAAGCUGGAAGAUGCCCAGUACUUAUAAAUCCAUCAUUUUUCUCAAACUCAAACGCUGACUUUACACUAUAAUUCUAUAAAUAUAACAAGAACAAGUGUACAUAAUUCACAAAACAAAAAACACACAAAUUUUCUACACUAAAGAGAUUAUACAGUUGACAUAUAUAGCUGAGGAUAUAUGGCACCACCUCCAACGCCGCCCGUCGUAGCGCCGCUAGUAAAACUAGUGGUGAGAGUGCUUACUUUCAUUUGCUUGCUCAUAGGACUCAUCAUCCUCACCACCAACACCGCCUCCAUUUUCAUCAACUUUGCGGAAUUUAAGAUCCGUUUCCAGGAUGUUAAAGCCUAUAGGUAUAAAUCUUCAUACUUUUUUUUUUUGCUAAAUAUAAAUCUUCAUACUUGUGUUUAGUAUUUUCGGAUGGAUCCUAGCUAGUUUAAAUAAAAUAACACACAACAAAUUAAUACGUAAUUAUUUAAAUACAUUGUCAUCCAAAAAAAGUCUGUGACAGCGGGUACAAUCCUAGUUUUACGUAUUUAGUGAUGAAUUAUAUAUAUUGAUCAGGUACAUGCUUGCGACUAUUGUAAUUGGCAUCGCGUAUACUCUCAUGCAAACUGCACUCACCGUCUAUGAAGCAACCAGAGGAAACCGCAUUGGUGGCCAAGGCUUCCUUCUCUUCGACUUUUACGGUGACAAGGUAUUCACACCGAGAACUUCAGAUUUCAGCACAAAAAGAUAAAUAUAUCCAAAAUUAAUUAAUUGAGAAUUAAUGCAAACAUAAUUAAUUCAAAUCUGUGCAAAUGUGCAGUUUAUAUCGCUGUUGCUGGCAACGGGCACCGGUGCAGGGUUCGGCGUGACAGUAGACUUGAAAGAUCAGUAUGGCGCAAUAACUUCGGGCUACGACAAGUUUUUUGACAAGGGUUAUGCUGUUUCUAGCAUGCUUCUCAUUGCAGUUCUCUUCUCGGCUGUUUCUUCUAUUUUCUCAUCUUUAUCGCUGCCUAAGAGAGCUUAGUUCCGUUAGUGAGUCUUGUGUUAAUUCAUCGUUGUAUUUAGAUUUGAAUACGAUAAGUUUCUGUAAUUUAGAUCAUUUGCAGUUGUUGUACUUCCAAGAUUAUUCAUUGUAGUAUUUUAUAUUCAUUGUAUUCAUUGUAAUUGUUGUAUUAUGUUGUCAUGCAGCAAGAGUUCAUAAUCUCGAAUAAAUAUAUCUUCACGCAAGACUAGCUAUUAUGGUAGUUUAUAUGAAAACUGAAAUGAAAUUCCCUUGGUAAAUAAUGUUCAUGCGAUUCAUCUCACUAUUACAAUUUACAAAGGUCACAAUUACUAAAAAUUUGGAGAAAUUAAGGAUUCUCUGAUUUGAUGAUAUCGGUCCUCACAAAAUGGGUGAUCUUCUGUAUAUCCAUGCCGAGAACUGAAUCCAGAAUCAGUUUUUUCCCUUGCAUAGUCCGGUAUGAAUCUGUAACCUUCGGAAAAUUCUGGUAAAUUUUGUACUCUUUCGUCGAAAAAAUAUCUGUUGUUUGGGUCGUCCUUGUUGUUUUGGGAAGUAUUGUAAUGUGAAUUGCAUCUUCCGUAUUGUUUAGAGUUUGAAUCUGCGGAAAUAGAACGCUGGCAAAAACUUCCUGAACCUUUUAUCCCACUUGUUAUCUUUCGAGCUUUAUCCCUCUCUUGUUUAAGAUAUGACUCGUCUUUAAGCAGCUUCAGUAUUCUCUCAGAUUUGUUUCGGACACUUAAUCCCCAGUUGAACCUGCAUCACAAGUUAACAUGCAUUACUGCCACAAGAAUACUGCAUAUAUGCGUUGACCAUGUUGACGGGACCAUCAUGAUGUGGUGGCCUGGUGGGCCCCACAAAGCUGACUUGUCAAUGAUGCAUGUGUGAGUCUCGACCCACGUGUCAUUAACAUAUGAUGACUUCUUGAUAGAUAAUAUUUUUAAUAAAUAAGUAUAUGUGGUUGUACUGAGACUCUAAACUCAACCUCUUAUUACCGAGAGAAAAGAGAUAUCCAGCAAAAUACAGUGCUAGAAACUCAACCUCUUGUUAUCGAGAGAAGGAAAGUAUUUAUUAGAAUAUAAGACUUGAACUGAAUAACCUCUUGUUAUCGAGAGAAGAGAGGUAUCCACUAAAAUACGCUAGUUGAAACUCAACCUCUUGUUACCGAGAGAAGAGAGGUAUCCACUAGAAUACACCGUAAUGGAUCAUCUAUGAAAUAAUCGCAAUUUGUGACAUUAGCUAAUAGAAAUACUCACCCUUUCUCAUCAACAAAUUUGAGGCUUCCCAUCUCCCAAAUAAUGUCUUUAUCCUGCUGAAAAUCCUCUGCAACUCUCUUGGGACCAUGCGUUAGAAGUCCCUCCAGCAAAAUAAGCGCCUUAUAUGAACACUGCCACUGCUUUUUGUCGUACAUCCACAGCCUGCUAGCACAAAAAAAAUUCAAUCAACUUUUGUGAUCCUUCUCUAAAUUAAUUAUUCUUUUCACAAGCUAAAAAGCAGCAUAAACCUCUUAUGCAGAACGUCCACAAUUCUCCAGUACUCAUCAACUUCAAACGCUGCACGCGACAAGAAUCUGACAGUUCUACUAUCCAAUGUCAUCAAACUUCCAUCCGUAGCCUCUUCCGUCAGACUUCAACAGAACAUGCACAUGUUAACAGAAAUAAAAAUUGAUAAAAUUCGAUACAGAAAAAAGAAUUUAACAUACAUUUCUGCAGGUGUAACAUCAGUGAAGGCGAGCCUGGCGACCUUGAUCUGUUCUUUGAAGAAGAAAGAAGUCUUUCUCUUGAAUUCAUGUAAGGAAGGACUAGCCAUUGCUUGAAUUCUUGUAGAACUUCAGAGAAAUACUUAUGAGAACGUAUAAGAAGCUAUGAUCUGUUAAGAAUGCAUGUUAAGUAAAUAUGGAUGCUUAAUUAUGUAUAAAUUUAAUAAUAAUCAGAUAAUGCAAGUUCAACUGCUCCAUUACCUUUAGGCUUUAACUAAUUUUACCAACUACAUUCUCUAAGUGGAUUUGCAUAUGCAAUGAGCUAGACGCGACCUGAUAGAGACAAAUUAAUGGUUAUUGCAUUCUUUUCCUUAUCAAACAAUUUUUUUAAUUAAAUUCGAUGAUCAAUUUCUAACUUCUGGUCUGCAUUUUCCAUUUAGUACUAUAUAUGAAAUGCAUACAAGUAGAGGUUGACAAAUAGUAGAAGUUAAGAUACUGACUAGCAUUUGAACAAAUUAAAAACUAAACAAAAUUACAUCAGACACUUUGUGUAUAUUCAUGAGAUAAAUCUAAUAAUUUUGUGAUGGAUUCUUGUGGAUACAGAUCAAAUGGCAACACAACUGACAAAUGGAGGUCGAAAGCCACUUUGAAGUGCAUUGGGAACUUGUUUUUGUUUAAUUUCAAAACAGGUACCAAAUUUUGAAGUCCAAAAAUACCAAACAGGACCAAGAUUUUUUGGCUUUCAAUAGAAUUUCGCCGUGCCUAAAUUCUGAUCAAUCCUGUUGUGAUCUUGUAACAUUCUAGCCCUCUCAUCUCACAUGCUUGCAAGAGUCUCCUUUCUUUUCUCCAAAGCUUGAGAGUUCAUAUACCAAAACACCCACAUCGAAAACAAGGUUCCAAUCAGCACCCAUGUCACCAAAAGAUUCCUCCACCAGCUUUUUCGAAAUCUCUUUAGACUAAAAUACUCAAAAUAGAAAUUAUAAAUCUUAUAAGCCCUGAUCUUAGUGCCUACGUUCAUUGUUAUAAGAAAAUGUUAAUUAGCUUCUUAACAUCCGCACUGUAGAGCCAGCUAGACCUGUCAAUUCGUUCAUAUGGUAUACUUAUAUGUCGUGUACUCAAAGACCAAAUAUAAAACCGACCCAUUUAGGGUUCGUGUACUUUCGUGUCAUAUUCGUGCGUGUUUCGUGCCGUUCUCGGGCGUGUUUCGUGUAAAAUUGAAUAUAAAUAUAAAUAAAUAUUCGUGUGUCGUAUACUUUUUCGUGUCGUGUAUUCAAAUACCAAAUAUAAAACCGAUCCAUUUAGGGUUCGUGUACUUUCAUGUUGUUCUCGUGCGUGCAUGUUUCGUGCCGUUCUCGUGCGUGUUUCGUGUAAAAUUGAAUAUAAAUACAGAUAAAUAUAUUGACUUAAAUCUAAGAUUGAGAUCAAUUUGCAUGUUUUAAAUUUGAGGAUAUGCAUCCAUUUGAAAGACCAAAUGUCUAUAUAUAGUGUGAAAUGAUUGUCGGAGCCUGUCAAACAAUGGCCUAAUUAAAUGGGCUAUUUGCUUUUGGGUCAUUAUCAUAAUCUAAGACGGUUGCCAGAGCAAUUGGGUGAUAUGAAAUGGCUAAAGGAGCUUGAUUCACGCCGCAAUUGAGGAACUGCCAGAUUCAAUUACUCAGCUCAAGGAGUUGGUUCCAAUGAAUUUGGAUGGUUGCAAGAUGCUUAGAAAGCUACCACAGCAGAUUGGAAAUAUGAAAGGCUUAAUUAAGGACAUUUCUUGCGAGUUGUAGUGCAGUUGAACAACUUCCAGAUUCGUUUGUAGGCCUCGUUAAUUUGGAGAGACUGGAACUGAGCUGCCGCAGAAACCUUGGGAAUCUUCCAAAUAUCAUAUGGAAGCUCCAGUUGCUUCAAGUACUAAAUCUGGGGCACUGUUCAAAGCUGGAGCGAUUGCCUGAGCAAUUGGAGAUGAUGCAAUGCUUAGAAAAGCUUAAAGCAAAUGGAACGGCAAUUGAAGAAGUACUAGAUUCUAUUGGGCUACUUAAUUAGUAGGUUAAGGCUGUUGAAUUUGUCUUAUUGCCGUAAGCUAAAAUAACUGCCAAGUAAUGUGUGGAAUGGUGCAUCACUUGAAAAAUUAAUUCUUCCCCGAGAGGACAUCGAUAGAAUUAAUUUGCCUGAUGCAGUGAAAGAUACAAAGUUGGUUUCGUUAACUUUGAACUGUAAUAUAAGAUUAUGGUUGCCUACGAUUCUAAGUUUUCCUUCGUUGAAAAAGUUAUUCAUCUGCGAUGAGACUGAGAAUUUAUCUUCAACCAAUCCUUUCGGUCUCUCUGGGCUUUACAACCUACAAGUUCUCGAAUUCUCUGGUUGUGCAAUUUUUGGUUCAUCGUUUCUGGAACAUCGUCUUAAUAUAACACACUUAUGCCUAUCUAACCAUGCAACACUGGUACAUCUACCCGAUUUAUCAAGCUUGAAACAGUUGAAGAAGUUUCAUAUAUUCCAUCACAUCAGCCUUGAAUCACUUCCUCAUCAUCUUCAAACACUUACAGUUUAUUAUUGCCCAAGCUUAAAGAACUCUCAAACAUGUCAUUUUUGAAGGAAUUGAGUUAUUUGAAUUUUGGUAGCUGCAGCAAUCAGAAAUCAUUUAGUACCGAAAGAGUCCCCUGCAGGUAUGUUUCCGUUUGAUCUCCCUCCCUCCCUCUGUCCCAAAAUGAUACACAAUCACACUUCUAUAAAUCCAACUACAUUCUUUCAUGUCACAGGUAAUCAAAAAAUGCCUCCGUUUAUACGAAGCUGAGGCACCAAAGAUGGUAAAUUGGUUGAGCUACGAAAGCAGUGGGCAUACGAUCUCUUUUGGUACAUCCCACCACUAUUGGGAGAUAACUUAUUAGGUCUUGCGCUCUCGAUUGAUUUAUCAUGCAGAGAGCUGGUUCCUCAUUUGAGCAUUAGAGCUGCACUCAUAAAACAAAUGGUACAACAAAGUGCUGUGUGAUCCCUUUACACUGUAAUGGACCUCAAGUAUAUUCACUGGUGCAAUGCUUAAGUGGAGAUGAAAUCUCAAUAAGAAGUGGAGAUGCAUAUAGAGUUGAUGCACCAGAAGUAAUUUAUUAUGUACAAUUGAAGGUGAAGAUGUACGUUGUUCAUGUGAUACCAAAAACACUCUCCACCCCUGAUUUUUGCUCUGUUUUAAGCAACUUGAUUAACUGAUGUUUUACAUCUUUACAAAGUAUUUGAUUUUAUCUCUCAGUCAGUUCAAUAUAUUUUACUAUAUAUUACAAAUAUUUCAAAUAAGUCUCUGUUUACGUUGCUUCAUGUUUAACAUUUUUCUUUUGAUAAUUUCCUUUUUUCGACUUAUAUUUCAAUUUUAGAAGCUACCAUGUUACUAUAAGAGUAGUAAUUAUUGACGCACAGAACCGAAAUUGGAAUCUGCAGACACAUAUAUCAUUUAUGAAACAAAUUCGAAUAAGACAAAUUUAGAACCUAUCAAAAUAGAGGAGAAAAUUUCUAAAAGUAAAAUUUCAUUUAUUAUAAUAGAAUAUAUACAAUAUUGUUUACGUAGGAAUAGAAUCCUAAAAUUAAAUAUGAUCAAAUCUGAAUAUAUCGAAUGAUGAUAAAUAUAGUUUCACAGUGAAGGCACUCGCAGAAUCUUUACUACUUCACAUCGUUACUAUGCCUUCAAAGAUGAUAAUGCUCUUGAAAAAGGCCUAAUAAAUAUGUAGUUAUUUCUGGGGAUUGGCAUCCACCCCGUCCGGCUCGACCCCAAUUCGACCCACGCCCCGUUCGAGUCGGGGAUUCGAAGAAUUUUCGGGUCGGGGCGAGGAAUGAGGAAAAUGUUAUAAAAAAUUUGGAGAUCAGAGCAGCAGGGUCGGGGAUUCGUGUCUCCCCACCCCGAUCGCCGACUCCAAUUAUAUAUAUAUAUANCGACUAAGAAAAAUGAGGAUUUUGAAUUUAUCAUAUUCUGGCUUAAAAGCUAGAAAUUGACUUAUAAUUUCUUUACCCAAAUCUAGGGAUAGGCAUUUACCCCGCCCCGCUCGACCCCGCUCCGAUCCCCACCCCGUGCGGGUCGGGGAUUCGGAGAAUUUUUCGGGGGCGGGUCGGGAAACGGGGGAAGUUCUAUAAAAAAUUUGGGGGUCGGGGAUUCGUAUCUCCCCUCCCUGCACUUCCACUUGACAGCUAUCGUAAUGAUAAAAAACCCCGAUUGUAUAUAUAAAUAAUAAUAUAUUUAUAUAUAUUAUAUUAAAUAAAUUAUUAAAAUUAGAUAUCUUUUCUAAUCUUAUUAAAAUUAAAAAAAUAAUCUUUAUUUUUAAUAAUCGAUUAAUAUAUUGUAAUAUAAUAUAUUUUAUAAUUUUAAAAUUGUCGUUAUUUAUAUUUUAAAUUAGUUUUAAUAUGAUUUGAUGUUAAAAAUAUGAGAUGAUAUCAUUUUAUUAGUGUAUUAUGAGUUAGUAGUUUUAUUAGUGUAUUAUGAGUUAUUAUAUUGUAUUAUGAGUUAUUAUAAAUUAUAAAAUUAUUUUUUUUUUUGAUUAAAAACUAAAAUGCGAAUUCCCGCAGGGAUCCCCGUUCCUCGUUCGGGGCAGGAAUGGGGAAGGAAAAGAAUCCCCGUUCGGGGUUCGGGACGGGAUCGUGGAUAACUAUCAAAUUCGGGGAUCGGGAGGGGAUAGCUAUCCCCGACCCCGAAAUGCCACACGUCCAUCCCUAUUAUCUCUCAUAGCUAUGCUCAUUCACCCUGGUACCUCAAUGAGCUUGUUGAGAUCCUUAGACGCUAGAAAACGGUUUAUUUAACCUAAGCUAAACGACUCAAAUUACGUUUAAAUUAAAUUUUUGAAGCAAUUAAAUAAAUAGAAAAUUCAUAUUUAUUUAGUACUUAUAAUCUCAUUUUUUUCAUUUUUAGUAAUAAAUAAAUUAUACUCUCUUUAUCCGGGCGAAUUCUUUAUAUUGGGGUUGGAUACGGAGAUAAAAAAAAUGUAUAAAGUAGUAUAAAGAAUAAGAAAAGUGGAGAAAAAUUGGGAAUCAUGAAAAAGUAUGGGUUGGAUUGAGUUUUAUAUUAUUAAAUUUUAUUAUUUUGUGAAAAUUUUGUAAUGUAAAAAAAUGAAAGAGACGUUCAACAAAAAAAAUCGUAAAGAAUGCAGCGGGAGUCUUUUUUCCAACUCCGAAUGGGUCGGGGUCCAAUUCUGAGUGUGCAACCCUCUAAAGCGCCAAAAUAGAUGGUAAUGCAUGAAAGCUUGGUGUUUUUAACUCAACAAUUACUACCAGGCUACUGCCAUUUUGAUGAUGAACUCAUUUUUCUUUACAUUAAUAAGAAUGCUCACUUCAUUACUUCCUUCACAUACCUCCAAUUAAUGUCAUUAACUUGUACUCAUUUCCUUUUCUGCUAAAUGUGAUUAUUAAUAUUAACAAUUAAUAAAACAAAAAUGACUUGAAACUUCCAGGCUCAACGUGUUGUUGACAUAACAUACAAAUGGAAUAGAUAUAAAUUUUUCAGUCCCAUUUUUUGAAAUUGUACCAAGGCAGCUAGCUCUCACUUAAGUCCUCUCUCUGCAUAAAUACAAUUGUGUUAUGUGUAUGCAAACAUCAGACACAGUACUGAAAAGAUUCCUAUAAUAAAUAGUAAUAAAAGCCUCAUAUAACCGAAAUGCUUCAAGAAAUGAAAUGCUCUGCCACUGGUUUGGUGGCACAGUAUAAUCUGAUCAUGGGAGUUACGCUUGUCUCAUUAAUACUCCCUUCUUAUCGCUUUGCUUUUGCUUUAUCUAUCUCUUUCUACGUGCUUCCUCUUCAAUUUUAUUUUCUUUUACUGCUUUACCACAGAUAACGCGUUCUUUGCAUGUCUGUAUUAUUGUUUUCUCAUGUGCGAACAAAUUUAUGUCCUUUCCGGUGUUCUAAAAAUCGGCCUCGACCGAGUAAUUCUUACGAGAGGUUGUACCGAUUAUAAUAUGGAUAAUAGUCCUGGACAAUCGAUUAUUAGCGACAUAUCAUUAGUGAUGAAAAAUAAAUAAUAAAAAUAUUAGGACAGAUGAUUUUUCCGCUGAAAGAUAAUGUAAAUCCUCCUGCUUACAUAAAAAAACUAUAAUUAAUGUCUUUCGGCGGAAAAAGCAUGUUGAUAGUAUGAUGCAUCAUAUGCAUGGUAUUAAUUUUUCGAUAAGAUCUGAUUCUUGAAUUCUACAACAAUGAUACCUGCAGCAACAUUUUAGCUACUUAACUUUAAGAAUGAACUAUAAAUUUACAGUAAUUUGACUAUACGAAAUGACUUGUGUUGAUUUUGGUGUUUGGAAUAUUUUGAAAGAGAAAAAAAAGAGGGAAAAAUAUAGGUGAAGUUGUGCAGAGGUAAGUUGGGGGUUAUAAAUGCAUCUCCUGCCAAAGCUUACUACCAUCUUCUUAAAUAUCACUAGCCCUAGACAAUAUUCUCACAACACUCUCUCCCCUCUCUAAUACUUCCUCUCCAUUCUUUCGAAAAACUCCACAUAUAUCAGUAGCAAUGGGUGUUUUUCAUUCUUGAAGAGUUGGUGUUUGAUGCUAGCUAAUACAUGUUCAUACUUGUGACACAUAUACUAUGAUAUUGGCCGGGCUCACUCAGAUGCGCACAUAUGCACUUGAAUAGUUAUGAACGGUGAGUCUGAUUGAGCCGCGCCAAUAUCUUAGUUUUGUUUCAUUCAAACUUCCGGAAACUCAUCACUAGGUUAAUUGCGUUAUCUAUGUAUAUAUAUUUGUUAAUAUUUACCAAUCAGUUAUAUUUGAUUGGUUUAUAGUUCUUACAAACAAUCACCUCUAUUUUCUAGUUAACAAGAAUAUUGGUUUUUCAGAGACUGGAAAAUGAAUGACCCUUAAUUUUCAUUGCGAGAUGUCCGCACAAAUUUCAUUAUAUUCUCUCGUAUUUUGAUAUCUACUUUUCCAAACAUCACAUUAUGCUAAUUACAAUCAAUAGGAAAAUAGAAGACGGACAUCUGCAUUGUACAACACCAGUUGCUCCUCUAUAUGAUAGUUCAUCAGCUUUGAUUUAUGUCUCAAUUAGUCUUACAAAAAUUUUCAGCAUUCUGGCGCCCGUGUCCAGCGUCUAGCGUCCGGUCAUCUGAUUAUGCAGCAACUUGAAAGUGCUGGUUAGAGGAUCAGGGUGGAAAUGUCAGGUGGUGGUUAAUGUGACAAGGUAUCGGCUGCGGUUAUGGUAAAAAUAUAAUGCUAAAUAACAUUAUACACUUCACUCCAAGGAAACAGGACAAAACCGACCGUGCAAAAGAAAUACCGAAGUGUAAAUGCUACUACACAAAAAUUUACACUUGUAUCAUUGAGCUUCUAGCCUUCGAUCCUACUCGAAGGGUUCAUUAUAGAUGCAAAUCGAGUAGGGUUAAUAUUAAUACUAGUGAAGCAUAGGUAUAUAAGUGAGGCUAAAAUCUCAGCUUUCACUCCAAAAAAUUUCUUCUUUUUUUUUUUGCUAAAUAAAAUUUUCUUUUCUUUUUCUUCCAACUUAAAUUUAUUAAGGAUAAAUUAGGAGAAGAUUAAUAUGAUAGUCCUCUUGAAGUUGCUUUUGUAUAUUCAAAUUUAAGAAAUUAUUAUUAUUUUUACUAUUACAAACGACAUCUGGUAUCUUUAUACUGAACUAGAAUAUGGGGCCGUAAACUUGCUUCUCUCAAGUCUCAUCUGCAUGGGCUAAUUCCUUAGAAGUAAAAAUAAUUUUACCUGUUGUCACAAAAAAAUUACGUACCUUCAAAAAGAGUGAAUUUGAACGUUCUGUUUUCUCAAAAUAUUUUUCGCAACUGCUUUAUAAUUCUUUAAAUACCGUCAAAAACAAUUUGUGUAUGUGAGUAAGUAUGUUAAUUUUUGAAAAAAGUAGGAAAAUUACAUCAUUUUCCAGCUCUAACUUGUUUUUAUCAAUGUGAUAAUCGAUUUAAAGCAAUAUAAAUAUAUUUAUAUCCGAUGAUAAUUUUUAAAAUUAGAUUAUUAUAUAUAGCAAAUAGAAACAACAUGCAAUUGUUAGAAAUUGGAAAUGUAAAAGUUGUUUACUUUGUGUGCAGUGGGAAAAUCAUAAUCUAAAAAUCGAGAUCGGCUAUAUUAUUGUGUUAACGUGGUCUUCUGCCUGCAAAGGACAGUGGCUAAUUUGUAGCAUUCAAUAAGGCGUGUUCGUAAAUUACAGAAACGAUUACAUAUUAUGUGUGAACAUCAGACUAUUAUUGCGCAAAGUCAUGUAAACAGCCAAACUAUCAUCGAUGAUUGUAUAUUCAUUAUGUUACACUUCCCUUGACAGGUCAUAAGCACAGUACUGUUUUUGAUUCUUUUGUCGAUUGCUUCUCGUAUCAAAAAUCGAACCGAACCGAGAGAUCGAAGUAUACGCAUGUUUUAAAGACGAAGCCAAAAAUGGUCCGGUCUGUCUUCGGAUGACAAGUCUAUUAUUCUUGGAUGUCAAUGCUUUUGUUCUGAUUUCUGUCUUGGUCCACCCCCGAAUUCAAGCGGUUAGACCUUACGAAAUCGACAUUAUGCGAAAAAGAAUCUGAAUUUAACCAACUGUGAUAACAUGAGUUUCCUCUUGAGGGUAAAACUAGAAAUCAGUGAUUUCGCUUGCAAUGUACUCCCUCCGUCACCCUCAUUUGUUUACAUUGAGGGACGGGAGUUCGACACGCAUUCUAAUGCUCUUGUAAAACAUAGUUCGAUAAAUUAUUUUGAACUUUUUUUUCAUCUAAAUAAAAAAAUUUGAUGUUUAAAUUUUUAUAAAAAAAUAAAAUUUUUUAAAAUAAAUCAUAGAACUAUGUUUUUUAUACGCCUUAUAAUCCAUGUCGAGUAGUGUGAAAAAAUUAUAAAGAAAUGAGAGAAAGAGCAGGUCAUGCUUUCGGUCGGCUAUCAUGUUUUACACUUACUAGUUACUACUAUGAUUUUGUGUUCAUAUGCUUAUCUGUUUCUGAUGUACUGAGGUUGACCUUGGGGUGUGGCUAAGAUUACAAGAAAAUCAUUAUAAAAUUAGGAAUAUUUUUGUAAAAACAGGAGUGGAUUUUAUAUUUACGGAUUCAUCUUUAAUUUGUUAAAAUAUUGCCUGACCUCGGGUUAGCUUCCUGUGAGCACUUUCGGGCCAAUUUUCUUUUAAUUAAAUCAUUAAAAGUGAUUAUAUUGUAAGCAUGAUUAGAUGAGUGUUCAUAUUUGAGAGAAAUAAAAUCUAGUUAUAUGAUUAUUUUAAUUAUUUUAGUUUAGAAGUCAAUUGUUGCUAGUAUAAAAAUAUUUUUUAUAACACAACUACAAUAUCGGUAGUAUAGAAUACGGACACUCUUUUAUAUUAAAAAUGUCGAUUCUUAAUAUAACCAACAUCAUAGAUACUUAUGAUAGAUUAAGAGUAUCGGUUCUAGCGUUCUACACUUAACCUAAAGUAUAAAUGACUAUUACGUUCUUGAGUGGUUUAUUUAUAUUGUGUUUAUUUCAUCGACGCUGUAAAGCGGGUUAUAUACAUCGGCCAAUUAAUUUCAUUGACUUUGUAAAGUAAUUUAUUUAUAUUAGGUUUGAAUUCGAUGUUAUAUAUCAAAUUUAGUGGUGGGCAUAUUUGACUAUGAUAAAUAAUUUAAUAAAGUUGAAAAUAUUGAAAUUAGAUAUAUAGGGAGUGUUUGAAAACGCUUAUAAGUAUUUUCGGACUUUGUUUUAACACUUUAAAAUAUUUCUACUUUUUACGUAGUAAUUGGCAAAAGAAGUUGAAAUUCUUAUUUUGAAUUUUUUAAGUCAGAAUCUCAAAGUUAGAAAUGUUGACUUUUCUGGACUUUUUUUAAUGAUUUGCAUUUUAUUAUGAAAUUUUUAAAUUUUAAUAUAUAAUAAAAUUUAUUUAUUAAUUAAGUUUCUUUUAUUUCAAAAUUUUAAUAUUUUUAAUUUAUAAAUCUAAAUUAACAAACACUUAAUUAACUAAUAAUUAAAAGUCAUCCAAAUAUUUUUUAAUAAAUUACAAACCAAGUUCAACUCUCACUUUUCUUUUUCUUUUUUUUUUAGAAUGAGUUCAACUCUCACUUAUAAAUUAUAAUCAGACUUUGUUAAUAUAAUCGAUAAAUGAAUUUUUCGAACUCAACCCAACCAGCCCCGUAAUCUCCCAUUACCCAGCUCAGUCGAUACCCAGUCUUCGACUACCAGUCUCCCGAGCAAUCUGUGGUGCAUCGAGACAUCAAAUCCAGCAAUAUAAUCACAAGUAACGCCCACUUUACCGAAUUUACAAGUCACGGUGAGCAGGUUUAGGGGUAAUUCGCCCAAUUGAAGUCACUCUGCUAUUUAGGGUUUGUUUUCAUUCUGCUCUGCUCUGUUUAUGAAUGUAUUUAGGGUAUGUGGUGCUUCAAUUGAUUAUAUAUGUGCUUUCAAUUUGUGUUGUUUUGUAAGCUACUGUUUGAAUAAAUUCUAAUAAACAUCUACUGGAGUUCUGUAACUUGUCUCCAGUAUUGUCAUGGUAAAACCAUUACGAAACUUAUAUUUUCUCCCUAAAAAUCUUCUAUAAAGCCUGAAAUUACUAGGAAGUUGAGGAAUAAAAAUACAUAUGAGGAGCAAAUAGAAGGAAAACUUGAUGCAACUCGUAUGGUAAAUAAGCAGCCCAGCGGUGGACAAUGGACAUCACAGCCUUAACUUAAUUAUAACCACGACAAAUGUUUCUGUGCAGCUGCUCUUCGAUUGAACACAGUUUGGUUAUGUGUAUAACUUCUAUGUUCACUGAAGUGAAAUUUUUAUCCAAAUAAGAUCUAUAAAUAACAUUGAAACCCAUUCUAUUCUAUCUUCACCAAAUCACCAGUAACACUGUAAAAGAGGUCAUGCAUUCUGGAGGAUCUCAGAGCUCUGCUUUUAAGCUAAUGUUUUUUUCUGCAAAUUUUCUCUUGUUUUUUGAAACUGAUUAGACCUAAAUGAGAAAUUUAUAAGUGGAGUUUAGUACGUAAUAGAGCUUAAUUUGAUACAGUACUUUUUAGGUGAAAAGGAUGUAAUUGUCUGUAAAUUGGUUGUGCCUCACUAAGUUGUCUGUUGGCUGCAAUUAUAUACGGCUCUGUUAUACAAUGAGUUCUUAGCCUGCAAAAUGAAAAUGACACACAUUAAGCCCUGAUAUCACUGUUUAUACUUUAUACCUUAUACACACUGAACAUUAAAUAGUAAGUUAUAAAUCAGCAAAAAAGUAACGAUAGUGGUCAGAAAUUAAGCAGAACAACCAUAAUUCUCUCCCUCCCUCCCUUCCCCUCUCCCCUCCCUCCCUCAUAUUUAUUGAUAUGUUUGUUUUUAUGAUUCAUCACAUGCAUAUAUGUAUCAUUACUUGAACUGUAUAUAUCUACACAUGCUCAUUAAUUAAUGUUCUAUUAUUGUUUGUUUGAAUAUAUGCUUCAUUCUUGUUUGAUUUGAUUGAAAAGUUUCCACCUUUAUCUGAUGUUUUAAUACGAGGAUGCCCUUUUUUUUGUGUCUCAUUCACAGAUCUGUACUAUUGUUGUUGAGUAGUAAAGAAACUAUUCAUGGAGUAUUGUUUUUGCAUUUUUUGAAGACUAUAGUUUCAUGAAUUAGCUCAUAAUAAGGUAAUGCUCUUAUUUGACCUUCUGGCAAUAUAAUAUAUCCUGUUUAUGUUCUUAUGUUGCAUAAACCCUCUUAAUUUACUCCCUUUUAUUAAUUUUCCAUGAGUAAUAUCUGUAUCUUUAUUGAUACAGGGCAUAUCGUUGUGAGGUCGGCCUAAAGUUUUCAUUUUGCAGACACUUUCACACUUAUCAGUUAUCAGGUUAGACUUUUCACUUUUAUCCAUCUGUCUGUGCUAAUUAUUUAAUUGGUUCUUUUUAUCAUAUUUGAAUUUAUGAUUUGAAUUUUUGGUUGAAUAUACCUGCACUAUUGAUUUUGCGUUUAAUAUUUGGGGGAUUUUUUUUUUAAAAAAAAAUUGUGUCUCCUUUUUCCAAGGAUCAUUGGUGAAAUUAAAUGAUAGUUUAUGUAGCUAGAUUAAUUUGCAAAGUAUAAAUCUUCACUCAUCUGGGCAGAUUUUUUUUUUUUUAAUUUUAAAUUUUCUCUUCAAUUGUCACAGAUCUUGUUUAUAGCUUUUUUUUUAAAACCAACCAACAGCUAUUGCUAUUUGGAACCAAAUGUGACAAGUACAAUGGAAAAAAUUGUCAAUGUAGGUGAAACAGGCGGUAAAGAAUUAAUGGAAAGCUAAAAGUGUCUUGGUGAAAUCAUAGUUGUUGAGAUUCUUAUCUGUUCUGUUAAAGUUACAGUUGAAAUGUGUCUAUUGCCAAUUAUGCGUAGUGCUGUAGUCUAAUCUCACAGCACCUUCUCAAACUAUUUGAUUGCUAAUUUGUUAAAUGAAUUUAGUUAUUGUAUAAUCAUGGCUGAAGCAGCUCAACCUGAAAGGUAGACAUACAUUUUAUACGGAGAUGAUUCCGUUGAACUAGACAAAAGACCCGUGUGUGCCCUGUGGGAGGAUAUCUGUUAAAGAUGCUUGGGAUUGCUUCCCGAUUUCCAGUUGGGAGUGCCUCUCUUAAUUUUGACACAAGGUCCUUGACGUGAGGCACACACUGACUUGUGAGGUUUGAACUUGGAGGAGUGCAGGAAAAUAGUUAAUACAAAGUCAGGAACAAGCCUUGUGUAGCAUUGAACUUGUAUUUCUGAAACACAUUCAGAUCACUAGAUUGUAUAUACGUUUUUUCAGUUUAAGUAUCAUGACACUUUUUUUCUGAAUUUAUUAUUAUAAAGUGUUUGCAAGAAGUGAUUGACCUGAGUUUUAUUACCACUCAAUUGCCUAAGUCCAUAGUCUCGAAGACUUGGAGAUAGUUUUUGAGCAUAGCAUAAAUAUGGGGGUUCGAUCAUCAGUCGCUUGUUGAUCCACUAGCAGUAGUAUUCUUUAUUAGUAGCGGACUUGAGGUUGAGGAUAGAGUCGUCAGUGGAGUCGUUGCACAUACACGUACCUAAAUUCUUGCAAAAGGCCAUUUCCCUAUAAAAGAAUGUGGACCAUAAACAGUUGUGCAUUAUCAUACAAACAUCUCAUCUCCUUUAGCAACUGUUGGUCCAUAGUUGAAUUGUUCACUAAUUACUAUAUGGUCAUCUGUUUCAGUGAUGAAACGGGUAGACUUCCGUUUUAUAAUCCUAUUUUCAGCAUUUCUUCGAAUCUUUCUAAUUAUAUAUGGAGAAUGGCAAGACACUCAUAUGGAGGUUAGAUACACAGAUGUCGAUUACUUUGUCUUUUCUGAUGCUGCGGCGCUAGUGGUUUCAGGAGUCUCUCCUUACAAAAGGUCUACAUAUCGAUAUUCACCCUUAAUCGCAUAUCUUCUCACACCAAAUUCAAUAGUUCACCGGUCAUGGGGAAAAGUUCUCUUCUCUAUUUCAGGUAUCCCUUAUGUUUUACACUAAUUACAAUGGAUCUGUCAAUAUUUUCUCUUUUUGUGUUUAUUUUUUUUUCAUAUUUUAAAUAUUAAAUCGUAAAUAAACAAGGACAGAGCAAAUUGACAAAAGGCAUUCAUUUUAAUCUAUAUUGGUAACAAGUCAAUACCUUUUCUUUUGGUCUUAAUUUGUUCUCUUUUCUAUAUAUAAUUUGUAUGAGACCAUCUGAAAAUACUAACUGUGUUAUACUUGUUUUGAAGAUCUGCUUGUGGGAUAUUUUAUCCGGUCAAUUCUGAAGCUACAAGGUGUUUCUGAUGAAAUAUGCAUCUACUCCGUAAUGGUAUGGCUUUUUAAUCCGUUCACCUUCACAAUUGGAACCCGUGGGAAUUGCGAGCCUAUUAUAUGUGCUAUGGUUUUGUGGAUUAUUUUAUGUCUCUUGAAAGGUAUUUCAUCUUCUUUGUAAUGACUUCCCCAAUCUACUUGUCCUUUGUGUUUUUUGUUGCUUUGUUAAUUAAUUAAAAUGUGGACAACUCAAGUCCUUGUAAAAUAUAAUCUUCAUUGGGUUGCUGACAGAACUUACAGUUAAAAGGAAGAAAGGAAGCCAUGCAAAAUAAAGGAUAAUAUGCACCAACUUUUGUCAAUAUAUAUGUAUGAAUUCCUUAAGACAUUAAUUUUUUAAUGUGUUGGUAAAAUCACAUGCCCUAAUUUUACCUGGUUAUACAAUUUGUACUGUUUUGAAAUGUAUGAAACUUUUGAACGAAACGGUGCCCUCGGUGUGCAAGUGAAGCAUGGUUUUGAAUUUGCCAGUGACAAGUUGGGAGGACUCCAUAUUGUUAAAAUAUAUUGCUGAGCCCCCACCCACCCACACACACACACAACACACACAGAAUUAUCUCUUGUUACUUCUAGGCAAUUUGUGGUUAGCACUCCCAGUACUAGUCACAUUUCACGUAAAUUGUAUUAGGCUGCUCCUCAAUAGUUUUCUCUUGAGUUACGACAUAUUGUUCUUCAUUCUACAGGCAAGUUGUUACAGGCUGCAUUUUGGUACGGUCUUGUUGUCCACCUGAGAAUAUAUCCUAUUAUUUAUGCACUUCCAAUCGUCUUGGCCCUUGAGCCUUGCAAUUUUCAAUCUGGUAAAAGGCUUAUCCUUCGAAAAUGGAGUUCUAGAGAUAUUAAGGCAGCGCAGAGGUCAAGUACCAAGAAUGUAUCUGACCUAGUUCAGAAAUUGGGAGUUAUUGCAAGGUUGCUCACUAAAGAAAGAAUUCAGUUUGGGCUUCUCUCAGGGACUGUUUUCUUCUUUUUUACAGGAAUUUUCUUUUACCUGUAUGAAUUAGAGUUCUUGCAUGAAGCCCUAUUAUACCAUCUUACACGUACGGAUCCGAGGCAUAACUUUUCUAUAUACUUUUAUCACAUAUAUCUCCAUUAUGAGCGAGAGUUUUCACUUCCAGAGAAGCUUGUCUCUUUUCUGCCUCAAGUUAUAGUGCAGCUUGUUCUCAUAUCCCGCUUUAGGAAGGAUUUGCCUUUCUGUUUCUUCUUGCAAACUGUGGCUUUUGUAGCUUUUAACAAGGUUUGUUAUCUAUAACUCAUAAGUUUCUGAAUCUGUUAUAAUCAGUCAUUUGUCAGCUCGAGUUAUUUGAAGGAAUCUUGAAUUUUGAGUCUACAAAAGCUACACACCCUUGUGUGAACAUAAAGUCCUUGUUGUGCUUCAAAAUCAUGUAAGCAGGCAAAUCAGUCUCUUGGAUUAAUUGAUUCUGAAUUAUACCAUUUUCUCUGACAGGUCAUAACAGCACAGUACUUUGUGUGGUUCUUUUGCCUAUUGCCUCUAAUACUCCCUUGGAGUAAUAUGAAGCCAAAACAAGGCUUAGUAUGCAUUUCUCUGUGGGUUGGAGCACAAACACACUGGCUACUGUGGGGCUACCUUCUUGAGUUUAAAGGCAAGCAAGUUUUUUUGUGUCUCUGGGUGGCAAGUCUAUUAUUCCUGGCCGCCAAUACUUUUGUCCUCAUUUGUGUCAUCACCCAUCAUACCUGUUCCCCGUUAUUCAGACCCUUGGAACAUGUGAAUCGAACGAAAUCAGCAAAAUACAAGCAAUGACCUGGAUCACAAUCUUAACCUGUAUUAAUGAUUUACUAUUGAUUUUAGAAACCCAAUUUUGCUUGAAUUAUAGUUUUUUAGUGUCAAAGUGUCAUUCUUUGAGUUGUAUACAGUGGUAGCGUAAGCCGUCAGGCCAGUUUUGUAUGAUUGUAUAUCUACUAGAUAUUAUGAUGAAGUAGUGUUGAAACUUUAUUAUAACAAGAAACUUGGAACAUGAAUUUGUGAUGAAAAUGCUUUGAUAUCAUAAGAUAAAUCAUUUUCUGGCAGUCUGGCUGAUUAAAGGUCGCUAGUUUUGGUUGCUUCCCUAGAUAAAUUGAUCCCCUACUCCAUUAUCCCAUGUGGUUUACGCCAUACGUACAAUGUGGUGGUAACGGAUAACCCAGUGUCAAAGACAUAUUUAUCCGUGUAAAGACAUAUUUGCGGCUUGUAAGAGCAAGUCUAAUAGGUUACCUAAACUUGCUCUUAAACUUACAUUUAGGUAAUGUAUUAAAAACAAGCACUCCAAUACUAAAUCACUGACACAACCUCAAAUAGCCAUUAUUUAUUUAUAGGUAAUCCCUAGCCAUUACCUAUAUAAUAUUUAUGAAUAAAACAAUCAUUUCUCUCCUUAUUUCUUUGUCUUUUCCCUCCUCCCCCAAAUUUAUUAUUAAAAUAAUCUUAGGAGAACAAAUACAAGGAUUGCUAUUGGAAUUGAAACUAAAAUAAAUUACCUAAAUCACUAAGACUCACUAUGAUUCAUUAUUUUAUAUUAUUAAUAAGUAAUGAGAUAAGUAACCUAUUCAACUCGCUCUACAAGGUCAAUUGAUUUGUUUACAUCAAAAGGUUACAAGGCGGCAAAAAUAGGGAAUUGAAAAUAAUUAAUUGAUAUACCGAUUCAGUGAUUGACAUACCGAUUCAGUAUUUGGAGAGAUUUAUCUGAUUUUUUGAAUAAAUCAGAGAUUUUUAUUCAAAUCGAAAUAUAAUUGAUAAAUUAAUAAAAAAAAUUAUUAGAAUUAAUCGGAGUUUGGAGUCACCAUGUUAUAAUAUUGGCAAAUGGAUGUUUCUUAAUGUGACACCGGACCAAACAUUUGGCAGAAGACCGGAUGGUGAGAAAGUCUAAACUGCGGGAGGGCGCACAGUACCGAAUGUGCCCAACUGAGUAUUAGUUUUUCAUGUGCAGAACAGAUGAAUGUUAUCAACAACUCAACAUAGUCGGGAAAGAAUGGUGAUAGGAGUAUGAUGUAAUAUGAGCCUAGACUCGGACUCUUCCUGUUAUAGUACAGUGAGAUAUAUCUCUUUAAUUCCGGGAUCUUGGAUAUAAACUACUCCCUCUGUCCCUCUCAUUUCUUUACGGUUACUAUUUUGGGAUGUUCCCUCAUUUAUUUACAUUACUAUAAAUAGUAAGUUUUUCUCAUCAUUACACCCACUAUCUUCUUCCACUAUCUCAUAUUUAACAAUAAAAAUUACUAUUACACCCACUACUUUCCUCCACUAUCUCGAAUCUAUUAUUAAAUAUUGAUAGGUCCCACUACUUUACCCACUUUUCAUCUAACUUUACUCAAUUUUCAUACAUGUCUUGGUCUCCGUGUCCCCCUCCAAUGUAAACAAUUGAGGGGGACGGAGGGAGUAGUAAUGAAUGGCACCAAGGUGAGCGAAAACCCGAAUAAAUUCGAAACAGAAAUCGCGAAAAAUUGUAAAAAAUCAAACCGAAAUCGAAAAUAAAAAUUUAAAAACCGAACUGUGUACGUGUGUGCAAAGUAUAACGAAUUAAUUUAAACCAAGCAAUUAAUCCGAAAUCAAAUCAGAAUUAAUUUCCUGCAUUCGUGUCCGCAGGUCGCGCGGAAAAGCCCGAGGCUUGCGAAGCCACACACGCGGGAAAAGCCCGAGGCUUGCGAAGCCACGAAAUUUCCCUCGAAAUCCCACAAUUUGCACCCCUGCGCGCACGUAGGUGGUGGAGCACUAAACAUAAGUUAAACACCUCAUAUGUGUUCUAAUAUAUAAAGCCAUGGAAGGCCCAUUUUCUUUUCUAUGUGGGACACUAGUUUCUUUUCCAACUUUCCACUUCUAAGGAAGCAACUUUGGAUCAUCACAACUCAUCCAUUCCUUAAUCAUUUUGAGUGAAUAAACAUGCAUUGGAAAGUUCUCUCGGAGGAGAACAUAAUCCAAGCAUAACCCGCCACGAACACGUAACUGAGCCUUACUCAAAUUUGUGCUCAAAAUGACAAACUUCCAACAAAAUAUAACAACUGCUAUUUGACAUCUUGUGCCUUGCUAUAUUAACAAAGCAAACAUGCCAUUCAUCAUAGUUGAAGUACGAAGCACUUUUUAAGAAACGGAAUUCUGUGAGUAGGAGCCUUAAAAUUUGAAUGCUUUAGUUGUACCAGAAUGUCACUUAUUUUUAUUUAUAAAUUAUAAAAAGGUAACUCUGUGCUCCCCAAACUGAUGUUUAGUUCUAUGUUUCGGGGUGGGAGGUUUCUUAGUUAAUUUUAUUCUUAAUCUCUAUUGCAAGUGUACGAUAAACAUGUUGUCUCCUUGUGAAAUUCUUAACAAAGCUUCACCUGGUGUUGGAGCUUCGACUCGGAUGAACUGAUUUGUGUUGGAGCUUCACUUAGUGUUGAAGCUUUUCAUGCGAUUUUUAACCGAAACUGAACCAAGAGAAACCGAAUUCGAGGUUUUGAAAUCGAAACCGACAAUGAGAUUAUGGUUGAGAUUUUUUAUUUUUAAAACUGGGGACAUGGGGUUCAGGUAAAAUCGCACCAAACUCACAUCCGCUCUCCCCUAAAUGACAUGACUCUAGCUAUUGGGUGUCGCAAAUUGAUGAUAAACUCGAUUUUAUAUGGAAAAUGUCAGGUACCUCAACAAAAAAUAUUCAAAAAAAUUCCAAAUUUCACGUAUCAUUUUGCAAUUGGAUAUUGAGUCAUUAUUUAAUGGAUCUGCAUUUAGAUCAAUCUCAUCAAUAUAAUUAUCUCAAAUUAAUGUAUCCUAAAAUAUUUUUGAAAAAAUAAUUUGAAUUAUCUAGUAUAGUCCAUUUUAUAUUUUAAAAAUAACAAGAAUAGUUAAAAUUUGUAUAGCUCAGAUCCCGAAACUAGGUGGUCCAAUAAGUGGGAAUAAUUGAUUAUUUAUGUCUGCCACAAAUCUUGGUAACCAUAUGCCAUACAUAGGCAUGUUUGAAUGCUGCUUUUCGCCGGUUUUGUUUUUACAAUUUAGAAUCAGUAUCCUUGUGUAAAGAAGUGAUAGAGAUCAACAUGUGGUUUAUAAAUUAAAAUUUGAUAAGUUGGAAAUUCUAAAAUUUUCAAUUGUUUAUUUUCAAAUAAUAAAUUAAUCACAAUAAAAAAAUUGUUUAUAAUAUCUUAUAAUAAUAAUAGUAAUAGUAAUAGUAAUAGUAAUAAUUUCUAUAGCUAAGAAGUUGUAGAGAUAAAAUAAUUUAUAUAAACAUAUAAAACAAAAAAUUAUUUCUUUUAUUAAUAACAUUUCACUUAUAAGCAAUAAGAACUACUUAUAAGUUAAACCAAACAGCCUUCUGGCUUCCCACCGUUCUAAAUUCUGUUUAAGCAGAUUUUUUUGGCAGCAAAUGUUUUCAUGCUUUUUCCUCUUUCACUUUCAUUUAAGAAUAACCUAAAUCCAUCCAUCUUAAAAGAAGUAGAACUUCUAAUUUUUAUGUGCAUCACGAGAUGUAAUAAUCUUUUAAAAUUUUCUGAAUUAAAAUCCUAUAUUUUUAUUUUAUAAAAUAAAAAAAUAUAUAAAAAAAUGAUCGGAACGGAAAUAGCCCUAGUUACCUAGGUGCAGUACUGAUACUCCCUCCGUCCCCCUGAGUAGGAUACAUUGGGGGACGGAGACGCGGCACGGAUUUUAAUGCUCCUCUAAAGUGUAGUUGUGUAAUAUAUUUUUAAAAUUUUUUUUUUUUGAAUUAAAGUUUGGAUUUUAUAUUUGAAAAAGAAAAUCUCAAAAAUAAAUUACGGAACUAUAUUUCAUAAGAACAUUGAAAUACGUGUCGAGCAGUUGAAAAGAAACGUACACUGUUAGAUGGCAUAGAGGGAGUACUACUUUUGACUUAAUCGACUUGUAAAUGGAGAAAUGACAUCCAAUAUCCAACAUCACUGCAGAGCUGAUACUACUGUUUAAUACUCCAUUUGAUAUGACCGAGUACUGUUUGAAUCCUGCUUUAGUGCUUUAACUUCGUUUUCAAAAUCACAAAAGCAAAAGCCAAAUCAAAUCACACUUUAUUUUAAUCCAUUUUUAUCUUACCAAAGGGGAUGCUCUUGCAAACUAAAUAUUUGCAAUCCAAACCUCUGAAUUUUCGUUCAAAAAUGAUAUUGUACUCAUAAUUUUGUAAACUUAAAUCGCACUCCUUAUAUUUAUAUUUCAAAAACGAUACUCACCCCCUCCGUUAAAUUCUGUUAACUUCUAUUAAAAUAUCUCAUUCGUCUCAAUUUAUAUGUCCCUUUUACUUUUUGAGGAGUCAAAUUGACUAAUUUUUAACCAACUAUUAGAAAGCAUUUAUUUAUUAUUUUAGGAAAUCAAAAGUUACAUAUUAAAAUAGACUAGAUCUACUUUUUGAUGAUAUUUUUUAAAAAAAAUUUGUUCAAUUUUUCAAAGAGAAUAAAUUAAAAUUUAUAUAUUUUAUUCAAUAUAUAAAUUUAUGUGUUAUUUAUAAUAAAUAUCACAUAAUAUUUAUUUUUUAUAUUUAAAAUAGUGUAUAUUUUAAGUACUUAAUACACACACACUAAAAAUUUAAAAUUAUUUGAUAUGUAAAAUUAUUUUGACUUGGGGAUAGCUUAAUUAAACAAAAAUUUAAAAAAAAAUAACGUCAAAAAGUAAAUCUAGUCUAUGUUAAUAUGUAACUUUCUAUUUUCUAAAAUAAUAAAUAAAUAUUUUCUAAUAGUUGGUAACGAAAUUAGUCUAUUUGACUUCUCGAAAAACAAAAAUGACAUGUAAAUUGAGACGGAGGGAUAUUUUAACGGAAUUUAUCGGAGGGGUGCGUAUCGUUCUUGAAAUGUAAAGAUAAGAGGUGCGAUUUGAGUUUUCAAAAGUAUGGCUGCAAUAUCGUUUUCGAACGAAAGUUACAGAGUUUGAAUUGCAAUUAUCUCUUAAAAUAAUAUGAAAUAUUGAUAUAUUAAAUUUAACCUGCGAGAUGUUGUGUUUGUGUCCAUAAUCAUAUCAAAUCAUUCUGCAAAUGAUUAAAUUGAAUUUUAGCCCGGUCAAAAUUGAAUAAAAUAUAAUCCAACAAUUUCAAUUUUUUCUAACUGUAUUUUGAACAUCCCCGCUUUGAAAAUUAUGUUCUAUAAUAUAAUUUAAAAGUUCAAAAAUUACUUUUAUAAAUUGAGAUACACGAUGUGCAUGUUUGGGGAAGGGCAAUUCCGGCUUGUUUUGACAAGGAGGCAUUUCUACUUUUCUUGACCGUUUGGGUAAAAAAUGAGAAGUAUUUAUGAAAAACUAAGAAUGCUAAGUUUUGUUUCAGGAUUUCUAAUUUUUUUCCCAGACAGUUUACUCACUUAUAAGUUUAAUUAUUUCUCACUUCUGAUCAGCUUCUUUACUUUAAAGAAGACAUACUUUUCUUAAGUUUACUCAAACGGCCCCUUCGUUCUAGUAUAUAAUUUAAUGAUUGUUAAAAUCGAUAAAUGUUAACGAUUAAUUGAUAAUGAUGUUUAAGGUACACUAUAAAUUAUAAAUUACAUAAGAUAAUCAAACAUCAAACAUAUUAAUUAUAAUUAAAUUUAAAAACUAUAAACAAUGUUUCUCUAGCUUAAAAACGAAUUUUCACAUAACCCAACUCUACAGCAAUAUUAAUAAGAAAAUAAAUUAUUUAAAAUUUUAGGAUCAAGAGAGGAAGAGGUUCGACAAAUAUAAUUAACAUCAAUAACAAAAAAUAGUAAAGUUUAGAUAAGAAAAAUAUGUGUUGGGGUGGGGACUUUUUUGUACAUAGUCAAUUAUUUUUAUUUAAUAAAUUUUCUUGUCCAUUUUAAUUAAAUUUAUAGUGUCUUGGAGAUGCCGUUAGACUUUGUUAUUUUAAAAUAUUAAAAAUGAAAAAGGUUUUUUCGUCAGAAAUAAAAAUCAAGAAGUUAAAUUUUAACAAAAACUAAUAUUCUUACAACUAUUCAUAAUUGUGUUUGAUGAGCAGUGUUAUAGAAAUCGGAAAUUGAACAUAAUCGGCUGAGCUACCGACUCAGGGAUUAAUUGGAAAUCGGAGAUUAAUCGGAGUGAAAAUCAUAUUUAUUUUAAUAUUAAAAUAGUAUUUAGUUAUUAUGAUAUUAGCUAUUUAGUAACUAAUAUAUUUACUAUAUUCAUAAACUCUCCAAUUAUUCAUAUUUAAAGUAAUAUAGUAUUUUACUUUUAAUAAUUUAUCAUAUACACUUCGAUUAAAAAAUAUAUAUAAAAAUAAAUCGGAUUUCAAAAAUCCCGUCGAUAAAUACCCGUUGUUUCUAAAAGAUUUGCCAUCUACAUCCCUGCCUCCCAAAAAAGUACUUCCCCCCGUCUCUAAAUACUUUUCCUGUUUGUACUUUCACGUUUGCCAACACACACUUUUGAUCGUUAAUAUUUUUCAUUUCAUAGUAGCAUUAAAUAUAAAAAUUUCACCGUAUUAAAGUACUCGUGAAUACGAAUCUAACAAGAUCACUCAUGACUAUAUUUAGUUUUGUAGAUUAGAUGUAAAUUGGUAAUUUAUCUCUUGUUAUGAACAGUACCGACAUUACAAACAGGAAAAGAAAAAAGAAACGGAGGGAGUAUAAAAGUCCAGCAAAUUCCCACAAAACACAAUUACAGAAAUACCUAAAAAGAAAAAUCCCAAUAAAAUAAAAUAAAUUUAUACAGAAACAAAACAAAAGAGGCGGGCCCACAGAAACGAGUAAAGCACGGGGAUGGGCGUAACUGCAUAAGUGAACUACAAAGUCCAGAAGGAAAAAAGAAGAUGCUCCGGAUAUUCCCUCUUACAAUCACUCAUCUCCCAUCCCCAAUCCAAUCCCUUUCCCUAUUCGAUAACUCAUUAUAAUAAUCUUAUUAUUAUUAUUAUAUUACUCAUCUCUUUUUCUCCCUUUAUAAAUUCGAUUAUUUUCAUUCAACCCCUCCUCAAAAACACACACAAAAAACACACACAAACCUUAAUUAAGACAACUGAACAUGCCGCUUUCAACUGACUCCUCAUCGUCUAUGAAUCAACAACAACAACUGCUGGAUAAACUCAAAGUCUUCAAGAUCCAAGGCCGUGACAAACGUGGUCAUAUCAUCCUUCGCAUCCUCGCCAAAUUCUUCCCUGGUAAUUAUUUUAUUUUAUUUUAUUUUUGUUUAUCACAUGCAUGGGCACCAUGUUUUGUAUUCGAUUAAUUUUUUUUUUGAUUUAUUAGCUCGAGAUGUGAGCGUUGACGGGGUGAACAAAUACUUGGAAGACAAGAUAUUCCCGGAGCUUGAGAAACGCUCGUUUUCCGUUCUUUACGUCCACACCGACGUCGAAAAGAGCCAGAAUUUCCCCGGAAUCUCCGCCCUCCGAUCGUUUCACGACGCGAUUCCGGCCACCGUCAUCAACAAUCUCCAGGCUGUCUAUUUUCUCCACCCGGGACUUCAGUCCAGGCUCUUUCUCGCCACUUUUGGCCGCUUCAUGUUCUCCUCAGGGUACGUGAAAUAAUUGUUUUCACGCUAAAAUUGUUCUCGACUUUUUCAAAUUAAUCACACCUAAUUUUCUCUGAAUUAAUUUAAUCAUAUUUGUUAAAAAAAUAUUAGUAAAUAUUAAUGUUAUGUUUUUCGAAAUUCUGAUUCCGUCAGUUACGAAAGAUUUUAAUACGGAUUGAUUUUGUUUUGUACAGGUUGUAUGGGAAACUGAGGUAUGUGAGCAGAGUAGAUUACUUGUGGGACCAUGUAAGGAGGAACGAGAUUGAUCUCCCAGAGUUUGUGCAUGAUCAUGAUGAAGAUCUUGAGUACCGUCCGAUGAUGGACUAUGGAUUGGAAAGUGAUCAUCCGAGGGUGUAUGGUGCGCCUUCAGUGGAUUACUCCCCUUCCACUUACUCCACCAGGUGUAUUUCGUAGUUGGGGGAUGGGACGACGUCGUUUUGAAGUUGCCUGCUUUGAAUUUUGUUGUUAUGGUGGUUUGAAGCUUUAUGGGAAAUAUAGUGAAUGUUAGGUUGUGAAAGAUAGUAAAAAACGAAGUUUGGAAGCAAAGAGAAAAAUGGAAUGCUUCUUGUAGUAUAGUUUUGUUUUCGUAAAUUAAUUUCAUAGUUUUUGUUCAAUCUUUUUAUGGAAUGGUUAUAUACUCGAAUAAAUAUUUCUUUUUUAAUAUCAUUACUAAGAUUUCAUUGGGUAAGCCAAUACACAAUAACUUGUGAAGCUAUAUCAGAUUAUCGAAAAAAUUGAGAAUCGGAAUUAAUAUGAUUUAUGAUUUAUUGGAAUUUUGUCGGACAUUUUAUUAAGAGCAAUGCUAGGUACCCCAAAAGAUUUAAUCUACAAGGGGCCUCAUUAUUUUGGGAGUAAAUGCAACCAAUCAGGAUUAGACACCUCAUUUGGGAAAAAAAUUUGGGACAAUUUUUUGAGGUCCCUAACAUUUUUCUUUUAUUAAUGAAUAGAUAAUUUUUAGUUAAUCAAAAUAUAAAUCGAUGAACAAUUGAAUACGUGCCGAAUUUCCGUCCCCGGUAAACAAUUGAGGGACGGAUCACGGGAGGAGUAUAUUUUUGGCCAAUGAGUAGUGUCCACAAUGUUGUGAUAACUGAUAACGGCAUAACGCUAACUUCUCAUACAAAUAUACAUUUUUUUGACUUUUUUUUUUUUUACAGAUACAUAUUUUUGACUUUGAAAGUUCAAAAUGAUACAAAACAGGCUCUCGUUCAAAAAGUGAAAGCUGGGUCAUCAUCAAAGCAUUAACCCUAUCACUAAGCAAGUGGUAUGAAUGUCAAUAAAAUUAUCUAGCAAAUGAAACAGAUAAUUCAGAUUCAGAGUACUAGUCAUACAAUCAAGCCUUACCGUAGAAAAAAAAAAAUGAAUGAUAAAUUAACAUUGUGGAUUGAACGAGAAACCAAAAAUUUCAUUGACAUUCAUUGUGGAUUAAAAAAAAAAUGAAUGAUAAAUUAACAUUGUGGAUUGAACGAGAAACCAAAAAUUAUCACUAAGCAUUAACCCUAUCACUAAGCAUUAAAAAAAUUGAUGUAAAACAAAAACAAAAAUAUCAAUUUCAUAAACAAAAGAAAGACAUCACAUCGAUUCUCAUAAAAGAAUGAUGUAAAACGUUACGAUACACAUCAGUUUCACAAGUCUUUCGAUAUUAAUAUACCGUUCUAUUAUAUAAUGAUAUUGAUGACAUACGAAUGAAGAACUGAAAUUAUAAUAAAGGUAUAUACUUUUAAAGUGGCUAGAUUAAAGUUGCGAAUAGACAUAAUGAAAUUUAAUUUUCAAUAAUAACAAAAUAGUAUUCUCAUCCCAUUUUAUUUCAGUUAUUUUUUUUUUGGUUGAAUUUUCGAAAGGAAUAAAUCUUUUAUUCACAACCUCUAUAUAAAAUUAUAAAUACACUUUUGUAUAAUAGUGUAAUAAUUAUUUCACUUUUCAUGAUUCAAAUUAAAGGCAAACAUUUCAUUCUUAAAAAAUAUGUUGCUCAAACAGGUUCAUAUAAAACGGGAGAUCGAGGGAAAUGAAAAGGAAAGCAUAAUAUAGCAUUCUAAACAUGUUUUAAAUGUAUGUGAUUUGAAAUAAAAAAAAAUUAUUUAUGAAAAAACUGUUUUAUCAAUUUUUACCGAACAAGAAUAUAAAAUAUUAUUAUAAAAUCAUGAUAAAUUCUAUUAUUCCAAAACUGGCUGCUAAUCUUAUAAAAAAUAAAAUAAAAUUGUCCGCCACUAAAUUCGUGGGCAAGGUUUAUCAAACAGUCCAUAAUUCCACCCUUCAACUACACACUCACUCAGCUCCGCUCACAUUUCCGGUCAGUUUGCGACAAUCUCGCUUAUAUUCACGUCUCUUUACUUUGUUGCCCAAUUAUCUUGGUUUUUUUUUUAUUAUUAAUUGCAGCUUGUAUAUCAAUUAUUACAUUUUUAAUUGUUAAUACACCUGAUGAAAUGAACAUAAUUACACAUGAACAAUUUCCCUCGUGAAAUCAGUUACUAAUUUUGAAGUACAAUUGUGCGAUGCUGAAUUCUGCGGUGCUAAUUGUCGAUUAAUUAACUUAAUAUGACACCUGUAGUUCUGAAUUUCGAUAUUUAUGAGUAAUUUUUAGACUGCAUUUAGGUUAAUGAUGUCCGUGUUUGGAUUAGCCUUGUUAGCCGAAAACAUGUCAAAUGUGUGUCUUGUAAGGGAAUAGAGGCAAUGUAAAAUCUACGGGAUGAUAAUCAUAAUAAAUUAAUAAUAAUGGCGAUAAUGAUUAAGUGGCUGUUUAAGGCCUAAUUGUUUGUUGAUUUCAUUUGUUAGGGUAAUUGUUGGUGGAUGUGAUAGACAUGGAUUUCUUGCGUUGGGCGUGUCCAUCACCGGAAGAACAGAAGUCGUGCAUCAACAAGUAAUGCAAGCAAUUAAGUUGAUUUCUAUAGCUAUGAAUUUAGAGAGUUAAUGAGUGUGAUUGGCGAUUUUUUUCUAGGUCUGUUGCUUUUAAUUACGAUAUUAAAUAUAAAGGAGCUAGUGCGAAGCCCGCGUCUUCGCUUCAAGAAAAUGAGGAGCUUAGUAAAGAUGGUUUCUUUGUUAAUCACGCAAAAGUUUUACUGGGUUCGGGGCCUGAGACUUAUGAGAAAGGCAAGACUGCACUGCAGACUUGGAAGUGAGUAUAUAAAAUUCUGGAUAGUAGCUAAUUUAAUUUAAAGGAUAUUUUGGUAUCUAAUGGAAAUUUGGUUUGUAGGCAUUUCGGAAUGAAUUGGGCUUUUGUUGAUCCUCAGACUCCAGUCCAAACAGGGGAGAAGUUGUGUGUUUGUGUCAAAGAGAUUGUACCAUGGAUCAUGAUGCCCCUGCAGGUUGUGUUUGUAAAUGAAAGCAAAAUGGCUAAUAAGCCUGUGGCCUCUUUCAGUUUCGGUAGCGGUACCCUCAAAGGACACCUACUGGUUAGUGCUUCUUUGCAAGUUCUGAGCAUGUAUUCACUGCAAGUCCUGGGCUUUUAGUCAUGCCAAUAGAUAUGAGUUACUAGAAAAUAGUUUUGUUUUCCAAACUCAUCAUAAUUAUUUUUUACUUGAAUGAGGCCUUGAUCUUCAGUAGUCUUUGGAAAGAAUUCUCAAAUUCACCUUUACUAAAAUCAUCAAGAGGUUCAUUGUCAGAACAUUUAAACUGCAUUGUUUGUUUGUCACAAAGAAGUGUACCUCGUUAAGCACCAAAGUCCCCAUGUAUAUAACUCAACUUGCAUCUACUCUUUAGUCUCAACUGUUAUUACCUUUUUUGCAACCUGAAACCUUUUCCUUGUGCAAGAGGAACGGUGUCCAGUUCGUAAAAAAUGCCAUAGUUUUUUCUAUCAACAGCUACAGUUAUGACAUUUAUGCAUUAAUGCUAUUAGCUAUAUAUAAUUGACUUUCUUUCGGUUUUAGUUGUUUAACAAUUGUUGUUCAUACAUACCAAGUCUGGUAAUGUAGGUUGGUCUAUUGCUCUCGGUCUCGGAUAUUGUAAAUUUUCAAUUAAUGCUAUUCCGAAUUUAUUAGGAAAAUAUUCUGUAGUGCUGCAAAUGGUUGUAAUAAGAACAUUCCAAAGUGAAAAAUUAUUGUUGGAAUCCCACAUUGAUAAAAAGUUUCAUAUCUGAAUAGAUCUCCAAGUGAUAUCAUGCAACUUUUAGACUAUUCAGAGGUGUCAAUCUUAUAAACCAAACCAAAUGUACCCAGUAUGUCCCACUUAUCGCAGAGGGUAAGAUUUUUGGAGUCUUACCUUCAUUCAAAAGAAUGAAGAGGAUGUUUUCAUAAAGACUCCCGGCUUGUGUUUGUACAUGUGUGCGAUUAUGUACAAAGUGAAAAUUACUACACAUAAGAAAACAAGAUAUAUCAAAUACAUGUACAAACAAAAUUUGAUCAUAUAAUUUGUAAAGUGAUCAAGUCAGUAAGUAACCGAGCCCAUAAUUUUCUUGACACGGGACUUACUUGUGAUUUGAAUUGAACCAUAAAAUCUGUAGAUUUCACUGCUCCAUCAAAAAUCCCUAAUUUCUUCAAUUAUUUCCAGGGUCUUAUUCAUCUCUAAAUGUUAAUAAAAUAAUCUCGAUUUCUGUUAGCGUUGUUGAUGUCCCUGUCAUGUGGUUGUGCCUUGGCAGCAAUACACUCACCCACAAUUUUAUACACAAAUUCACACACAUAAUAUACAUAAACCUUAUAAACUAGAUAGAAAGGAAUGGUUAAAGUUUGUUAUUUGUACUUCUGAUUUGACAGUCAGUAAAUAAGGAAGAUGAAAAAUAAUGAUAAUCACAAGUAAUUUGUAUGGAUCCAAGUAGAUUUGAAGAAAUGGAAAUGACAAUGUAAAACAAAUUCUUUUUCACAUUGGUAUUUGGGAUACUAUGGCCCUGUUUGUUUAAGAGAAGCUGAAGCUGCUUCUGGCUUCUGCUUCUCUUGAUCCGUUUGUGUAAAAAAGUAGAAGCACUUUUAAGAAGCUGAGAAUGCUAGCUUCUCUCUCACAACUUCUGCUUCUUUUCCAAACACUUUAUUAACUUAUUUACUUUUCACUUCUGCUCCACUUCUCUAGUUUAAGCAAGAAGUCACUUCUUUUAAGCUUGUCCAAACAGCCCCUAUAACUAUUGGUUCCAUUUUCGUUAAUUGCUGUAAAAUAAAGCAGUCUGAGUUUCUUAUGUACUUUUUAAUGCUACCUGAAAAGCUUAGCAGUUAACCAUUCUAAUGUUAUCUAUCAAUUGGAUAUAAUUUGUUAUAGCUCCAGCUUAUCUGUUGCAUGCAUCAGCCAAGUCUAGUGUUUAAACUAGUGACUAAUUGGUGGGGCUGACAUUCAGAAAUUGUGGUCAUGCUUAUCCUUUCAUUGGUUAUUUGCUAAACUGGUGUGUUCAGUGCAUUUUUAUUGUUUUAACUUUAGCAAUCAAAUCAUUCAUCAAGUUUAUGUAAAUACCUCUAGUACUCUAUAGUUGCUGUAAUAAGUUAUUAGCUUUGUGCUCAAUACCCUCAAACAAUAUAGUUGCAUAAUAAAUAUUAAGAUUUUACUUGGUUGUAUAUCUUUUUAGUAACAAAGAGUUAAUGUAAUAUAUUCCUUUGUUGAAAACAGGCUGGUGAAGAGCGUUUCUCAGUUGAGCUAGACGAGAACAAUCAAGUUUGGUAUGAGAUACUUUCUUUUUCAAAGCCGGACCACUUUAUCUCGCGAAUUGGGUAUCCAUAUGCGCGUCUCAGACAAAAGUACUUUGCUAAUCAAUCUAGUUCUGCAAUGCAAAAUUAUGUAUCUUCCAACUAAAUUACUUAAUAUCCUUGUCACUUUUUAUUUUGAACUUUUAGCAAAUAUUAUGUCCUAUAGAUCUGUAUAAUUUGAAUAUUUUCAGUUAACUUUAUAUACAAAGAUUAAUAGGCUGUUUCUGGAGUCAAUAAUUCUAUAGGUGAACUGUUGACCAUCAUUUCAAUCAGGAAUGCCGUUGUCAAAGUCGCACAUUGGUUGACAUAUAUUGAACGAUAUGGUGGCAUCAACUUUUCACACUUAGUGACUUACAAAUCGGGAUGAACAGAAAGUGUGAUAUAGUGCAAAAGCAAUAAUCAUGUUGAUAAUUAGUUUAAUUACAGGAUUGAUAUGCAUUUUGUUAGUAAGAGUUGGAAACUUGAAUAUUAAAUAUAGUUAUUAGCAUUUUGGUCUCAGUUCUGAAGUGGGGUAGUUGUGGAUAAUGUAGGGAACUAUUAAAUGAGAAUAAUAUGUGAAAAAAACUAAAUAUUAAAUGAGAAAGAAUGAAAAACCAACACGAAAAGAUUUCUCCUUAGGUUUGUAUCGUAAUUCUUAGCAUUUCAGGUCUAUAUUCUUUAAGCACAUAAUGAAACCACUAAACUUCUGAUGCUAUGAAGUUUCUUGUGGAAAUUAGGCUGCUGCCUUCAUCUCGAAGAACUGAGAGAGUUAUAUAAUGGGAAUUUUUAGUUGAUCGGAGUUUUGCAACGCCUAGAGUCUUUUAAAGAUAUUGCUAAGAAGGUUUAUGCAAUUCAUUUUAUGCUUCUAUUCAGUAGCAAAAACAUACCUGUAGGAUCUUGAUGCUGAAGUAUGUCAUGUGUAUCACCUAUUAGAUAUGGUGGAUCCAGAACUGAAAGGAUUUCCUGAGGAUGAAGUCAUUAGAUAUAUCAAAAUUGCAUUUUUCUGCACGCAGGGAUCAGCAAGUAGGAGGCCAACAAUGGGCCAAGUUGUUGACAUGCUCUCAAGAAACACCAGGUUGAAUGAGAAGGAACUGUUGGCCCCAGGUUUUUCCCAAGAUAUGGGUGCACGUUCAUCUUCGAGGAACAAGUCAUCUGAUACCCCAACAAGCACUCAGAUGAGCUCUGUCCCCAUCUCUGUCACUCAAAUCACCCCUAGAUAAAACUCGAGUUUCCUUAUUUUGUAGACAAGAUUUAAAAAGGAAUUCGAAGGCAAAAAUGUGCUACAUAUGCNUAUUUGAAGACCAUAUCUUACACCCUUAAUUAAAACAAUAAACAACGGCAGAUGUGAAGACAUGUGGCAAGUCUUUAAUAUUUUAAUAAAUGUAGAUAACCUCAGUAUAUCAUACUGUAUGAAUUGUAGUUUUGCAAACUUCAGUGAUACAAGACAUUCAAUUGACAGUUAAUUACUCGUCAUUUCUCCUGCUUAAUUUUUUCCGUCAGAUCAAAAUCCACAUGAUCAUAGGAUAAGAUCGACAACGCGAAAUAGUGCAGAACAACUACGACAUAAGUCGGAGAACCGUCUACAAGUAACGUGUUAUUGGGAAACUACAGGACAUGAAUCAAAUGUGAAGAACUAUAAUCUGUUAAUUUUUCGAUUGUUUUGUUGUGUUCUUGUUUAAGCUCGACUGGAUGCUUGCUGCAUGUCAAUGAAAAUAAAAGAAAAUGGGGCCAUUAUAUGACUUUGAUGUUCUUAAAAUGACUGUGUAAUAAAGUAUUAUCGCUUGCUAAUAUGGUGGUGUUGUUUAGUUGUUUAUGCAUGACCAAGCAGUUUGAUAAAUGUUGUAUUGUUCUGUUUGAACUAUGAUCUGCUCUAUUUUGUGUAUUGUUCUUCAGUCGCAGUAUACUGAGGGACAAGUAGACUGAGAAUAAGAAGGAUAAAUAUCAAAGAUAAUCUUGGUGCUUGAAUUCAUGAGAACAGAACAACCGCCUGAUUUCACGCUUGAUUUCUGAGUAACCGUUAUAAUGUAUUUAUACGGUGAAGAGAGUAUAAGAAACAAUAAACAAGUAAACAUUCUUUUUAAAAUAAUAACCACCAUUAGAUUUGAAGAAGAUGGACGGACCAGAUGGGGUCUCCAAUACUCCAAAUAAAUCCGGUCUCCACAGAACUUAAGCCUAUAUAUAUAUACUUCCAUUAUUUGAGAUAAAUAUACAUAGGCCCUCCAUCUCAAAAUACUCAUAUCAGUUGAGAAGUAUAAAUCAGAUCACAUUACUGAGAGACAAUGUUCAAGAGACCCUUAUCCUAGUCAGGAUCCCUGGUAUGUGUUAAAAGUAUAAAUUUCAUUUGGUGUUUUGUUAAAUACAUAUAGGUUCAAGGAGAGUGAUAAUGUAAAUUGGCAUCAGAUUCUAGGUUUAUUUAGAGAGGUCUGUUGUUGCUCCUUGUUACAUUGGGAUUGUGCCCCCUUGAUUAAUAUGUUAUGGUGGCCCCCUUGUGCAUUCGAGGGGAGUAUUAGAGGUAUAAGAUUCAUUUAGUGGAUUCUAUCAACACCUAAUUUUUUUAAGAAUUAGCUAUCUAACAAUAUGCUCUCUAUGCCAUUCUCUGUGACUCAGAUGCCUCCACUCUUUGUUAUUUACAUGAUUCAGUCUGCCCUUCAUUUGACCUGAGUCUCAUUAAUGCUCCAUCUAUGCUAUCUAGUUAAUUAAAACAUAUGUCAUGUUCUCUUCCUGCUUGUGACAAGUGACUACUAUGUUCCCUUGGACUUCAAGUUGGUGUGAAAAUAAAGAUCAGGACAUGCUGUAAGACUUUUGAUGUUCGUGGAAGUAGAAAUAUUUGGUACUAGAAUCACCAUGGCUAGGUGGUCAUCCUGAUUAAUAAAUUGCAAUGUACUCCAUGUUGCACACUUGCCUCAGGGCGGCAAUCAACUUUUUGUGAUCUUUUAACCUCUCUCCGGAAAAUGUGUACUGGGGCAGUGUAGCCUUCAGUGCUUAACUAUCCAUUUCUUCUCCGUAGAACAGACUGUAGGUUUCACAUUCACUCGUGUGGUAACUUAUGACAUGAUAUAUGUUUACAUUCAUAGUUAUCAGAUUUUUGAUGAAUUUGUCAACAAACUUAUCAUAGCAUUACUCAUGUUGGUUCUGAGAGAUGGUUUGUGGCAAAUCGAGAUCAUUUGUCCAUAUGUAAUUUUUUUUUUAAAAUGGUAACAAUUUUCUUGGCCGUUGGCACAGUUGAUACUUCAGUUUCUCAUAUUUUGAGUUUAUUCAGAUCCUCUUAGAUGUCAAGUGUGCUAGGAUGCAACCUACUAGGCAAGCUAGUUUGAGUUGGGCUCUUAUUAAAUUAUAUAGAGUACCUGAAACUUCUAUUUACUGCUGUAUAUACCUUAGUAACCAAGAUGAGCUAUAAACUAGUGUCGGAAGCGUGAUGAUAUGUCUGGAGAUGGUAUUCUCUGAGUUAUAUCUUCUUGUAAAUUGCAGCAGUUAUAGUUAGAUUAAUAUCGAAAACAUUUUAUACAUAAACAUGAUAUACAUGGUAAGCCCUUUUAUAAUGUCUAACGAGCGUCUCUAACUCAACAUAAUAUCAUGGUUUUGUUGAACCAACCGUUUCAGAAAUCCACAUAAAACCAUAAAAAUGGCCUUUGAGUACCGGUAAGCAUGAUAUGCAUAUUAAGUUUUCAUCCUUAGCACAUCUAGAUUUUAAGAGAAUCGGUAUUCUAGCAAAAAUCGUUGGUCAUUUCAUGUUGCCCACACGUAGCCCACACUGACUUCCACAUUUUCCUCCUUCCAACACCUUUACACAAAGUUGCAUCAAUGGGGAAUUCCUCAAGUCACUAAAUUAUUGUAAUCUAUAUACGACAAAAUAGUGCAGAUUCUUGAGAUCUGUUUAGGGAACUAAGAAAUAAGAAUGAAUGAAGAUUAUAUAUAUUAAGAUUAUAUACAUAAGAAGAUAUAGAGAUUGGCAAUUGAUAUUAUAUACUUUCUUUGCACGUAUGGCAUUUUAUAUAUGUGUCUCCACUGCAUUCAUUAUUGUCUAUUGAUAUUUUUAUAAUGCAAGUAGAUGCCUGACUCGCUUAGCUCAUUUGAUAUGUCAUACUUAAUGUCUUAGUUCCUACCUUAAGUUUGUUGCUUGCUACAUUUGUAUUUUAAUGAAAGGAAUAUUCGAGAAUCAUAUAGAUGGAUUCUAAAGAAGAGUCUCCAUUUUCUGCUAUCUUCUUUACUUUUCCAUCUCAUUUGCUUUUCCAAUUGUAGACACGAAUCACAAUUUCUUUUUUCAAGAAAGAAUUCAUUAAUUUGAUGCUGUAAUUGUCUAAUAGGAUUUUGCUUGGGCGAUUCACACGUUGCGACUUACUGACUCUUUUAUUGUUCUUUAAACACAAAAAAUUGCUUUAGGUGGGUUUCACGCCCAUAAGUUUCGUGAGGUUUGUUAUUAUAUAGCAAGGCUCUGUUGUUGCAAUCCAUCAUCAUAGUUUCUCAAGUAAAAUAUUAUAUUUGAUAUUGUAGGUUUGCCUAGUCGUAUAUCUCUGUUUAAAGAGGGAUUUAGCUGUUAAGACAAAUAAUGCAUACUUGAGUCUACCUGUUAUAAUAAAUGUUUGCACGAGUGGUAUGCCUCCUUUGUUUCCGGCACCGGGGUUUUGCUACCUGCCAUAUUAUCUGUAUUUUCUUUAUAUAUUAAUGAUAUCUUAUCAAUGCAGCCAAAUAUGCUUUGUACUACAUGCAUUAUCAUGAUCCUUUUAAAUAUUCAUGUUGUUGCUGCUGUGACCUCCUUGAAUUACUCUUAGAUUAUAAAUGUUACUAGUUAGCAAUAUAUCUAAUUUUUCAGACCCGAAGCCUUUUCAUUCCUACCUUCUCAAUUUUCAUACACUAACUUCCCUUGCCGGCUUGCCAUGCAUUUGAAAAUUUUAUAAAUUAGUUGUGAGAUUUUUCCUUCUUGUUUUGCUGUACACAAUUGUAAAAUAUCAUAGAUUAUUGUUUUUAGUUUUUAUUGAGACUUGAAUAGAAAGUGAGCUGCUAUGCUAGUUACAGUGGCAGGGACGGAACUGAACUGGAGGGGCACGGGUGACGGCCGUCCCCCCAAAAGUUGCUAUUUUUUAUCUAUAAAAUUUCAAAAAUUGUUAUUUGGUCCCCCCAUUUUUUACUUGAUUACUUAUGUUAAAAGGAAGUCGCUGGAAAAAUUGACAAUGAAUCUGUCAUUGAAGUGUUUUACGAGAUGAAAAUGUUGUCAAAUGCAGUUAAAGUAGUAUCUAUGUAUAGUUUGCCUCAUUUGAUGUUUAAAAGUUGCGUAUAUGAAGUGAUAUUUUAUCUAUCCUUUCAGAAUAAAUUAUGCGAUUUAGUUUAAAAGUUCGGCCCCUCCAUUUUUUCUUCAAGUUCCGUCCCUGUUCAGAGACAAUGACUGCUGCUGGCUCUGUCAUUGUCGACUCUCCCAUACUUGAAGUAUUAAAUGGAACAUUGAAUUUAUUUCAUAAUUAAGUAACAGGGGCCGGCCAAGUGCCAACUAUGUACUAUCUAACAGUCCUUUAUGAAUUUUGUCCUAAUGUAUAAUCUAUUUUUUGGUCAUUGAAUUAUGUAUUUUGUUCAAUAAAUUCAUUACUAUAUAUAUUGCUGAGCUUUUCCAAUAAAUGAAGAUCGUUUCGUUUAGUCUAGUUACCAUUAAGAAGGGUAACUGUUGCUCCUAAUUAUGUCUGGAUGGGUGGAACCUUCGUAAGAUUAUACUGGAGAUUGUAGAAAUGAGAUCAAACUGAGAUCACAUGCUUAAUUGUUAAUCAAGAUUCACAUUGAUAUAGUCGCUGAGAUAAACAUUGAAUAAUGUUUUAAUUUGUUUACUUAAAUGUUGCACGAAUGGUAUUUUGUCAGUAUGUCAACACUGAGGUUUGUUACCUAAAACUAUAUUCUUUUUGGAAUCUGGAUAUAUAUUAUCCUCUAAUUAUUGUGUUGUAGCAAUGACUUUCGUUGUGUGUGUGUGCACGCUUUUUGUUUAGCAAGUUUUGUCUAAUGAUUUGUGCUUUCAGACCUCGGUUAAGUUUUCUCUGAUUCUUCCUGACGUUUAUAUAACUUGCUUUUUGAUUAAGCAGUUAUCCGACACUGUGUGACAUGAUAAAACUUAAUCAUCUUAUCAGGUGAAACUCUGAUCAAUUUCUAUCCUGUUACAUUACCAUGGACCUCGAAUGUAGGCCAAAAUUUAGAAUCUGGGAUGGCUGUUUAGAGAUAUUGAUGUGAUAUGGACUAUAAUAAUGCAACUAAUAUACAAUAAUUUGUUUGCAUAUGGGUGGUGGUUUCUACUUUCUAGAUAUUGAAUACUGGUAAAGACAAUAUGAUAUUUGUGCAUGGCUGGCAUGUUUCCAAAGUGUUCCCUUUCAGGUUUGCACUUGGCCAGCCAAAGAAGUGACUACAGCUAAGAUGUUGUAUAAUUAUUUAUUCAUUCCUUCUUUGCUUAGAUCUGUAUUGUUUUUCUAUAUCGAGGUUCAUGGAGACUGACAUUUUCAUCUAUAACUGAGGAAAUAAUUUUUAACUGUUUAGUUAAUUUAUGUUUUUACCAUAAUUAUUUCUUUGAGGAAUGAAGUAGGUUGAUUCUCUGAAUGUCCCUGCAGGCCUGGUUAAUUAUCAGUAGGAGAUGCAGGCAUGCGAUUCCAAAUUUUAUCUGUUUAUAUAAUUUUGAAAUGUUUCUAAAUUAUUAUUUUUUCCUUCGAAAAGGUUAACAGGGAAUCUGCAGAAACUGACUCCCUACUUUAACUUUUUCUAGUAUCAUAAUAUAUGCUCAUAUAUCUUACCCUUUCCAGAUUCUAAUUCAAAUGAGAUAUGCAUUAUAUGCUAUAUGUUUCAGUUACUAUGUCAGAUGGGUUUCAAUUGGUUACUAAUAUACUGAUGGAAUUUUAUAUACGAUGUGGUGAAGAAAUCAUAAAUCAUAAUUUGGAUGUAAUAAUUAUUCACUUCACCAAUUGUUUUGGAUAUGUAGGAACCCAUGAACAUAGAAAUUUAAUGAGAUUAGUGUAUGGGAGAUUAAACUUAGGAUAAGGCUUUUUUGAAGGAUUAUACCAUAUCAUGCUUUGUGAGAUAAAUUUAGUGACAUUGAUUUAAUUCUUAUCAUAUCUGUUGCAAAAUUCCUCCAUGGAUAUGUUUUGCAUUAUCAGAUAAUCCUGGAAAUGAAGAACACAGUGACAGUAUGGUGGAGACCGAGGUAUGUGAAACAUUGAAGUACUAUAUUGGAAUUGUGUAUAUACAUUCGAAAAUGAGCAUGUAAUAGCUAAUAGUUUUGUUUACAUGUUUAUACAAUGCAAAAUUGAGUUCCACAAGCUUAUCCUCUAAUAUUCGGAUACUUUUGCAGAUGUCAAGAAUCACAGAUCAUACUACUUAAUUACUGGGAAACAAUGUUGAGCAGAGACGCUCUUGUUCUAAUGAAGUGCCUAAACAUGCUCUCCAAGCCAUUCUCAAUGCCUUCAACAUCACUCUCCAAGGUCUUUACUCGAUCCACUUCAUUUACAUCAUGCUGUUGAUCUUCACUUGACACAGCACCCUUGUGCAUCAGUUUUGAAACUUGCAACCACUUUGUAGUAGCCUUUGGCUUCAAUAUAGGUGUAGAUAAGAAUAGCAAAACAGAUUGAAAGACAGAAACACUUGCGGCAGUGACUUCUUUUAGUGAUCUAAUCACUGCACCUAGGUGCUGAUCUUGAUCAAAGAUUUCUAAUACACUGCUUUUGGUAUCCACUUGCUUGAGAGAUGCAGUCAAUUUUUUCGAAUCCUUGUUAAUCGCCUUUCUGAAAGCUGCAAAUUCCGCGCUUGAGUCCCCCUUCUUCCUUCUUAAAGCAGACAGAAGCUCUCUGGCAUGAACUUUAAUCUCUGACAUAACAUCUCUUGUAUUCCCACAGAUAUCCAAAAGCCUCACCGAUUUAUCCAUCAACUCAUUGACACACUUCUCGUUCUGAUGGUGAGAAAGCGCUUGCUGGGUCAGUGGCAAAUUCAGAAACUCAUCUGUAUAUUUGUACAACUCCCCAAGCCUGCACAGACCAUCACAAACCGUGUCCGCUGUCAAAACAUCAGAAGCCUCCGCUUCCCAUGAUCUGAUCCUGGUAAGCCCUUCUUCGAUCUUGCAAGCACUCGGAUGCAACGUCGACGGGAAGCUAGUCGAUCGAACAGUGCAACGUUUGUUGAAUUUCAUUGAAGUAGCCAUUUUCUUAACUUGUCAAAACUUUUGAUCUGCCAAGCUCUGAAAAUAUUUGAUACCUCAACCUUCAACUCUCUGCUAUUUAUAUGCUGAUACCCUAGGAUAUUAUACAAAUGUAUCUAGAUAUUAUUAUAAAAAUAUCGGCAACUAGCGGAUGAAAAGGACGUAUUUAAAAUUUCACGGGUAACUCUUCGCACAAGAUGGCUCCGCCCCUGUCGAUAGUAACGUGGCUGGCAUUUCAUGUGAAAUGGACUUAUUUAUUUCAAUUAUUUCAUCUUUGUCCCCAGCAAGCUCAACAAUAAUUUGCCACAUUUUUUUAGCAUUUUUAUAAAAAUGCAUUAGUCACGCCAAUUUGGCCUCCCAAUUAUUGCUCUUCGAGUGCCACAUUUCACUUUUUUCCUACCAUCCACAUACGUGUAACUUUUUGCAUCAAUGUGGAAAAAAGAUGGUAUUAUAAUCGCAACAGUGGAGAUCUGGAGAUCUUUCAGCAGAUUAAAUAAGCUACGGCUAUGGUUUAUUUGCAAACGUGUUUCCACCGUUUCAUCUGCCUUGCUGCCUAACUUGCUUACUCUAGUUUUGAUCUUUUUGUACAAGUCAGAGCAAGAUGCCUAAUCCGCUUAAUUUUUCUGGCGAGUUAUCGUUUCCACUUGUUUAUCAUUUUCGUCGUGUAUUCGGACUCUCAAAUUCUCGACCUCUUGUUAUUAUCACUAAUCGGGUUGAAACGGGGAUUUUUCGCGUAAAUUUGAAAAUUUGGCUUCUAAUUAUAUAAAAUUGUUUAAAUUAUAUUAUCCAAGCUGUUUAACGUAAUUAUUUGUAUUAAUUCUAAAUCAUGUUUAUGUUGGUGUGCUAAUUGUUGGUUGUAUGAUUAGGAAAAAAACAGGUAGAGUGGGAUCUAAGGUGAUUAAUAAGCUAAUUAUUGAUAGAUAUGGGUUUACAAACUUACAAUGAAUGCAGACACAUGUUUAAUAAAUGUAUACACGAGUGCUAUGUUCCACAUUGUCUGCGCUAAGGUUUGCUACUAGCUGGCUUUCACUUGUCUCGUCCUUCAAGUGUUCUCUCUAGUCUCUACCGUUGGAAAAAAUUCUAUUGAAUAAUUUUUUAAUCGUAAGUGUUCAAGAGCUUAAUAAGGGUAAUUUUGCGAUAAAACCAGAUUAGCUGCGCUUAAAAAGUUAAAAUUACUGGUUUGUUGUUGUGGGCCUCUACUUAAUAGGUUUAAAUCAUUUGAGUAGCUUUAAAAAUUUUGUGGGCUUAAAAGUGGGCUCUGCAUGCACCACAUGGCAAGAUAGUGUUAAUAGAAAAACAACUUGUCAAGAUAAUUAUUAUUUAGUUUAUGUUAGUUUAAUCAAUCAAUUAUAAGUUUAAUAAAUUAUUAAAUUCUAAUCAAUAUCUAUUUUUUGUUUUUUUAAACUUAUAUUAACUAAUAUAUCAGUCAAUUCCAUUAAAAAUACUCUGAUUUCUAAUUAUAAUUUCUACCUAGUAACCUAGAAGAAGAUUAGAUUAUAUAAUUAGAUUUUCAGGAGCCGUAAAACAUCGUUGUGAGAUGGAAAAUUAGUUGGAAUAUAAAUAAUAAAAUAAAUCUAUUAAUAUGAGAUCUUUUAAGAUGCGCUCGAAAAUAAAUUUGCAUAAAUUCAGUCUAAAAUAAAUAAUAUUAUAUUAUUUUGAAUUAUGACUCACUCAACAGCUUAAUAAACAGUUCACAAUUUCAGAUUAAUAAUAAGUCCGACUCUCCCAGAAUGGCCACGAGAUAGACGAGUCAUCCUGCAUUUUAUUUUUGAGCUCAUCUCGAAAAAUUUCACAAUAACAAAAUUAUUUGACCUUAAUAUUCUAACUACCUGCCCAGGUGUGCCAACUCCCCACACUUGCUAGUAUGUUUAAUACAAAACCUACAUAGUGGUAUCUUCUUGUUGAAAGAAUAUUAUAUAUUAUUUACAAAGUAAGGACCAGUUGAUUUGUCUGAUUAUGAAAUUCUUGAGAAAACAGAUAACUUUUUUUAUUUAAUAAUAAUAAUAAAAAACAAAAAUACUUUUUCACAGCUAAUAUAUAAAAUUGUUACAUACUUGGCCUAAUUAUUGUAAAUCUAACUAAUUAUGGUUCCAAGAAAAGGACAUUUUUUAAAUAAAUCUAAUAAUGUGAUAAUUAGAACGCACUCCAUGACAUGGUUCACACAAAUAAGAUCUGAAUAACUUCAAACUUGGGUAUUUAUAUACGACUAUAAGAGUAUUAUAGGCGCAAAAAAAAUGACAUAAUAAUUGAGUGGAAAAAUUUAAUUGAUAUUAUUAAUAGAUGUUUGGACUUUUUUUUAAUAAAAUAUUAACACAUACUUACUUUGUGAAUCUGGUGGUACACAAUUUCAUAUAUCAAAUAUUUUUCAUUGUAUAUACAGACGUACAUUUCUCACACUGUCGCACAGAUUCUUAACAUACCGAUACAAAAUUACAUGCUGAAGCUCCUUUCCACCAACAAGGCCUGAAACCGUCUAAUAUCCAAAACAUUCAAUCAAAAUCUUUUCUAUUCCCUUUUGUAAUAUCAGCAAAAAGUCGAAGAAAAAAUAUAUACAGCCUAGAUACAUCUUCCUAUAAAAGAUUUCAUCCUAGAUUUUCUACAGGCUAAUUUAUAAUUUGGUACCACCGUCAACUUAUUAUUCUUGUAAAAGGGUUCAUGAACCCAUGAAAGUCGGUUGCUAAUUUAAAUGAAAUGCAGAACUUGUACGUACAUUUGUCUGCAUAGGAUGUACCUUCAGUACACAAUAACAUUGAGAUUUUUGUUUAGAUUAAUUGUCUGGGGAUAUUACAUGUUUUUAAAGAAAGAGCAAUAGGAUAAGAUUAUAUAUGUCAUAUGUAUGUAUGGGUUCUUAUAUUAAAGUUAUUAAUAUAUUAUUAUAAAGCAUGCAGGCUUAACUUUGGCAGAGAAGAUGGAGUUAUAUUCUAACUUGUGCAUGGCUGUCAAUGUUUAAGCAAUGUCCCCUGUUAAGGUUUGUAGCCGUAGAUAAAAAUUUGAUCUAAGAUGGCCUGAAUAAGAAUCAGAAUAUUUUCCAAUAAUAUUAACUUAGUCCAAAACUGGUGUUAAUUUUAAUGAAUAAAGGCAGCUGACUCGUGCAAGAGCAACUUAGAUUUACUUUUAACAAAAAUAAGUUCCUUUUAUUCAAGAAAAAUACACUUCUAUUCUGUUAAUAUAUAUCAAUAUUUGCUGACUCUAUAUGAACAUAAUCAACAUACUUAUAACUAGAAAUACUUGAUUAUUGUAUGUAACUGCUCCAAAACAAUACAUCAUUUAAAAAAGUGAAAUUUUUCCAAAAUAAUUGUUCAACACUUUCUUAACAAAUGCAAAACAAUUGGUCCCACUGUUCUCACAUGAACCACUAUCUAAAUCUAUAUAUAAAUACGAUUCUAAUACAUGUAUAAUAGAACCAUUAAAGACUCACUCAUAUUGGGUUCACACAAUUCUUAAAUAAUAUAAGAGAUAGGAAGUUUAAAAGGAUGCAUUUCAUUUUAUAUAAUAAAUUUUAAAUGACAGUAUUUGAGUUGUUAUUUCAAAUAUCCAUAUGAUGAAACCGGGUUUCCAAACAAAUUAUAAAUAUAGUGAUAUUAUUAAAUAACCUUGAUCUCUGAACCUAAACGUGUUAUCAUUAAGAAACCGGCUAAGGUUAUGAAAUUAGGUUAGUUUGUUUCAUGAAAUUAUAAUUUGUGUAAUUAGUCUCCUCAUUAUUAAUUUUAAACAUCAUACAUUGUUAUAAACUUAUUCAUUUUUCUAAUAUAGUAGGAAUGUGAAUUGGGAGGGAAGGAAUUGAAAGGAUCCUCUGAAACAGUUUCACGUGAUUUAAUUUUGAAACAAAUAUAAAGAUCUUUAAGCUUAUCGGUUUAGAUAUAACACUUUGGAUCUUAGUUGCAUUCAUUAUUUAUACAUAUAGAAGCAAAGAAGAAGAAAUCAUGGAAUAGAGAAGAGACUAUAUGUGAUGGAACUCAAAUGUUUGUAUAUAUUUACUCAUGGAAAGAACUAAUACAGUUCUUUCUCUUUACAUUUCAAUCAGCAUCUAUAAACUAAUCAAUCCUCUAAAAUUCGGAUAGUUUUGUCAAAACAUCUAAUCACUGCGAAACAAUGUUAAGCAGAGAAGUUCUUAUUCUAACAAUGUGCCUAAACAUGCAUUCCAGUUCGUUUUCAAUUCCUUCAACUCCGGCCUCCAAUGCCUCUAGUCUUUGCUUCAGCAAACCAGACUCUUUAGUUGAACCCGAUGUUAUACUUGAUAAUUCCGCGUCCACCUUCUCCAUUUCAUUCAUUUGUUGAUGAUCUUCACAUGCAACUCUGUUUUUGUGCAUGAAUCUUGAAACUAAUGACCACUUUGUGGAUUUCACCUUUGUGGAUGUUGCUAAGAACACGAGUACGUAGUUGAAUACAGAAAUAGUGGUGGCAGUAACUUCAUUGAGUACUCGAAUAACUGAAAUUAAGUGUUGAUCUGAAUCAGCAAAUUGAGAGCCACUUGUUCUGUUAUCUAGUUGGUUAAGAACUGCGGCUAGUCUUUUGGCAUCUUUGUUUAUUUUCUUUCUGAACAAUGUGUACUUGGUAAAGCUACUUGGAUCGCCUUUAGGCCUCCUUCGUAGACAUGAAUGAAGAUCUGCAGCGUUUACUUUAACUUGUGACAUAAUAUCUUUUGCACUUCCACAGAUAUCUAGGAAUCUGAUGGAUCCAUCCAGCAACUCGUUGAAUGGGUCGUCGUGUUGAAGGGCAGAGAGGGCUUGUUGAGUCAGUGGCAGAUUGAGAAGAUCGUCCGUGCAUCUAUACAACUCGCCUAAUCCAGAUAGGCCGUUGCAGAUGGUCUCUGCUGUUGGUGCAUUUGUUGAUACUUCAGCUUCCCAUGUUUUAAGCUUGUUCAGCUCCUGAUCCAUCUUGUAAGUACUCGAAUGUGGCCUGCAAGGUAAGCUAAUUGAUCGAAUGCCACCACGGGGUUUGUUGCAUCUCAUUGAAGCAGCCAUUGUUUGUUUCUGUGUUAAGAAUAUGAAGUUAUGUGAAGUGUUGAUAUCCAAACCUCUGUUGCAUUUUGUUAUAUAUAGACAAAUGCUAAGACAAGAGCAAGAUUAGUUUUAAAAUUAUGGGACAAAGUAAUGGGCAUGUGAUCAAGAUGACCUUUGCUAUUUUUUAAGUCUUGGUAUUUGGUGAAAUUCAUUGGUCAUUUUUGGUGUGGCAUGCUCUUUGAGUGCCACAUUGCCAUCUUUUGCGCAGCUUCAUCUACGUGCAUUCUGCAUAUGCAAAAGUUGAAUCAAAGGGGAGAUUUCAAGUCAUCAAGAAAGUAUUUAACAAUAGAUUUUAAUAUGAUGCUGCAGAUUGUGUGAUCUUUCUGGGGAUUAAUAAAUAAUUACAGAUGCAGAUGAGAUUUCUGGAGUAGGAUUGAAGAUACAUACCAGAUUAGUUUAAGUGAUUGGCCAUAAAUAUUCUAAAAUGGUUGCAGGUAUGUGUCUUUUGUAGACGUGUCUCCACCGUAUUGCUCGAUUUUCUCUCUUAUUGGAUGUCAGUUGCUGCCCAACUUGCUAACUCUUAGGUGAGUCAUGUCUCUUUCUAUUUUUUAUGUCUAGCUCCCACUUAUUGGUAAUGCAGUGCUCAUCUUAGGCCCUUGUUAUUGUUACAACUCACCGUCAGAAGUAAGGCAUGCGUACAUCUUAGUCAUCGGACCUCCGAAAAAUAGUAUAUUCAGUUUGAUCUUGUAACACAAUCUUCUUUCACUAAUACAGAGUUCUCAUCCAUUUGACUUUAGAACAUGGUAAAUUUUUAACAUAGCUUCAGGUACAAGAAGGCCCCAGACCAAUGCACCAGGGAUUAUCCUAAAUGCAUGUAUUAGGACAACUAAACUAUUGAGAUUAACAACAAUCUUGGUAACAUAUAUCUCAUUAAUGAUUGGUUUUUGUUUUAUCUGGAGCUAUAGUGCUCAUUGUUUAUUUUGGCGCCCACAUAUGUGUAAGGGACUAAGGGUCAUAUUGAUUGGUCUAUUUCAUGCAUGCAUCUAUUAAUGACACUCUCACCCUUGUGCUUAUACAUAGAUCUUCUUGGAUUUAUCAAAGUCGGCAGCCAUUAAAUUUGCAGACGGUGGCUUGCAUUUAAGUUGUCUAAAUGAGAAGAACCUUGUACAAAUAAUGCAGAGAAUUACUAGUACCAGUACUCUGUGGAUUUAGCUAGAUCAUUAAGUUCUUAAAUUAUUGAUCUAAGAUUAUGAUGGAUAUGGUUGUUAAUUCUACAUGUUUGCAAGAGUGGCAUGUUUUACAAUAAUGUCUGCACUGAGGUUUGCUUGGAUUAUUGUACCUUUCCAUAUGCAAAGUACAUUAGUACUAAACUACAAGAUCUACAGCUAAUAUAUACGUUUUCAGAUUAAUCAAUCUUGACAAAGUCUUCCUUUUGUUGAUGAAUUUUAAUGGGUGCAAUUAUGUUUUUGUUGUUAAUCAUCAAUUUUAUGAUUAAGAAGCUUACGAAAUAAUCAUGUACAGAUGUGUAUAAGAUAAUCAUGUUCUGAGUGAAAAUUAUUUUAGACUAAAAUUAAUCAUGCACAAAUUACCGGUUACAGUGGUGAGAAAAUAACAAUAGUGCAGAUCACUUGAACCAUUGAACUUUGUUAGAAUAUAAUAUGAUCCUGGUAAGCCCUUCUUCUAACACCUCGAGGUUUUAGGAGAAUUGAUCACUUAACAUGGUAUUAGAGCUCUGUAUAAUAGAGAGUUGUGAAGAGUUUCUAGUUUCUAUUCAAGCCCAGACAUGUACAUAUAUGAUACUGAAUAUGGUUUAAACCUGGUAACUUAGCAAAAUUUCUGCCUAAACCUUUUACCCGUCUAAAUCAAGUUAUCAUGUGUGCGUUUUAUUUGUUUUUUUUACUUAAUCUCGUGGGUCUUCUUGAUCCUGAUGAACCUUUGGCAUAACUGAACCAAGUCUGUAGUUACUUAUUAGUAAUAGUAUUGCAAAAACCAUAAGAAAGCACAAUACCAUAGUCUACAGGCUGAUAUAAGUUUAUAUUUGAUGAAACACUUCAGCAAAAUGAAUGGAAUAAAUCCAAAGAAGAGAAAAUGUUACACUGAGCUAGCUUGAGCUUGAUGGAGAUCUUAAUAUUUACUUUUUAAUAAGUUGUAGAACAAGGAUUGCAUGCAAUAUUAUGAUGUUCGAAGAGCCAAAGGUAUUCUGAGAAUAAACAAAAGCAAAUAUAUAUGUAGCCGUAGAAGAUUAAUCUUGUAAAUGUUCCAGUAUAAGUAUAAAUAUCCCUCAUUUACAUUUCAGUUGAACUAAUAAAUGAAUAUGUAAAACUAAGGCACUUUCUGAUGCUAGAUCUAUAAGCUGGAGAUGAUAUUUAGAAAAGAUGCUCUUGUUCUAAUCAAUCUUCUGGACAUGCACUCGCUUGCAGAUUCAACGAGUUCAAUGCCAUCAUGGAGUGCCUUUAGCCUUUCUUGCGCGAUUUCAAUCUUUUCACUUUCACACGAAUCAUAUGAGUCUAGUGCAGAAUCAACUUUUUCCAACUCAUUCUUGUUUUGGAGUUGCUCUUCACAGGUUACAGUUCCCUUUUGUAUUAAUUUUGAAACUAAUGACCAUUUAGUUGACUUGGAUUUGGAAACUGGUGAAGAAAAGAACAACAGGAGGGACUGGAAAACUGAUAUGGCCACUGAGCUAACUUCCUUUAGUACUCUGAUCACCUCUGACAAGUGGUAAUCUAAGUCGAAGAUUGCUGAGCAUGUGAUUUUGAUAUCCACCUGCUUUAAAUCUGCAAUCAAUUUUCUAGCUUGUUUUUUCAUCUUUCUUCUGAAUGAAUUAAAUUUUGAUAUGCUGGUGGCAAGGGUCAAGUCUCCCUUCUUUCUUCUUAUCGCAGAUUGAAGAUCCACAACGUGUUCUUUAAUCUGCGACGUGAAGUCCCUUGUGGUGCCACAUAUAUCUAAAAGCCUCACAGAUCCAUCCAACAACUCAUCAACCCAUUUCUCUUGGCGAUGGUUAGAAAGGGCUUGUUGCGUAAGUUGCAAGUUUAGAAGAUCAGCAAUACACUUAUACAGACCUUCAAGUGUCAAUAGGUCACUGGAGACCGCAGAUGCAUUACAAGAUGAUGAUACAUCGCGGGUUUUGAGCUUCCUAAGCUCCUCAUCAAUUUCAACUAUAUUUGGAUGUGAUCUUGAAGGCAAGCUAAUCGAUCUGAUAUGAUGACUGUUGUUGGCUUCUGAUGCACAAGCCAUUUUUGCUAUAUUGUCAAAAAAUUCAGAAGAUUUGAACUUUGAAUGGUAUGUAAAAACUGCAGACUUUGCUAUUUAUAUCACCACAAUGCAGGGGACAGAAGAUCAAAAAAAUGAUGCUAGUGUGGGCUCUCCCUUAAAACUUGUUAAUCUGUUACAACUUGUCUUACAAAAUGCACUAAAAUUUGACAAAAAUUGCAUGAUUCAUCUCCUUGUAGCUUCCUCAUAAUGUGGUAUGAUUGACACCAUUACAAAAUGUUAACUAAUAAAAAAUUGCAGCUGCAUCACCUCCAUAUAAAUUAGCUGGCAAUGCUGUCUCUGUCUCAUCCAGAACAUACUCAUGUCAUUGUAACAGCAACACAGCAUAUUUCUUUAUUAGAUAUGAUAAUGCAGGGAGAUACAUGAAAUUUCAGAGAGAUUUUCAUUAGCCAUUGCAGAAAAUUAGCACACGAAUUGUUUGUCUGCAUCGUACAACAAUCUUUCAUUUCGUGCUACUGCAUUGUUAUUUGGAUGUCGAUGAGAAUAUGAGAUUGGGGAUCAUGCAUAGACAAAAUCAAUCUAGCUCUUUCUUUAAUAAUGCAUGAUUAUAAUGCAGGCUAACAGGCCUAAUGAGGGAUUAUAUUAAGUUUUAGCAAGCGUCCAGGGGCUCUAAAUUUCCGGGAAAUUUCAGUGGAAUUAUUGGGAUCAUACGGAGAUGAUGUACCAUAUUCAUAUAUUAAGGAUCAUAUUGAAAAUAAUUAAAAGAUUCCAAUGGAUUUAGUUGGUAAGAUGGUCUUUGUUUUUAAUAUCUGUACACGAGUGGUUUGCUGUCAUAAUUCAGUGGGUGUUCUUUGGAUCAGGGUGAUUCUAUUGCAUUGUCAGAUGAUUCAAAAUCUGCUUGUUUUUCGUUUAAAAUUAGAUCUCAGCAAAACGAAAGAAUCAAAAUAGUUGCAAGAACCUCAAAAAUAAGAAUGACUUCUCCCUCUUCUUUUUUCUAAUAUACCUGAUAGGGAUAAGUUAUAAUGAUUCUGACUUCUCAUCCGUUGAGACGAAAUUUAACGAUCAGGUUUUAAAUUGAACAUAGUACAUUAUUGGGAAAAAAAAGUUGAAGCAGUUUAAUUUUAUUACUACAUGGAAGCGUAUAAUACAAAUUAUUUUUGGCCCUCACUAGACCAAAACUUUAUCACAGAAUAUUAAUUUUUUUUAUUUUUAUUAUUAGCCUCACGACACUAAUUUUCUGACUCCACCAUAGAUUACAAAUUUUCUGUAUUUUCUAUUUGCUUCAAUCUUUCAUUUCAUACCUUUGAUCCCUAACAAACUGCCAGGCUCUAUUUCUGAAACAUGGCUAAAGAGAUCUCGUGUUUUCAUAUUGUUCUUGAUGUUGGUGCGGCUUGGUGGUAGAGCCAAGAUUCCUCUGACAUAUAAUCUUCACACCGGCACCAGAAAAAGUAUUAAUGCAUUCUAAGUUUGUAACGAAACUAUGAGAGCACAUUGUAAUGAAGGCAACCACUCGUAUUAAGACAAAAUCUAAUGUAUUCAAAGUUUGUAAUGGAACUAUGAGAACACAUAGUAAUGAAGACAAUCAACUCUGAAAGUUAGUAAAGAAAUCAUAAGAAGACAUUGUAAUCAAGGCAACUAACUCAUUUUAAGAUAAAAAAAUUUAAAACAUUGCAACUAAACUAUGAUAGCACAUAGUAAUGGAGGCAACCAACUCAUACUAAGAAGCAGCAAGCAAAGAAAUAGAAAAUUGUUAGAGCCUUGUUGGCCAAAUGCAUAACAAGAUAAUCAGAUCACAGAGGAGCCCACAUGGUAAUCAUACUGCAUCCUGUGACACAUCUUGUCUCCUCUCCUGUCUUUUGUGCAUGCAUAUAUAGCAAUGCCUAUAGCAAGUAGUUCUCAUCAAAAAAACUACAGUUGAUAAAAAAUCAAAACACAGAAAACUAAAGCCAUGGCUAGUACUAGCUACCAUGUUAGAUCAAUAAGCUUGCCUUGCAGAUCACAUCCUGCGAUAAUCAGAGUCAAAGAGGAGCUUAGCAAGCUCAAAACAUUGGAAACUCCAUGCUGCCAGACAUCAGAAGCAAUUUGCAACAGUCUGUCUGGCUUGGCAGAGCUGUAUGAUUGCACAAAUGAUCUUCUUGGCCUUAAGUUAACCAAACAGUCCGCUCUGAUGGAUUGUCUGUUAGACGGGUCUGUGAGGCUUCUUGAUAUAUGUGGUGGAACAAGGGAUAUUGUUUCACAAAUUAAGGAACACACAAGAGACCUUGAAUCAUCUAUUCGAAGGAGAAAAGGAGACAUAAGCAUUGAAAGUAGCGUUGUGAAAUUCAAUUCCUUUAGGAGGCGAAUGAAGAAGGAAGCCAAAAGAUUGAUUGCAUCUUUGAAACAAAUAAAAAAACAAUAUGAGGCUUUGGCAAUGUUGGAUUCAGAUCAGAAACACUCAUCAGUGAUAGGAUUGCUGACAGAAGUUACAUUGUCAAGCAUUUCGGUUUAUCAAUCCUUGUUGAUGUUUGUGACGGUACCAGUUUCAAAGACAAAGGGAAGGAGAUGGUCAGCUAUAACAAAGCUGAUCCACACAGAACGAGUGUCGUGUGAAGAGGAAAACAUGAAUGAGUUGGAAAGGAUUGAUGCAGCAUUGAUAAGUCUUUGUAGAUCAAGGAAAGGGGAGAAGAUUGAAAGUGCACAACGAGGUCUAGUAGCACUGGAGACUCAUUUUGAAGGCAUAGAGAGUAAUUUAGAGUGUCUGUUUAGGCGCUUGAUCAAAACCAGAACCUUAUUCCUAAACAUGGCAUCAGACUGAUGUUCUUUAAGAUGCUUCACUUGAAAUUUUCCCAGAGGCAACCAAAUUUUAGAGGAUAUGCAUAUGGAUAUGUAAUUUUCAAGAGUUGUGUACAUUAUAAUAUAAUUUUCGGAAACAUAAUGUGAAUCAAUGCUUUCAUCCAUCUGUUUUACAAGUCCAGUUACUUUUCUUUUAAUCUCCCAAGCCCCACUACUUCAAUUUUGUUACUAAAAUAAAUAUCAGUUAAGUAGUUAAGUAGUUAACUAAUAACAAGAACAUAGCUUAUUGACAAAAACCUGAUACAUAAGCAUCACACAGUGCCACAAAGAUCUUAUUCUAUUAGACAACUUAUAAGCUUCCUUCCACCAAUGCUCGCUGACAGCCUGAGGAGAAGAUGGUGGUGAUUAAUGCAUUACACCCGGAGUAACUUCCAGGACAGAAUACACUUAUCCAACAAUGCAAUUUACAUAAAUAUUUAAAGGCCUCUCUGAGAACUGGUAUUACAUAUAAUUAGAGGUCAGUUUUUUAAGUAAAAUCCACAAAUAUUGAGUAGUAGCAGGUUCAAAAUUUGCUCACAUGUAAAUAAUAGGCCAAGUGGCGGAUUAACAAUUGGUCAGCUAUUUCCUAUAAAAUGGUUCUUGUGGAUAGAGAGAUUUUUAGUUGUGUUGCAAACAAGGACAACCAUCUUUACGUGUACAUGUACUUAUUGAAUUCAAAAUCUCUAUCACAACUUAAGAAUCAUAGCUAUGCACAAACAACCCUUCAAUCCAAAUCAGCUUCAGAUUUCUUAAUCACCUUCUCACACAAAUCUUUUAAUUUGUAGUAAGUUUGGCUGUGGUAGAUGUUUGUGAUGAUUGAUGACAGUGUCCUCUUACGCAUGAAACACCUAAAUUUGCAAUUUGGAGUUUGUGAAGGCUGAUAAGUCAUUCAUACGAAGCAACCAACACAGUUUUGCCUUCUUCCAGAAUGAAAAUAAGAAAAAUUUAAAAGAUUGAUUGCAUCUCUGCUGAAACAAGUAAAUAACCAAAUUGAGGCCUCGCUAUUGACCUAUCUAGAUCAGCAACACUUAAAAUGUUAAGAUCAAUUAGUUUUGAGAGCAUCACAGUGCUGGAGAAGAAAUCAAAAAGACUGAAUGCGUAUUUAAAGCAUAUAAGGAACCAUUAUUGGAUUAUUCCGCAGAAGUUAAUAGCAGUAGCAUACAAAUAAUUCCAGUACAACCAACUGGACAGCAUACAACACCUCGACAAAUUAUUCAGGAUUGCACUGUCCAUUUCUCUAAUUUGCUCGACUAUAAAGGAUCAGUGAACUUAUAACCGAGUAAAACGAAUACAUAAUCAUGUACUUUAGAUUAUUGGAAGCCAUUCUGUGCAAAAAAUAUAACUGGCACGAUAGAUUAUUGGAAGCCAUUAUGUGCAAAAUAAAGCCAGGAUGAAUUUAUAGGCAUGGAUCAAUUAAGCAAUGUGAGGAAAUCAAGUCCAAAAUGUCAGAAGUGGGAUUUGAACCCACGCCCUCUCUCGAAGACCAGAACUUGAGUCUGGCGCCUUAGACCACUCGGCCAUCCUGACAAUGUUGAAAUAUUAUGCUCUACUAGCUACUUGACUCCUGACUAGUUGCUUGAAAACUAGUAGGACAAAGAUAUGUAAUAAUAUCACAAGCAUAAUAAAGCAAAGACUAUCUCCCUGUUUGUCAAGAUAUACUUAUGUUCUCUACAUAUGCAAAAAUCUGCAGUAUCAGUGUAUUACAGUGUACUAACGUCUAUGAUAAAAGAGAAAAAAUAUAACCAUCAAUGAGUCUGCUUUGUAUAAUGCAGAGUUAAUCGCCAUUCUGAUAACUAGGAUACAGUUAUAAGUUGUUGCUAAAAGACAAUUCCUGCGAAAACCACAUUUUUAUAUACUAAUUUAUCUUAGUUUGACCUUAUUGUAGGUAACAAAUUUGGCUGAAACUCUCAGGAUUCUUGGAAACAAAAGAAGCAAAGCUACUCAUUCACAGAUGCUGAAGGUACCACCAGUAGUAGAAGUAGAUGGGAGGUUCAUGCAUAAAAGCAGGGCAUUAGUGAUAGUUUGUAGUAAUAAUUGGCAUAAUCAGUGAGUAAUCAGUGAAAUAAGAGUUGCAAAGUUCAGGUUGUGUUCCAGGAAAUUAGAUGCUGCAGAAAAUAAUCUGAAUUUAAUAAUUUUAGAGAUGUAGCAAUCCUUUUAAUUUAUAAAUCGGUUACAACUCAGAUUUCUUAACUGACAUUUUUCUCGGUGUAUUUGUUCUUUUACAUAUAGCGCGGUAAGUGAGAAUUGAAAUCUAGACCUCUUUUACCAGUAGGAGCAACUCUGCCACCGCUGAGCCUGUCCUAAUUCUUUUGUAACUCAGUUUUUCAUAAUAUAAACAUCAAAAUCCUAUCGAAAAUUAGCGUGAAGGAAAUGCUGGAGUAACUUAAUCUAAAAAAAUUAACAUGCAAGACAGGUGCAUGAGCACUGAUUAAUGAUUUUUGGGCUUAGCUUCCUUGAUAAAUUAAGAUUGAGCUGAACGUUUAAUAUAAAUAUUUGCAGCAGGAGUCGAAAUCAGAAGUAUUUUAACUGUACUCUUCUUAUAUCAUAUUUUUGUACAAGCAGAUUCUGUAAACAAGUAUAAUCCUAUGACCCCUAGAGAAUAAGGGGGUGAUUGAGAAACUAGCAAGUAAGAACAUUAAGGAGAGACACUCUAUACUGGAUAAGUCGCCUAAUUGCAGCGUCUAUUCCAGACUCGAGUCCAUCAAUGCUGACUGCAAGUGCCUCUAACUUAUUUUGUACAGUUCGAACUUCAUCUGUAACACCAGUACCUCGAGCAUGUGCACUAAGGCUGCAAAGGGCAACAUCAACUCUCCCUACUUCGUUAUUGAUCUUCUUUCCCUUCUCAAUAACGACUAAACCUACUGGCAUCAGUUUGGAGAUCAAGGAGCAUCCUCCAAGCUUGGUUUUCAAAAGGGAUGGUGUGGACAAAAACAAUAAGAGAUGUCGAAAAAUUACAUUUGUAAUACUGCUUAGUUCUCUAAGCACUCUGAUCACCAUCAACAAAUGAGGAUCUAAUUCUAAUAGAGGCAAAAACACAAAUUUGCCUUCGGCUCUCUUUAGUAAUCUAAUACACUUCAAAGCAUCCUUCUUUGCCUUCUUCCUGAAGGUGGUGUAUGCAUUUACAUCUUGUUGGAUGGAACCUCCACCUCUUCUACGCAAAGAUGACUGAAGUCCUUGCACAUGUUCUUUCAUCUUCGACAACAAAUCUUUAGCACAGCUACCCGCAUCAAGAAGAGUCACUGAACCUUCAAGUGCCUCUUCAAAAACUUUACUAUCUUGAUGGUGUAAAAUGGAUUCUUGAGUGCGGCUAGUCUGAAGAAGCUCCUCGACACUAUUGUACAGCUCAGCUAGCCCAACCAGACCUUUUAGGAUAGUCUGGCCACUAAUCGAUUCUUCCAAGGAUGGCAAUGAGGCUUCCCAAAUUUUAAGCUUGUCAAACUCUGUAUCAACUUUGAGGGAAGUAGGGUGCAAUCUAGAGGGCAAGCUAAUGGACCUCACUGGGUGCAACCCAAAGGAGCAAUUCAUGGUCUAGUGUUUGUUUUUCACAAAUGGUUACAAGUACUCUGUGUCUGAGAUAUGUCGGAAUGCAAAUUAAGGAUCAAUCUAUAUAUAGAAGACACAACAAAAGCAAGCUAGAGAAUCAAGUUAAACAACUUCCAUGUGAGGCCAAAUUGAGUGUACCUACUGGUUUAAUGAACUUGUAACAAAUUUGGAGUACAACAAAAUUCUUUAAUCUUUUCUCUAAUUGUGGUCAUUAAAUGAACAACGCUCAUCCCUGAUUAUCUUUCAUUAUCCACCCACCGAUGUAUGUAGAAUUGAUAUAAAAAUUAACCAUUAGUUCGGAUUUCUGCCUACAUGCCCAACUUCUCCCCAUGAUCAAUUCACAAUCUACUACAGAAUAUUCCUUAAUAAAAUACACCAAUUGAGCAAUGAUAAAUCACUGACCCUGCUGAUAAUAGCCUUGUUACAAAGAAUCACAGAGGUGCAUAGAGGAGUAGGUAAUAUAAUUUCGACAAGGUUACGACAAGAAAUAGUAGCUUAAAAAAAGUUCUUAGGUCGUACAACCCUAGGAUUUAGGGACGCCACAUCAAGUAAAAUUAAACAGGAUCAGAAAAUUAUGCCUAUGGUUAUUUUAAAAUGCCAUUUUAAUAAUGUUGGCUGGCAUGUUUAGGAGACAAGGAGGCAUAAGCCAUUAUCAUUUCCUUGUCAAAUGGCAAAUACAGUUUAAUAAUAAACCUGCAUCUUAGAAUUGAGAAUGUGACCUCAUUGGUUAGGGGAGGUGGAAUGACUGACACAUAAACAUAAGAUCGGCACUUCUGUGUAUAAGACAUGUUACUUACAUAUGGUUCAGAGGGUCCAUAACUUAGCAUGAAUCUCGAAAAUUGAUAUAUGUUUUACUGAAAUUGAGGCUAGUUUCAGACCACAAUCAUGAACGGAGACAGCAUAUUCUUUGGCCUUUUCUUGCCUGUAAAAAAUUGAGACUAGAGAUUUUUAGAAGUCUUUGAAUGAACAUUUAGGUAUUGAAACAAUAUAUGUAAGAGAAUUAUAUAAUGCAUGUUUAGUAGACAAGGAGACAUAGUAUAAGGUUUUUAUAAGGUCGGGUAACUUGGAAAUUGGAGUGAGUCACAUAAAAAAAAUUCAUGAAACGUUAAAACCAUAAUCUGCUGUUCAAGAAUCCGGGGAAAUCGAAUGACAAAAAUGAUUAACACAACAUGGGCAACAUUUUGUAUUACUAUGAGAUGUACAUUGAACUUGUAGUAUUCAUGUUUGCGUAAAAUGUCUUCAGUUAAGCUGCUUGUCACAUUGUCUGAUAACAUUGUGGACUAGUAGUUCUUGCAUAGCAGAAAAGAAACGCAGGUUAAGACAUGUAUUUAACGAAUGAUCAAGCAAACAAUAUUAAACAUAAUGAUGCAAACCUAUAAUUAUUUUAUAGUCUAACUAAAUAAUGAUGGCAAACUUCAUUUUUUGAUUUUUUUUUUCCUUUAUUUCUCUAUCGUCAUCACUAAUUCCACGUAACUACGUGAGUUACGUGAUUAUUUCUCUCAGACAUUUGAUUCCUCACAAGUGAUUCUUGCAACCAUCUAUCAACGAUUUUUAAAGUUGAUUGGACACUGAACGCGGAUGAAGUGUCCCUUCCGUUCACACAAGAUACCUCAUAGAUGGUUGAAUACUCAAAUCAGCCGCUUGUCAGGAAUCGAGACCCAUCAGUUUUUUUUGUAGGUUUAUAUAAUGCUCAACUUACCGGUUAGAGUCAGACUGAAAUUUCAGAGUGCAUCAUAUAAUAUAACCCAAUCUCCAAUGUCAUGGCCGUCCCAACUCCCAACCCAACUUCAGAGUUCACCUUAAAGUUAAAUUUUAAUGACAAGCGUCACAAGCCCUCAUAUCAUACUGGACCCUAUUGCAACUAUAGCAGUCCGAGAACCCAGUCAAGCCCAAUGAUGGACUCAAUUGAAUGCCAGGAGUUUUCUUUUUCUGAAGAAAAAAAUGAUACAUUUAAAAACACCAAAUUUAACUGCAUAUCACAUAUAUGUUCAAAUAUUGCAUGCUACAUCAGUAAAACAUGUAGAAAGAAAAAUGUUCAGAUUCUGCAUGUCCUGGUCUUCUCCCUCAGAACAAACUUCUGAAUCUUUCCUGUUGAAUUAACUGGUAAAUCAUACAUAAAAACCAUCUGAGGGACCAUGUGAAGGGGCAGUAGUUCCCUGCAAUACUUGAUAAUCUCUUCACCACUCACAUUAUCAUCAUAUUCAUCCCUUAACUUUACAAAAGCACAAGGUGUCUCACCAUUGACACUGUCAGGCCUUGCCACAACCGCAGCUUCGAGAACCAUAGGAUGAUUUAACAAGACAGCUUCAAUUUCAAGUGUCCCUAUGAUUUCUUUCCUAAACUUUAUCACAUCCACUGCGCGAUCCUUCACCUGUAUACAACCAUCAGGGAGUCUAGUGCCAAGGUCCCCGGUUCUGUACCACCCAUCUUCAAAAGCCUUUCUAGUCAUAUCCGAAUCUCCGAGGUAACCGGACAUCAUAGUAUUGCUCCUAAACAUCACUUCCCCAAUGGUUCUUCCAUCAGAUGGUACACUUUUCAUUGUUACUGAGUCUUUGACAUCAACUUCUUCCAUGAUUCCUUGUCUAAACUUUAGGCUUAUUGUUGACAUACUCAACUCUGCAUUGGACAACUUAUUAACAAUCACGGGUCCGAGAGCCUCUGUCAUUCCAUAUCCAUACGUGAUGUUAAAUCCCAAUUCUUGAACUCUGGACAAAAUUUCAAUUGCUGGCAGUGCUCCAGCAAUUACUGCUUCCACUUUGUAGGCAUUUUUCCGCGUAUAGUUAGCUGGCGCCUCUGCAAUCUUGUUCAGGAUUGAUGGCGCCCCGCAUAAAUGCGUUACUUGAUGAAGCUCUAUAGCAUCAAAAAUGACUUCUGUUGUGACAUUUCGGGUGCAAAUAUUCGUGCCACCUAGCGCAGCCAUUGCCCAAGGUAAGCACCAACCAUUGCAGCGAAACAUGUCAACUGUCCAUAAGAACACCGGAAAUUUUCUCAUCUCAAAUCGAAAAAUUGCAGCCAGAGUAUUGAGAUAGGUUGCUCUGUGGCUGUAGAUUACUCCCUUAGGCUUCCCUGUUGAGCCAGAAGUGUAACUCACUGAUAUGGGAUCAAUUUCGUUCUUCGGUUUAACUACUUGAAAAUCAUUUUGGCCCAUAGCAAACAGGGAACUAUAAUUUAGGCAACCAUUAGGAAGUUUUUCGAAAUGUGAAACUUCUUGAUCCGAAUCUGGUAUCAGAAUUAGGAUGGGGAGCUUGGUUUGUGCCAACGACAAAGUUUCGAAUGCUGAAUGCACAACUUCGACGAAUUCAGAGUCUACGAAAAUCACUUUGGCUUCCAGUUGCGUUAGUAUUGAAGCCAACAUUGUUGUGUCCAACUUUGUGUUAAGUGCAGAAAGCACACCUCCACUCAUGGGAACUGCAAAAUGUAACUCAUAGAGUGCUGGGAUAUUUGGUGCCACAGCUGCAACCUGUCAAAUUUAACAAGAUCUAUACUUACAGUAACUCAUUUAACGGUUUUUCUAGUCUGUGUCCAUAAUCACACAAUAAUAACCGUUUUUUAGUUAUGUGUCGGAUUUCUAAUGACAAGUGUCUUUGCCGAGGCAAUUCGGGUUUGGUACAAUUUUUGAUGCCUAAUUUGGAGUAAUUAAGAUGUCAAAGAUGAAAUGUUAGCUUUACACUUGCAAGUUGCAGGGAGAUAUUAAUUUUGUACUCCCUUUGUCCUAUUUAAUUGUAUACAUUUCUUUUCAACUGCUCGACACGCAUUUCAAUGCUUUUAUAAAAUAUAGUUCUGUAACUUAUUUUUGAAAUUUUCUUUUUCUGAAUAAAAAUAUAACAUCCAAACUUUAAUUCAAAAAAAGAAAAUUUUAAAAAUAAAUUACACAACUACACUUUACGGGAGCAUUAAAGUCCGUGCCGCGUCCCGGUCCCCCAAUGUAUACAAUUCAAGGGGACGGAGGGAGUAUUAGAUAAACUCAACGGUGUAUAAAGUCAAAAUAUAAAAUAGUCUAAACUACUCAACUUCAAAUUGUCAUUCCCUGAACUAGAAUUAGGAAGCGUAAACAACGUUAAAGAAAUAAAAAAGUCAGACCUCAUAUAUUCCACAGAUGUAAUAUUUGAUGGCCGUCGUCAUAGGUUUAGUCUGGAGUGUAAACGAAUCUUAACCGACGAGUACUUUGGAAGGACAAUCCCUCCAUUGUUUUCCAGACAGGCAGAGCAGAUUUUUUAUUCGAAUAAAGAUGUCUGAGCUCGAGCUCGUUAAUUUUUUAAACUUGAAUUUUUAAAAAAUAAAUCUGAUUGUUCAGAAAUAAUUAUUUUUUUAAUAUAAAUACUUAUACGUUAUAAAUAGAAUACAUAAAUAUAAAUAUUACUUGAAUAUGUUAUUUAACAAAUAUAAAUGAUAUUUUUCAAAUGAGCCGAUCUCCACACACAGAAAUCAUUAUUCUCAAAUGAGCCGACCAUAGUCGGAAGAAUGGGUCAUAAAUAUCAUCAAACAAAUACUUAACUCAUAUUAGUACAAUAUAAUGUGUUUUAAGUUAAGAAUAAAGUUCAUCCUUGAAUAUCUUCAAAAUAUUUUCAUAUUAACGAAGUUGAUUGAUCGGUAUUCAAGUCGUAUAAAGUUUAGACUAAAUAUCAUAAUACAUAAAUUAUCGUUUUUUGUUCUAAUUUUAUCGAAGUUGAUAAUUUAUGUAUGAGAGCUAAAUCAAAUAUUCUUACAUUUAUAUACAACUCGAUAAUUCUCGAAUUAUCGAGAAUUGAUAGUUUAGUCUCGAUAUAUGCAAGUUCAGUUUAUAUAUAAGAACUUAAUUAUGAGAACUAAAUCAAAUACUCCUACACUUGUAUAUAACUCAAUUAAAUUGAGAGUUGAUAAUUUAGUCUUGAUAUAUGAGAGCUCGAUUCUAAAUCAUGUUCUUAUGUAUAGGAACUUAAUUAUGAGAACUAAAUCAAAUACUCCUACACUUGUAUAUAACUCAAUUAAAUUGGGAGUUGAUAAUUUAGUCUUGAUAUAUGAGAGCUCGAUUUUAAGUCAUGUUCUCAUUGCAAGUGAGUAAUACUCCCUCCGUCCCUUUUUAUCUGUCCAUUUUGGAAAGAAAAACACAUACCAAGGAAUACUUAAUUGUAUAAACUUUUUCAUUAAAUACCUCUAAUUAAUAUCUUGAAAAUGGUGGAAUACCCCUACUUUAUGUCUUGAAAACAUGAAUUCAACCAAGUUUUAAAUAAGUCAAGUCUUGAAAAUUGAAAUUAUGGAGAUAUAUUUGAAAAACUAUCAUUAAAUUAGUUUUGAAAGUAUAAAUGGACAAAUAAAUAAGGACAAAUCACUUCAAGAUAAAACAUAUCACUUCAAGAUUUCGAGGAGAGUUAAAGCUUAAAUUUACGAGAAUAAUCAAAGCAAACUAACGUCGAACUUUGUCCUUCAUUAACGAGCAACAAAGUACUGAAGCCUUGAAAAACAUGUAACGGCAAUCAAUUAGUAGAAGCUAAUUAAGGAAAUGAGAAAACUUACAACAUCACCACGGUUAACUCCCAAAACAUGUAGAGCAGACGCGAUCUUGAGGCAUCUUUGACGCGUUUCACGCCACGAAAAUUUAGUGUUUCGAUAAACGAUAGAGACCCUUUCGGCAUGAACCAAUGCUGCUUGUUCCAGGAAGUUGAUCGGAGACAAAGGCAUGAUCAUGUUGUUUGCUGAGCAUUGAAUCACACACUUCAUUUUCUCAAUCUUCUCGUCAAUGGUAGCUACAUAUACAUGCACAAACCAUAUAAAAUAUUAACCUGAGAAGCACUAACUCUUUUAUAUUCUAGAAUUUACAUUAUAUUAUUAAUAUAUCAUACGAUAGGAUGAACUCUUGAAAUACAGCGCAAAAACACAAGACCUGCGCUAAUGGUUCAUACUUGGUUAUGACGUUUAUUUUUGCCGUCAUCCAUUAAUUGUCAGUUUUCUGUGACAAGUACGAAUACGACUUAAUAUUAGGGGUGUACUUCAUGAAAUUCGAGUAUAUUUAAUUGUGAUUAUUCAAAUUCAUUAAAAUCUUUUGCUAUUCAAUUAAGAUUUUAAAUUAUGCUACAAAAUAUGGUGAUAUUUAAUUGAGAUUGUUUGAAAUCAACUAAAAUAUGGUGAUAUUUAAGUGAUAUUUUUUGAAAUCCCACCAAAAUUCAUGAAAUUUGAAAUAUUAUGCUUAAAUCCUAAAGAAUCUGCAUAAACUCUACAACAUUAAAAUCCGCACAAAAUCAAAAUCACAUACAAUACAUUAAAAUCUAUAGAUUAAAAUCCUAAUUAAAUGCACCCCUCUUAACAUUUCAAAUAUAAAAUGUGAGAAAUUCUUAAAAAUACAGGAACAAUGAGGUAAUUACGUAACAUAUUUAACAAAACUAGACCAAGCCACCCGUUAACAAAACAAUCUACGAAGAUGAAAAACAAAUCAAUGAAAUACAAUGUAUUAAUGAAGACGGUAAAAGAAGUGUACCGUUCACUAUAGUCAAUUAGUCAUAACCGUGUACAAUCAACAAGGCAUGAAUGGCUGAAUUGUCAGGCCUUCAAAAAACAAGUCCCGACUGCUAAAUAGAUUUUUGCCCACUUACACUAUGAUAGUGUGAUCGUUGGAGCUAGUUUAGAGAAAAAGGAAAGAGUUUAUGAUUUGUGAGUUGCAUACAGGAGUACCAUCUUAUGAGUUGUUCUUCUAUUUAUAAGACGAGAAUAGGAAGUGUAACGGCUGCAGAUUUAAAUUGUUGUAACUCAGCCGUUAUAAAUUAUUCAAUUAAUUCUCAUCCGUUACAGAAUAUAUAUAUCUUAAUUCUCAACUGUUACAGAAUAUUUAUAAUUAAUAUAUACUCACCUGAUAAAUAUACAUAUUAAUUCUCGAUUGUUACAAAAUAUUUAAAUUCAGUUCUUAGCUGUUAUAUUUUUUGCUGUUGUAGAUUAUAUGUUCUAUGGUAGUUCACUAUUUUAUUGGAGUUCUUGGAGUUCAUAUAUGUUUUGCAAGUAAAAUAUAGCUUAAAAUUUUGCAAAACAUAUUAUUUUUCAAAUAAUGUUCUACAAAAUCACUAUUAUAUUAAAAAUAUUGCGGAUCUCAUACAUUUUACGAGUAGAAAGCAAAAUAUAUUAUUCUAUAGAACAUGUUUAGUUUGUAGACAUACGUAUUUUACUUAUAAAUGUAUGAGAUUUGUAAUAUUUUAUUAAAGUAAUGAUAUUUAUGAAAUAUCUUUUGCAAGAUAACAUUUUUUACAAGAUAUUUUAUUUGUAGAACAUCCCGAGAACUCCAAUAAAAUGGUGGACUCAAUGGAACUCUAUCCCCAUACAUAUUUUGAUAAAUUUAAUUUAAUCAGAUUCGACUGUUACAGAAUAUAUAUAUAAUAUAUUUAAAUAAUUCUGAUUUUGAAUUUCUUUUUUAGUUUAUUCAAUUAUAUUUAUAUUAAUUAAUCAAUUAAAUAAGCAAAUAACAAAAAUUUCUCGCCAGAUCGCCUCACGUAUGCAAGAUAUUCACACAAAUGACCCCGAGUCGAGAUGUGGCAUGGCAAUGUGACUACAGGUGGCAAUCGUUUUGUUUCGUAUACUUUCGUUUCGUGUAAUUUCGUGUUUCGUGUACUCGAAGGUGAAACCCGUAUCCGCCCGUUAUUAAUUUCGUGUACCUAAUUUGAAACCCGUAUCCGAUCCGAAUCGUUUCGUAUAUAUUUCGUGUACUUUUCGUGUAUAUUAUAUAUAAAAAUAUUAAUAUAUUUUUUCAUCAAAAAAUGGAUUUAAUAUAUAUUUUCCUUUAUAAAUUUAUUAAAUGUGGAUGAUAUAUUUAUUUACAAUUCUCUAUAAAUUUGUUAAUGUAUCUACAAUAUAUAUCCACACAUACAUAUAAAUAUAUACUUUUUACUCAAUUAUAUAUCUAAUAUAUCAUAACAUAUAUAUAAUAAAUAUUAUCUACAAAUAUUUCGUGUACUUUCGUGUAUUUCGUGUACCCCAGAUGAAAACCCAUAUCCGACACGAAAUCUAUCAUGUAAUUUCGUGUUCGUGUAUUUUUGUGUUUCGUGUAUCAAAAAUUGAAACCCAUAUCCAUUUUUUUCGUGUCGUUUCGUUUCGUUUCAUGUUAGCGUGUCACGUGUCAAAUUCACAUAUCAUGCACAUGAUAUCUAAUAAAAUCACAUAUCACAUACCGCUCUUUAUUAUUUAAAUGUCACACAAGUCAAAUUACUCAUUUCAAACUUUUUAAUGUUCCUAUUUUAAUCAAUUUCUCCAAUAAAUUACAUUACAAAAAAUUAUUAGAUUCAAAUAUGAUAAUUUAAGUUUUCAGUUUUAGAAAAAACCUCUAAUUAUCAGAAUUCAAAAAUUACAUAAAGAGCAUAAUAUAUAUAGCCUAAUUUUUUUUUAUCUUUCUAAUAUAAAAUACGUGUGGUAAUAAAUGAAAAUCAUACAGAGAAGCUAAAUCUCAGAAUAGGGUAGUGUAAAUGAACACUUUGAAAUUCAUAAAACAUUUUGAUUCUGAUUGAUGUGAAUGCGAACGUUAUUACUUAUUUAUAAGAUAAUUUUAUCCACGGAAUGUAUUAGGCGCUUGAUUUGUUUGACACCAAUUUCGAUCAUGAUUCAAAUCUAAAUUUAGAAAAAAUUUAAAUAAUUAAAAUAUUUAACAUAAAUGAAAAUUUCCUUUUAUAUUAAUCGAAUUAAAAUCUCAUAAUCGAAUAUAAACAAUCAUUUUCUUUCAGCUGAAAGAAUGAUAGAAAUGACUUUUCUCCGCUGCCAAACAGGAUGGCCUCAGGCUACGCACAUAAACUGAUAAACAUAUAAAACCCUGACACUGCAAAUUUAACUAAAAUAAUCGAUAAGUGAGCUAAUAAAUUUUCUUAACUAAAGCUAUAUAUAUUACUUAAAGAUUUAAAGAUAUAAUAUAUUAUUAAAAUAAUAAUUUCAUAAAUUACAAACAUGUACAUUCCGUGUAUACCGAGUCAGACCAUUUACUGAAUUAAAAAAUAACUCUGCGUGUUUUGGCCGGUGACGACCGACUUUAAACGAGCAAAGUCAGUCCACCAUCAUAAUUUAGACAAGCAUGUAUACAACUGCGUCUGCAAGUCUAGGUCUUUUUAGCGCACUAUUUAAUAUUGCAUAUUACAAUUGUGGUAAACAUCGGUGCAUAAAUUCGAAUCAAUGAGGUAUCUUAAUUGUCCAUCUGUGGAGCAUGAUCGAAUCAUCCGGUCCUGGUUUCGAUUUUUGAUAACUUAACAACUGAAGUUCUCAAGUCAAUAUCAGGAACAUUAUUCUCAUACAUCACAAGACAAACCGCAUAUUAAGAAAAUACUUGAAACACAAUUACAUAGCAACCAACCUCUCUAUGAAAGAAGAAGGAAAUAGCGCCAGGGCGAAAACCACAACAUAUUCAGUAUUCAUUCAGCUUUCCACGAUGAAAAGGGUGGAGUAUCCGAGUUCAGAUAAGAGGCUGCUCCGGUUGGGUAUCUUUCACCCUGGACAGAAUUAGCAAUGGAUUCAAGUUCCGCCAUUUCGUGAGUUGUUAAUUUUAUCUUUAAAGCUCCAAUAUUUUGGUCAAAAUUUUCAAUUUUGGUGGUUCCGGGAAUAGGACACACAUCCGAUCCCUGAUGAUGGACCCAAGCCAGUGCUAGUUGUGAUGGAGUACACCCUUUAUUUGAUGCAAUCGCAUUAACUCGAUCAGAUAAGAUUUUAUUACGCUCUAUAUUUUCCUUCUGGAACCUUGGUAGAGCCUGCGCAGAAAGAAAGAAUUAUACAAAUUGAUCCAAGGAGCCAAGAACUAAUAUUUAAAACAUAUUAGUUCAGAAUACGGAUUAUUAUAAAUAAAUAUUCUGAUUUAUGAAGUAUGUUAAGCAAUUGCAACUUUUGCAUUCCUUCACGGGUUUACAUAAUCUAUUUUAUACAGCUAGUACUAGCAGUACGAGGUUCAGAAUAGUUACUAGCAACCAAACCUUCAAAACAAAUCAGAUUGUUAAAGUUUCUUUAACGAAAGAGUUUCAGACAGUUAGAUUGUAGUUGUUCAUGAAUUGUUUUAACUUUGCUUGCUGUGUUUUCAUGAAGAUCCAAGCUACUAAAAGAGAACUCGGCACUCUGCAAAUAGUGAUCAGUUUCUUCAAUAAACUUGAUUUUAUUUACUUUUUGGCUAAUUUAGACAAUAAAACUGAAUUUUAGAUUUUGAAAUUAAAAUACAAGCUUGAUACUUAGUAUAAUAGAGAAAACAACCUUUCUGUAGUCAUCUUUUGCUAAGCUGUCAACCAAAUUUGAACCUCCAGACAAGAAUCCCCGUCCCAGAGGACUAUAUGCAACAAUCCCAAUGCCUAGUUCUCUGAAAAAUACAAACCAGUGAACUAAGUUUCUGAUUUUUUUUAUAGGUAGUUGGAAAAUAUGAUGAUUUAAACAGAUACCAUACCUGCAAGUAGGAAUUAUAUCUUCCUCCACGCCCCUCGACCACAAAGAACACUCCAGCUGCACGGCAGUGAUGGGAUGAACAGCAUGAGCUCUUCUGAUUGUAGAUGCAGAGGCCUCAGAAAGCCCUACAUACUUGAUCUUACCUUCUUCAACCAGUUUUUUCAGUUCUCCCAUCUUCCAAACAAAUGCACAUUUUUAAGGCACAAUGGGUAAAAGGAGAAAUAGGAAGAAACAACAUAUUAUGGUACCAUCAUCACAUAAAUCAACAUUUCUUUGCACUAUCAUGGUUAAUGGCAUCAACUUACAACUGUAUAAUAAAAACAUAGCACUUUGACCUCCCGGACGACUAUGCGCCCCAACUGAGUCGAUGAAGAUAGUAGUCAAAUGAUUAAAUAACAGUUUUUUGAUGGACUACUGGCCUAGAGCUCUCACAGAUAGUCUUCUAAGUUGGAAAUGAUUUAAUACAAAGUGAAACUGACGAAUUCUCGACACAAUCAGAUCCUUUCGCAAAUCCUGCUAUCAUGAGAGUUGCUAUUUAACAUUUAACUGGCCACUGUGUGCACACACUUUCACAAAUGAAAUAUCACAGAUAUGCUCACUGCAGCCAUUCCAACAGCACACCAAGAAAGACUCAUCUAGGAUUUGGGUAAAAGCAGCAAAAUCAUUCAUUUGUCUAUUGUUGAUUUAUGAAAAUAACAUUUUUUAAUUAAUCAAAUUACCAGUAAUGAGGACAGAUUAAUACAACAGCUAUAAAAUUUUUAGCAGAAAACUUAAAAACAGGGCAAGUAAUUUGGGACACGACAACUAUGUAUUGACAUACCGUAACUUCAAUUGGCACUUGAGUGUCAAUACGGUGCUGAUAGUACAAAUCGAUAAAAUCAAUCUCAAGCCUCUUCAAGCUAGCCUCACAACACGCCCGCACGUAUUCUGGAUCGCCUUGCACUACUCUGAUUUCUCCAUCCAUCCUGAUCCCAAACUUGGUAGCCAGCUGAACUUUGUCCCUAACACCGUCCUUUAAAGCCUACAUUCACACAAUCUCAUUCAAAUCCUUUACACAUUUUGAACUCAAGAUUCAUUUACAUAUUGAACGGGUGUCAACCCAAGUCCCACGUCAUAAAAAUAAAGAAGAUUUAUCUUGAAUAUAAACAGUCAACGAACUCUAUUAAUAUGAAGCGUUUUGGAAGUAGCCCCAAAACAAAUCCUUGCGGGCUUGCCAUAAUCAUCCCCUUAAUCAUAUCGAGAUGAUGAAAAAAAGGCACAUAAAAAGAAAAACGGACCUUAGAAAUGAGGAUUUCGUUGGUGUGAGGUCCAUAAAAAUCUGAAGUGUCGAGAAGAGUGACACCGCUUUGGACAGCAUGGUGGAUGAGUCGAAUCAUGUCGGAAUCAGGCUUGGUCUGACCGUAGAAGUAGGACAUUCCCAUGCAGCCAAGACCCUGAGCUGAAACUUCAAGACCUUGUGAACCCAACUUCAUUCUGGGGACUGCAUCACCCAUUGUAAGGCUAGUAUAAUUUGGAAUUAUUUAUGUGUAUCAGAGAGUUGAGCCGAGAUUUUCCUUGACAAAAGAGAGAGUCUAGUAGAGAUGAUUUUAAGCAUGAGUCUGGAGAUCUAUGUUAUUUAUAGGUGCAGGACCGGAAGCACAGAACCGAAUGGAAUCCAACCAAAAAUCAAAAGUUAUGGAAUUCAUGGACCUAGUAGAGGACUACUAUAGUCUGCACUAAGACCAGACCAUGACCAAAUAGAUAAUCACUUAUGACUUAUGACUUAUCUAUGAAAAACAAAAAAGGGCUGCCGGACGUAAAAUCAGGACAAAGACGAGUAGUGUUAGGUAAUCAAAAUUUAUUUUUUAAAUAAAAUGUGAUAGUUAAAUAAUUUGGUUCGAUUUAUUGAUGUAUGUAUAUACAUAAAAAAUCUCAUAUUAACUUAAAAAUAAUACUCCCUCCGUUCCAUUUUAACUGUUUUUGACUUUUUUACACGUAUUUUAAAGUGUAAAAAAAAUCACAUCUAUAUAUAAUUAUUCUUUAUAAAAUUUAUAUCAAAUAAAAGUUUAGAAUCUAAACUUUUAUUUGAUAUAAGAAUUGAAUUUUUUAAUUAAGCGUAGACAUUGUCUUUUUACACCUCAAUAUACGUGUUAAAAAGUCAAACAUCACUUAAAAUGGGACAGAGGGAGUAUAACUUAUAUGCAUAUGAUUGUUAGAAUAUAAUAAGAUUUUGGUAAGUUCUCUUCCAUUUAAAAUUUUAGAACAAUUGCUCACUUAACUUAAUACUAUCAAAGUAUAGUCUGGUGGAGCCUUUUUGAGAUUUUGAGAGAAUUGAUUAUUUAACGGACACAGUUUGGAAUCAUUUAUUAAUACUUUACAUUUUUUUUUGUGACAGAAAUACAUUGCAUUUUCCAAUCAGGACAAUAAGUGCAGUUUUUAUAGUAACAAAUUCAAGCCACCAAACGUCAUUGCUUGCGUUUUAAUAUUUUCCACUCUACUUUCCAAAUAUGGAAACAUUAUAAUAACUCAGCUUUAAAUUUAUGUCAGGCCGCCGGGGACAAAAUCACAAAAUACAGCAAAGUUAUAGUAAUGUAUAGCAAACUUCUUCAAUUAUAGCGCUCCGAUAUGUAGAAUAUGGUGGCCCGUUGGGUAGAAAACUAGAUACAACAAACUAAUAUCAAUUGAUGCAGCCACUAGUCAUGUGGAAUCCAGAAACUAUUUUAAUUCUGAUUAUAUUAUUCAGUUUAAAAGCGGAGCAAAGUUUAAUUGACCACUUUUUUGAAAAUUUGGAACUCAUUUCUGCCCGUCUGUUACUCCCGUUAGUAAUAUUUAAUGAGAGCCACAUUUUUAAAAGAUUAAUUGAAAUUAUUAAUCAUGAUAUUAAACAAAUAUAUUAAAUAAUAUAAAAUAUCUAAUUUAUUAAGAUUAUUAUAUUAAUUUUAGAAAGAUAUGUUAUGAUUAAUGGGAUUUAAAAGAUCGAAUCAACUAAAUAUCUUGUAAGGUGAUUUUUAGAAAUAUCCUAAAACGUUUUACAUACAGGUGAUAUUAAGGAGAGUAAUGUCAGGGACAUCAGAAUUUGUACCGAAAUUCUGUUCUCAAAUUACAUGGCAGACAUAUGACGGAUUUUAGUUGAGUGGUUUAUGCAGAGACGGAAUCAGAAAAAUAAUUUGAAGGGGCGAAAAAUUUUUAUGUAAAAAAUACAUUCCGACAAUUUAGAUUUUAUUGAUAAGUUUAUGAAUUUGUAUGCACAAAAUUCAUAUUUACAUGAGAAUUGGGAACAUAUUUUGGGUUACUUAGUAUCUUCCUGUUUAGAACUAUGCUACAAGGUUUUACAUGCUGGACUGCUGGAGUCUAGAUCAGCACUCCUGAUUAACAUGUGACCCCAAUUUCUUGUAUUAUACCUAUUUGGAUUAGAAAUCAUAACUUAGCUAGGAACAUAGAUUUUAUUUCCAGAAGGAUUAGGAUUUAAGAAUGUGAAUCUGAUUCGGACAGCAAGCUUCUUACACUUGUUGCUGUUUUUUAUAAACGAACAUGGUGGUUUUGAAAGUCUUGAAAACAUACGAAACAACAAUGGGAAAUUUUGUACUUGAUGCUCUAAGAACAUCAACUCUGUCAAUACAAACAUCAUUCCAUGAAAUCAAAGUAUCUUUCGGGUCCAUCAAAUCAUUAUUAGUACCCUGGACAAGAUCAAACAGUAACAAUUCCAGCCCUGUCAUCUCGAAAACAAAGUUGCGCGAAGAUAUCAAAGAGUUUGAUGAGUCUAAGGUUGGCGUAAAAGGCCUAGUUGACGCAGGAAUCACAUCGAUUCCACGUAUCUUCUACCAGCCACCUGAGAAUCUAAUUGAUUCGCGCUCUCUCACGCGAACCUUGGAUAUCCCUGUCAUUGACCUGGCUGCGUCUGACAGGGCUAUUGUUGUGAGACAAGUUCAAGAAGCAUCGUCUAAGUUUGGAUUCUUUCAAUUAAUCAAUCAUGGAAUUCCUUUGUGUCGUAUGGAUGAUGUGAUUUUGUCGAUCAAGGCUUUCAAUGAGCUUGAAACAGAGCUGAAAUCGCAGUAUUAUAGUCGUGAAGGAAAUGAGAAGAGAGUACUUUACUAUGGUUCAAGUUUGCAUUUAAAUGAAUUAGAAGGCGCCAGCUGGAACGACACGUUGCUGGUAGCAUUGGGACCGGAGCCAGCAGAAUCAUGUUAUGUUCCGGAGGUAUGCAGGAUGGCGGUGGCUGAGUGGGAUGAAGAGAUGAAGAAACUAGGGGGUGCUUUAUUAGGUUUAAUGAGUGAAGGACUCGGGUUGAAGAGGGAAGCACUAGAGGAGAAGUUGUGCAUGGAUGCUAGAAUCAUGGCUGGAAAUUAUUACCCUCAUUGUCCACAGCCAGAUUUAACUCUGGGCUUAAAAUCGCAUACUGAUCCUUCUAUUUUUACUCUGUUGUUGUCUAAUCAUGUACCUGGCCUCCACGUUAAAGUUGAAGGACAUGAGUGGGCUAAUCUGGUGGCUCAUCCGGGGGCUCUUGUGGUAAACAUUGGUGAUGUUCUUCAGGUAAAAUCAAAUAUUUCGUAUUACAUCAGGUCUUGUUUUUAUAUUUUGCAAAGUUGUGAAACUAUGUGUCCCUGAUAUGAAUAUUUUUUUUUGCAGAUUAUUUCAAACGACAAGUACAGAAGUGUUGAACAUCGGGUGUUGGCCAACUCAUUACAAGAACCACGAAUAUCAGUUGCAGUUUUUUUCAACCCAGCUAACGAUGCAGACACUUAUGGACCGUUACCUGAAAUUACAUCACUGGAUGAACCAGCUCGUUAUCGCGACUUUGAUUUACUAGAGUUGAGACAACAAAUGAAAAAGGAAGUGGGUGUCAAAAGUUUGAUUAACAACUGCAGGAUUGGUCCAAAUUUGAAGUGGAGAGAUUGGAAUCCGCUCAGGCUUCUACAGUCUUAUGUAGGUUCUAGUCAGAAUUAGAUAGAUAUUCAGUUUCAUCAAUUUUCAGGACUCGCUGUUCCCUGUAGUUUAUCACAUUUUGAUUCCCGUCACUGGUAAUCCGGCUAGGAGGUCUUUUAACCAAGAAUUUCAUAUGUUAAUCAGAUCUUAUCUCUGCGGCUAGUUGUAACUGUUAAUUACCAGCUUCAGAAUAGUUCUUUUGAUUGUUUUGUCAUGUGCUUAAUUGUGCAAAAUUUUAAAAAAUGGUUUUGAUUGUUUCAAUCAGCAUGUUAUUGAGUCAAUCCUACAGAGGUUCUUUUCAUUUACAUGUAACUGCUCAGUUAUCUUAGCCUUUUUUUUCUUUAGGUAAACCAAACCAAGAAUGUAAUACUUUGUCAAAUAUUUUUAAUACACACGAGUUUAUACUAGAUGAGCAUCUCUAACAAGGGUUGUCAAAAUAAUUGUCAAUAUUGUCAAAUCAUCAUAUAUUAAUAUUUAUUUCACUCAUUUUUUAUCAACUUGACAACAUUCUAAUUCAAUAAUUAGCAAAUUUUGAAAGUUGUCUAUGUGGUCCUCUCAAUUGAAUUAUAAAUGACUCAUGAACUAAUAGAAGUAUUAAUAAUCUACAUUUUCGGCACUUAUAUAUGUAUUUUAACUAUUUUGGAAAGUUACGAAGUUUUGACGAUGGUGAUAGGCAGCCUCUUGGCAAUCAUACAACUUCAAUAGAUUGCAAUGAAGAUUGUCCUACCACAUAAGAUUUAACAACCUCUUAGCAAUUUCUAUCGGAGAUGCUCUAAGAUAGAUUUGACACCCCUUUGACAAAAUCUCUAUCGGAGAUAUCAUAAGAUGAACAAAUUUUUUUAAUAAUUAUAUAUUUAAAAAAAUUAUUGAGUAUAUAUAUUUAUAAUUUUUAAGUAAAUAAUUUAUUAUAAUAUCAGUCAGUCGAAUACUCAACCCCCACCGCCGCAUAGGGUUUGCAAGUUGUAACUGAAGAGAAAAUAAAAGCAAGACAAGAUCGGUGCUGCUUAUUACAAAGAGAAUACCCAGUUAAACACACUCUCUCUCGUAACGUUUAAACAGGUUACUUAGCAAAUGGCGAACAGCAGUAAAAUUCUUCUUGAUUUGGAGGCUGAAAAAUCUCCCGCAGGUCUUUUUUCUAUCUCUUUCCAUCCCUGUUAAUUUUUAUAUAACUUAUUUGUUUGUGUUUGCUGAUACUGUUUCGGGGUUUUACAUUAUUUGCAGAAUCCAAGUUUCUGUUUUGUAUGAAUCAUGAUUUCCCGCGGCAGCCUAAGCCUACAAAAUAUGAAUUGCCUCAGAAAAAGCCUAUAAUUACCUCGGUUCCGAAAAGCCAAGGUAACCAUUUUCAUUCUUUGUGCUUUAUUUGUUUUGUUUUAACACUGUGUGGUAAAAACUCGUUAAAUUAAUACUCGAUUAUGUGAUAACAUCUGUUAAUUGAUACUCUACUAAAAUUUGUAGAAAUUGCAGUAGAGGGUACUGUAGGGGUGUAAACAAACCAAACUAUUCGUGAGCUACUCGAGCUCGGCUCGUAAAAUAUUUGAAUUUGAUUCGGUAAUAAUCGAGCCGAGCUCGAGCUCGAGCUAUUUGGAAGUUUUACCGAGCCGAGCUCGAGCUUCAAAUUACUCGGGUCGUAAAGUUCGCGAGCCUUAUCGAGCCUCUUUUAUUUUUUAAUUUUUUUAUUAUAAAUAUAUUUUUACAAAUAUUUUUAAUAUUUUAUUUAUAAUUUAUAUAUUUAAUCGAAUCGAACUCGAGUCGAACCGAACAUAUUUCGAGUUUUUGUCAAUAUUUGGUGACUCGAUUCGAGCUUUCGAGCCGAACUCGAGCUUAUCGAACUAUUUACGAGCCGAGCUUCGAACUUGAAAUUAAAGGCUCGGUCGAACUCGAGCUCGAACCCCGAAUUUUUCAGUCGAGUUCGAGCCGAGCCUGCCAGUGUUCGACUCGGCUCGGCUCGAUUACACCCUUAGAGGGUAGUAUGCCUAAUUAUAGUUACUUAAUAUCACCUGGAGUAUUAUUGUGUUUAUUGCUGAUUCACAUUAUGAUGAUUGGUUCCCUAUUAAAUUAAUAUGCAAUUAAAAAAAGGUUUAAAAGAAAUGGUUCAAGGAUUGCCUCAGUCAUGUCUUGCUUUAAAUUAUUGAUACAUUCAGUUUGCUUAAAGGAUUGUAACUCAUUUGUUUGAUGUAUAGAUGUUUGAGGGAUAGGGGAGCAGUGGGAAAAAUAUUUUGAUUGUAUAUUUUUGUUAUGAUUGUAGACUGUUGUUUAUCACCUAACUGAUUGAGCUUUCGUUACCCUUUUGGUGGGCAAGGUUGUGUUAUGGUUGGGAUGGUGGGAAGGCUGCACAUUGGUUGUAGGGUGUGAUGUUUCUAGUUUCUAAAUUGUAAAAACUACAAUACUAUGUUUUUGAAGUAUUAGAAUAGGUGGAGUUAACUAAGCAUGAAAAUAGUAUCUUUUAUGGUGAACUGAUCUCUGCAUACCCAUUGGUUGGUAGCAGAGAAAGGCGAUGAAAUGUGAAUUAUAUGGAGGGUUGUAUAUAAAAUGGUGGAAGACCUUAGCUGGGGCACGGGGCAAAUCUUGUCAGUGUUGGUAUGUUAUAUUGUUGCUAGAUGUUGGGGAAGAACAAGUGAGUGGUUUUUCAGGGUGAUAUUAGUCAAUGAAAUAAGUCUGCAAACACCAUUAUGUGUAAAGUUAUAGUUUCUUAGUGCUUUAGUGUAGCAUCCAUAAUUACUAUACUUGAUUUCAACACGGUAUUAUAGUGUGUAUUACAGAUGCACAUAUUAAAUUUGACUGAAAGUAUGAUUACUUUAUAGAAACUUCAGGUUAUGACAUUUUUCUUGCUUAAGUAUCUAGAUAUUAAAAAUGACUUUGACGUCUAAGUUAAUGUAGGAAUAUACUUAUAAACUAUUGUUCUGCAUACUUUAACCCCGUUUUAACAGUUCUGGGAAAAUUGAAGGAUUUCUUACCAGUUAUGUCAGAUGCAAAUAAAAAACUGCAGCUCGCUGCCAUGGUACGCUAUUGACUGUAGAUGUAAUCAGAUUGUUUGUCCAAUUACUUUCUUUCCCCACCUUAAAUUAUCAGGACCAAUAUGUUAAAUGUAGGACAAUGCGAAGGUAUUUGAUAUUGAAUCACUUGAAGACAAUGAUUCUGCACACAUUGAAAUGGUAUAUUUCUCUUACACCUAAUGAUGAUUCUAGCAACCAAUUUCUGUACUUAAUUUUGGGGGUAACCUAAUAGGAUCUGAUGCUGGGGGUAGCUGACCUCCAUACCCCUGAAGCUAUUGCUGCUGCCGAGUCUGCUAUCAAUGGUAUUCAGCCAGUUUUACCAUUUGCAACUACUAGUAAUAGUGAUGAAGACACUGAUGAAUACGAUGACAGUGAGAGUGACAGUGAGAGCACUUAUGAUGAUGAGGAUGGGGGAGAAAAUAAGCGUGACUCUGACAAACAUGAUCAGGGCAAUGAUGGUAUUGAACUAGCAUGCUCUCUUGCAAACACAAAAAGAGCCAAAUCCGUCUGCAAGGAAUCAUCUGAAGAUUUGGGAAAUGCAAAAUCAAGCAAGCGACCAAAGAUUGUCGAGCUUUCAUGAAACCUUUCCGGACAUAAAAAAAAAUGAGGUCUGAACUCUGAAGAUGUAUCUUCCAGAAUCAUGGAAUAGGAUGGAGCUAGAAGAACUAUUACCCCAAGUUCACUGAUAUCAAGCACGGAUGAAACCAGCCUGUUGGGAAGCUUGUUGGAGGACUGUAACAUGUUGAGUGUAAAAUAUAUCUGAUGGGUUAUACAUUUUGUUGCUACAAAUUUGUGGUGUUGAAUUCACAGUUCAAUUUGAUUAUUGUACCAUGUGAUAAGUUUUUUUCUCAGUUUAUCAAUUGAAUUUACUCAUGAUGAGGAUGGUAUUUUGGAAAAGCUUUAUUUCCUGAUCGGAAUGUGGUGGCGUGGUGCAGUCAAUUUGGGUGGUGUGGCACCCUGCACCACCCCUGCUUACCGCAGUAACUUCUGAAGCCAUUUAAUCUAAUUAUGUUAUGAUAAUCGAUCAACAUUAAUCACUUCAUCUAAAUACUAGCAGAAAACUGUUAAUAAAACCGAAGAAUGACCCAUAAGUAUUAAUAGUAUGUACAGCUGAAAGGUAAAUUUCUUGCUGCUGUUGGUUGUAAGUGGUCGAAAGAAAAAAUUGACAACAUGAAAUUAAAUUUAAGCGUGUACAAUUGUGUACAGCUGAAAGUGAAAACAGAUGGUCUCACCAUUCCUGUGACAAUAUAUUUAAAUGUGAUUUGUAUAUAUAACAGUUCACGGUGACCUUCCGCCCUUUUCAUGACUAUCUUGAUCGAGAUGAAUGAAAUCAUUUCAAACUACUUUCACUGGCAUUGUUGUCCAGUGAGCGGGUAUCGGAACUUGUGUGCGUCAGUAUUUAAAUUAAGGAUCUUUCUACUUUUAAUUUAGACGAAAGAGAAAUUUGUUGUGUACACAGACACAUAUCAGAAAAUCCGUUAAAUUAAAACGCUUGUUAGUGUAGGAAGUGUUUCUGUUUCAUACGUGGAUGAAUAUUAUAUGAAGGUGGAGAUUAGAGUAGUGUUCUGGCUUUGACAUACGUGUCUUCGGGAAUCAGGUCUCUACUCAAUUCCCAGUAAAACAGUGGUUACUGUCUCAAAUUCUGCAGACUGAAUCACUCUGCUUUUCACCCUUGUAUCUUCUUUAAUUCCAUUGUGCAACUCAAGAAGUUUUAGUGCCAUAAAUUAUGAGAUUUCUUAGAAAUACUCGUUUCCUUCAAGGAAAUGAAUGUCUGUCAGACCUAUACUUUUACUACCACAAUUUGCAUCGCCGUGACUGAUUAACUAAUAAGAGGUCGAGAUUUAAGUGUCGGGAAAUUACACUAGCAAGUGAAUUUUCCAGCAGAGCAGUGCUACAGGGACAAAAUUGGAUACAAAAUUUUGUACAAAAUGACACAGCACGUUCCAAACAAAACUUAACACAUGUCAUUUUGUGAAAGAUUUUGUACAUAAUUUUAUGCCCGAAGCACCAAAUUGAUUAUAUCUGUUCUGUUGUUCUUACUGCAUUAAUGUAAAAACUAGUGACUCCAAUACUAGGUAAAGUUAAAAUGAUACCUUGGCAUCUAAUAAAGCAGGCUCCUUUAUAUCAAAAGGUUGACAUUUUGUAUAAUCAAUGGACGACUAAACAAAUUAAAGAAAAAUAUAUUUAAAAAAAUUAAGGAGAGAUAUAGACAUGCUUAGCUAAUGAGCCAUGGCAACCGGAGCUGCAUAAUUGAUAGACCUCUGGUUGGGCAUUGCAAGCAUAAAAGUGUGAUCCAAGAAAUCAUUCAACGCGACCACAUGUUCCAGUACGAACCUAAGCUCAUCAGCACACGAAAACGCCAUGUUUCCAGCUCUCCUCACUGCAUACACAUAAAAUGUUAAGCACCCUUUCCUGAAUUUGAAUCUUGCCAUCUCACAACCGGUUAGACCCCGGAUGAUCUUUCGGUUUACUUCUCCCAGCGGUAUUUCCUGUGGCCAUAUCCUGUCAACUGCAUUCUUCAAAUUCUCAGACUCGAACACAAAAAUAAGUACCUUGGAUUUUUUGGUGCCUAGGCCUAGUGUAAGAGUGUGCCAUGCAUGGUGUGCUAAGAUAGUAAAAUUUGUUGGUAAAAAUGCAGAGGUGGACCGGAAACUUGUUGAUGUUCUUGAAUUCCCUGCUGGGCUUUUUUCGUCUAGGGAGAGGAGGUGCAGAAGCUGCAAUGGCCGCGCUUGGCGGAUAGUGAAUGAUUUUACAAUAAAUUGGCCUCCAAAACGGAGGCCUUUAACAUCAGAAGAGGGCUUGAAUGAGAAAUCUGAGGCAUUGGUGGCAAUCUUGGUGGUAUGAUCCUGAUUUGGAUGCUGAUAUUUUUGCUUCUUGGCCUUCUUUUUUUCUUUUUCUCCCAUGAAUUUGGUAUUUGUCUUGAGAAAUAGUGUGAGUGGUUAGAGGUGCACUGGUUAUAUUUUUGUAGGGUGGGGUUGAAUUAUAGCCUUUUAGGGAGUAUGAUAUGAUAACAAACCAAUUUUUGAGAGGUGGCUAGUGGGUUUCAUGAUGUUUGUGUUUAUGUUUCCAGCUUUGGGCUUUAAAUUUUAGGUGAAAGUUGAACCGUGAAACUAAUCAUACAAUGACUAGAAAUUGUUUUUUAAAACAUUUAUAUAAUUCAUAUGUUGUACAGUAGGUUGGAGGGUUGAAGUUAUUACAAGUCCCUACAUAUUUAUGACAUAUAUCUCAAGAUGUUGGCAGUUCAUUCACUGCAAUUUAUGAUUCUCUUCAAAAGUUUUGAUUUCUAAAAACAAAAAGAGAAAAAAAAAACAAUUUUUCUUAUCUGCAAAACCGCAUAAUUAUUAGUACAUAGUAAAUGUAUAAUGUAGUACAGUAGAACAUUUUAUAAGAGAACUCAGCUCUUGUCCUAUCUUAAGCAAAUGAAGUGUCUAUCUACCAUCUCAAUCAAAUGGAAAUUAGGAAUUUAAGAGGUUUUAUGCAUGAUAUAUAAACAAGUCUUCCCAAUAAAGUUGUUUCCUACCAAAGGAAACCCCACUGCCUUUAAUCAUUUCAUGGAAAAUUUUAUACACUGUUGGGUAGACCAGGCUGUGAUUGUCCCACAAAUGGUCCCAUAUAUAUUCUUGCAGAUUAUAUGUCCUUGGAUAUUUACAUAUAUAAUAUCUUCUUAUUGAUCAAAAUGAAAGACAUCUCCUACCAAACUUAGGUAGGACACUAAUUAGAUUGUAUCCAUUUAACAAUAAUGUGUCUGAUUAAUGCCUCCUAAUUCAAACCGGUAAGAGUUAAAUGAUAUUGAUUUGAAUAUGUAUCUUUCAACAUAUUGUCAAUUACAGGUUGCACAUGAAGGUGGUAAUAUGAUUUUAACAUUCACUAUAAAUCCAGAAGCCACGUAUAGCUUCAAAUGACUCGCUAACAAUGUUUAGCAAAAACAUUAUCUCAAACCAAACUAACAUUAGCUGCUUUAUCUCAAACCAAACUAACGUUACAUCAAACUAGCAUCAGAGUGCAGAUUACCUACAUUAUUAAUCAACAUAAAGAAAGCAGUAUUCGCCAAGAUGUCAAAAACAGUGAAUAUCCUCCGAUGACAUUCCACAAUGCUCGGGCAAAAACUUUAUUAAAUCUUAUUUCAACCCGACAUUGCCCAUACAUAUUACAACUCUUUCAAGAACUUAUUCAUGCUCAAAAAUAACACAAGACAAAAGUCAACCCCCAUGCAUCAUCACCAAUUCACCAUACACAGGUUACAUAUACAAAUCGACAAACAAAAAAGAGGGAAGAAAAAAAAAAGAAUAACAAAAGCAGAACAUAGAACAAAUUUGUAAUAGACUGAUGCUCCAUGUUCCAGCGUUAUCCAAGAAGCCCGACUAUCUCAAGAAACUGAUGCUGUAGAAAACUACACCCUUCAACAAUUUCCAAGUCCAACCAUCUUGCAAUAUCUGAUGAAAAUAGGUCAACAACCUGACACCCAAACAUGGGAUGGGGAACAAAAACAACCCCACAUAAUGUGUUUUAGCUACUUAUUUGAUGUAAAUAUGAACCCAUUAUCCCUGGUCCAUAACAACUUAUUAUCUCCCCCAAAACAAUUAAAAAAAAAAAAUCUAACAGGUCCUCACUGGUAAAAUUUAUGUAAAACGAAUUUUAUGUAUCCUAAAAAAUUAAUUUCCUCGCGGACAAAAUUUGUAAGACUCAGAGAGUCUUGUAUGAUAUGAGCCUACGCCGGUCAAGCUUCAAUAUACGACUCUUGUCACUGUUUCUUGGCUUCAGUAAUCGCUGCACUUCCAUUUCAGAUUGAAUUGAAGCUUGCAGUCUCUUUAAAUGCCCAUAACAUUGCCUGUGAUCAGACCUCGCAGUGGCCCUCAGUUUCUCAACUUUCUCUUCAAUUGGACAAUAAUGCCUCUGAUAUGGAGACUGCCACUUCGCUUGCAAAUAAGCAAGGGAUCUCCAUGGAGGGAAAGGCAUCGAGUUCUGCUUGAGAGAAGACCUUGCAGCUUCAACCAUGACUUGAAGGUAUUGUUUCAAUUUGCUCAAAGAGCCCACAUAAACAACUGGAAGGGUAUUCAAUAUCCUGUCAUAUGAGUCAACAGCUCUAGCUAUUUCAAAGUGACUCCUAAAGUCUAUAUCAAUGAUCAGACGCUCAGAGCUUCGAGCAUCAUUGUGAUUAACAACAUCAAUAUACUCAUGGUCCCCUGGAUAAAAAAGUUAAUAGAGGAAUAUCAGUAGCAACAAAAAAUGUAAUUAACUCUACAACAGUACCCGAGCUUACAAAAUUAUAAAUUACUUAGUCAAACCCAAGAAUAAACUCUACAUAUCCAACAAGUCACAAUUAAACAUGCAACAUCAUCUGAGUAAAAUCAUUUGUGCAACACCACCAUAUUGCUACCAUUACCAUAUAAGAUAGCAUGCUUCCCUUUCAUUUAUUCAUUCCUGAAUUCAUUAUCUUAUAUUUUAACUUUCUUACAUACUCUGCUAAAGCCUAGGAAUCUAGCUUCUUACAAGUUUAAAGCAAAAAAAUGGAUUCAAGAACAUACCCCCAGGAACCUUUCCACUACCCUGCCACUUAGAUGAGCACACAGCAGCAUCAUAACCAGAAAGUCUCAGAAGCUUUACAAGGGAAUAUCUGAUACAACUAGCAUUACAUGGACCUGGCUUGACAAGGUGUAGGUCUAUCUCACUGAUAGAUUGCAUCAAAGAAUCCACAACAGACAACAAGUCACGUUCAUACUGAUCCAUUGACAGCUUAUAACACUGUGGAACAAGAAAUCAAGACUAGAAGUCAGAAACUUUAGAGAUAAUCUUCAGUACAAACUUUCCUCUUCUAUUUAGAAGGAUAGAGAUAGAGGGAGAAAUUCAAAGUGCAGCCAUAAAUAUUUAGGUUGGCAAUGACAACGUAACAUAUUUAAUUAAAACCCCAAAUACAACUUAUUAGACUUAUUCUAUCUGAUGUUCAUUUUCAAUUACCUUAACAAUUUCAUCACAACAUAACCACCACAAAAUAUUUUCAAAAUGUUCAUUGUUACCUUCUUCCAUGUUAGAUUACUUCCUUUUACACUUAUAUAUGAUUUCCACUCAAUUCUAAUCAUGAAGGAAGGUAUAAUCAAUGACAAAUCAUAUAUCAAGAAAUUAUUCCAUAGACAAGACAAAGCUCGAAAAAAUUUCAAUAUAGAUCUGGUUAGUGAUCACUCUACCCUGUCAGGGACUAAGUAGUCCAAUAAACUUUAUAUGUAAUUUAGAGAGAAUAAGUACUAUAAUUUAGAAGUACAUUUACAUCUUCCCUGCACCCUAUGGCGUAUAGAUUAAGCCGCUCACUCAUCAUAUAAAAUAGCAACAACAAAUCAAUAAAAAUCAUCACUAGAAAAUAAAAGACAGUCAAUCAAAAGACUUCAAAACACAUUAAAGAAUUGUGUAGACCAUAAAAACAACUUAACAGCUGCCUCUGAAUGAAUAACGACAGUGCACACACAUUUCAUAUGUGCACUGGAAAUUUAAUAACUUAAACCAGUAAAUUAUUCUUCUAAUGUUUCAAAAAAUUAAUAAGAAUUUCAAAAAUGUAGUUUAUGUGCUUACUAUGAACCUUCAAUAUCUUAGUCCAUUCUAAAAGAGGGAGUUCUUAAUUACAAUUUGUUGUCUUCAUAAAAUACCAUCUCCUGUUACAUUGAUUACAAAUGUCUCCGUACAUCAAAUACAGACAUCUCGUAACAACGGUAAGUCACCACUUUUGGCCAAUUACAAUCAAUUUUUUCAAAUGAACGAUUUGAAGACCCUGAAACCUUGCUUCGUGCCUUUCUACGGAAAGAAAAAAGACAAGCUCAAUCUAUGCUCAAAUCAGAUUACGAAAAGCCUGUCUCGAAUUAUUAGCAUCAUAAAGCCUUACAUUUAUGCAUUACAUAAAAGUGAUAAAUCCAUAUUAUAAACACCUUAAUACUCAUCAUCAUAAUAGAAUUAUUAGUAUACCAAUUAGGUAGUCUCUUAAUUUAUUACAACACACAUGACACAACACAUACAAAAUGCACAUAAACUUACGUAUAUUAAAUUAAACUUUUAUUCAAUUAAAGUCAAUAAAAUUAGGCAUUCAUUUAAAUCGCAUUACGAAUUUACAACCAAUCAACCACCUAAUCCACAUAGACACAACAUGGCCAGUUCCGCAAAAUCAACACACGCAAAAUUCACAAAAAAAUAAACACAAAAUUCACCGAAACACGAAAUACGAAACCGAAAAAACCUUGAUGUUAUCGGCCAGGCUGGGAAGAUCGGAGAAGCCGGAAUCACUAUCACUACUAUUAUGACACCGAUGCGAAUCACCGCUCCCGUUCUCCAAAAAAUCACUAACCAUCACCGCGAGAUCAUGCUCGCUCUCGUGACUAUAACCUCCGUCACCGCCGGCCGCCAUUCUGAUAAUCGAUAAUAAUUCUCCNCCCUCCGUCACCGCCGGCCGCCAUUCUGAUAAUCGAUAAUAAUUCUCCCCGAGUCGCAUAGACUCCACAAUCCAUACUCACCGCCAAACACAGCCUUACAAAAACAAUUAUCACAACCUAAUUAACAUAAAAUCGAUAACAUAUUAAAGUUUCGAAACGAAAUGAUUGAUGAAAUAUUAAAAUUUCAUUUGUUUGGGCGCCGAGCCCUAGAAAAUAUCGAAUUGGACGAAAAAAUGCCAAUUAUUAGAUAUUAAAUAUAUACGAUUGAAUUAUUGAGUUUCGGUGAUUUGUGUGUAUAGGUGUAUGUAUAGGUUUGGUGGUGGAAAAACCCAACGCGGAGAGGAAGGAUGAAGGGGAGGGGGAAAUGGUGGGAAUAUAAAGGGGAGGGGGGGAUGGGGGAGUGAAAAGACGAAAAGGGGCUUAGGGAGUGUCGUAAUGACCAAGGAAACGUGUUGAAAUGUGACAGGGGGAUGGGGACGAGAAAGUGGAUAAAGCUGGAGAUGAACCUGGACGCUGUGAACAAACCAGGGGCUGGGCUUGGGUUUGGGCUGGAUUGGGUUAUUUACGGCGGUGAUUUUGUUGGUUUUAUUGGCAUCGUGGACGGCAACUGGUUUUUUACCGUUUCAAAUUUAUGGAGGAGUUCACUUUACUAAUUAUCUUAUCUCCUUGAUAUAUUUAUAUUAUCAUUUUCAUUGGUAAAAUUAGUUACAAAAUCAGGCGGUUUUCAAUUUUUUCCAAAAUAAAAUAAGUUCAAAUCAAGUGUUAGAACAAAUACUAAUUCGGUUUGGCUAGUGUGUGCCCAUGGGCACAUGCUAAGCGCGUAAAUUUUUGUAUUUGGGACAUUUUGAUGUGUGUGGUCGGUGUAUUUGCAGGGGGGUCCACCAUUAUCAUGAGAUAGGAGCCAAUCAAAAUGAUUUUCCGCGCUUAGCAUGUGCCCAUGGGCACACCAUAGAAAAACCGAUACUAAUUCAUAAAAUAUAUAUGUGUCAAUAGUCAAAAAAGAUAAAGCUCAAAGUAUUUUCAAAACACAAUCUUCCGUGUAUCAUGCAAAUGUUGGAUUAAAAAAAUAGUUUUAUCAGGAGAAUUUUAAUCUAUUAAAUAUAUGUUUCAUAUAUUUGGAAAUUUGAAUUUUUCAUGUUUUUUCUUUCCAAAAAUUAAUUGUUUGGUCACAGUGGAAUAAGCUUUUAAAUUCACUUAAAAAUUCUAUACAUUUCACUUUCCGAAAAAUAUAUAGGAUUAAAAUAAUUUUGGAGAUAAACACAAAUGUGGAUAUCCAUUAUCCGGUGGCGCAACUUUAUCCUGGUCAUGGAUUAAUAUAAUAAUAUAUGAAGAACGAGUUGGGGACCAAGCCAAAACAUGACGGGGUACUUGUGAGUUGUGAGCUGUAACAGGAAAAUUCAUAUGAUCAUAUGUUAUCCGUAUUCGGCUUCCUAAUAUGAUUGUGGAUCUUUCAUGUGAACAUCCGCAACUGGUAUCCUUUUUUAGUCACCUCUUUUUCAUUUCUUUAUUGCUCCAUAAUGCCAUCUCUCUCGUAAUUCUCUCUCCCAUCUCUCUCGUAACACUCUCUCUCCUCCCCCAAUGGUUUAUUCGGAUUUUCGUAAGAUUCUUUUGACAACUCAAAGUAUAAUGAUUAAUUAUUUUAAUCAUAAAAUAAUAUUUUAUAAAAAAAUUGAAAUAUAGGAAUUGAUUAAACUAACUAAAAUGUAAAUCAUAAAACAUUAUUACAAUGGUAGGCCACUUGCUUGGCCCAUGGCACAUUAUCAAAGAUACCAGUUGUACUUCCUCUCCAAAGAAAUUAUACUACUAGUUGUACUAUUAUAUUCAAGUACAUGAGAAUAAAGUUAUUACAGUACUACUAUAACUCACGAGGGCCUGAUUUUGACUCUUGACUUGAGAUGAAUGGAUGGUACUUGGUACUAGUAUGGUAAUAUAUCUUGGUCAACCAGAGCUGCUAACCUUGGAUUUAUCCUACAUGUCCUGGUCAAGGUUCAAAUGUGAUGACUUUGCAUUUUAUACAUCAGUUCCAUUACAAUCACCGUCUUGUUCUUUCUCGACUCAUAAUUAAUACACUGCCCUGCUCGUUAGUUUGCUUGGCUCAGUCGGCCAGAUGAACAAUUCAGGGGUGACAAUUUUGGUAACAGGUCGUGUUCGUGUCAACAAUCGAGUCGAUUUCGGGUCAAAUUAAAAUCAUUUAAAAUUGAAUAAAACUUGAAAUUGAAGUUUUUAGAAAUGAAAUUCUAAUUUCAGGUCAUUUCGGAUCAAUCAGGUGAUUUUCAGGUCACUUUCGGAUUUUGUCUCAGUAAAUCGGGUUACGGGUUCGUGUCGGUUUUGAGUCGUGUCUGAUAUUGCCAGUAAACCCUGUUUAAACACUCUAUUUUAUCUAUUAGUCAUGCUAAUUCAUAAAAUAUAUAUGUGUCAAUAGUCAAAAAAGAUAAAGCUCAAAGUAUUUUCAAAACACAAUCUUCCGUGUAUCAUGCAAAUGUUGGAUUAAAAAAAUAGUUUUAUCAGGAGAAUUUUAAUCUAUUAAAUAUAUGUUUCAUAUAUUUGGAAAUUUGAAUUUUUCAUGUUUUUUCUUUCCAAAAAUUAAUUGUUUGGUCACAGUGGAAUAAGCUUUUAAAUUCACUUAAAAAUUCUAUACAUUUCACUUUCCGAAAAAUAUAUAGGAUUAAAAUAAUUUUGGAGAUAAACACAAAUGUGGAUAUCCAUUAUCCGGUGGCGCAACUUUAUCCUGGUCAUGGAUUAAUAUAAUAAUAUAUGAAGAACGAGUUGGGGACCAAGCCAAAACAUGACGGGGUACUUGUGAGUUGUGAGCUGUAACAGGAAAAUUCAUAUGAUCAUAUGUUAUCCGUAUUCGGCUUCCUAAUAUGAUUGUGGAUCUUUCAUGUGAACAUCCGCAACUGGUAUCCUUUUUUAGUCACCUCUUUUUCAUUUCUUUAUUGCUCCAUAAUGCCAUCUCUCUCGUAAUUCUCUCUCCCAUCUCUCUCGUAACACUCUCUCUCCUCCCCCAAUGGUUUAUUCGGAUUUUCGUAAGAUUCUUUUGACAACUCAAAGUAUAAUGAUUAAUUAUUUUAAUCAUAAAAUAAUAUUUUAUAAAAAAAUUGAAAUAUAGGAAUUGAUUAAACUAACUAAAAUGUAAAUCAUAAAACAUUAUUACAAUGGUAGGCCACUUGCUUGGCCCAUGGCACAUUAUCAAAGAUACCAGUUGUACUUCCUCUCCAAAGAAAUUAUACUACUAGUUGUACUAUUAUAUUCAAGUACAUGAGAAUAAAGUUAUUACAGUACUACUAUAACUCACGAGGGCCUGAUUUUGACUCUUGACUUGAGAUGAAUGGAUGGUACUUGGUACUAGUAUGGUAAUAUAUCUUGGUCAACCAGAGCUGCUAACCUUGGAUUUAUCCUACAUGUCCUGGUCAAGGUUCAAAUGUGAUGACUUUGCAUUUUAUACAUCAGUUCCAUUACAAUCACCGUCUUGUUCUUUCUCGACUCAUAAUUAAUACACUGCCCUGCUCGUUAGUUUGCUUGGCUCAGUCGGCCAGAUGAACAAUUCAGGGGUGACAAUUUUGGUAACAGGUCGUGUUCGUGUCAACAAUCGAGUCGAUUUCGGGUCAAAUUAAAAUCAUUUAAAAUUGAAUAAAACUUGAAAUUGAAGUUUUUAGAAAUGAAAUUCUAAUUUCAGGUCAUUUCGGAUCAAUCAGGUGAUUUUCAGGUCACUUUCGGAUUUUGUCUCAGUAAAUCGGGUUACGGGUUCGUGUCGGUUUUGAGUCGUGUCUGAUAUUGCCAGUAAACCCUGUUUAAACACUCUAUUUUAUCUAUUAGUCAUUGCCUAUAAGAAAAACAGGCUCAAUCCCAUUUUUCAGCAAUAUCAAGUUAUUGAAGCUCACCCUUACCAACUGCACCCACAAUCUUUAUACAAUAAACCAGCUUACGCACAAUGCUAUAAGCAAAUUUUGAAAUGAAAUUGUGUGCAACAUGUAUGACAAUAUUAGUAGCCGACUGGAUCAAGAAGUUAAAGGUGGAUUUGCCUUGCAAGUAUGUGAAACCUUCACCCACUAAAAUCUUACUCUUCGGAGUGAAGCAAAAGUAAAGAAUCCCCUCCCCCCUCCUUAUUUUGUGCCCCAAACAAAAUGAAGUUUACUUUCUGAUAUCAUAGUGUCGCAAGUGGAGAGCAGGAGGAGAAAAUUACCAACAAAAAACAGCAUCUUUCUUAUUAAUCAAUUAAAGAGUCAAAUCCACAUAAUCUUGGCUCCUAAAUCAUGUCAAUACCUCCAAGCCUAACACUCUUAUUCAAUAGUUCUACAUAAACUAGUAGAAGGGCCAUCAGUCAUUACACUUGCAUCUCAAGAGCAAGAGAAGCUUUAUGAAUCAAAUAAAAACUUGAUCCAAAUCAACUUAUUGUAUAACAAAAUUGCUAUGUCAUUAGAAAAUGCAAGAGAUCAACAUUGUUACAUGGUCAUCAUUCAAGAUAAAGAAAACAUGACAGAUGAUAAAGGGUGCUCCACUGAAAUUUGAGAGUACAAAGUCACCCAAAUAUUCUAUGGGAAACUGAAUGUUCUAUUAAAUAUUUAACAACAUUACAGGACAUAACGAAUAUAUUCCCAAACCUAUCCCAGUGUACUGUCCGUUGUUUCCUCGAGUCAUAAUCAAUGGUCUUCCAUCUUUUUCAAUCCUUUCAUAUCAGUUGUCUCCACCCUGUAUUAAAAGCAAGGUCAUAACUUAUACUCGAUGCCACAAAUACACUUGCAAAUUUAAUUACUACAAGAUAUUCUAGGAAAGUAUGUUCGCCAAGGCAUGGUGCAUCUGUCCUAUGCUAUUUUUAAUCAAGCCUUAGAUUACACACAGAGCUUAGAAACAAUUUAUGUUAUCUCUGCCCAAUUAAGUUGUGUAUAUUACAGGUCCACUGGAUUUCCAAAUUUAAUGGGAAGUAAAAAAAUCAAUAAUGUGCCUAAGCCUUUAAGGGAUAGGAUUAUAUCAGAAAACAUUGACAAAUUCCGAUAUCCGCAUAUAAACAAAGUUGUUAGACCAUGUAGUGAAGUUCCACAAAAGGACUGAAGUGAACAGAGCCCAUGCUUAAAAAUCGAGCUUGACGAACUACGUUACUAAAUAGAAAAGAAAAUGUAAUAACAAAAUUAUACAGUAGCAUAAAGCAAUUAUCAAACUAGAUUCAAAAGCACCAACACAACUUAAUACAUACCAAGUCUUCAAGCAAAAUAACAAUUGAAUCCGCAGCAAUGUAACAAUGUAUUAUGGAUAAUAAGUCUACCACACGGCAAAUUAACAUAUUAAAACAAGAGAGUAAACUCAUAUUCGUCAAGCUUCAAAUUUUCCUUAUGUUUGUGAUUUUUCAUGAGCAACCCUCUCAGUGUUAGUAGGUUGGUGGGGGAUAUGUACGUACUUCCGCAUCAUCAUUAUCAUCAAAAAAUAUCCAAAAUUCAGCCUAAUUUACUUUUUUUAGCUUUAGCAACUGAAAAAAUAUUAAUCAAUUAAUAAAGACUGUAUACUACACUUGUGUAUAUAAUAUAUAGAAUAAUAGAAUGCAUUACUUUAACCAAAAAGAUACACCAACUCCUACAUCAUAGUUUCUGGAUACACUAUAAGUAGCAAGACAGCUGGGUUAGCAAUUAGGCAUCUAAGAGCAAGUCCAACACUAUGCUAAGAGGUUCCCUAAAAAUAUUAUAAAAUAAUAUGUCUUAUUGAUUUAGCACACGCUUUAGUACAUGAGCUCCAAUAGUACUCCCUAUAUCCAUUCCCUAUUAUUAUAAUAAUAGGGAAUGGAUAUAGGGAGUACUAUUGGAGCUCAUGUACUAAAGCGUGUGCUAAAUCAAUAAGACAUAUUAUUUUAUAAUAUUUUUAGGGAACCUCUUAGCAUAGUGUUGGAAUACAAUUUUAUCCCAUAUUCUCUAUUUUCGGAUUUAAGACUUGAUUUAGCACACCUAUUGGACUUGCUCUAAGGAGAUAGACCUCUAGUCAAAAGUCAACUAAGUGCAAAAUUAAAAGCUGAACAAUGAGGGCUUAUAUGGUCCAUCUGUGACUAAGAAUGAAGUUGCAGCUAUGUAGAAUAUCUGAAGUCUUUAGCCACAAAAGCUAUCACUGUGUCUUUUGGCAAGCAAACAUCGUAAGUUAACUCUGUUUCACUUACCAAUCGCAUCCUUCGGCCACUGUCCAAGUGGUCAACUAGUCACCAACCACACAACCGUGCAGUUGACAAGUAUAAAAGAAGCAAAAUGAAAUCAGGAACACACACACGCGCGCAUAUUCAUCCAAUUUCAGGUAAAUUUGGUUUAUAAUUUGUGGAAAACGAUUCAAAAGGAUUAGAAGGAGUAUCAUCAACAUAAUAACUUGAUAGCGUUGCUGUGCUAUGGAUACUCACUGUACACUCAUGGAUAUCUAAUACUAUAGUCAUAUAGGCUUACUACUAUGCAAUAUUUUACAUAGAACACAAAAAGAAGUACACAUACACGACAGGAGAAGUGAUUUGAAAAUAUAUGCACUAUCAGUUCCUAGCUAGCAGCAUAACAUAUGCACUAAUUUAGUUUGUAGUUACCAUUUUAACACACAAAUAUAUAAGUAGGCAGAUUGUUUUGGUUGAGCAGAGCCUGGUAAGAAAACUAGACCAACUGCUUAGUUCUAUAUUCAAUAGUUAACUACCACUUUGCUUGAAUCACAUGAAGGAUUUCAGGUAAUUCGGGUAAAUUCACGAGGUUCAUUAGAAUUAAUAACACUUGGUCCAGUCUUGUUGCAAGGAACUUAAAGUCCUCUCAGAUAUACUCAAAAGGUACUAAAAGCUCAGUCACAACACAGUAUUGUCACUUGGUCAAAUAAAAUUAUUUGUUGCAUUUGAUUCUCCCCUAAAAAACUAAACAGAUUUAAGAAUAUGAUUGAUCAAACACAAAGAGAGCGUAAAAGUACUAAAGAAAUUUAAGUAAUCAAUUUCAACUGAUAAAUAUUUUUAUAGAGCUUAUCAUAUUUGAUCACAUCUAAACUAUUAGGUAAAAAAAAAAACUAUCUGACCAAAAAUGGCUCAAAAAUAUUGUGUAUGUAGAGGAUUCAGUAAAGUCUCCUAUAAACAUGGGUCCUGCUCCCCAGCAUCAGCAUGUGUAUGCUGGGGAGCGCUUAUCUGCCAUACAAAUUUCAGACCGUUGGAUGAGAUACCAACAGCCAGGAUUAUAACAAAAUUUCACCUCAUCCAGCGCUUUUUAACCGCUAGACACCUAAAUCAGACAAUUUGGGGAGCUGUUUUUUUCACUAAACCAGACAAUUUUCUGGAAAAUAUUAUGAAACUGCCAUUAGUAUGUUCAGCGCAAAAAAGCACUUAACGUCCAAAAUUUGAAAAAAGAAAAUACUCGGAUGUCCAGUACUUUUUAAUCACGGAGCAUAUUGAACAUAUUAAAAACAUUAACACAUCCAGUGGAAAAUAACCGCUUGAUGCUAGGUGUUCAGCAGUAAAUUGUGCUGGACGUAGCUUAAAAAUCUUAUAAUCCUGGAAUGUGUAUGGCAGAUAGGAGCUCCCCAGCAUACACCUGCUGGGGACCAGGAGUCCAGGACCCUAUAAUCAUUCGCUGGAAGUCUUUAUUAAAGAUGUGAAAUAUCAGAAGACAAAGUGAUAAGGUGGAAUUUACUGGUCAGUAAACUAUAUAGUAUUGGACAAAUUUAUUAUCCAAGAAGAAGAACAAGAAGCAUUUCUCUACAAUGUACUUGUAUGAAACACAUAACAGCCCAUUUGAUACUUACGUAGUUCCAUAUAAGACAAUCUUUUGAACUUUUGUUGUCUCGCAUUCAGAUUGGUUAUCCUCGAUAAAAAUUGUCAAGCUGAUACAAUGUCCAGAGACAAAACAGUGAGAUCAUUUCAAAAGAUAAGUAAAAAACAUUGAAAGGCUAAAAUGCAAUUCUGAAACUUACCUGCGAACAUUCUGAAACUUGACAUACUUUAAAGCAACUGGUUUUCCCUAUAUGUGCAAGUAUACAAUAUUUGUAUGUUAGCAUUUACAACAUUGUCUGAAACAUGCAAUGGCUUUCACAAAGGAUUCAUCAUAUCACUGGAAACUCUUACCUUGUUAUCUUCAGAGGAUAAUACUAUGGUGUCAUUUGGAGCAUAGUCGUUAACAUUACUGCAAAUUACAUCAUUUUGGCAUGGUAAUAAGGUGCACGAAAAUUAAACUAUGACAUAAUUACUGCGUGCAACUACAAAUCCACAAAUCAGUUACCUGAAUCCCAUAUGCUCCCUAUUUGUAUACAGUUUAACUGUUUUUGGACCUGGAAAUUGACACAAAGUUCCAAAUUUGAAGACAAAUUCCAGUAUGAAGGUAUAUGCACCCAUGGUUCCAAGUUAUCACAAUUAAUUAGUGGAGACCCUUUUACGCAGUUUCUAUUAUACACAAAAGGGAUGCACAAACACAGUAAAUCACUGCAACAAUCCAGGAAGUAACUGGCAAUCCCGGUGGGUUGUGACAUAGGGGAAAAAUGUAUUGACAUCUAAUCAAUGUGCAUGAUUAUGAAGUUUUAGCAAUUAGCAUACUAUCACUUAUUACCAUAUUCACAGAGUAGGCACAAUUUAAAAAAACUAAAGCUAGAAUAUGUAAGACUAACUAGAAUAAAUGCUAAAAAGCAAACAAUUGUAAGAAACAAGUUCACGAAAAUAUAUACCUUCCUCGUCAAGUCCUUGAAUGGCAAUUGAGUGUAGUUUGAUGACUUGGGUGAAAGGUAUAUAAAUCAAAAGUUGUUCAUCUGCAUCACUCUCUAAAUUCAACCCAUCAUCUUCUCUAUAACCCUAAUGCACAAAAAAAAAAAAAGCAAAAGCCAGUUUAAGUCACUGAUACAAUUACUAAAUGGCUGAAGAAAAAACUGCCAGAAUAUUCGAUAUUUUCCAAUAAAUAUCAUUUAAAAUUCUUAUGUAAAGGUUUCUACUUCCAAACAAGAAAAUGUAUAGAAGCAAGGUAUUCCCAGCUUCUUGAUAAUUUCCACUACCACAAAGUCUGCAUACAGAACGAUUUUGUCUCUCACAGUUAUGAACAUACACUUGAACUCAAAUAUUUUUCUCAAUACAGAUUGAACCUAUGGUAACAAAAGCGUGUCAAAUGCUGCCUUUAUUCUUUCAGUACAAAUUUCACCCACAUGAAUCAUGGACGUUAAUUACGUUGCAGCAGUGAAUGAUGAAAUUUUCCGCAACUCUGCAAAACCACUGUUUUCUAAUCAUUCAAAUUGUGCACUAUAUGGAACACCGCCCCACACUUCUACUAAAAAAAGAUCAUUUAGUUUUCAACCCCCUAGCUUACAUGAAUAGCCCAUUUCUAAGAUCAAUUCGAGUUUGCUGGAAGGCAUCGCAUCACCGUAAAGAUGACAAGCUACUUCCUUAAGGUUUCCAAUUGAGUUAUUUGGUGUUUCCUUUGAUGCUUGAACAAUAGCAGUAUAUAUUAAUUAAUUUAAUAAUUUUAGAUCCAUAUUAGAUUACAAGGAAAAAGGAGGUGUUUUUCUUUGUAGAAAUAUAGCAGAUUACUUUUAAAAACUAGAGUACUAGACCAUAAUGAUUAGCUUUUUUUUAGUUAGGAAAGUACUUAGCUUUGAAACAAUAAGAUCUCUGUAUAAAUUCUUGUAAUGCUGAAAACAGUUCUACCUAAAGAUGAUUGACGAUUAUCACUUAUUUGAUGGAAUUUUUUGAAACUACGAGGCUCGCCUCCAUCAAUUCCCAGCAGAGGUAGAUUUUAUCCCUUAAAUAUGUACCACAAGUUUUUAUGACUUCACAAAGUUAUAUAUCAUAUUCAUCACUGAGUUCAAAAAUACUCAUAUCAAGAACAAGAAAACCAUUAACAAGUUGCUCUAAUUUGCAUUGUAAACUAGUACUAUUAUACUAUGUUCAGCAUAUAUAUUAACUAGUAUGAUCGCCCCAAUCCCAAAACACGAGUAUUAUGCAAUCAAAAAACCACCAAAUGUAUCACACAAUAAAACCCCUUGCGAGAAACAUAUACAACCAAAUACAAGUCAAUACAAGUAAAAUUGGAAACAAAUUUUAAAAAAAAAGGGGGGGGGGGGGGGGGGGGGGNNNNNNNNNNNNNNNNNNNNNNNNNNNNNNNNNNNNNNNNNNNNNNNNNNNNNNNNNNNNNNNNNNNNNNNNNNNNNNNNNNNNNNNNNNNNNNNNNNNNNNNNNNNNNNNNNNNNNNNNNNNNNNNNNNNNNNNNNNNNNNNNNNNNNNNNNNNNNNNNNNNNNNNNNNNNNNNNNNNNNNNNNNNNNNNNNNNNNNNNNNNNNNNNNNNNNNNNNNNNNNNNNNNNNNNNCGGUAUAUAUGAAGACCUUUUUGAGAGCAUUGGCAUAAGCCUGGGUUGAAGUUUGAUUCAGACAUUCGACUCCAGUCCAAUCUAUGAAGUCCACUAGAUCAACCUAAGACGGCAACAGAAAUCAGACAUAUAUACAUACAUACACAUAUCGAUACAGAUGUAAUAACGAAAAGACAGAAGAAAACAUACUUGGUUUCUUUGAAUUGCAGAGGCGGGUUCUCCAGACAUUGUGAAACGGACCAAAGAGAAAACCCCUCUUCUGUGUGUACGAGAGUCAAACGUAUGUAUGUAUCUUGUGUAUAAAGUCCGAGGUAGUGGGCGCGGCGCGGGUGUCUCACGCAAGGAAUAACUCAAUUGGAUUAUUGUGCCUGUUUGUCGAUCAAUUUUUUUAAAAAAUAAGUUUUUACUUUAAAAAAAAUUAUUUUUUAAAUAUAAAUGUCAAGAAGUUGUUUUAUAUUUAUUAUACUUAGUAAAAAAGUAAGGACUUAUUUCAGAAAAAAUAGAGAUUACUCACAUCAUAUUUUAUUAAAGAUUAGUAAAACAAAAGUUUUAUUUUGUUAAAGUAAACGUUUCAAAACAAAAGUUCUAUUUUGUUAAAGAUUUACUAAUUUCGUGGGAUAUCACACAUGAACUUGCGUGUUUUAUGAGAAUAUAAUUAUUACUAGUAUUAAUCUGUCACUGGUGAGUGCAUCUUCUCGAUGAGGUUCAUAAGAAUUAAGCACAUAUGAGAAGUGAUAAGUUGAAAUUGCAUUCAUGAAGAAUACGCAAAGGCACGCUAGUUUUUAAUACAAGAUGAGAUAUAUUAACCUGCAUCAACUUAAUAUUUAGAGUGACAACUUCAAUUUUCGCUUUAUCUUUUGAAAAUGAACUUGGACGUACUUUCUAGAAUUGGGGUUUUGCAAAUAUAACGUUCAAGCAAUCUACAGGUGUGGGAGUGAUCAUUAAGAAUGCAGAUGGCCCGUAUAGUUGUCAUGGUCUUAGGAAUCCUAGGGCCUCUGAAUCAGAGGACCAAUGAAAUAUAGGCAAUUGUACUUGGCACUAUUUAAGAAUGAGAAAACGGACUGAGCUGGAGACAGAAUCAACUGAGGCACUGCGUGAAUGAGAGGAUUGGCGAUGUUUAUUGAUGUUUACCAUUAUUGAUUGGUUGAGUAACUGAACCAGCGCCUUAAAGACAACUACCUAGUGCUUCAUAAGAAAGUUAUCGCGGCUAGUCAGAAUUGCUUGGCUAAAUACUUGGCUAAGAACAUUGUAGAAAUCCGAAAAAGUCCUCGAAGGAUCUUCGGGCCAUUUGAUCGAGUUAGGGGUAUUUGGUACCUUGAUAUGUUUCUAGGUUUUGUGAGGGAUGGAUUCAUGAAGAUGAUUAAAAAGAACAACAGUAACAGCAAAAUGAGUGGGUCAUGCAAGCGGACGCGCGCAGUAGUCUCAAGCACCAAUGAUUCAUCGGUUGGCAACGAAAACAACAAUCUGAUCAUCAUUGACUAAUGUGCUAGUUCGAUCACCCUGCUCGUGUAUUUAAACCAUGCCCCUCUCUCAGUUCAGGUAACUAAUUUUAGUUAUAUUAUGUUUUAGAUUAGUAUGUUCUCAGCAUUAGUUCUUAACCUGCUUUGAAUAGCAUUUAUAUGUGAUGAUGUUGGUGCAUGGAAGUUUGCCUUGGAGACCAUGAGGUUCCCAGGUCUUCUUCCAUUUUGAUUCCAAUGAAAAUGUUUAUCCGGAAAUGAAUCUGUUAGAAUUUUUAAGAAUUAAGUAAUUUGCCUUAAACAUUAGUUGGAAAUGAAGGAUGUUCAGUUUUGAGUUGGUAGUAAAGCUCUGUAUUGAUUUGCAUACUAAUGAUAUUGCACGCUCACACCCACCACUCACUCUUCUCUACUUCGAUACACAGUACCUGGUAUAAUAUUUGAUCAAAAAAGUGUUUGAGGCCAUAAUAUUUAAAAUGAGCGAAUGGUCUGUGUGAAGUAACCAGGUUGUUACAAUUGUUGCAAAAUUAUUUGCAGAUGUUGUGACAGAGAGUCUGUCUCACAUGAGUCCAUGUUGGGUUCUUUUCGUGAGUUAUGAUCGAGGAGUUCAUUUGUCCAAAAUUUGAUGGUCAUAUCAUUUUUUAAAAUUGGAUGGUAAGCGUGUAUAAUGACCCAAACUUCAAAGACAUGAAGGUAAUUAAGCCUAAAUUUCAAAGGCGACAACCAACAUUGAUAAGUCCAUCUUCUAAUAAUUUUUACUUUCUCUGUCAAUUUUUUUUAUAUAUCAAUAUUAAAACAUUGAAUUAUAUUUGAAUAUGGUUAACAGUUUAUCGAAAAUGCUCAAUUUUAUACGAAAUUAUAACAACACGUCGCACUACGAAGUAAUAAAUCAGAUGUCAAAAUGAUUUUUUUUCCACAUAUAGCAUAUUUGAUCUAUAAUAUCAUCAUGUUCUAGUGUGUACUAUUCUAUUUUUGACUUCUCGAAUAUCUUUCUAUUUUUGUCUUGUGAAUAAUACCUUUAUAUUUUAAAUUUAAUGUAUAUCAUAUCAUUAUCUUACUUAAAUAUUAAAUAAAUGUUGAAAUUUAAUUAAAUCAUCUAAUUUUUCAUUUAAACUUCAUUUUUUUCACAUUUUCAACACUCGUAACAAGUUACUACUUAAAAUAUCUUAGAACAAAACGUAGUUUAAAACUUCUGUAUAGUGUUUUCAAAAUAUUCUUUUUAAAUUCCUGUACAAUCAACUUUUUCAACUAACAUCAUUACUUUUUGAUAUAUGUGGUACUUUAUAAUUUAAUUUUAAAUUAACUUUUGUGUAACAUAAAAGUAAAUAUAAAAAUACCAUUCAUAAGUAGUCGAAAAUAUGAAAUGCACCACGCAUAAAAUAAAAAAUAAAAAGGUAUUUAACUAAAUAGAUAUAUAUUUUUUAUAUUAUUUUCAUCAUUUAUUUGAAAUUAAAUAAUUAAUUUAACUAAGUAUGGCAUAUUAUUCUUAAUAUGAUAAUUUUUAUAGAUUAAAUAAAUUAAAACGCUUAUCUUGAUGGAUUUUAUUAUAAACGUGAUUAUUAAUUUUUAGAUUGAUAAGAUGAAUAUGUUCGUCUUGAUUCUUGAGUUUUUUUGUGAUUUUUUAUGGACCUAUAUGAUUUGACAGUUUGUCCAAUUUGAAUUAUGACUAGUUAUUACUCCCUCCGUCCUCCUGAGAUAUAUACAUUGGGGGACGGGGACGCGGCACGGACUUUAAUGCUCCCGUAAAGUAUAGUUCCAUAACUUAUUUUUAGAAUUUUUUUUUCUGAAUAAAAAUUUGAAUGUUAUAUUUUUAUACAGAAAAAGAAAAUUUUAAAAAUAAGUUAUAGAACUAUAUUUUAUAAGAGCAUUGAAGUGCGUGUCGAGCAAUGAAAAAGAAACGUAUACAAUUAAAUGGGACAGAGGGAGUAUCAACGUAUAGAUAAUGUUAUACUUUCUCCGUUAAUUAGUCAUUAUAUUGGGGGUGUUUGGCAUUGAGAAGCAGAGCUUCUUUUCCAUGAAAAAGCAACUUCUACAUUUUGAUGACUGUUUGGGUAAAAAAGUAAUGCCAAAUUUUCUUGAGCUUUUGCAGAAGAAUUGAGAAGUUAGGAAGUCUAACUUCUCUUCCCCGGCUUUCAGCUUCUUUUUUUUAACUUGUAUGUAAAACAAAAACUUACCUACUUGCAUGUAAAACAAAACUCACCUAUCUUUUCGUUAGUAAUUUAUUUUUUGAUAUGUACUUUAAAUAAUGAUUUUUAUAUUAAUAAUAGUUUGAUAUUUUUAAAUAGAAAAAAAAAAUUAUGUUUAAAAUUAUCAAAUCUACCAUUUAUUAUAAGUCAAGUUAUCCAAACACCUAAGUACUUAAAAUUCACGGCAUCCAAACACCUCUAAUCCGAACCAACUUCUCACUCCUCUUCCACUUCUUUACUUUUAAGUAGAAGUCACUUCUUUUAAGCUUAGCCAAACGGCCCCAUUGUCCAUUAAUUUUGCAUUACACUUCAUGCGUUGUGUUAUGCCUAGGGCUGUUAACGAAACGAAUUCGAAACGAAUAUCUUAAUUUUCGUAUUUGUAUACGGUUUAAAUACAUAUAUUCGGAUUUGUAUUCGUUUAUUAUCCGAAUAAUUAUUUGUUUUUUAUUCGGAUUCGGUUAGAUUCACUAACUAUUCAUAUUCGUUUAAGGUACUCUUUUAAAACAAAAUGGAACUAAAUAACUGAAGUGCUAGCUCGUGACAAAAGUAAUAAACUCUUAUACUACACCAAUUCAAGCAAACUAUAAAAUACUAAUUACACAGACUACAAUCAUCCAAUUCAAAGAAACAAAAUUCAAUUACAACCAAAAUGUAAAAUUUAAUAUGUCUUAAUUAACUCUAAGAUCAUGCAACAGAACUUUCACUGGCUCAACCUUUUAGUAUAUGGACGGGUAGGGGUGAGCAAAAAUUCUCCAAACCGACCGAAACCGGCCGAUCCAGUCCGCUCAAACCGAAUUUAACGGUUUAAUAACGGUUUGGUUUGGUUAUGGUUUCAAAUUAUAAAAACCGAAUUAUUUCGGUUUGGUUUCGGUUUUUACCUCCAAACCAACCGAUAAAUCCGAACCGAACCGAUUAACCGAAUGUGUAAAUUUAAAUAUUAUAAAUAUACAUGUACGAAUAAUGUAUUAUUAAUAAUAAAAUUAUAAUCUACGAAAAAAUGUAAAAUCUUAAAAAUAUAAAAGGUAUCCUAGUAAAGAUUUUUUUUAAAAAUAUUAUUUAUUCUAUUUUAUGAUAUUAAUUUCGAUGUAUGUAUAAUAUUUCCAUUCUUUUUAUUUAUAUUUUUGUAAAAAUAUACGAAUCACAUUUUUUUUAAUUUUCUUCCGUCUCUUUUUAUCUAUCAAGCUAAUAUAUUCUUGUAUCCUCUUUAAAUAUGAUUAAAUAGAAAAUAUAAAUUGAAUUUUUCAUUCCUUAUUUUCAAGUUAAAAUUUAAUUUUGUUGCUAACUUUGUUUUACAUAUAAAAAACGGUUUAAACCGAAACCAAACCGAACCGAACCGUUUUAAACAGAUUGGUUUGGUCUGGAUUUUAAACAUAAUGGUUUGGUUUUGGAUUGAGAUUUUGAAAAACCGAUUAUUUCGGUUUGGUUUGGUUUAGACCUUUCAAACCGCCCAAACCGCCCGAUGCUCACCACUAUGGACGGGGCUGGUUUAAUUUAAUAUCUGGUCUCAAAAUAAUCUAUAAUCCUAUUAAAUAAGAAAUAUAAUAUUUUUAUAUAAUAUAUAUAUAUAUAUAAUAUUUAAUUUCCGAAUAAUUAAGUGAAUAGCGAAUACGAAUAUUUAUCUACUCGAAUUUGUAUUUGUUAAUGAACCGAAUAUUUUUUAAGAUUUGAAUUCGUAUUUGUAUUUGUUAAUAAACGAACACGAAUAAUACUAAACGAAUUCGAAUACCGAACAUUUCAUUAAAUAUUCGUUUCGUUAACAGCUCUAACUUAUGCCCUGAAUUUUACAAACGUGACUUGAAAUAUUAAUUACAAGAAUUUGGAUAAUGGAUGGUAUAAAAAUAAAUAUUAAUAUAUUUAUUUUUGUUACAUUUAUUUUUCCUAACAUGGCUGCACUUGAUAAACAAAAAAGAAUGGGCCUGAAAUACAAACUGGACCACGAUAAUUAUUUUGGACUACGGCUAGAGGAUCUUCAGCCCACAUGGAGUCAUAAAGCAGUUGAAAGUUGUUGGAUAAGUCAUGGAAUGGAUCGUAACUCGUAACAAUCUGCAGGAUUACAGAAGUACAAUUCAAAUAAGAAAAUGAGAUAAGGAGGCACCAAAAUUGGAGGCGGUUACAUGCACGUGGGUUGGUGGAGCAAAAGUAGGAAGGCUGGAGUUGUGGAAUAAACAGGAUUCUCAGCAAAAUAAUCACGAAAUAGGCGCUCAUGCCCCCUGGUUAUGAUUUCGACGAAUGAACUUGCGAUGUCGCCUGUUUUCAGAAUACUGUCUAUAAGCCCUUUCACUUUCAACAUCUGUAUCAUCUUUUGAAGAAAAGUAUGCUAAGAUUUUGCGAAACAAUGAUCUAACCAUUUAAUGAUAUGUGAUACCACAAAGAAAUUUCUACAAAUAUUUGAAAGAAUUACAAGUUAUUGAUGAACUGAUGAAAGAAAGGAGUAUAUGAGAUAGGAAUAUAUAUUACCGUUAUACAAAUUUAAAUUUUGUAAAAGAAGGAUACAUAAAAAAAAUAUUAAAAAAACAAUAUAGAGAUGGAGAUAAGGACUGGAAUGUGAUAACGUCUUAACAGAAAACUAAACUUUUGGGAUAAUUAUGGGAAAUUACUAUAUAUAGUAAGUUUUUGGGGUUAAAGAAAGAGACCCCAAUGAGAAUGCUCUAAAUAGUAGGUGUGUAAACGAAGAGAGGACAACAAUUCUUACUCGAAUUACAAUUUCAUCUUCAUCUCCUGUAAACCAUUCAUAUAGUGAAUAUUUUCUUUCGGCUGGGUAACCAAUCCCAUCCGCGGUUUUUACCCUACAUCGGGGGUUUUCCGCGUCACCAAAUAUUUGUCUCGUUUUAUUCAUUUUAUCGCUCAAAUUAAUUCACAUAUCAUUCACCCGUAUAAAAUUUCGUUAAAACACGUUGAUACACUUUAUUCUUCAUUUAUUGAUACUCAUGAAGUUAUUUGUUGGUCUUCCUUUCACUUGUGAGAAUUUCAUGCUUUAGAAUAGUUAUCAUUUGACUAAAUGUUCUUUCCAUCCGGACCGUUUCAUUCAUGAUUUAUUUGACAAUCAACUGUUAUUUUAAGAUCACUUCACUUGUUACGAAAUCUUAUCCGUUAAUAUAUAAAAUUUACUUUAAAAUAUUUUUAUAAUACUAUCAACUAGUAAGUAACCUAAUCAACAAAUACUCUUAUGAAUAUCACUCGCUGACUGGUUAAAAAUAAUUAUAAUUUAAUGCUAAUUAGUGAAUUAUUAUCAUUAAACCCAAGAUUAAGAUUGGCGAUUUCGGGUUUGGGACUGGGUACGGGUCGGGUUAACAGGCGCAAGUCGGUUUUUUAGCCAACUCGAACCUGACCGGAAUUUUAAUGGGUCACAAUAUUCAACUUGAACCGGACCCGAUCCAUAAUAUUUAUUAAUAAGAAUAUUUUUCAAAUAAUAAAUAAUUGUCAUUUUAAUUCAAGUAAAUUAAUUUCUAAUAAAUCAAAUAGUAUUUUAUUGAAUUUAACUAAUAGAUAUUAAAAAAUAAUAUAAAUAUAUGUAUUUUAUAUAAAUAUGUAGGAUUUUUAAAAAAUGUAUUCAUUUUCGGGUUAUUUCGGGUUAAUUUCGGGUAACCCGAUUUCAACCCGAAAAUGACCCGUUUUUUCUGGUUGAUUUUGGGUCAACCUGAAUAAUCAACCCGAAUUCUACCCAAAUCCGAAAAACUCCAACCUGAAUUCGUAUUUUAUGGGUCAAAUUCGUGUCGGUUACCAUAUUGCCACCCCUACUUAACAUAUAUUCCCAACAUAAUCCAUAUGAUAUAUAUGAUGCCCAUGAACCUAUAACCUCAUACCUUUUUAAAAAAAAAUAAUUGAUCACUUAGCAUAUACAAGUAUUUGUGUUUUGAACACACAAAAAAUCAUAAUAUACUACACCACUUUAUUAUUAUACCCUGACAUUGUGACCAACCAAAAAAAAAUAGAAAUUCAUAUAAAAAAUAUAAAUAUCUAGUUGACCUAUAUUUCUUACCUUUGCCUCACUUUUUAUUGAUUUGUUUUAUUUACGUACUUCAUUUUUAGGAUUGAAAAUUUUGCAUGACACUAAAGUUAACAAGAAGAUGUAUUAUUUGAGUUUGCGAUUUUAAAAUUCAAGCCCGUAUGAGUCAUUUAAAACUAAACCACAAAAUUAAUUCAUUUUUGUGUCAAAUCGAUCUAAAUCUAAAUAAUAUAAUAUUAAAUGUUAUAUGUAUAUGUUAUAGCGUUCUAUUUGUAAGCCCAUCCCACGGUCCAGCCCAAAUAUAUUGGCAAAAACCCUAUUUUUCUUCGAUCAUAUCUAUAUAUAUCCGCCGCCUCAUCAUUUUUAUGUGUUCUUAUAUCUUAACAUCUCUAUGAUUGUUUUCUCAGUUUUUUUCUUUUCAAACAUCUCUUCUCCAGUCUAUAUCAAGUGCUCAUAUCCAUGGUGAUACUACAUAUGCACACAAACAAAAUACUUAGCGUCACAAUAAUUUUGAUAUAUCGGUAAGUUACUGCUUUGACUUUUGAAACAAUAAUAUAUGAAUACAUACAUAUGCUGAUAUAGUAAAAAAUGUGCUAGAUCUAUCAACAACGUUGAAUACUUACUCAAUUUUCAUUGAAAUAAAAGCAAGUUUCAGAUUUGUUAUUUUAAAAUUGAAACGAAACAAGUUUGUGUAUGAUCCAAUUCGCAACACGCGCACACACGCACAUUGUUUGAAAUUAUUUUAUUUUAAAUUUUAGAUAUGUUUAGAUUUUAGUAAGUUACGGUUUUAAAUGAGUUUUGGGUAUUUAAUCUAGAAUUAAAUUGAAUCACAUUAUAACCCUGUAGUUUGAUAAUUAUUUAAAUUUUAAAUUUUUAUUAAAUCAAUUUCGGUUAAGAUUUUUAGUUUGCCGACAAUAAAAGAUUAGUUGACAACUCCAACAUAACACAUAACACAUAAGUUUAACCAUAUUUGAUAUCAUUUUUCUCCUCCAAAAUAUUUAUUGGCAUUAUUUUUACUAUCUCCAAUUUGGUUUAUGAAAUUUAUAUGAUUUAUAUACAUGAAUCUCUUGCAGUAAACAAUGAAGAAAGUGCUCCACGAAAGAUUAAAGUCUUCAUUUGAUUGGAUACAAUUUGCGGGUAAUAUUUUUUUCCUUUCAUAUACAUUUGUAUGACUUAUGAGUUAUUCAAAAUAUACGAUUUAGCAACCAAAUGCAAUUGGAUGGAACCAAGACCAGCCUUUGAUGCAAUUAAAAUUGACUUCGAUUUUUUUCAAAAAAAAAAUUGUAUUAGGGGGUUACAAUUAUAUAAGAAAAAUGGAAAAUAGUUUUUUAUUUACAAACCAUAUUUUUGUUAAUAUUUUAAUAAAAUCACAAAAAAAAUCUAAAAAUAAUAUUUUUGAUAAUUCUUCUUGUUUAUUCUCUUUAUAAUAGUUCAGAACAUUAUAUAAGUCAUAUAUAUAAUCAUAUUUUAAUUAUUUAUUAAUUCAUCUAAAUUUUAUAUAUUUAUAUCCAAAAUUGAUUUGUUACAUUUUCAUUAACAGGCAUUCGACCAAUAAUGAACCAAUUCUAGCCAGAUUUAGACAAUCCAUGAUACAUAACCUUUUAGUUUUAGUUACUCCGGGACCUAAAAAUGAUGUCAUUCACUAGAAAACCCUAGUGGACUCCAAGCAGUGCUGAUGAUGCAACAAGCGAGCUAGAUGAGAUGGAACAUCUAGCACAGAUUCUGAAUCUAUUUGAACCAACAAGACGUGAAGCUUCACGCCAUGUAGCUAGAGAAUUACUGAACCCCACACAAUUGCUUGAUAUAUUCAUGAACAAGAUAGUAUAAUGCUAUACAGGUGAAGCUUCGCGACAUAUAACAUUAUACUUACCAUGUUCAUAAUAUAUCAAGCAACUGUCUAGGGUUCAGUAAAUCUCUGGCUACAUAGCGUAAAUUUUCACGUGUAUAGGCUAAUCUUGUUGGUUCAAAUAGAUUUGGAAUCUGUGCUAGGUAUUCCAUCUCAUCUAGCUCGCUAGUUGCACCAUCAGCACAACCUGGAGUCGACAAGAGUUUUCUAGUGAAUGACAUCACUUUUAACUCCUCCGUAGCUGAAACUACAAGGUUCUGUAUCAUAGACUGUCUAAACCUGACUGGAGUUGGUUCAUUAUUGGCCGAGUCGAGGACAGCUCCUAAAGUAGUAAUACGAGUGACUGCAUCCCCUAGACACUUGGAGAAAGACAACAUAUAUCAAUUGGGAGAUUGAGACUGAAGUAACAUCACAAUGAUUUUAAUUAUCUUUCUUUCAUCUUCUUAAUUUUAUUGUUGUGUUAAUCUUUGAGAUGUUGAACUAAUUGUUAUUCAAGGCCUUGAUGGAUUCUUGAGUUAUAUAUAUAUAUAUAGGCUCAUGAUCAAAUAGAAACCACUUUUAAAAUAAAAACUAGAAACCAAUACAAGUUAGUGAUAUCCUCAGUACAAUUUAGUGAUAUUCUCUUUACGAUUUAGUGAUAUGUGUUGCACGAAUUAGUGAAAACUUGCGGAAACUGCCCAGAAUUUCUGAAUCUGUUCUAGUUGCCGAUUCAGGUGGUGGUUGCGGUGGUGGAGAUAAUGGAGGUGAAGGUGGAGAUGGAGGUGGUGGACAUGGAAGGAGCCUUUAGCUUUGUCCGGCAGAUUUUUGGCAAAGAUCUGGAAUUUAAAUCGGUAUUAAGCUAGAUAUACGGUACUGUAGGUGAGGAAGACCGAGGUGGAGGUGAGGACGAAGGUGCAGGUGGAGGUGGAGGUGGGGGUGGAAUGGAAGGGGCGGUGGAGGCCGGAGGGGGGUUGGAUUUGGUGGUGAUAUAAAUAAUGGAGGCCGACAUGGAGGUGGUGGCUAUGGAGGGUCGGGCGGCAUGGAGGUGGAGAGAGUAGCAGAGACUUGGCGGGGGUGGUAGGGUGAAGCUGCCGGAAGCGGGGUGGAGGGUUGGUGGGUUGGAGAAGAAGAAGGCAGAAAAUGGGGUUGUUUGAGAAUUUAGUGAUAUUCUCUUAGAAAUUUAGUGAUAGUUUCUAGUUUCUAGAAUAAGGAGGUUUCUAUUGGAGUAAAGCUCUCUCUCUCUCUAUAUAUAUAUAUAAGUGUGCGUUCUUCUUGAUUCUUAGAUUUAGUGUUCAUGUAAUUGAUUAUGUUGGUUUGUGUAUAAUGCUUCUGAAGGAGUAAUUAACUUUGAGAUUGAUUCAAUAAUCUUGGUGAUGCUUGGAAGAGACAACCUUAAUUAGACCCGAUCAAUUUAACUUGGGAUUGACAUAUUGUUAGUUUGUGUUCAUGAUAGGAAUGUACUUGAUCACCCCCAAAUAGUCAAAUUAGGAUCAUGUAUUCAUGCUGCUCAUGGAUUUAACACGUGAGAUACAGAAGGUCCUUGUGAAUAUAUGUGUACCUUAGACUAGCGGUUUGAACAUGAAAAUAGAGAUGAUGGAAGGUGCUUGUAAACUCAAGAUGGAGUUAAAGGUCUAGAUUUAAAUCUUGUUUCAUUCUUAGUCUUGUGUGUAUUUUCAUAUUAGUACUCCCUCUGUCCCAGUCAUUUGUAUACAAAUGGCUGGGACACGGAGACCAAGAAAUUGUUUAAGAAAUUAGUAAAGUUAGAUGAAAAGUGGGUAUAGUGGUGGGACCCAUGUAUAUUUAAUAAUAGAUUUGAGAUAGUGGAGAAAAGUAGUGGGUGUAAUAGUGUUUAUAUUAUUAUAGAAUGAAGAUAGUGGAGGAAAGUAGUUGGUGUAAUGAUAUUUUAUAGUAUUAUAAAAGUUUACUAUUUUUGGAAUGUAUACAAUUGAUGGGACGUCUCAAAAAGGAAACUGUAUACAAUUCACUGGGACGGAGGGAGUAGUAGUUUAUGAUAAAAUUUUCAUCAUAGUUUAUUUAACUUGGAUUGGGCGAACGAUAGUGAAUGGUAAUUAGCACUUAGCAGCUCAAAUUAAACUCGUGAGAAUGAAUUAAUAUACUACUUGUUGGGAUAAGUACACUUGAGUUAAAGUUGCAAAAUCGCUAACACCUACAAAAUAUAAUUGUAAGAGAUAAAUCUUUGUAAUUGUCGUUUAUUCAAAUUAUCCAUCACUCGUUGAUUGAUCUUAAUAUAGAUGAACGAUGAGCUCAAUGAAUCCACGAUCUGCUAUCUAGGAAAGGAAUUAAGAAACUUCUUUAACAUGAAUACAUGAUGACAAAUAGAAAAACUUGAUGAACUCCUUUUCAGUUAAAUUUAAAUAUCCUUUUUGUACCAGUAGACUCCUUUAGUCUCACCUUCAUCUUUCUCCACGUAAAUGCAUUCCUUCAUUUCUCUGUACAUUGCCUUGAGAAUUGGAGUUCCAUCAUACUGAUAAUAAUCACCCAAUAGAGGCUUCAUGGCCUCUGUGGCUUCGAGUCCGUGGUAAUGUGGGAUCAUGGAGAAUAUGUGGUGACAGACAUGAGCAUUGCAGACAUUGUGGAACACCUUGUUCAAUAUUCCAUAGUCUCUGUCGACAGUGCAUAGAGCUCCCCUCAACCAAUCCCAUUCGGUUGAAUCGUAGUAAGGCACAGAGGGAUGAGUAUGGUUGAGGAUGGUGAUCAAUGUGAACCAUCCAUUGACAACAAGCAAUGGACCUCCAUAAACACAGAAAACCCAGACAAAUCCUUUGGCUAAUACUAGAUUGUAUAGGCCAUAGAUGACUGCAAGAAUGGCAACAUCAGAAACAAUGAUUUGUUUGCGUUCACGUUCUGUGUAAAGAGGGCUAUGGGGAUCAUAGUGUGAAGUCCACCUCUCAUACUUGUGUCCAGAAACAUUGAACAUCAGGUACAAAGGGAAGCCUAUGAGGAGUGUGGUAACCCACACAAGGACACGGCCAGGUGGGUUGUUGAAAAUUUUGUAGUAAUUCCUGAUGUUGGACUUGAACCUCGGGACAUAAACCUCGUCGUUCUCAAGAGAUUGAGUGUUGGCGUGGUGACGUCUGUGGCUAAUUUUCCAAGAGAAGUAAGGGACCAUGAGAGAAGAGUGGACAACAAGGCCGACAAGGUCAUUGAUCCAGCCAUAGUCACUGAAGGCAUCAUGAUCACACUCAUGGCCUACGACCCAAGCCCCAGUCAAGACACAACCUUGGACAGCAAUGUAAGCCGCCCAUCCCAAGUAAUUAAGAGGAUGCGGAAGGUACUGGUCUAUGUAAUUCGUGGCAACAUAGUAAAGGGCAUAGGCCAUGAGGAGAUCUUGAAUGAGAUAACGAAAAGAAGUGAUGAGGGAUUUUUCAAAGCAAUGAGCAGGAAUGGCUUUCUUAAGGUCACCUAUGGUGAAAGGAGGUUUCUCAUGAGGAGCACGUCGAAGUGCUUCUGUUUCAGUUUUUUUGGCCUUAGGAGGAUCCGACAUUCGACCACCUGCACCCAUUGUUCCUGAUUACUGAAUGCCUUCAAUAUAAUCAGGAAGUAAAAUAAUUGAGUUGUGUUGGCUGUUUGAUGAAGUUUGGUGGUGUUUAGUUGAAGCUGAAGCUCUGAGUAUUUAUAAUGAAGAUAUCAUUGUAAAAUUUUAUUGGAACGGCUCGUGUUGUGGACUGUGGUGGCCUAUAGCGCCCGCCACACUUGAGUUUUCAACGUGCAAAAUAUUAUUCUUCUACUUGAAUCUGGUGUUCUGCAAGAUAUUAGUUGCCCUGUCAUGAUAAUUUGCAAAUAAGGUCAAAUAAAUUCUCAGUCUCAUAAGGCUACUCCAGGACACCACUCUUGAGUCCUUAUUGGCAGCUAUUCUUUAUUGAUUAAUGCAUUGGUAGAUUUACUUUUAGAAUAUAAAAAUAUAAUUUUAAAGUAAAGGGAUAGUGGGAUUUUAUACUAAAAGCUUAAAAAGAUUGCACUUUGCUAUCUUUGUAUCAUUUAUCAACUUCUUGCAGGUUACUUAGCAUGCCUCGUAUAGAACUCCCGCUGUUAAGAAAUACUAAACUUAAAGUGUUUUUAAUUUCAAUUUUAUUAAAAAAUUUGAUUACAUCAACAUAUUAUGAAAAACAGUUUCGAAUUUGAUGUUAUCAAGACUAGUUGGUAUUAUUAGGAAAAAUUGUUAGUAUUGCCUUUUGGGAUAUAUAUCAUGGAUUGGUUGAGCAUGACUAAACAAGACUGUUUUCUCAUAAUAUAUAGUUUUUCCCAUUUUAUGAAUGGCCAAGUAGCAAAACAUAUUGUUCAGAUUUUCUUGCAGAAGCACAAGACAAUGGUAGAUGUGUGGUGUGAAAUUCGAGGGAUUCCAGACCUCUUCUGGUGAGAUUCGCUCAUCAUCUUUAUUAACAGUUACUCUUAUGUGACAACAAAUCAGCUCCGCACAUAUGUGUUGAGAGGACUAAUAAGUGGUUUUAGUUUUAAUUUUAUUAGUGAUUACAUCAACAUAUUUGUGAAAUACAGUUUUGAAUUUGAUGUUAUCCAGACUAGUUAGUAUUAUUAGGAAAAAAGAAGUUAGUAUUACCUUUUGGGAUAUAUCAUGCAUUGGUUCAGCAUGACUAAACCAGUCUGUUUUUUCAUAAUAUAUCAUUUUUCCCAAUUUAUGAAUGGCUAAGAAACAAAACAUAUUGUUUAGAUUUUCUUAUAGAGCAUAAGGCAAUGGUAGAUGUGUGGUGUAAACUUCAAGUGAUUCCGGACCUCUUCUUCUAGUGAGAUCUGCUUAUCAAUUUUAUCAACGGUUACUCUUAUGUGACAACAAAUCAGCUCUGCAUUGCUCAUAAUCAUAUAUACGUAUUUAGAGGACUAAUAAUUUUUUUAUCAUGUUGCAAGCUAUAAAUUAACAAAAUGAUAUCACCAUUGCUGCUGAUAUAAGCAUUCAUCAAUAGGUUGUUCAUCUGUUCUGGCACCAAAACUUUAUAUAUUACUUGGUGCUCUGUGGCAGGCUACUUUCUAAGAUUGGAAUUUUCAAUCUCUUUUAACCCUCAAAUCUUUACAUGAAAUGAUACGAUCGAUUAAUCAUGUCAAACAUUAACAAGACUAGUGAAGCAAAAGCAAGAGUAGCUGAUCUCUCUCAAUUUCUUUAUAUAAACAAAUUAUAUAUUAGAUAUAAUCAUCUUUAACAUUUUUAAGUUUUUCAACACAUAAUGAGAUUGUCCUUGUUCAAUAAAUAAACCAGCAUGCUCUAAGAUGUUUCUGAAUCUUAAUCAUCCACUGGAAGAAGGAUUACUGUAUCAGGCAUAUUAAAGGCACAUGCUCUUUCCCACAGACUAAAUCACUAAGAUCAUAGUUUUUAAUAAUGUCAAUAUUUCAUAAAUUUUCAUAAAUGGAAUUUUCUUUUUUGCCAAAUUAAUUUUUAUUAUGUCUCAUAAAACUAUCUGUUACUCCUUUUGCAAAUAAGGAAAAAUUCAACCAGGGACUAUGAACGGGCAAGCAUGGAAAGGCCUCAUCUUUAAAACUCUGAAUCAUCUCUUCCUAAAAACUUCAACUCUUCUGGAAAACUUUCUGAAAAUGGAAAAAAAAAAAUAAAAAUAUUUUACCUUCGAGUUAACUAAGCGAACUCAAAUGCACCAUUGGUUGCCUUUUCGAUACAGAACUACCUUUAUCCUUCUAAAUUUUAGUUUCAUGCAAAGCACAAAAAUGUUUUGAGAUUAUACACACAUUCAACAUAAGUAAUUUAUUUUUGUAGAGUACUAAUUGUAUUAACCCCACAAACAAAAUACACAGGGCAUGCCCUACUAAAAGUGGAGCAAACUCAUCCUACAAGAGGUCUCACAAGAAAGCCUGUGAGAGUGAGACCACCUUGACAGAGAACCAUAUCUCUUUGUCUUGAACUUAAAGGAAAUUUUAUCAUUGUUUAAAUUCCCAUAUUAUUUUGAAACAUUUGAAAAGCAUUUCUUAAUAUUUUAGUUACAUUUAUUUUCUAUCUUUGUACAAGAUUCCAGCCUGCCUUUUAAGGGAAAUGAGCUUUUCUUCCUGAUACAGUUCUGGCCUUUAAGCUUAGGAAAGUUUUUGGUCAAUAAUCAAAGGUGCUCUCCCUCUCAGGUGUUUGAUUAAAUUUCAUAUCUUUCUUUUUUUUUAUGUUGGUUUGUAGUACUUUGUGUUUGAUUGUCUCAGAAAAACUGAGGUUCACUGUAAUAUGUUUCAUGGAAUAUUUGCAGCAUCCACAAUGGGGACCUCCACUCAUUUUACAAAGUAUGUUCUUGGACAAUCAUAAUUUCAUUGAUGCAAUCAUACUAGGCUACAUUACAACUUACAAAUUAUCCACUGCUUGUGGACUCAUCUUAUUCAAAAUGAGCAAUAAACUAAUGAACCUACAACAUGCUAUCUAAGGAAAUGUAGAAAAUUGCAACAUGGGAAUGAGUAGAGAAAGGAGUCAAUAUCGUUUUCAGUUUCAAAUGUCCUUUCUGUACCAGUAGACCCCUUUGGUCUCUCCUUCAUCUUUCUCGACGUAAAUGCAUUCCUUCAUUUCUCUGUACAUUGCCUUAAGAAUCGGAGUUCCAUCGUAUUGAUAAUAAUCACCCAAUACAGGCUUCAUGGCCUCUGUGGCUUCGAGUCCGUGGUAAUGUGGGAUCAUGGAGAAAAUGUGGUGGCAAACAUGAGCAUUGCAUACAUUGUGGAAUACCUUGUUCAAAAUCCCAUAGUCUCUGUCAACGGUACAGAGAGCUCCCCUCAACCAAUCCCAUUCUGAUGAAUCGUAGUAAGGGACAGAUGGAUGAGUAUGAUUGAGGAUUGUGAUCAGUGUGAACCAUCCGUUAACAACUAGCAAUGGACCUCCAUAAACACAGAAGACCCAUGCAAAUCCUUUGAUUAAUACGAGACGGUAUAGACCAUAGAUGACAGUAAGAAUGGCAACAUCAGAAACAAUGAUCUGUUUACGCUCACGUUCUGUGUACAGAGGGCUAUGGGGAUCAUAGUGUGAAGUCCACCUCUCAUACUUGUGUCCCGAAACAUUGAACAUCAAGUAUAAAGGAAAACCUAUGAGGAGAGUGGUAACCCACACAAGCACACGGCCAGGAGGAUUGUUGAAAAUUUUGUAGUAGUUCCUGAUGUUAUACUUAAAUCUAGGGACAUAAACCUCAUCGUUCUCAAGGGAUUGAGUGUUGGCGUGGUGACGUCUAUGGCUAAUUUUCCAAGAGAAGUAAGGGACCAUGAGAGAAGAGUGGACAACAAG
rnacentral:lncRNA from 1 species